rnacentral:lncRNA from 1 species
AAAAUCACAGCUUCCAUAUGCCGUCCCUACCCAAUUGAAACCACCUGCAAUCCAAUAUUCUUAAACUCUUGGAAGUAACAUCCUAGAUCCUGCCAGUAUGUGUCAUCGAGACUAGGAUUCUGAUCUGAUCAAGCUGAAUUCUUGGCCAUUAUGAAGGUUGUGAAGUUGGAUGCCGAUUCUUGGAAAGUUAAUACUGGAUUGCACAGCUAUCUCUAGGUACAAGAAAUGCUACUUCAUGGGUAAAAGGCAGCAAUAGGGUUUGUUGGCAUCUUAGGAACGCCAAUUUUGUAUAUACAUUACAAGUUUUACAAUUGUCUACUCAUUCAGUUGUUUUCGACGACUCUUGGAAGUUCAUGUAAAAACCUAAUUCUUACUCUGCUUAAUACUAUCACUCAACUCACAAGUCUGUUGUGGACUGACACAAAAAAUGCUUACCUAAAUACUAAAGCACAUGCCUGCAGCAACAAUGAUUUUAAAGAGCUCAUCAUUGCAUAAUCCAAAAUUCCCCCAAGCUCAAGCGGGGAAAUGAUUUCGUUUAAUAAGGUAUUCAGACAAGGGAAAUGAUUUUAAAGGGCAAUGAAUCGUCAGUGUUAUCAUCAUUCUGGCCUAGCCCUGCCUCAUCAUCAUCAUAAUCGCCACCCAAAGCCAGCUAUCUCUUCCUUGCUUUCUCUGCAUCUUCCCAGUCCUUCUCUAAUUGCUAUCCAGACUUGUAAUCUCCAAGAUCAUGCAUAAACUUACAUGAAUCCUGUAACCACAGUAACCAGUUUCUUUGUAGUCUUUACAGAUGUCAGGUUGAUAAUCGAAUCUCUCUGAAACCCUGAGGUGGGCAGAAGCCCUAAGAGGUCCAUGUGAGCCACCAGCUUUCUUACUGGCAACUGUCGGCUCUCUUCAAACCCACCCUGAUGAUCCACAUAGCCAUGCAUUCCUUUAUACAACUUCUCUCCCACAGAGCUUGUGUUUUCCCCUUCAAAGCCUCCUCUGCUCGUUUGAGAACUUUCUUACCUAUAGCUCGAGCAUCUUAUAUAAACUCAGUCUCAGUUUCUAAGGUUGCCGUAGCUCUGCUAUCAUUUUGAACUUGAAGUUCCUUCGAAGACUCAAAUUGAAAAAUCGGUUUGUCAAAUUCUGUAUUUGAUUCAUUGACAGCAGCACUCCUGGAGGAUCCAGUCGAAAAGUAUAACUUAUUGUCAGGCUUGAAAGCCGUUUUCUGAUUGUGUAACGGAGAUGUGCCAUUUCUGGAGUCUUCAUCUUCAUCUUCAUUUAUUGUCCUUUUCCUGACGUUUUUGCCCUUUGUUAGCUUCCUAAAGAAAUUGCAGACUGAAAAAUCAAAAUAAUUUGAGUUAACAUACACAGUUAUUAAGAUAAUGAUCUUAAUUUGAUGCAGAAAAUACAUUAAACAGAAGGAAUAGUUCUUCUUUCUUAUUAUUUUUUUAAAAUAAAAUGUCAAUAAGUGGCAAUGGAGGAGAAUCAUUAAUCCCUCAGUGAGUACUUCCCCCUUUUAUUUGGACAUCUAUACGAGUUUCAAGUUAUUCCUUUUCUUCUAUUUAUUUGAUCGUCUUCCGCGUCUUUCUUUAUUUCAUGUUAAAAAAAUUUCUUUUGAUAGUGCUGAUUGAUCAGUUAUUAAAUAUUAGAUCUGAUCAAAUUAUUAAGAAUAAGGCAUUUUUAAUUACUGCUAGAUUACUUUUUUUAUCUUUUUUGUUCUUGAUCAUUUAUUAGGCUUAGGCACUUAUAUUUCUUUUCUCUCAUGUAAAUUUGAGGUCUUUCUCGCUUUCAUUGGAGAUUAACGUUUCUCUUUUGUAUGCUGUUUUUCUUUUGAUAUAUGCUAAAAGUUUAGUGGGUUUGUCAUGCAGGGUUUGAAAGGGCUUUAUGCAGGCUUCUUUCCUGCAGUUUUAGCGUCCUCUUUUCAUGGGGCUUAUAUUUCUUCAUGUAAGUGCCAUCAUCAAUUUACAUGUUACAACCUUUCCUUUGAUUACAGUACAUUUGUUGUCAAAUAUGUGUGCACAUUUGAAUUAUUAGCUGCAGCGGAAACGACUUAUUUGCUGAUUUUUUUUAAUGUAAAUAGAUUGAUUUUAGUAUGCAAUGGGGAAUACAAAGAGUUAAUGUGUUUUGAUUUGUUGGAAAAUGUAGUGUGACAAUCAAUUAAUCUAAAGUGUCUGCUACUACUGUCUUAAUUUGAUGCAAGUUGCAAAUUAUCUCUGUUGAAACCCAGUUUUGAUGUUUAGAAACCAAAAUUCUUAGUAGAGUUUGAUAUGCAAUCAAACGGAAAAAUGGAAAAAAACUCAACAAAAGAAAUGUGCUUCUGCAAUCUGCAAAAUUGGCUCGAAGAUCUUUCCUGAUUGAAGUGAAGCUUCAGAGAUGGAAAAUUAGCAAGUAAUAAUAAGCAAACAGAUAUUAAUUACCUGCUUAAUCCAUUAAAUAAGAGAAAAAAACCUUAAUGACUUCAUAUCAAUAAUGAAAUGGGCGUACUGCAACGAUUCAGAAAAUGGAAUCAUACUUCAAAAACCUUCCAUUUGCUACAAUAUUGAUUGUACUGGUGACAAUGUCUAACCCAUAAGCAUGAGCUCCAUGACCAAAAGUCCCUGCAAAUAGCUUCCACCAAUGCCGAGGAUUCAAAAGCUGUACAUAGCAAUUUGGUUGAAAGCAGAUUUGUGAAGCUUUCAUUUCAUAUAACUUGGCAGCAAGAAAAUGAUUGGGAGAAGCUAGUGAGUAUGGAGAAACUAUAUGGACAGGAUCACUAUCUUCAAUUUUGGACAGGAUGUUUUGAAGUCAAGAUCAGCUUGACGGGGUAAAGCAAAGACUUGGUGACUGGUGAGGAACUAAAUAAAAACUGAAAUAAUACCUUCAAUUUCCUUAAAAAUAUAAAUAAAACUCAAUGACAAUGAAGUUGAUGUAUUUUCAAAUUGUUCAAUGUUUAAAAACUGAAAACAAAAGAAGUAAUAGCAUCUUAUGUUGGCUGUUGGGUUAAGAAUAAUUUGUUGCUUACUUAACAUUAAAUCAUCUAUAAAGAAACUAUUUAGUCCCUUUUAGAUGCCAUCACUGACUCACUGUGAUAGAAUUCAAGUCAAAAUAUGGAUUCAUCAUCAUUUAUAUAUUUGUAUCUCACAUAUAUUUCAUUAUUGAUUUUAAUCUCUAUGCUAUUAUAUCUAAUCUCACCAUAAUAAUAAUUAGUUUUUUUAUUAUCGUUAUUUUUAAUUUCACGGAAACUAAUUUUGCUUCUCGUCUAAAUUGUUAUCGAAAAAAAAAAGAGAUCUAGCACAAUACUUAUUACCCUUUUCAUUAUAUUAUAUAUAAAAAAAAACCUACAUAAUGCACAAUAGAUGGCACACUUUUUAUGUAUAAAUAAGAACUCAUGAAUUUAAGUAUAAUCAUAUUUUGUUUUUAUUUUUUUAAAAAAUUUAUAUUAACAUUUGAAAUUUAUAUCCCUUUCUUUUGAAUUCAAAUUUCUAAACACAAAUUUAAUUAACAAAAGAAAUUCCUCUUUCAUUGAUCAAACAACAAAAAUUAAGAAACAAUCAUUGAGGAAAGAAAAACUAAUACCUCGAAAAAAAAAAUAAGAAUUUAGGGCUUUAAUAAUGUUUGUUUUUCAAAAAAAAAAAGAUUGUAAAAAAAAUUCAUACAUAUAAAUAAAAUUAAUAAUCAGCCAAAAAGAGCAAAAUUAAUUACCCGAAUUAGUAUGGAUAAGCCUAUGGGUCAAAAGACUCUUUUUUUUACAUGGGCUGGCCCAUUAAUACCGAAAUCGUGCUUCCCUUUGACUUCUUGCACUAAAAAUACAAUGAUGGAUUCCGAAUUUGGCAAUUUUUGUGAAUCAUAAAGUGUUUGAAGAAAAAUACGAAAAGCAAUUAACUGAGAAAAGCAAAAUUUUAAAAAAAUGUUGUCAAAAGGGGUUUAAAGUUAGGGCGUUUUAAUCGAAUUUUCCUUUCCUUUUUUCAUUUUCCUGGUAAAAACUUCCUCAUGCCCAGUUUUAUUUUCAAUCUUAAAAUUUUUUUAAUUGAUUUUAUCUCCUGUUUUUGCAGUGACACUGUAAUUCAAGAGCUGGAGUCAUUGCAGCUAAUUUUUGGAAGCCCCACAUUGGCAAAGGCAGAGUAUUUGAUUUUUUUUUUAAUUUCUUUUUUCUGUGAUCUUUUUUAGACUUUCACUGUGUAGAAAGGUUCUAUUUUUUGCUAAGCAUAAAUUUUUUUUUCUUAUUUGUGUUUCUCAGGCUUUAUUGUAUGUUGGUUUUGUUCUGUUUUAUCCAUAUUUCAUUUAUUUUUAUGAUUUGAAUUGAACUACUAUGUGAAAAGGAAUAUUGAGUAUUGCCAAGUAGUAUUUUCUUUGACUAUUACUGUACAUAAUUGUCAAUUCUGUUAUUCAAUUGCUGGCUGUUAAAUUUGCUGCAAAAGAAUGAUUAUUGCAGUUUGAAUCUCUUGUUAUUAUGGGGAAGAGUGUGAGGGUUGAAAAAAGGGAAAGCAAAAUAAAAUGAAAUAGUUGGGUGGAAAGUGUUACCUUUUAUGGAGUUCUAGCUUGCAAUCAUCAUUUGUUUAAUUGUACAUUUUGCAUUUUCCAACAAUUGAAUGGAGCGAGUUUUUCGGAUUUCCAUUUCAUUGCUUUCAAGUAUCUUGGUUUAGAUAAGUUUCGUCAGUGUUUUCUGUUUUCAAAAUGAAUUAAUAUACAUGACAUAACAGGUUCUUCUUGCAAAUCGGGAAUUGAAUGCUUAUGUGAAAAGGUGUUUAAAAUCUGAUCUUUUCUUUGUGGCAUCCAUAUUCUGCAAAGAUCUUUUGCCCUGUCUUUGUUCACCUCCUAGGUAUCAGUAUUUUGUCGGUUUGCUUAUGGUAGAGUUUGAUCUCCUUCUCUCCCAUUUUCCCUUUGCCCCCGCUAUUCCUCUUCUUCCUCUUUAGCCUUUGAAAUUGCUUUUUAGAGCCUUGGUUGUUAUAGUGGAUUACAAGCAUACAUAACACUAUGUUCAAGCUGUUGAAUUUUAGGUUCAACUUUCAAGUGUUAAGAGUUUUAUUAAAGUUUUGAUUUCUUGUGUAAGCCUUGUUUUACCCCCUUUUUUAGAGGGAGAGGAGGUUUGGGAGAGAUAAAAAUAGCACUUAUUUUAGUGUAUAUGGAUGUAUGUAUGUAUGUAUGUAUGUAUAUGUAUACAUAAACAUAGGUUUAAAAAAUAUGCUACAUACGAUGUUUCUAUAAUACAAAAUUGUGUAAUUGCAAAUAAAAUGUAAAUUUCAAGUACUGUGCACACUUAAAUUAUUUCUUAAAAAUUCUAAAAAUUAAAUUCAAUAAAAUUAGAGUUAUAACUUAAUGACCAAAUAACAAAUAAAACUAAAAAGGGAACCAUCAAGAACAUAAAAUUACUUGUGCAAAAUUAAUGCAUUAGCGAACCAUAUGAGGUUUCUUGGUUGUUUUGCCUUAUUUAGAGGCUGUUUGAUUGGGUUUUUGCUAUUUGCUUUUUGCUUCCGAAAGUAAAAAAGCAAAAAUUGCAUUCCCAUAAGCAAUAAAAUAUUGAAGAGUUUAAACACAAAUAUGUAAAUUUUUUAUGAUUAACUACAUGAUUCUACUUCUAUAUAUACUAAUUGUGUUAUAACUGAUUUUAUAUUUUAAUUAUUUUUUCUGUUUCAGAUCAGUUAUGAUAUAUUUAUUGUUUACCUUUUGCUUUUCCUUUCUAGUAAAAUAUAUACGUUUUAUUCAUGUUCAUUUGUAACUUACCAAACUUCUUGACCAUGUUCUAGAAAUGCUAGUAUGUAACGAGUUUGCUUUGAAUAUGGCAGCUAACAAUAUCAGUGAAUCUUAGGUUUGUUGAUGCAAAUCAUGGCUAAUAGAUUCACUUGAAGCCUACUUAUCUAAAGAUCUUUAGAUUUUUGGAGGAUGAAAUACAGAGGUGGUGCUGAUGUUAAUAAUAUUGGACAUUGAACACUGUCAAACAACAUAGAGGUGGAAAUAUACUGACUUUUUCAGGAUUCAGGGUUGGUUUUAUUUGUUGACUUCAUUCUAAUACUUUUGUUUUUGGAAAGAUAUAUACCCGACAUCUUCUGUAAAUAUGCAACUUGAUGUAGAUAAUUUGUAAUUUUGGGAAGAGAGAAGGAAUGAAAUUGAGAAGAUAGUGGUUUUUCUUUGAAAUUUUGCCAUGAUAUGAAGUUGUUUUAGUCAGAUUUUCUUGAUGUUAUGAUGCUUAAGAAAUCCAGAUGCUACUGAAAUCUUGCCCCAAUAUAGUUCAUUCUUCAACUCCAUCUAUUUUAUCUGGUUUGUUUCUGGGAAUAAAAGCAGAUUCCUUAUUGGUUGCAAAAUUUUCAUUCAUUUUAUCUUCAAAUUUAUCGAACAAUUAAAUUAUUAAUUGACUUGGUUAGUAUUUGUUGAAUCAUAUCACUUAGAAAAUGUUAUCAGUUAGUGGAGAUUUUAGAUUAUACAAGUUAGAGGGCUGUCACAAACCCUUUUACAAAUAUAUUAAAAAAUUAUAUAAAAGAAUUAAGAUAUGUGAUAAUUUUUUAAUACUGUUUAUAAAAUUUAAAAACUCUAUUAAACAUAUGUGAAGAAAUCAAAAUAUAUAAAAAUUAUCUCGUAUAUAUGAAAUUUGCAAAAGAAGAAGAUUGUCUUUUUUUUUUUUUAUGUGAGAUUGUUAGGAUUUAAACUUAAAUUAUUGAAAGUAAGGUUUUUGCGUUUUAUUAACAAAUUAUAUAGUUAUUGGCUCAUUGAAUUUUUAAAUCAAAGGAUCUUUUUAAAAUAUAUUAACAAUUAAAAACUAAAAAGAUGCACAUACCAUGAAAUAUAAUAGUAAAUUAGGAACGAAAGCAUGAGAAACAAGUUGCUUAAUCAAUAAAUUGAUUGGCCCAAAAAAUCAACAAAUUAAAAACCUGUGUUUCAUUUUUGCUCAAAGUUUGAAAAAAAAAUCUAAAGAACACAUUUAUUCGCACUUCUCAAACUUAUUUAUUUUGGAAAUUGUGAUUUUAUAAUGGUGGAAUAAGAAAGAAAAUGAUAGAUACUAUGGUAAUGCAUUGGUCUAAGUCUUAGUCUUUGCUUUAUACUUAGUUUUGGCAUCAAGCAUACAAAUGUAUCAAUCUUUUUGCCCCCAUCUUUACUUCACAAGAAUAAUAAUUUUUGUAGUUAUUUCAGUCUAAGUCAUUAAAAAGACUAAAUAUUACAAUAAUAAUUAAUAUCCUUAAAAUUCAUUCCCUGUGUGCCAAUUUAACCGGAAGACAAAAAGCAACCUCCAUUGAGAAAAUUUUUUUUUUUAUCUUUUUUAAAAGACAAACUUGAUUUAAGCAAAUUGCUAAGAAGAUUAUUUUUAACAGAGUAAUGAUAGGUUAAGAAGACUUAAAUAUUUGUAUGAUUGGAAGACUUAUAAGUAUAAAGCAAAGAAAAGACUAAAUAUCAAUAAAAAAAAUCUCAUACUAUCAUUUUCUUUGUGAGUCCAAAAUUAGAAUAUCAAUUUUUUUAUAAACUAUAAUUUUAUGAUGGGUGACUCAAAAUACAUCAUCAUUUUUUUACUCUAUAUCCAUUUUAAAAAAAUUUUUUAAGUGAAAUUAUUUAUUUACCCAUCUCAUUUUAAUUUUAAACUUUUAGAUAUGCAUUUCUGAUAAGUUAUAUAACUUUUCAGAUUUUCAUAUUUGGUAAGUUAAAAGAGAUAUAUUUAGGUUAGGAAAAAAAGUAGUUAAGAGAAAAUAUCUUACAGAAAGUUUGAGAUUCUAAAACCAUUGAAAAAAUUUAAAAACUCUAUUAAUCAUAUAUAAAGAAAUUCAAAUAUAUAAAAAUUAUCUCGUAUACAUGAAAUUUGUGAAAAUAAAAGAUUGUCUUUUUUUUUUUCUUGUAUAUGAGGUUGUCAAGAUUUGAACUUUAAACUAUUAAAACUAAGAGUUCGACAUUUUACUAACAAAAUACAUGGUUAUUAGCUCAUUGAAUUUUUAAAUUAGUGCAUCACUUAAAAAUAUAGUAACAGUAAAAAACUGAAAAAAAAUGUGCAUAACAUGAAAUAUAAUAGUUCAUUAGGAACAAAAGCAUAAGAAACAAGUUGCUUAAUCAACAAAUUGAUUGGCUAAAAAAAUCAACAAAUUAAAAACCUGUCUUUUAUUUUUGUUGAAAAGUUUGAAAAAAAAAAUUUAAAGAACACAUUUACUCCCAUUUCUCAAAUUUGUCUAUUCUGGAAAUUGUGAUUUUAUAAUGGUGGAAUAAGAAAGAUAAAGAUAGAUCCUAUCGGAAUGCAUUGAUCUAAAUCAUAGUCCUUGCUUCAUACUUGGUCUUGGCAUCAAGCAUGCAAUGUGUCAAUCUUUUUGCCCCUAUUUUUACUUCAAAAAAAUAAUGAUGUUAGCAAUUGCUUCAAUCUAAGUCAUUGAAAGACUAAAAUAUAACAAUAUUAAUUAAUAUACUUAAAAUCCAUUCCCAAUUUGCCAAUUUAAUUAGAAGAUAAAAAACAACCACCAUUGAGAAAAUUGCUAUUUUUUUGUCUUUUUUAAAAGAUAGACUUGACUUAAGCAAACUGCUAAGAAGAUUAUUUUUCACAGAGUAAUGAUGGGACAAGAAGACUUAGACAUUAGCAUGAUGGGAAGACUUAAAGUAUAAAGUAAAGAAAAGACUAAAUACCAAUAAAAAAUGUCUCAUAUUAUCAUUUUCUUUGUUAGUCCAAAAUUAGAAUAUCAAUUUUUUUUUUUUUGUAAAGUAUAAUUUUGUGAUGGAUGAUUCUAAAUACACCAUCAUUUUUCUCUACAUCCACCUUUUUAAAAAAAUUUUUAAGUGAAAUUACUUUAUUUACUCAUCUUGUUUUAAUUUUAAAAUUUUUAAAUAAGCAUUUUUGAUGAGUUAUAUAACUUACAAAAUUUUCAUAUCUGGUAAAUUAGAAAAAGUUACAUUUAGGUUGGAAAAAAAAAAAUAAUUAAGAGAAAAUAUCUUAUAGAAAGUAUGAGAUGUUAAUAUUGUUUAUAAAAUUUAAAAACUCUAUUAAUUAUAUGUAAAUAAAUUAAAAAAUAUAUAAAAAUUAUCUCAUAUACAUGAAAUUUUUUCAUUCGAAGAUUGUCUUUUUUUUUUUUUUAAUUUUUUUAUAUGUGAGAUUGUCAGGAUUUAAAUUUUGAACUACUGAAACUAAGAGUUUAGCAUUUUACUAACAAAUCAUAAGGUUAUUAGGUCAUUGAAUUUUUAAAUUAAAGGAUAUCUUUAAAGUAUAUUAACAAUAAAAAACUAAAAAAGUGCUGAUACCAUGAAAUCUAAUAGUACAUUAGGAGCAAAAGCAUAAGAAAUAAGUUGCUUAAUCAACAAAUUGAUUGGCCAAAAAAAAUCAACAAAUUAAAAACUUAUGUUUUAUUUUUGCUGAAAGGUUUGAAAAACAAAAAUCCACAGAAUAUAUUCAUUUUCACUUCUCAAACUUCUCUAUUUUGAAAAUUGUGAUUUUAUAAUGGUAGAAUAAGAAAAAAAAAAUGAUAGAUACUUUGGGAAUGUAUUGGUCUAAGUGUUAGUCUUUGCUCUAUACUUAGUUUUGGCAUCAAGCUUGCAAAUGUGUCAAUCAUUUUGCCCCCAUCUUUACUUCACAAAAAUAAUCUUAGCAAUUGCUUCAGUCUAGGUUAUUAAAAAGACUAAAAUAUAACAAUAAUAAUUAAUAUACUUAAAAUCCAUUCCUUGUGUGCCAAUUUAACUAGAAGACAAAAGAUAACUUUCAUUGAGAAAAUUAUUUUUUUUUUUUGGUCUUUUUUAAAAGGUAGACUUGACUUAAGCAAAUUGCUAAGAAGAUUAUUUUCACAUAUUAAUGAUGGGGCAAGAAGACUUAGACCUUUACAUGAUGGGAAGACUUAAAAGUAUAAAACAAAGGAAAGAUUAAAUACCAAUAAAAACAUCUUAUACUAUCAUUUUCUUUGUGAGUCCAAACUUAAAAUAUCAAUUUUUUUAAAAAGUAUAAUUUUGUGAUGGGUGAUUAUGAAUAUAUCAUCAUUUUUUUCUCUAUAUCAAUUUUUUUUUUAAAUUUUUAAGUGAAAUUACUUAUUUACCCAUCUUUUUUUAAUUUUAAAGCAUAUAGAUAUAACUUAUUGGAUUUUCAUAUCUGGUAAGUUAGAAAAAAGUUACAUUUAGGUUUGAAAAAAAUAGUUAAGAGAAAAUAUCUUGCAUAAAGGAUGAGAUUCUAAUAACAUUUAUAAACUUAAAAAUCUCUAUUAAUCAUAUAUGAUGAAAUCGAAAUAUAUAAAUUAUCUCGUAUACAUGAAAUUUGUGAAACUAUAAAAUUUUCUUUUUUUUUUUUUAUGUGAGGUUAUCAGGAUUUGAACUAAGAACUAUUGAAAAUGAAAGUUCAACAUUUUACUAACAAACUACAUGGUUAUUAAUUUGCUCAUUUAAUUUUAAAUAAGAGAAUCUCUUUAAAAUAUAUUAACAAUAAAAAACUAAAAAAUAAAAAAUACACAUACCAUGAGAUCUAAUAGUACAUUAGGAACAAAAGUAUGAGCAAGAAGUUGCUUAAUCAACUAAUUGAUUGGCAAAAAAUAAAAAUCAAUAGAUUAAAAACCUAUAUUUUAUUUUUGCUGAAAAGUUUGAAAAAAAAAUUUAAAGAACACAUUCAUUCCCACUUCUCAAACUUGUCUAUUUUGAAAAUUGUGAUUUUAUAAUGGUGGAAUAAGAAAGAAAAUGAUAGAUACUAUGGGAAUGCAUUGGUCUAAAUCUUAGUCCUGCUUUAUACUUAGUCUUGGCAUCAAACACGCAAAUGUAUUAAUCUUUUUUCCCCCAUCUUGACUUCACAAAAAUAAUAAUUUUAGCAGUUACUUCAAUCUAAAUCAUUAAAAAGACUAAAAUAUAACAAUAAUAAUUAAUAUACUUAAAAUCCUUUCUUAGUUUGCCAAUUUAAUUGAAAAACAAAAGAUAACCACCAUUGAAAAAAUUGUUAUGUUUUUUUGUCUUUUUUAAGAGAUAGACUUAACUUAAACAAAUUGCUAAGAAGAUUAUUCUUCACAUAGUAAUGAUGGGGCAAGAAGACUUAGACAUUUGCAUGAUAGGAAGGCUUAAAAGUAUAAAGCAAAGAAAAGACUAAAUACCAAUAAAAAAAUCUCAUACUAUCAUGUUUUAUGUGAGUCCAAAAUUAGAAUAUCACUUUUUUUUAUAAAGUAUAAUUUUGUGAUGGGUGAUUCUAAAUACACCAUCAUAUUUUUCUCUACAUCCACUUUUUUUUUUAAUUUUUAAGUGAAAUUAUUUAUUUACUCAUCCCGUUUUAAUUUUAAAGCUUCUAGAUAUGCAUUUCUUAAGUUAUAUAACUUAUUGGAUUUUCAUAUCCAAUGAAUUGAAAAAGGUUACAUUUAGGUUUGAAAAAAAAUAAUUAAGAGAAAAUAUCUUAUAGAAAGUAUGAGAUUUAAUGUUUAUAAAAUUUAAAAACUCUAUUAAUCAUAUGUGGAGAAAUAUAUACAUAUAUAUAUAAAUUAUCUCACAUACAAGAAAUAUUUUAAAUUAAAAGAUUUUUUUUAAUAUGAGAUUGUCAGGGUUUGAACUUUAAACUAUUAAAACUAAGAGUUAUACAUAAACUAUUAAAACUAUUAUAAAUAGCCCUUAUAUUAGUGUGUAUGGAUGUAUGGAUGUAUGUAUAUGGUAUACAUAAAAUAGGCUUAAAAAAUAUGCUACUUACGAUGUUUCUAUAAAAAAUCAUGUAAUUGCAAAAUAAAAUGUAAAUUUCAAGCACUGUGCAUACAUAAAUCAUAUCUAAAAAAAUUCUAAAAAUUAAAUUCAAUAAAAUUAGAAUAUAACUUAAUAACCAAAAACAGAAAACACUAAAAAACGGAACUAUCGAGAAUAUAAAAUUACUCAUGCAAAAUUGAUGCAUUAGCAAACCAUAUGAAGUUCGGUUGUUUUGUCUUAUUUAGAGUACGUUUGAAUGGAUUUUUGCUAUUUGCUUUUUGCUUCCUAAAGCAAAAAGCAAAAAUUGCAUUUCCACAAGCAAUAAAAUUUUGAAAUAUGUAAAUUUUUUAUGAUUAACUACAUAAUUCUACUUCUAUAUAGACUAAAUAUGUUAUAAUUGAUUUUAUAUUUUAAUUAUUUUUUCUGUUUUAGAUCAAUUAUGAUAUCGUUUUUUCUUUCACCUUGGCUUUUCCUUUCUGGUAAUUCUUCUAAAAGCAAGAAGCAAAAAGUAGAAGCUCCACCUAGAUGGGGACUUAUAGUUUCUUUUAUACUCUUAGUUGUUUCUUUUAAGCAGUUGGGAGACAUAUUGAAACUUUAACCCUUUGGUAUGGAGUCAAAAGUUGGCAAGUAUUGCAUUUAUAAGUAUCCAUUACAAACAAAUUAAUCAUUUACCGAUUCAAUUUUGGUUAAAACUUACCCUGAAUAAAAGAUUUUCCAGUACAAAACUGUUUCCAUUUUAUAGGACUUUUAUGUGGAAGGGCAACGAUAUUCUCACCCAUGCAGGGGCCAAAAUUUUAUUAAUGUGAGAAAAAUUAUACUGAAAAAUAUCCUUACUGAAAUUGGAAGGUGUUCAGGACUUCUGCUAAGCCCCUUCACUUCCCUAUUGGAAAAGAUGGAUUCGACAUCAGCAGUGUCCAUGUGGUGAUUGGAAGUGUUAUGUUAAGUAUGAAGGAGAAGAUCAGACAUCAGUAAGCUUUCAGCACUCUCAGGUAAUAAAGAAUGAGACAGCUUCAACAUCCUUAUCAUCAGAAGCUGUCUUUAUGCCAUAUGUAUGUCAAAUAUUCAAAGGUGAUGAUGAUUAUUUCGAGUACUAUAGCAAUUUUGCACGGAAGAAUGGAUUUUCAAUAACAAAAGCAUGCUCCAGAGAAAGCUAGAAUUUAGGGAUCUACCAUCGAGAGUUUAUCUGUUAUAGAUAUGGGUUUAACCAACUAAGAAAAAAGGUCAAUGUGGAGCAUCCAGGAGACUGGAAUUCAGUGCGAUGUGGAUGUGAUGCAAAAUUUUAUUCCACAAAAAAAGUCAUCCAUGAUGUUACUCAAUGGUGUGUUUCACAAUUUAGUAAUGUAAAUAACCAUGAAUUAUUGGAAGAUGACCAAGUCAGUUUGCUUCCUGCAUAUCGGAAAAUACAGGAAGCAGAUCAGGAAAGAAUUCUUUUACUCUCCAAAGCUGGGUUUCCUGUCAAUGGUAUCAUGAAAGUUUUGGAAUUAGAAAAGGGAGUCCAGCGCGGACAGUUGCCUUUUAUCAAGAAGGAUGCUAGGAAUUUUGUACGGACAUGUGAAAAGACUGUUCAAGAAAGUGAUGCUUUGCUUACCGAGAAAAGAGAAAAUGAUACAUUGUAACUUCUUGAGGCCGGCAAGGCUAUGGCAGAGAGGGAAGAUAAUUUUGUUUAUGAUUAUACUACAGAUGAAAAUAGUAAGGUUGAAAAUAUUUCAUGGUCAUAUGCAGAUUCUAUUCCAGCAUAUACAGUAUUUGUUGAUGCUGGUACCUUUGACACUACAUAUUGUUCUAUCACUUACGGAUUGCUUCUUGGAUAUGGUUUGGUAUAGAUAAUCAUGGAAAGAUAAUUUUCUUAGGAUGUGUAUUACUGCAAGAUGAAAGUGUGUCAAUCUUUUUGCCCUCAUCUUUACUCUACAAAAAUAAGUAUAAAGCAAAGACUAAGACUUAUCAUAGAAAUUAAGGGAGGUUUUAAAAAGAAAAGUAAAACCAAAGAAAAAAUGAUAAGUCUUAGUCUUUGCUUUAUACUUAGUCUUGGCAUGAAGCAUGCAAAUGUGUCAGUCUUUUUGUCCCCAUCUUUACUUCACAAAAAUAAGUAUAAAGGAAAGACUAAGACUUAUCAUAGAAAUUAAGGGAAGUUUUAAAAGGAAUAGUAAAACCAAAGAAAGAAUGACAAGUCUUAGUAUUUGCUUUAGAUUUAGUCUUGGCAUAAAGCAUGCAAAUGUGUUAAGUCUUUUUGCCCCAUCUUUACUUCACAAAAAUAAUAAUAUUAGCAUUUACUUCUGUCUAAGUCAUAAAACAGACUAAAAUACAAUAAUACACUUAAAAUCCAUUCUCAAUUUGUCAAUUUAAUUAGAAGACAAAAGAUAACCUCCAUUAAGUAAAUUACUAUUUUUUUUUGUCUUUUUCAAAAGAUAGAAUUGACUUAAGCAAACUAUUAAGAAAAUUAUUUUUCAUAGAGUAAUGAUGGGGCAAGAAGACUUAGACAUUUGCAUGGGAAGACUUAAAAGUAUAAAGCAAAGCAAAGGCUAAAUAGCAACAAAAAUCUCAUUCUAUUGUUAUCUUUGUGAGUCCAAAAUUAGAAUAAUAAUUUUUUAUAAAGUAUAAUUUUGUGAUUCACUUAUAACAUAUAAUAUUUAUAUAUUGACAAUGUUUCAAAUAUAAAUUAUUUUUAAAACAAAAUAUGUUGAGAGUUAGAAAAAUAAUAAAUCUUUUUGUUUAUUAAUUACUCAAUCCCAUUAAUACGUAUAAUAUUUUUUAAAAAUUUAUUUUAUAUUUAUAUAUUAUUUGUAAUUAAUUUUAAAAUUUAUUUAUUAUAUUUACGAUAUGGUAUGAUACUUAAUAUUAGAUUCUCAAAUUAUAAUACCUAUUUCAAUUUAAUAAUUAUACUAAUAUUCUUUUUUCAACUUUUACUUCGGAGCUUAUAAUUAUCCAAAGUUUGACAUAUAUGUAACACUUUUAUAAGUUUAUCCAUCUAUUUCAAAUUUAAUUUAACAAUAACGUUUUAUCAUCUUUUAAAUAGAAAACUUAUUAAUCAUACUGUAACAUUUAAAUAUAGGAUUUCUUCCGUCUCAUUUUCUUUGUUUAUCUUUAACGAAAAUGUUAUAAUCUUUUAAGCUCUUUGUUAUUGUUGCACUUAAGUGGAAAUAUCAGUAGCAAUAUAGUCGAUCUUACACAUGGAAGCCCGGUUAGCCAUGUAGUCACCCACGAGAUAGGAAAAAUAGAAUCAAACUAGACAUGUGAUUUUGUAAUAUCCCAGCCCAAAUGAUAAUUUGACUAGACUAUUACUAAAGUUCAUUAAGUUAAUUAAAAGGUUAAUUACUACAGAAAAAGUAACUGAGCUAUUUUACUAGAAAAAAAUCUAGUUAUUGUGAAACAAAAAGAAAAUGACAGUUUUUCUUCCCCAUCUUUCUUAAGAUUAGAAAGUAUAAAAAAUCAAGUACAAGAUCCAAAAUCGGAGAUGACAAUCGAGUUAAUCUCUUAAUGGUAUAUGUCUUCUUUUUAUUUAAGAAAAAUAUACCAUUUUGGUUACUUUUAAAUGGAGUUAAAGUUUUGAGAGAAAAACUAAGAAAAUUACAAAAUCUUUUAUUAAUCUUCAUGAUCCAUUUGGGAAAAUUAUUGGGCUUUGUUUAUUUUAUGUUCUUAAGAUUUAUUGAUGAUUAUUGAUGGAGUUUAAAGGCUAAAAGUGGGGAUUUGAGUUUUUAAAGAUUGAAGGAGAAACUUGGUUUUUGGAUGAGAUGCUAUGAUUUACAAUAGUGAAUUAAAAUAGAAUUUUGUAUUAAUAGAUAGAUUAUUGCUAUGAUUAUUAUAUAUCAUUGGAAAGCGGUUAAAUCUACUUUCUAAUGAAAUAAACGGAAGUCAAAUCCAAGUUUUUUAUGAAGAGUUAUCUAAUUUUUACUUAAGGAUAUAUAAACUGUAUGGUAGCAUCAUCAUGGUUGAAUUGUGAAAAUUGUCUUAACUUUUAUACAAGGAAUUAAGAAUUGAGCCAUAUAUGUUUGAAAAGGUUAUUAAGUCUACUUUCCAACGAAAUAAGUGGAAUUGAAUUUGGAGUUUCAUAUGAAUAAAUGUGUAAUUUUUAUUAGAAGGUAUACAUGCUAUUUGAUAGGAGUAUAUGAUGUGCAUUAUAAAAUUUUUAUAAUUAAUCUAUAAAGAAUCAUGAGAUGGGCUAUAUAUAGUUAGUAAGCUUAUCGAGUCUAGUUUCUAACGAUGCUAAAAAGAUCUUAAUUCUAAGUUGGAUAUCUUGAGAUAUGGCUAUUUUAGUGAAUGGAGCUCAGGCUAUCAGUAUUAAUUAGUUGAGUUAACCCUUGUUUAACUUAAUUGUUUUUGGUAUAAUUAGUUUCAAAAUGGGUUGAUUGAUUCUAAUGGUUAUUGAUUCUAGCCUAAGAGAUGCUAUUGCAAGAGAAUCGCCAAAUACAGAACAUGUUAUAUGUUCAUGGCAUGUUCUUUCCAAAUUAUCAAGUUGGUUCUCUCUACCAUUUGGGUCACAGUAUGAAGAGUUCAAAGCUGAGUUUGAUAUGUUGUGUCACUUAGAGGGAAUAGAGGAGAAAACAUCAGUGGAAUCAUUUGACUGCUCUGAUGUAAAUAUGCAACUUGAUGCUGAUGUUUAGUUGCUGUGGUCAGAUUUUCUUGAUGUUAUAAUGCUUCAAAAAUCCAGAUACUAGUGAUUUCUUGUCCCAAAAUAGUUCAUUCUUCACCUUCAUCCAUUUCAUCUGGUUUGUUUCUGGGAAUAAAAGCAUAUUCCUUAUUGGCUGCAAAAAUUUCAUUCAUUUUACCUUUAAAAUUUUCAAACAAUUAAAUUACUAAUUAACUUGGUUGGUAUAUGUUUAAUCAUAUAACUUAGAAAAUGCAAUCAGUUUGUAGAGUUUUUAGAUUAUAAGUGUUAGAGGGUUGUCACAAACCCUUUUAUAAAUAUAUUAAAAAUUACAUAAAAAUAUUAGGAUAUGUAUUAAUAUUUACAAACUCUAUUAAUCAUAUGUGAAUAAGUUGAAAUAUAUAAAAAUUAUCUUGUAUAAAUGAAAUUUGUGAAAUUAAAGGAUUUUUUUUUGGUACAUGAGGCUAUCAAGAUUUGAACUUUAAAUUAUUGGAACUAAGAGUUUAGCAUUUUAUUAAUAGACAACGUGAUUGUCGAUUCAUUGAAUUUUAAAUGAGAGGAUCUCUUUAAAACAUAUUAACAAUAAAAAACUUAAAAAAAAGGACAUAUCAUGAAAUCUAGUAGUACAUAGGUAAGCAUGAGAAACAAGUUCCUUAAUAAUCAAAUUAACUGGCAAAAAAAAUCAACAAAUUGAAAACCUAUGUUUUAUUUUUUCUAAAAAGUUUGAUGAAAAAAUCUAAAGAACACAUUCAUUCUUACUUCUCAAACUUGUUUAUUUUGAAAAUUGUGAUAUUAUUAUAAUGGUGGAAUAAGAAAGAAAAUGAUAGAUACUAUGGAAUGUAUUGGUCUGAGUCUUAGUCUUUGCUUUAUAUUUAUUCUUGGCAUCAAGCAUGCAAAUGUGUAAGUCUUUUUGCCCCCAUCUUUACUUCACAAAAGUAGCAAUCUUAGCAGUUGCUUCAGUCUAAGUCAUUAAAAAGAUUAAAAUGUAACAAUAAUAAUUAAUAUACUUAAAAUCCAUUCCUAAUAUGCUAAUUUUUCUGGAAAACAAAAGACAACCUCUCCUAAGAAAAUUGUUGUGCUUUUUAUCUUUUUUAAAAGAUUGACUUGACUUAAGCAAACUGUUAAGAUUAUUUUUCAUAGAGUAAUAAUGGGACAAGAAGACUUAGACAAUUGCAUGAUGGAUGACUUAAAAGAAUAAAGCAAAGAAAAGACUAAAUAUCAAUAAAAAAAAAUCUCAUUACUAUCAUUUUCUUUGGAAGUCCAAAAUUAAAAUAUCAAGUUUUUUAUAAAGUAUAAUUUUGUGAUGGGUGAUUCUAAAUAUACCAUCAUUUUUUUUCUCUACAUUCACUUUUUUUUUUAAAUUUUCUUAGUGAUACUACCAUUUACCCAUCUAGUUUUAUUUUUAAAGCUUCUAAAUUCACAUUUCUAAUAGAUUAUAUAACUUACCGGAUUUUUAUAUCCGAUAAGUUAAAAAAAAUUACAUUUAUGCUUAAAAAAAAUAGUUUAGAGAAAAUAUCUUACAGAAAAUACCAUUCAUAAAAUUUAAUUCCUCUACUAAUCAUAUGUGAAGAAAUCGAAAUAUAUAAAUAUUAUCUCAUACACAUGAAAUUUGCGAAAUUAGAAAUUGGUUUUUUUUUUCUUUGUGAAGUUGUCAAGAUUUGAACUUUAAACUACUAAAAAACUAAGAGUUUAGCAUUUUACUAAUUAGACUAUAUGGAUAUUGGCUUAUUGAAUUUUUAACUCAAAGAUCUCUUUAAAAUGUAUUAAUAAUAAAAACUAAAAAAUAUAAAAAAAUGCACAUGUGAUGAAAUCUAAUAGUACAUUAGGAACAAAAAUAUGAGAAACAAGUUGCUUAAUCAACAAAUUGAUUGGCCAAAAAAAAUCAACAAAUUAAAAACUUGUGUUUUAGUUUUGCUGAAAAGUUUGAAAAAAAAUUCUAAAGAAUACAUUCAUUCUCACUUUUCAAAUUUGUCUAUUUUGGAAAUUGUGAUUUUAUAAUGGUGGAAUAAGAAAGAAAAUGAUAGAUACUAUGGUAAUGUAUUGGUCUAAGUCUUAGUCUUUGCUUUAUACUUAGUCUUGGCAUCAAGCAUGCAAACACAACCUUCAUUGAGAAAAUUGCUAUGUUUUUUUGUCUUUUUUAAAAGAUAGACUUGACUUAAGCAAACUGCUAAGAAAAUUAUUUUCCAUUGAGUAAUGAUGGGGUAAGAAGACUUAGACAUUUACAUGAUAGGAAGACUUAAAAGUAUAAAGCAAAAAAAAGAAUAAAUACCAAUAAAAAAUAUCUCAUACUCUCAUUUUCUUUGUAAGUCCAAAAUUAGAUAUAAAUUUUUUUAUAAAAUAUAAUUUUGUGAUAGGUGAUUCUAAAAACACCAUCAUUUUUUCUCUACAUACACUUUGUUUUAAUUUGUAAGUGAAAUCACUUAUUUUUCCAUUUCAUUUUAAUUUUAAAGCUUCUAGAUAUACAUUUAUGAUAAGUUAUAUAACUUACCGGAUUUUCAUAUUCAGUAAGUUAAAAAAAGUUACAUUUAGGUUUGAAAAAAAAUAGUUAAAAAAAAUCUUACGAAAACAUAGCAAUAUUCUCAAUAGAGGUUAUCUUUUGUCUUCUAGUAAAAUUAGCAAAUUGAGAAUAGAUUUUAAGUAUAUUAAUUAUUAUUGUUAUAUUUUAGUAUUUUUAAUGACUUAGACUGAAGCUACUGCUAAAAUUAUUAUUUUUGUGAAGUAAAGAUGGGGGCAAAAAGAUUGACACAUUUGCAUAUUUGAUGCCAAGACUAAGUAUAAAGCAAAGACUAAAACCAAUACAUUCGCAUAGUAUCUAUCAUUUUCUAUCUUAUUCUACCAUUAUAAAAUCACAAUCUUCAAAAUAGACAAGCUUCAAAGGUAAGAAUGAAUGUGUUCUUUAGAUUUUUUUUUCAAACUUUUCAACAAAAAUAAAACAUAGGUUUUUAAUUUGUUGGUUUUUUUUUUAGCCAAUCAAUUUGUUGAUUAAGCAACUUGUUUCUCAUGUUUUUAUUUCUAAUGUACUAUUAGAUUUCAUGGUGUCUGCAUUAUUUUAUUUUUUUAGUUUUUUUCUUGUUAAUAUAUUUGAAAGAGAUUCUCUGAUUUAAAAAUUCAAUGAGCCAAUAACCAUGUAAUUUAUUAGUAAAAUAUUGAAUUCUUAGUUUUGGUAGUUUAAAGUUCAAAUCCUCAUAACCUGACAUACAAAAAAAAAAAGAUAAUAUUAUGAUUUCAUAAAUUUCAUGUAUAUGAGAUAAUUAUAUAUAUAUACAUACGCACAUAUAUCUAUUGAUUUCUUCACAUAUGAUUAAUAGAGGAUUUAAAUUUUAUAAACGGUAUUAGAAUCUCAUACUUUCUGUAAGAUAUUUUCUCUUAACUAUUUUCCUCUAAACCUAAAUAUAACUUUUUUUAACUUACCAGAUAUGAAAAUUUAAUAAGUUAUAUAACUUAUCAUAAAUGUAUAUCUAGAAUCUUUAAAAUUAAAAUGAGAUGGAUAAAUAAGUAAUUUCACUUAAAAAUAAAAAAAAAGUAUAUGUAGAAAAAAAAUGAUGGUGUAUUUAGAAUCGACCUUCACAAAAUUAUACUUUUAUAAAAAAAAUUGAUAUUCUAAUUUUGAACUCACAAAGAAAAUAGUAGUAUGAGAUUUUUUUUUGUUGGUAUUUAUUCUUUUCAUUACUUUAUACUUUUAAGUCAUCCCAUCAUGCAAAUGUCUAAGUCAUCUUGCCCCACCAUUACCUUGUGGAAAAAUAAUUUUCUUAACAGUUUGCUUAAGUCCAGUCUGUCUUUUAAAAAAAAAAAAAAAAAAAACAUAGCAAUUUUCUCAAUGGAAGUUAUCUUUUAUCUUCCAUUUUAAUUAGUAGACUGAGAAUGGAUUUUAAGUAUAUUAAUUAUUAUUGUUAUAUUUUAGUCUUUUUAAUGAUUUAGACUAAAGCAACUGUUAAGAUUAUUACUUUUGUGAAGUAAAGAUGGGUGCAAAAAGAUGUCAAGACUAAGUAUAAAGCAAAGACUAAGACUUAGACCAACACAUUCCUAUAGUGUCUAUCAUUUUCUUUCCUAUUGCACCAUUAUAAAAUCACAACUUCCAAAAUAGACAAGUUUAUAAAGUGAGAAUGAUUUAGAUUUUUUUUUCAAACUUUUCAGCAAAAAAAAAGCACAGGUUUUUAGUUUAUUGAUUAUUUUGGCCAAUCAAUUUGUUGAUUAAGCAGCUUGUUUCUUAUGUUUUUGUUCUUAAUGUACUAUUAGAUUUCAUGGUAUAUGUAUUUCUUUCUUUAGUUUUUUUUGUUGUUAAUAUAUUUUAAAAAGAUCCUCUAAUUUAAAAAUUCAAUGAGCCAAUAACCAUGUAGUUUGUUGGUAAAAUGUUAGAUUUUUAAUUUCUGUAGUUUAAAGUUCAAAUCUUGACAACCUCGCAUACAAAAAAAUAAUCUUUUGAUUCCACAAAUUUCAUGUAUACAAGAUAAUUUAUUUAUAUAUAUAGUUCAAUUUCUUCACAUAUGAUUAAUGGAGUUUUUAAAUUUUAUAAACAGUAUUAGAAUCUCAUACUUUUUAUAAGAUAUUUUCUCUUAACUUUUUUUUUCAAACUAAAUGUAACCUUUUUUUAACUUAUCGGGAUAUGAAAAUCUGAUAAGUUAUGUAACUUAUCAAAAAUGCAUAUUUAGAAGCUUUAAGAUUAAAAUGAGAUGGGUAAAUAAGUAAUAUCACUUAAAAAUUAAGAAAAAAGUAAAUGUAGAGAAAAAAUGAUGGUGUAUUUAGAAUCACCCAUCACAAAAUUAUACUUUAUUAAAAAAAUUGAUAUUCUAAUUUUGGACUUGCAAAGAAAUUGAUAGUAUGAGAUUUUUUUUAUUGGUAUUUAGUCUUUGCUUUGCUUUAUAAUUUUAAGUCUUUCCAUCAUGCAAAUGUUUAAGUUUUCUUGCCCCAUCAUUAUUCUUUUUCAUAGAGUAAUAAUAGGGCAAGAAGACUUAGACAUUUGCAUGAUGGGAAGACUUAAAAGAAUAAAGCAAAGAAAAGACUAAAUACCAAUAAAAAAGUCUCAUACUAUCAUUCUCUUUGUGUGUCUACAAUUAAAAUAUCAACUUUUUAUAAAAGUAUAAUUUUGUGAUGGGUGAUUCUAAAUACAUCAUCAUUUUUCCUUACAUCUACUUUUUUUUUUAAUUUUUAAGUGAAAUUACCUAUUUAUCCAUCUCAUUUUAAUUUUAAAACUUCUAGAUAUGCAUUUAUGAUAAGUUAUAGAACAUAUGGGUUUUCAUAUUCGGAAGCUUAAAACAAGUUACAUUUAGGUUUGGAAAAAGAUAGUUGACAGAAAAUAUUUGAUAAAGAGCAUAAGAUUCUAAUACUAUUUAUAAGUUUAAAUCCUCUAUAAAUCAUAUGUGAAGAAAUCAAAAUAUACAUGAAAAUUGUGAAAUCCAAAGAUUGUUUUUUUUUUUUUUUUUGUAUGUGAAGUUGUGAGAAUUUGAACUUUAAACUACUGAAACUAAGAGUUUAGUUUUUUACUAACAUACUGCAUGGUUAUUGGCUUAUUAAAAUUUUAAAUCAGAGGAUCUAUUUAAAAUAUAUUAAGAAUAAAAAAAAUGUACAUACCAUGAAAUCUAAUAGUACAUUAGGAACAAAAGCAUUAGAAACAAGUUGCUUAAUCAACAAAUUGAUUGGCAAAAAAAAAAAUAGAAAUCAACAAAUUAAAAGCCUAUGUUUUAUUUUUGUUGAAAAGUUUGAAAAGAAAAAUCUAAAGAACACAUUCAUUCUCACUUCUCAAACUUGUCUACUUUGGAGAUUGUGACAUUAUAAUGGUGGAAUAAGAAAGAAAUCUAUAGAUACUAUGGGAAUGUAUUGGUCUAAGUCUUAGUUUUCACUUUAUACUUAGUUUGGCAUCAAGCAUGCAAAUGUGUCAGUCUUUUUGCCCCCAUCUUUACUUCACAAAAAUAAUAAUCUUAGUAGUUGCUACAGUCUAAGUAAUUAAAAAUACUAAAAUAUAACAAUAAUAAUUACUAUACUUAAAAUCCAUUCUCAGUUUGUUAAUUUAACUAAAAGACAAAAGACAACAUCCAUUAAGAAAAUUGCUAUGUUUUUUUUUGUCUUUUUUAAAAGAUAGACUUGACUUAAGCAAACUGCUAAGAAGAUUAUUUUUCACAAGAGUAAUGAUGGCGCAAGAAGACUUAGACAUUUGCAUGAUGAGAAGACUUAAAAGUAUAAAGCAAAGAAAAGAAUAAAUACCAAUAAAAAAAAUCUCAUACUAUCAUUUUCUUUAUGGGUCCAAAAUUAGAAUAUCAAAUUUUUUUAUAAAGUAUAAUUUUGUGAUAGGUGAUUCUAAGUACACCAUUUUUUUUCUCUACAUACACUUUUUUUUUAAUUUUUUAAGUAAAAUCACUUAUUUAUCCAUCUCAUUUUAAUUUUAAAGCUUCUAGAUAUACAUUUUUUAUAAGUUAUAUAACUUACCGAAUUUUCAUAUUCGAUAUGUUAAAAAAGUUACAAUUAGGUUUGAAAAAGAAAAUAGUUAAGAGAAAAUAUCUUACGUAUAAAAAGUAUGAGAAUCUAAUACCAUUUAUAAAAUUUAAAUCAUGUAUUAAUCAUACGUGAAGAAAUUGUUUUAUAUAUAUAUAUAUAUAUAAGUUAUCUUGUAUAUAUAAAAUUUGUGAAAUUAGAAGAUUGUCUUUUUUUUUUUUUUUUUUGGCUUGUGAGGUUGUCAAGAUUUGAAUUUUAAACUACUAAAACUAAGAGUUUAGCAUUUUACUAACAUACUGCAUGGUUAUUGGUUCAUUGAAUUUCUAAAUCAUAGGAUCUUUUAAAAAUAUAUUAACAAUAAAACAAAAACAAAAAAAAAAAAAAGAGCACACCAUGGAUCUAAUAGUAUAUUAGGAACAACAGCAUGAGAAACAAGUUGCUUAAUCAACAAAUUGAUUGGCAAAAAAAAAUCAACAAAAUAAAAACCUGUGUUUUAUUUUUGUUGAAAGUUUUGAAAAAAAAAAUCUAAAGAACAUAUUCAUUCUCACUUCUCAAACUUAUCUAUUUUGGAAAUUAGGAUUUUAUAAUGGUGGAAUAAGAAAGAAAAUAAUAGAUACUAUAGGAAUGUAUUGGUCUAAGUCUUAGUCUUUGCUUUAUACUUAGUCUUGGCAUUAAGCAUGCAAAUGUUAGUCUUUUUGCCCCCAUCUUUACUUCACAAAAAUAAUAAUUUUAGCAGUUGCUUCAGUCUAAGUCAUUAGAAAGACUAAAGUAUAAUAAUAAUAAUAAUAAUAAUAAUAAUAAUAAUAAUAAUAUAAAUAUACUUAAGAUCCAUUCUCAAUAUGCCAAUUUAACUAGAAAAGAAAAGAAAACCUCCAUCGAGAAAAUUGUUAUUUUUUUUGUCUUUUUACAAAAAUAGACUUAACUUAAGCAAAUUGUUAAAAAUUGUUUUUUUUUUUUCAUAGAGUAAUGAUGGGACAAGAAGACUUAGACAUUUGCAAGAUGGGAAGACUUAAAAAUGUGAAACAAAUAAAAGACUAAAUACCAAUAAAAAAACUCAUACUAUUAUUUUCUUUCUGAGUCCAAAAUUAAAAUAUCAAUUUUUUUUAUAAAGUAUAAUUUUGUGAUGGGUGAUUCUAAAUGCACCAUCAUUUUUUCUCUAGAUCCAUUUUUUUUUUUACUUUUUAAGUGAAAUUACUUAUUUAUCCAUCUUGUUUUAAUUUUAUAACUUACUAGAUUUUAAUAUCCAAUAAGUUAAAAAAAAAGUUACAUUUAGGUUCUAAAAAAAAAUAGUUAAGAAAAAAUAUCUUAUAGAAAAUUUUAAGCUUCUAGAUAUGCAAAUCCGGAAACUUUUAAAAGCUUUUGGAUAUACAAAUCUAGAGGCUUUUAAGAGCUUCUAGAUUUACAACUAUGAAAACUCUUAAAAGUUUUGAAUUUUGUAAAUCCAAAAGCUUAAAAGUAGAAGAAGUGUGAAGAGAAAAGAGAAAGAGUAAUUAAAUAAUUUCAUUUAAAAUAAUUUUGAAAUAAAAAGGGUGUGGAGAGACAAAAUGGGAAUAUAUUUAGAAUUUUCUUUUGUGAUUCACAUAUAGCAUAUAAUAUUUAUAAAUUAACAACAUAUCAAACAUAUAUAUUUUUUGAAAAUAGAAUGUGAUGAAAGUUUGAAAAAUAAUCAUAUUUUAUAUUUAUGUCCAUUAAUCACUUAAUCCCAUUAAUAUGUAGAGUAUUUUUUAAAAACUUUUAUUUGAUUUAUAUAUAUAUUAUUCAUAAUUAAUUUUAAAAAUUAUAAAAACUAUUUAUAAUAUUUACGAUAUGAUAUGACACUCGAUAUUAGAUUCUCACAUUACAAUACAUAUUUUACUUUAACAAUUAUGCUGAUUUUUUUUAAAACUUUUACUUCGUGAUUUAUAACUAUCCAAAGUUCGACAUAUAUGUAACUCUUUUUAAGUUUAUUAUUUAUUUAUAAUUUGAUUUAUAAUAAAGUUUUAUCAUCAUUUACUAUAGAGAACUUAUUAAUGAUUCUAAUGGUAAUGUCUAAAUAUAGUAUUCCCACAGUCUCUUGUUUUUUUUUUUUUUGUUUUAGAUAUCUCAAAAUUAUAUCAUCUUUCUUUAUUGGAAUAACUCAAACUCUUACUUUUUAUAUUUUAAAAUUAUUUUUUAUGAUUUUUUUUUUACUUUUGACAUUAAAAAUCAUGAAACUUUAAUCUUAUAAAAAAUUGAAUUUUAAUCUUAAAAAUAUUAAAAUCAAAAUUUUUUUCUUAAACUCUGUAAAAAAUUAAUAACACAAAAAAAAAAAAGCUCACAUGGCAUAAAUACUAAUGCAUAUGCCUGCAGCAAACAAUGAUAUUUAAGACUCGUUCAAUUCAGCAUUAUAUCUAACUUAGUUUUUACAAUUAGAACAAUUCAUUUUAUUUAAAUGCUCAAGUUAUAUGAGGUAGUAAAAAUUUAAUUUAAUUUGGAAGUGGUAAGGUCGUCGAUCAUUGGAAAUGUCAAAAUAAAUGUGCGGAUUGUCAAGUGGUAGUUAUUUAGUUUUUUUUUUUUGUUAAUUUUCUUUACAUAGAAAAUAUUUUGUUUAUUAGUUUAAACAUUGUGUCCAUACAAAUGAAAAUAAACGGCAAGCAAACAAGACUUUAAGGAAGAAAAUUUUCAAUAAUCCAUUUCUGAAAGAUGUGCGUGAUUAUAUAUCAAGAUAAGCUUUCAAGUAAUAAACAACAUAUAUUAUAUAUUAAAAAUUAUAAAAAAAAUAAAACAUGUGAUAAUAUAUUAGCACCAUUUAUAAAACUUUAAAACUCUACUAAUAAUAUAUAUAAAUAUCUAUAAAUUAUGUGAAAUUUAUGAAGUUGGAGGAUUGUUAUAUAUUCCGAUAAGUUAAAAAAUAAAAAGUUCAUAUAAUUAAAAAAUACAAUUGCCAUUAAAUCUAAUAGUAUAUUACAAACAAAAGCAAGAGAAACAAGUUGCCUAAUCAACAAUUGAAAAAAUCAUGUUUUAUUUUCGUUGAAAAUUUUGAAAAAAAAAUUUGAAGAACACAAAUUUUUUCUCUGACGUUUCAAUUGAUUCAAGGACUUUGAAAAAAAAAAAAAGAUAAUUUUCAAAUCCUAAAGUUUUUCUUUCAUCCUAUUAUUUUCAAAUAAUCAAAAAUUUAGAUCCUAUUAUUUUUGAAUAAUUAAAAAUUUAAGUAUCUGAUUGAAUACUACCAUCAACAUCUUGACUCUUUCAUUGUGCUUUCUCAAUUCUUAUAGAUAAGAUUCCAUCAAGCAAUUAAUUGCUAAUUAUUUAAGAUGAUUAAUUAUAAUAUAGAUUUCAUUUGGUUUGUAUUUUUUUCCUUUACUAUUUGUUUUUUGUUUUCAAUUCAUUUAUUAAAAAAAAUAAAAACCCUAAACUGAAAAAUAUAAUUUAGAUUUCGUUUGGUUUGUAUUUUUUUUCUUUUACUAUUUUUUAAAAUUUCAAUUCAUUUAUUGAAAAAUAUAAAAACCAAAGGCAUCCAUUAAUCUCUGACUUGACAUCAAUAGACCAGGGAACUGAAUACAUGGAAACUCAGUUUCAGCACUUGCACUCUGUUGGCUGGAUGUUUCCUCCUUGCUUUCAUCUUUUGCCCUCGUUUCGUUCAUUCAUACUUUUGCUCUAGAUUUUCCAGGUUAGGUAGCAAUGUUCUUAAUUACAACAUAUGUGCUGCCAUAUUACAAGAUGUUAGGUGGGAUGCAACAAAUUAAAAAUGCAACCCAAACGAUCAUACCCCUUUUUCUUUUAAUGCUCUAUAUAGAUAAAAAUAAUUGUAUUAUUGCAGGAAGUUGAUAAGGAUACCAAAAGGAGGUUCAAGCUUUUCCAUAAGAAAGAAGAAAUAACUUAGAAUUUUUCAAAAAAAGAAUUUCGUAUAAUUUCAUAAUCAGUGGUGAAAUCAAAUUUUUUUAAAAAAUAUUCCAUUUAAUAUUAUAAAAAUUAAUAUAAAAAUUAAAAUAAUAUAUUAUUCAUAUUACAUGAUUUUAAUUUUAUUGAAAAUUGUCUACUCAUAAAAAAAAAAAGCAGGUCAGCAUUUUUUUUAAAACUUUGAUUUUUUUUUCUUGCAAAUUUGUCAUUGUGUUGCCAAAAACAUUGGAGGUUCAAUCGUUUUAGAGUUUACUGUGUUUAUUAUAUAAUUGUAUUUAUUAAUUUCAUGGAUGAAAAAAAUUAAAAAAUUAGAGAUGUUGAAAAAUUCUCUUUCGAAAUUUCUUCUCCUUCCAUGUUCGGAGGUGUUCAUGAACAACUCACCCAUAGUCUUGCAUCUUCCUUUGUCCUUAAUAAUAGAAUUGAUUUGAUUGAUAAAUCUUUGUAAAAUUACUCUUUCAGACAAGUUGAUAGAUGAGCAAAGCUUAGUGAAAAUUUUCAUUCUUUUGAGAAAAUUAAUUUUUUAUUUAAUUGUUAUUUGUACGAAUGCAUAAUAUGAAAUAAAAAGUGGAAGAAAAGAAAAGAUAUAGUGAUAAAGAUUAAUUUACAAAAGCAAAACUAUAAGCCUUAUCACCAUUGACCCAUUAUUCAUUCCUUAAAAUUCAAAAUGGACAAGCAAUAAAUAUGUCUGUCUUCCACCUAUUUUGAUUUAACUCUUAUAGAAAUAGCUCAAACUCAUGAUUUGUACAAACACGUGGUUGGAAAAACGCAUUUGAACUUAUCUCUUGAGAUCAAGGGAGAUAUGUAGCUACAAUAACAGUACCUAAUAUGAAGUACUUGUCUAUAAAUAACGUGUAAGCAAAUCUCAAGCUCCAUAAUUUUCCCUUCAUUUUUUCUUUAUAGAGAGCCAACAAAACAUGAAGAAUCUUCAUAUCCUAAUUUCAAUCAUUUUUCCUACCUUGUUUCUCCUCUCAUUCUCUAUAUCUCUUGUGUUAUCUUUUUCCCCUCCUGAUCUCCAAAACCAAUGCCUUCAUCACCAGAAAUCUGCUCUGCUAAAAUUGCACCAUGAUCUUUACUAUGCCCCAAAUUUUACUUUCUCUUCCAAAGUUGAGCUUUGGGAUCCCAACAUUGACUGUUGCUCUUGGAAAGGAAUUACAUGUGAUGCUUUGGGUCAUGUGAUUGAACUUGAUCUCAGUUACAAAAACCUUUCAGGCAGCUUUCACUCCAUUUUCAAUCUCCAUCAUCUUCAACGCCUUAAUCCUGCUGCAAACAAUUUUAACACCACUCUGUUUCAAUAUGAGUUUGAUAGACUCCCAAAUUUAACUCAUCUCAAUCUUUCAAACUCAUGUUUCCAUGGCCAAAUUCCAGUGGGGAUUUCAUACUUAACAAGGUUAGUCUCUCUUGAUCUAUCUCAUCAAGAUUCUUGCUAUCUGCACAAUUACAAAAUUCUUGAUCCAAAUUUCUGGUACUAUGAUUUUCCUUUCAACCUUCAACCUUUAAAACUAGAAAACCCAAACUUCAAAUCAUUAAUCCAAAAUUUGAGACCUCUUACAGAGCUCUACUUGGAUGGUGUGAACAUUUCAACUCAAAGUAGUAAAUGGUGUGAGAUCACAUCCACAAUACUUCCUAACUUGCAUGUGUUAAGUCUGUCGAGUUGUGGGUUGACAGGUCCAUUUUGUUCUUCACUCUCAAGACUUCCUUUUCUUUCCAAACUUGUCCUUGAUUGGAACACGAUCUCUUAUUUACCUCCCAAUUUGUUGGAAAUUUCCUCUCGUUUGGUUUCUCUCAGUUUAAUGAAUUGCAAUUUAGGUGGGCAUUUUCCAACAGAAAUUCUCAAGUUGCCAAAAAUAGAAAGCAUUGACAUUUCAAAUAAUUACGGUCUUGGAGGUCAGUUGCCAGAAUUUCCAUCAAACAAUGCUUUACGGAUCUUAACGAUUUCUCAAACAAAUUUCAGUGGCAAACUACCAGAAUCAAUUGGCAAUCUCAAAUUCUUGACAAAUUUAGAUCUCUAUGGUUGCAAUUUCUUUGGACAAAUUCCAUCAUCAAUUGCAAAUCUUACUAAUCUUGUGGAACUGGAUCUGUCCAGUAACAAUUUCAGUGGUUUUAUCCCCGCAUUUCAUAGAUCCGGAGUUCCAAAUCUUGCACAUCUUUAUUUGUCGGGGAACCACCUCUCUGGAUCAAUGCAUUCUUCUUUAUUUACUCUCCCAUCAUUGCAGGACUUGAUUGUUUGGGGAAAUCAAUUGGUCGGUGAAAUUGAUGAGUUUGUCAACGCAUCUUCUUCCUUGAUUGAAAUAUUGUCUUUAGGCGACAAUAGCUUUAGUUCUGUGAAGCUUGACAUGUUCUCCCAACUCAAGAACUUAAGGGUUCUUUACCUUUCCAAUACGAGCUUAUCAAUUGAAAGCGACAUCACAAGCCUCGCUUUUCCCCAAUUAGAGGAGCUAUGCCUAAGUUCAUGCAACUUUACUGAAUUUCCAGAAUUCAUCAAAACACAAGACAAGUUGGCUUUUCUAGAUCUCUCUAACAACCAAAUCCAUGGUUUUGUGCCUAAUUGGUUGUGGAAGACCACUCUUUCAUGGUUAAACAUUUCUUUUAAUGCGAUUGACUUUCCAAAAGAGAUUCCUUUUGGUGACGCAAAUUCCUCUUUUCCAAUGUUGAGUAGUUUAGAAUAUCUUGACCUUUCAAAUAACAAAAUAAGUGGUGCAGUACCAAACUGGGUGUGGAAGAAAAGUUUGAGAUAUCUGGAUCUUUCUAACAAUUCUCUCACAUCUUUGGACCAAUUUUCGCUCAACCAAUCUCUAACUUCUUCACAAGGCUCUUUGUCAAGACCUAUUUGCAAUUUGAGUCGACUUGAGACCUUUAAUGCAUCCUUUAACAAAUUAAGCCGGCCAAUCCCAAGUUGCUUGGGCAAUAUCAGUUCUCUCGGCUCUUUGGAUCUACAAAAAAAUAAUUUCAGCGGCAGCAUACCAGAUUUUGCAAAAGCAACCCAAUUAUAUUGGCUACGACUCAAUGACAAUAAAUUGGAAGGGAAGUUGCCAAGGUCAUUAGCCAAUUGCACAAUCCUCCAAGUUUUAAACCUUGAAAACAAUACUCUGUACGACACAUUCCCUUUGUGGUUGGGAAAAUUGCCUGCUUUGAAGGUCCUUCUAUUGCAAGCAAAUAGGUUUUAUGGUCCAAUUAAACAUGUGAAAAAUUAUUUUCAAGAUUUGGAUGUACUAGACAUUGCUUUCAAUAAUUUUUCUGGUCAAUUACCAACUGCAUUCUUUCAAGCCCCUCGACUAAGGUCACUCAAAAUUGGUGGGAAUAAACUGGAAGGAAAGUUGCCGAGGUCAUUAGCCAAUUGCACAAAGCUUGAAGUUUUGGACGUUGGAAAAAAUAUGAUACAAGACACAUUUCCGUUUUGGUUGGUAAAAUUGCCAUCUUUGAAGGUUCUUGUACUAAGAGCAAAUAGAUUUUAUGGUCCAAUUAAAAUUUCUGAGGAUGAAAAUGUUUUCCUAGAGUUACACAUACUGGAUCUUGCUUCCAAUAACUUUUCAGGUGAGUUACCUGUUGAAUUUUUUCAAUCUUUGAAGGCAAUGAGGAUGAUGAUUGUUGGCAACCAAGCUAAGCCAGAUUAUAUUGGAGAUAAUUACUACCAGGACUCUGUGACAAUUGUGAAUAAAGGGUUUGAACUUUUUUACGAGAAAAUCUUAACCAUCUUUGCUUGUCUUGACCUUUCCAAUAAUAGUUUCCAUGGGAGAAUACCGGAAGAAAUACAAAAGCUCAAGUCACUCAAAGUGCUAAACUUGUCCCACAACAGCUUCCUCGGCCCAAUUCCUUUAGCACUUGGAAACUUAACUGAGCUUGAGUCGUUGGACCUCUCCCAGAACAAACUCUCCGGAAAGAUUCCUCUUCAGCUUACAAGCCUAACUUUUCUUGCAGUAUUGAAUCUCUCUUACAACCGACUUGAGGGAAGCAUACCACAAAGCUACCAAUUUGGUACAUUUUCAAACGAUUCUUACAAAGGGAAUCCAAGAUUAUGUGGGCUGCCUCUGACAAGGAAAUGCAAUGAAAAUGGUCCUGGAAUGCCACCCCCUAAGGAAGAUGGAGAUUCAUGGGUAGAUGGUUUGUCUGAUUGGAAAAUUGUGUUGAUGGGUUAUGGAUGUGGAUUGGUCAUUGGAUUAUGUAUUGGAUAUACAGUGCUGAAUGAGUUGGGGAACAAAUGGUUGGACAGGUUUACACAGAGUCGGAAUAAAAAAUGGAGAAGAUCUUCUAGGUGACUCUAUCAAAAUUCAAGUUUCAAUGUCAUUUGGUAAGUAUUCUAGAAUACUUAAUAACUCAAAAGUUUUUCUGUUGACUCUGUGAACUGUAGCUUAAACAAAUAAAAUUAUUUAAAUGCUCUCUUAUAUUAUCUUUUAUCUGCACUAAAUAAUAAUUUACUAAAGUGAUUGUGUUUAAAAUUUAAUUCAAGAACGUUUCAACUUUUGAUGCCUCUUUUCCUUUUUGAAACUUGGCAAUGCUUUUCAAACUAAGAACAAAAAUUGCCUGCAAACUAGGAUGUCUUUUGAAUUUCCUAACCUCAUUUUACAAAUGAAAAUUAGCUUCCAAGUAAUUAAUUUGUAUAAGACUUGGGGGUCACUGGUACUUUGAGUUAGAUUGGUCUGUCAACCAUCUUAAGAGUAAAGUAAAGCUCUGGCAUCUAUUGUAAUUAAUUAGAUUGGCUUGGGAUGCUCAUAUAUAUUUUAUUUGGCAGGAGCACAAUCAAAGGGUUUGGCAGGCCAUCCAAAGAUAUAGAAGCUAUUGUUUCAACUAUCAGAAGUUCCUUUUAGCUUAGUUCAAUAACAAGAUUGCAGUCUCGAGUUCCACUCUUCCUCUUCAACAACAGAAAUUGUGUCUGAAUGUUUUUGGCUUGGUGUUACUGUACUUGUGUAUCAGUUCAUUCUCUUCUGCUCGCCUAAGAUGAUUGGCGGUAUGUCUGGUUGUAUUGUGCUUGUCUUCUGUUCUGUCUAUGGGGUGGUGUUUUACUGCUGAGUUAUUGGGUUCCCCUGUUGUUCACCCUAUUGUGUAACUCUGUUUUUAUUAAUAAUUUCUGGCUUAGCAAAAGAAAAAUGUGUCUGAAUUGGGGACUGGUUCCUCUAUGUUGCUUAGUUUAAUUAGUUUACUUUAUUAGGUUGCUCUUUGACGUUUGUAAGGUCUUGAUAGCCUACUGUUUAUUUGUAGCAGGUCUACUGCUUUUUUUGGAUUAAUAAAAAUCAUUUAUCCAAAAAAUUUUCUUAAGGAAAAUCUUAUUAUCUUUUAAGCUCUUCAGUAUUAUUAUAUCUAAGUGGUCAUGUCAGCAAUCACAUAAUAGGUUUUACACAUGAAAGCCCAGUUUGCCACAUUAUUACCCAAGAGGUAUAAAAAGUAAAAUCAGACGAGUUAGGUGAUUCACUACUCAACCCUCUUUACUCUCUUUAACUACUUCCUGCUCUUUUACAUUUUCUUGCUUCUGGUGUAUCUUACUAUCUUAACUUGUGCGUCGGAGCAUGCUUCAAAAUAACAUGUUCCGCACCCCUGGCUUUCUAUUCUGUGACAGGUCACACAUACUCUCCUCUCAACCUCCAGUAGGACUUUCGACUACCAGACCAGGAAUUACAUUAACAACCAAGAAUUACAUUAACGAAAUCAAUGAUUCAACUCAACUAUUUGCAUUGCAAGAAUCUGAUACAAGCCAUGGCAUGUACAAAAAUGACCAUGCCUACUACUUUAACUGCCAAAACUAGAAGUUACAUCUGCUAACACAGAAAAAUCUUUACAGACCAAGCUCAAGCUAAGAUGCUUUAUUCCUGUAUUAGCUACUACAUCACUACAGAGAAAGAAAAAAAAAGAACAAAGCUUCCAGUUCCAGGUAUAAAGCUCGACAAUUCCAAAGGAUACUAUUUCAUUGCCCCUAAUAACUAUAGAUUUGACUAUGGCGAGAGAGAUUUAAAUAUUUCCUUUAUUAUUUUCUUAACUUUAAUCCCGUAUCAUCCUUUGUUUUUCUACUUCUGGACUCCCACACAGACAAAAACAAAUGGCUUUUUGUAAGCUCUAUUGCUAUUGCUAUACGAUUGAUAUCCAUAUAGAAUAGACCUUCACUAAACAAAAACAUGUGGGCAAUACAAAGAAACUUUUAACAACUUGAAAGUUAUGUGAAUGCCAUUCUUAAAUUAUUAUGUGGACUUGAUUAAUUGAUUUAAUUUUAUCUUAGAAAAGUAGUGGUAAAAUCUUUGUUAUGAAAAAGAGCAUCCAGUAAUUUUCUUAUGAUUUUUUCCCCUUACACUCAUCACUUAUUCCUGGUCAAAUUGAGUUUAUGCAUAUAAAAACUUGAUUGUUUCUAACAAAAUGGAGUAACUUCAUCGUUUGAAUUGUCAGGCCAAUGAUUUCAGAAGAUACUAGGAAAAGAAAGCAUGGGUUGCCAGAAUACAGUUCAGAAAAGGAUAUGACUUCCUGACUAAAAGCUUGUUCUGCUUAUCUGUUUCUUACAAAACUGAUGUUUCGGCUACAUUUUUUGUCCAGUCAGGAGCAAAAAUGACAGCUGUAUUUGAAAGUGAAAACCAUCCAAGGUGGGACAUGGAAAAUUUGUAUUGGGUAACAGAGGAGAUCACUAGUUUGAACAGAAAUUUGUAUCAGGCACCAAAGCAAGCCUUUCGACCAGCAGAUCAGGAUAAUCAAUGACUCAACACAACUAUUUGCAGUGCAAGAAGAUGAUAACAGCCAUGGCAUGUACAACAAUGACUAGGCCUACCACUUUAAUUGCCAAAACAAGAAGUUAAUUGCAUCUACUAACACAGAAUAAUUGUCGACACAGACAAGAUCAAGCUAAGAUGCUACAUCACCAUAAAAACACAAAAAAGGAAUAGAAGAAAGCUUCUGGUUCCAGGUCUCAAGCUCGACAAUUCCAAACUAACUUUGAUAGUGUUUAAUUUUCCCUAACAACUAUAGAGGGUAAAAAGGGAAACUAAAGGUCAUACUAAGAAUUUGAUGAGUAUACAUCAGCUGUUAAGAGCCAAAGAUUACAAUUUCUUGAAUUUAAGUUUAGGUUUGGUAGCUGAUUUCAUAAUUUUUUUGCCUUAAAUGCAGGAACUGUUUUUUCAAGGAAGAAAACUGUUCAUUAAAGCUUUCUAUGCUUUGGACUUGGACAGCACAAAAAAUCACAGCUUCUAUUAGCUGUCCCUACCCAACUGAAACUAUCAGCAAUCCUACAGCCUUAAACUCUGUGAAGUAACAUCCUUCCUAGAUCAUAACCCUACCAGUAUGUGUAAUCUAGACAUGGAUUUUGAUAUGAUCAAGAUGAAUUCUCGGCCAUUGUGAAGGUUGUGAAGUUGGAUGCUGAUUCGUGGAAAGUUGAUACUGCAUUGCACUGCUAUCUCGAGGUAGAAAUGUUACGUCAUGGGCAAAAGGCAGCAGUGGCAGCAUGACACAGAAACAAUACUUACCUAAAUACUUGGUGUAAAAACACCAUUCCAGCAGCAACAAUGAUUUUAAAGAGCUCAUCACUGCAUAAUCCCAAAUUCCCCCAAUAUCUAGCUGGGAAAUACAUUUUGUUCAAUAAGGUAUGCAGACAAGUAAAUCUUUCCACUACAAUGGCAAAACAAAGAAAUAAAAAUAUUAAUGGCAGCAGGAGUUGAAAAAAAGCAUCAAUGGACUUAUCGUUACCCUCUUCAGCCAUCUUUCUACGUAUCUCAUGAGCAGUAUUGAAAAUGCCAAGGGUGGGUUGGUUGCACAUAAAGCACUUGUUGUUCUUUGUCUGAUGCUGAAAAACCAAAAGAUGCAGUUGGUUAGUUUACAUUCGAAUGAGAAUAAAAAUGUAAAUUAUACUGACAUGAGGCACCAAAAGUUGAUGAUGUAAAGUUAAAAUAUGUCCUAUUUCUAUAGCUGAAAAAAGUUGGACCACAUAAAAUAUUCUUUGUAUGUAAGUAACCAAAAAAGUUUUGCAUCUAAGUGAUGCAUUAACAACAAACAUAACAAAAACUAAUAGAUGUUAACCUAGCACAAAAAAAGACACUAAAAAAAAAUUAAUCCACGUGAAAAGGCAUUGAGGGCACCUUUAAAGCACAAUGCUGGCAGAAGUAGUACUUGCACUUCCACAAAAGGUUGCCAGCAACUAAAACAUGCAGAGGGCAACGAAUCAUCAUCGUCAUCAUCACUCUGGUCUACCCCUGCCUCAUCAUCAUCAUCAUCGCCACCCAAAGCCGGAUUUCUCUUCCUUGCUUUCUCUGCUUCUUCCCAGUCCUUCUCUAACUGCCAUCAAGACUUGUAAUCUCCACAAUCAUGCAUAAACUUACAUGAAUCUCCGUAACCACAGUAACCAGUUUCUUUGUAGUCUUUACCGAUGUCAGGCUGAUAAUCAAAUCUUGCUGAAACCCUGAUGUGGGCAAAAGCCCUAAGAGGUCCAUGUAAGCCACCUGCUUUCUCACUGGCAACUGUUUGCUCUCUUCGAAACCCAGCCUUAUAAUCCACAUAGCCAUGCAUUCCUUUAUACAACUUCUCUCCCCCAGAGCUUGUGUUUUUCCCCUUCAAAGCCUCCUCUGUUCGUUUAAAAACUUCCUCGCGUAUCGCGCGAGCAUCUUUUGUAAACUCAGUCUCAGUUUCUAAGGUUGCCAUAGCUCUGCUAUCAUUUUGAACUUGAAUUUCCUUCGAAGACUCAAAUUGAAAAAUCGGUUUGUCAGAUUCUGUAUUUGAUUCAGUGGGAGUAGCACUCCUGGAGGAUCCAGUUGAAAAGACUAACUUAUAGUCAGGCUUCAAAGCGUUUUUCUGAUUGUGAAACAAAGAUGUGCCAUUUCUGGAGUCUUCAUCUUCAUCUUCAUAUUCAUUUAUUGUCCUUUUCCUUAUGGUUUUUUGCCCUUUGUUGGCUUCCUAAAGAAAUUGCAGACUGAAAAGUCAAAGAGUUAGCUAUAUAAGUAAAUAUACAUAUACACCUUUAAAAAGAAUUAAAAAAAAGGAACAAAUUUUACCUUGCUCAGAUUGUUGAGGUUCUGUUUCAGAUUGCUGAGGUUCUUUUCCUGGCUACUGGGGCUCGCUUGAAUCAGUCAUCUUAACAGAAACAAGAGAAAAGGUUUAUAGAUUCCUUGCCUCAAGCAAUAUGAACUUCAAUUCUCAUUCACGACUGUUGCUCCAAUCACUUGAAAGAAGGUUUUAAACUAAGUGAGUGAAAAUCCUUAUUACUAUUAAUUAAGGUAAUGAAACAAACGUGAUCAACACACUAACUGGUGUCAUAAUUAAAUUUCCAUAGAUAAGAUCAAGCAUUCUCUCAUGAAAAGGCUAAAUGCUCAAUUUUUUUACCCAAAUCAUAAAUUUCUAUUGAUGUAAGAAAAGGAAGGAAUUAAAUUUUUUAUCCAAAUAACAAAAUAUUUACAGUACUCACCUGAACAAGAAGUCUAAAACGCCCAAUACAUUUAACUUUUACCCACGAUUGACUAAUCCGAAUUGAAAUUACCCAACAAGAAGAGAUCGUCCUUCGUCAAUUAAUUCCUUUCGAUCAUCGGAUUUGGGAUUUUUUGAAAUCAGAAUUGGAAUUGGAUAGGAAUCGACUGAAGGAUUGAAGAAUUGGAUAUGAAUCGACUGAAGGAUUAAAGAACGAAGGAGUAAAGAAGGAACCCAAAACGCCAAAUUCUUUUAUCGGGCUUUCCGAUUCUUUUUCGGCCUUCUUGUUUUGAAAAUCAGUCAAUUUUUUGUCCAAAUUGCACAGGUAGACAACAGCUUGCCUACGUGCAUGCCACCUCACCUGAAAAUUACACGUCCUCUACAUAAUAUUCUGGCUCAGCAAUUAAAAGCACGUGUAGUACACGCGAAUAAUUCCUUCCCAUGUUGGCAAUGCCCAUCGGAAUAAUCUUUUGCACCAAUUGGACUUUUGUGUUGGUUGUCCUUUCAAACUAGCUUUGACGAAAACGCAAAAAAAAUUGCUUCUUCUAAACUGCUAAAUUUCUUCAAUUAAAGAAUUUUCGUUUCUGAUGACUUUUUUUUUAUUCAAAUUCGAUGAAAAAUCUAAUCUUUUUAUCUGAAUAAGAAUAAAAAUAUGUAUUUAAAAUUUAAGAAUAAAAACUAAAAUAAUAUAAUUUUAAAAUUUUAUCAAACAUAAUAAUGAAAAUUUUUUAUUUUUUUUAAGUUAUAAAUAUGGGCUGUUCAACCCAUUAAAUCUCCACAAAAAUAAAAAUGGAUAUAAAUUUAAAAUAUAUAUAAAAUAUAGAUAUAAUGUAAAAAAAUUAAAAAUGAGAAUAAAAAAUGUUAUACCCGUCCCAUUGACAUCUUUUAUUUCAGCAUUUGCUGUAAGUUUCAACCUUCUGUGCUGCAAUGUGUUUAAGGGUAAACAAAGAUCAAGAAGAGAAAGUUAAUCAAAUUGACCGGCUCUCAACUCCCUGAUGAUAUUAUAAUCAAUAUACUGCUGAAGAUACCAGUCAAAUCUCUCUUAAACAUUCAAAUGUGCAAUGCAAACCAUGGCGGUCUUUGAUCUCUGACGCUCAAUUUCCCAAACUGCACCUCAAGUGAGCGCUCCAUGGAGCAAUGUGCAAUCCAAUAACAAUGACUCAUCAUUCCAUUCUUGUUGGUAAAGUUAUCUAUCAAACUCACCUGGUAGCCACAAGACAAAUAUUUUCUGUCAAACAGACCUAUCAACAAAGACCCUCAAAUUCUUCAUAUUAUGAUUGUUGAAAGAUUUAAGAUGAUAAUUCUCGGUUUAAUUAAAGCUAAACAUGUACGAAACUUCCAAACUUUUACAAUAUUAACCUGUUGAUAUGGUGCAUAAGAUCUUUCUGUGUAGAAUUUAAAAUAUGCUUACUACAUCAACAAGACACCUUAAGAAACAAACUAGCCGUCCACUCCUGCCUUCAAUAUUUAAGUGAGCUUAAAUGGGUACAAUUGCUAUCACAGAUUCAGAGAAAAUAUUUUACCAAUAUCCAAAGGUUAGAGUCCUAGUCAUUUUCAUUAAAUUUUAGGUGAACAAAUUCCUCUUAACUGUCUCUGGAGACACAACACUGGCUGGCUGACAAUUUCUUUCUUUAUUUUUUUUUUCUAUAUAAAAAGAGCUGAAUCAGCAUGCAUAUCCAUUUGCACUGGUUACUCCUAAAUUGUUUCAUACAGCCCAUAUGUGGGGUAAAAAUAAGUCAUAUUAAGAACAAAAACUAUGUUAGUCUUAUGUGUUAGGCUAAACCUUGAUCAAUUAUUAGAUAAGUGAAAUCAGGAUCAAAUAACAAAUUAUUCAUGUAAAAGAUAAUAAUUUAUCGUGAUUCAAAAAUUAAAUAUUAAAAGUUGUGAAUGACAGUAAAAUAUUAUAAAAAAAUAUAGAUUUGUGGUCUAAUUUACUCAAAAUUUAAUGCGUUUAUCAUAGAAAUUAAAGGAAAGUUUAAAAAAAUAAACAAAAAAAAGACAAGUAUUAGUCUUUGCUUUAUACUUAAUCUUGGCAUGAAGCAUGCAAAUAUGUCAAGUCCUUUUGCUUCUCAUCUUUACUUUACAAAACAAUAAUCUUAGCAGUUGCUUCAUUCUAAGCAAUUAAAAAGAUUAAAAUAUAAUAAUAAUAAUUAAUAUAUUUAAAAUCCAUUCUCAAUCUAUCAAUUUAAUUGGAAGACAAAAGAUAAUUUUCUAUGAGUAAAAUUGCUAUGUUUUUAUCUUUUUUAAAGGAAAGACUUGACUUAAGUAAAUUGUUAAGAAAAUUAUUUUUCAUAUAUUAUUAAUGAUGGGACAAGAAAACUUAAAUGUUUGCAUGAUGGAAGACUUAAAAGUAUAAAGCAAAGAAAAGAAAAAAAUACUAAUAGAAGACACUUGCAUGAUGGAAGACUUAAAAUAUUAAGCAAAGAAAAGAUAAAAUACUAAUAGAAAAAAAUCUCAUACUAUCACUAUCUUUGUGAGUUCAAAAUUAGAAUAUCAAAAUUUCAAAAGACCCGUUUUUCUUACAUGAGAUGGGUCCAUUAAAACCGAAAUCGGGCUUCCGUUUGACUUUUGCACCAAAACACAAUUGGGCAAUUUGUGCGAAUCUUAAACUGAUUAUAGAACGAUACACAAAACAAUUAACUGAGAAAAGCAAAAUUAAAAAAAAAAAAAAAAGGUUGUCAAAAGGGAUUUAAAGUUAUGGGGUUUUUAAUCAAAAUUUCCCCUUCUUUUCUUCUUUUUCCAGGUAAAAUUUUCCUCAUGCCCACUUUUAUUUUCAAUCGUAAAAAAUUCUUUCUUUUUUUUUUAAAUGUAAAAUAUGGGUUUUUUUUUUAUAUCUUCUGUUUCUACAGUACACUGUAAUUAGGAGCUGGAGCAAUUGCAGCUAAUUUUUGGAAACCUUACAUUGGCAAAGGCAGAGUAUUUUUUUUUUUUAAAUAUUUUUUCUAUGAUCCUUGUUAUACUUUCACUGUGUAGAAAGAUUCUAUUUUUAGCUAAGCAUAACUCAUUUUUUUUUCAAUUAUUUGUUUUUAGGCUUUAUCAUGUGUUGGGUCUUUUCUGUUUUACCCAUAUUUCAUUUAAUUUUAUGAUUUGAAUCGAACUGCUAUGUGAAUAGGAAUAUUGAGUUAUGCCAAGCAAUACUUUCUCUGACUAUUACUAUACAUAAUUGUCAAUUUGUCAUUCAAUUGCUAGCUGCUAAAUUUGCUGCAAAAGAAUGGUUAUUGCAGUUGGAAUCUCUUGUUAUUAUGGGGAAGAAUGUGAGGGUUGAAAAGGGAAAGAAAAAUGAAAUGAAAUGAAAUAGUUGGGUGGAAAGUGUUACCUUUUAUGGAGUUCUAGCUUGCAAUCAUCAUUUGUUUAAUUGUACAUUUUGCAUUUUCCAACAAUUGAAUGGAGCAAGUUUUUCGGAUUUCCAUUUCAUUGCUUUCAAGUACCUUGGUCUAGAUAAGUUUCGUCCGUGUUUCCUGUUCCCAAAAUGAUUUAACAUAUAUGACAUAACAGGUUCUUCUUGCAAAUUGGGACUUGAAUGUUUAUGUGAAAAGGUGGUUAUAGUCUGAUCUUUUCUUUGUUGCAUCCAUAUUCUGCAAAGAUCUUUUGCCCUGUCUCUUUGUUCACUUCCUGGGUCUCAGUAUUUUGUUGGUUUGCUUAUGGUAGAGUUUGAUCUCGUGCUUUUCCAUUUUCACUUUGCCCCCACUAUUCCUCCCCUUCCUCUCUAGCUUUUGAAAUUGCAUUUAGAGCCUUGGUUGUUGUAGUAGAUCACAAGCAUACUUUAACAUUAUGUUCAAGCUGUUUAAUUGUAGGUUCAAAUUUCUAGUGUUAAAGUUUGAUUAGGUUUUGAUUUCUUAUAUAAGCCUUGUUUUAACACCCCCCCCCCCCCUUUUUUUAGAGGGAGAGGGGGUCCGGGGAAAUAAAAAUAGCCCUUAUAUUAGUGCAUACAAAUGUAUGUAUGUAUACGGUAUAUAUAAACAUUGGUAUAAAAAAUAUGUUAUAUACAAUGUUUGUAUAAAAAUUGUGUAAUCCCAAAAUAAAAUAUAAAUUUCAAGCACUGUACAUACAUAAAUUCUAAAAAAUUCAAAAAAUUAAAUUCAAUAAAUAGAAUAUAACUUAAUGACCAGAAAUAGAAAAACUAAAAAAGGUAACUACCGAGAACAUAAAAUUGCUUGUGCACAAUUAAUGCAUUAGCGAACCAUAUGAAGUUCUUGGUUAUUUUGCAUUAUUUAGUAUUUGUUUGAUUGGGUUUUUGCUAUUUGCUUUUUGCUUCGAAAGCAAAAAAGCAAAAAUAGCAUUUCCAUAAGCAAUAAAAUUUUGAAGAGUUAUACACAAAAUAUUUAAAUUUUUUAUGAUUAACUACAUGAUUCUACUUCUAUAUAUACUAAUUGUGUUAUAAUUGAUUUUAUAUUUUAAUUAUUUUUUCUGUUUUAGAUCAGUUAUGACAUAUAUACAUUUUACCUUUUGCUUUUCCUUUCUAGUAAAAUAUAUAUGUUUUAUUCAUGUUCGUAGGGAACUUACCAGACUUCUUGGCCAUGUUCUAGAAAUGCCAGUAUCUAACGAGUUUGCUUUGAAUAUGGCAGCUAACAACAUCAGUGAAUCUUAGGUUUGUUGAUGCAAAUCAUGGCUAACAGAUUCACUUGAAGCCUACUUAUCUAAAGAUUUUUCGAUUUUUAGAGGAUGAAAUGCAAAGGUGGUGCUGAUGUUAAUAAUGUUGGACAUUGAACACUGUCAAACAACAUAGAGGUGGAAAUAUACUGACUUUUACAGGUUUCAGGGUUGGUUUUAUUUGUUGACUUCAUUCUAUUACUUCUUUUUUUGGAACGAUAUAUGCCAACAUCUUAUGUAAAUAUGCAACUUGAUGCAGAUAAUUUGUAAUUUUGGGGAAGAGAAAGAAGGAAUGAAAUUGAGAAACUANNNNNNNNNNNNNNNNNNNNNNNNNNNNNNNNNNNNNNNNNNNNNNNNNNNNNNNNNNNNNNNNNNNNNNNNNNNNNNNNNNNNNNNNNNNNNNNNNNNNNNNNNNNNNNNNNNNNNNNNNNNNNNNNNNNNNNNNNNNNNNNNNNNNNNNNNNNNNNNNNNNNNNNNNNNNNNNNNNNNNNNNNNNNNNNNNNNNNNNNNNNNNNNNNNNNNNNNNNNNNNNNNNNNNNNNNNNNNNNNNNNNNNNNNNNNNNNNNNNNNNNNNNNNNNNNNNNNNNNNNNNNNNNNNNNNNNNNNNNNNNNNNNNNNNNNNNNNNNNNNNNNNNNNNNNNNNNNNNNNNNNNNNNNNNNNNNNNNNNNNNNNNNNNNNNNNNNNNNNNNNNNNNNNNNNNNNNNNNNNNNNNNNNNNNNNNNNNNNNNNNNNNNNNNNNNNNNNNNNNNNNNNNNNNNNNNNNNNNNNNNNNNNNNNNNNNNNNNNNNNNNNNNNNNNNNNNNNNNNNNNNNNNNNNNNNNNNNNNNNNNNNNNNNNNNNNNNNNNNNNNNNNNNNNNNNNNNNNNNNNNNNNNNNNNNNNNNNNNNNNNNNNNNNNNNNNNNNNNNNNNNNNNNNNNNNNNNNNNNNNNNNNNNNNNNNNNNNNNNNNNNNNNNNNNNNNNNNNNNNNNNNNNNNNNNNNNNNNNNNNNNNNNNNNNNNNNNNNNNNNNNNNNNNNNNNNNNNNNNNNNNNNNNNNNNNNNNNNNNNNNNNNNNNNNNNNNNNNNNNNNNNNNNNNNNNNNNNNNNNNNNNNNNNNNNNNNNNNNNNNNNNNNNNNNNNNNNNNNNNNNNNNNNNNNNNNNNNNNNNNNNNNNNNNNNNNNNNNNNNNNNNNNNNNNNNNNNNNNNNNNNNNNNNNNNNNNNNNNNNNNNNNNNNNNNNNNNNNNNNNNNNNNNNNNNNNNNNNNNNNNNNNNNNNNNNNNNNNNNNNNNNNNNNNNNNNNNNNNNNNNNNNNNNNNNNNNNNNNNNAAAAAAAAAAAAAAUUUUUUCUCAAUGAAAGUUGUCAUUUGUCUACUAGUUAAAUUGGCUCACAAGGAAUAGAUUUUAAGUAUAUUAAUUAUUAUUGUUAUAUUUUAGUCUUUUUAAUGACUCAGACUAAAGCAACUACUAAGAUUAUUUUUGUGAAGCAAAUAUGGGGGCAAAAUGAUUGACACAUUUGCAUGCAUGAUGCCAAAACUAAGUAUAGAGCAAAGACUAACACUUGGACCGAUACAUUCCCAUAUUAUCUAUCAUUUUCUUUCUUAUUCCACCAUUAUAAAAUCACAAUUUUCAAAAUAGACAAGUUUGGGAAGUGAGAAUGAAUAUAUUUUGUAGAUUUUUUUUUCAAACCUUUCAACAAAAAUAGAACACAUGUUUUUGAUUUGCUAAUUUUUUUUUUUUGUGAAUUAAUUUGUUGAUUAAGCAACUUCUUUCUCAUGCUUUUGUUCCUAAUGUACUAUUAGAUUUCACGGUAUGUGCAUUUUUUUUUAGUUUUUUAUUGUUAAUAUAUUUUAAAGAUAUCUUCUAAUUUAAAAAUUCAAUAAACUAAUAACCAUAUAGUCUAUUAGUAAAAUGCUAAACUCUUAGUUUUAGUAGUUUAAAAUUCAAAUCCUAGCAAUCUCACUAUAAAAAAAUUAUAAAAAAAAGACAAUCUUAAAAUGAAAAAAUUUCAUGUAUACAAGAUAAUUUAUAUAUAUAUUUUAAUUUUCUUCACAUAUGAUUAAUAGAGUUUUUAAAUUUUAUAAACAGUAUUAAAAUCUCAUACUUUUUAUAAGAUAUUUUCUCUUAACUAUUUUUUUUUCAAACCUAAAUGUAAUUUUUUCUAACUUACCAGAUAUGAAAAUUCUGUAAGUUAUAUAACUCAUUAGAAAUGCAUAUUUAAAAGGUUUAAAAUUAAAACAAGAUAAGUAAAUAAGUAAUUUACUUAAAAAUUUUCUAAAAAAGGUGGAUGUAGAGAAAAAAUAAUGGUGUAUUUAAAAUAACCCACCACAAAAUUAUACUUUACAAAAAAAAUUGAUAUUCUAAUUUUGGACUAACAAAGAAAAUGACAGUAUGAGAUUUUUUCAAUUGGUAUUUAGUCUUUUCUUCACUUUAUACUUUUAAGUCUUCCCAUCAUACAAAUGUGUAAGUCUUCUUGCCCCAUCGUUACUCUAUGAAAAAUAAUCUUAUUAGCAGUUUGCUUAUGUCAAGUCUAUCUUUUAAAAAAGACAAAAAAAAUAGCAAUUUUUUCAAUGGUGAGUGUCUUUUGUCUUCCAAUUAAAUUUGCAGACUGGGAAUGGAUUUUAAAUAUAUUAAUUAAUAUUGUUAUAUUUUAGUCUUUUCAAUGACAUAGACUAAAGCAAUUGCUAACAUCAUUUUUUUUUUUGAAGUAAAAAUAGGGGCAAAAAGAUUGACACAUUUGCAUGCUUGAUGCCAAAACUAAGUAUGAAGCAAAGACUAUGAUUUAGACCCAUGCAUUCUGAUAGGAUCUAUCUUUUUCUUUCUCAUUCCACCAUUAUAAAAUCACAAUUUCCAAAAUAGACAAGUUUGAGAAAUGGGAGUGAAUGUGUUCUUUAGAUAAUUUUUUCAAACUUUUCAGUUAAAAUUAAAGAUAGGUUUUAAUUUAUUUUAUUAUUAUUAUAUUAUUAUUUUGCUAAUCAAUUUGGUGAUUAAGCAACUUCUUUCUCAUGCUUUGUUCCUAAUGUACCAUUAGAUCUCAUGGUAUGUGCCAUUUUUUUUAUUUUUUAGUUUUUUUACUAUUAAUAUAUUUAAAGAGAUUUUUUUAUUUAAAAUUAAAUGAGCAAAUAACCAUGAGUUUGUUAGUAAAUGUUGAAUUCUUAAUUUUAGUAGUUUAAAGUUCAAAUCUUGAUAACCUCACAUUACAAAAAAAAAGGACAAAUUUCUAAUUUCACAAAUUUCAUAUAUACGAGAUAAUUUUUAUAUAUUUCAAUUUCAUCAUAUAUGAUUAAUAGAGAUUUUAAAGUUUAUAAAUGGUAUUAGAAUCUCAUACUCUAUGCAAGAUAUUUUCUCUUAAUUAUUUUUUUCCAAACCUAAAUGUAACUUUUUUUAACUUACUGGAUAUGAAAAUCCAAUAAGUUAUAUCAAGAUGCUUUAAAAUUAAAACGAGAUGAGUAAAUAAGUAAUUUCACUUAAAAAUUAAAAAAAUUGAUAUAGAAAAAAAAUGAUGGCAUAUUUAGAAUCACUCAUCACAAAAUUAUGCUUUAUAAAAAAUUUGAUAUUUUCAUUUUGGACCCACGAAGAAAAUGAUAGUAUGAGAUCUUUUUAUUGGUAUUUAAUCUUUUCUUUGUUUUAUACUUUUAAGUAUUCCCAUCAUGCAAAUGUCUACAUCUUCUUGCCCUAACAUUACUUUAUGAAAAUAAUCUUCUUAGCAAUUUGCUUACAUCAGGUCUGCCUUUUAAAAGGGACAAAAAAAAAAAAAACAACAAUUUUCUCAAUGAAAGUUGUCUUUUGUCUUCCAGAUAAAUUGACACACAAGGGAUGGAUUUUAAGUAUAUUAAUUAUUAUUGUUAUAUUUUAGUCUUUUUAAUGACUUAGAUUGAAGUAACUGCUAAGAUUAUUUUUGUGAAGUAAAGAUGGGUGCAAAAAGAUUGACUCAUUUGCAUGCUUGAUGCCAAAAUUAAGUAUAGAACAAAGACUAAGACUUAGACCAAUACAUUCCCAUAGUAUCUGUCAUUUUCUUCCAUAGAAUAUAUUCUGUAGAUUUUUUUUCAAACCUUUCAGCAAAAAUAAAACUCUGGUUUUUAAUUUGUUGAUUUUUUUGGCCAAUCAAUUUGUUGAUUAAGCAACUUCUUUCUCAUGCUUUUGUUCCUAAUGUACUAUUAGAUUUUAUGGUGUGUGCAUUUUUUCAGUUUUUUAUUGUUAAUAUAUUUUAAAGAUAUCCUCUAAUUUAAAAAUUCAAUGAGCUAAUAACUAUAUAUUCUAUUAGUAAAAUACUAAACUCUUAGUUUCAGUAUUUAAAAUUCAAAUCCUAACAAUCUCACAUAUAUAUAUAUAUAUAUAUAUAAAAAAGACAAUCUUCAAAUGAAAAAACUUCAUGUAUAUGAGAUAAUUUAUAUAUAUUUUUUUAAUUUCUUCACAGAUGAUUAAUUGAGUUUUUAAAUUUUAUAAACAGUAUUAAAAUCUCAUAUUUUCUGUAAGAUAUUUUCUUUUAACUAUUUUUUUUCAAACCUAAAUGUAACUUUUUCUAACUUUUUGGAUAUGAAAAUUCUAUAAGUUAUAUAACUCAUCAGAAAUGCAUAUUUAGAAGUUUUAAAAUUAAAACAAGAUAAGUAAAUAAGUAAUUUCACUUAAAAAAUUUUUAAACAAGGUGGAUGUAGAGAAAAAAUGAUGGUGUAUUUAGAGUCACCUAUCACAAAAUUAUACUUCACAAAAAAAUUGAUAUUCUAAUUUUGACUAACAAAGAAAAUGAUAGUAUGAGAUUUUUUUUAUUGGUAUUUAUCUUUUCUUUACUUUAUACUUUCAAGUCUUCCAUCAUGCAAAUGUCUAAGUCUUCUUGCCCCAUCAUUAUUCUGUCAAAAAUAAUCUUUUUAACAGUUUGCUUAAGUCAAGUCUAUCUUUUAAAAAAGACAAAAAAAUAGCAAUUUUCUCAAUGGUGGUUUUUUUUUGUCUUCCAAUUAAAUUGGCUGGGAAUUAAUUUUAAGCAUAUUAAUUAAUAUUGUUAUAUUUUAGUCUUUUCAAUGACUUAGACUAAAGCAAUUGCUAACAUCACUAUGUUUUUGAAGUAAAAAAGGGGGCAAAAAGAUUGACACAUUUGCAUGCUUGAUGCCAAGACUAAGUACGAAGCAAGGACUAUGAUUUUGACCCAUGCAUUCCGAUAAGAUCUAUCUUUUUCUUUCUUAUUCCAUCAUUAUAAAAUCACAAUUUUUAAAAUAGACAAGUUUGAGAAAUGGGAGUGAAUGUGUUGUUUAGAUUUUUUUUUCAAACUUUUCAGCAAAGAUAAAACACAGGUUUUUAAUUUAUCGAUUUUUUUGGCCAAUCAAUUUGUUGAUUAAGCAACUUGUUUCUUAUGCUUUUGUUCCUAAUGUACUAUUAGAUUUCACGAUAUGUGCAUUUUUUUUUUUUGGGUUUUUUAUUAUUACUAUAUUUUAAAGUGAUGCAUUGAUUUAAAAAUUCAAUGAGCCAAUAACCAUGUAAUUUGUUAGUAAAAUAUUGAACUUUUAGUUUUAAUAGUUUAAAGUUCAAAGCUUGACAACUUUAUAUACAAGAAAAAAAAAAAAGACAAUCUUCUAUUUUCACAAAUUUCAUGUAUAAAAGAUAAUUUAUAUAUAUUUUGAUUUCUUUAUAUAUGAUUAAUAGAGUUUUUAAAUUUUUUUAAUGGUAUUAGAAUAUCAUACUUUCUAUAAGAUAUUUCAUCUUAACCAUUUUUUUUCAAUCCUAAAUAUAAUUUUUUUAACUUACCGGAUAUGAAAAUUUGAAAAGUUAUAUAAUUUAUCAUAAAUGCAUAUCUAGAAGUUUUAAAAUUAAAAUGAGAUGGGUAAAUAAGUAAUUUCACUUAAAAAAACUUUUAAAAUUGGAUGUAGAGAAAAAAAAUGAUGAUGUAUUUUGAAUCACCUAUCAUAAAAUUAUAGUUUCUAAAAAAUUGAUAUUUUAAUUUUGGACUCACAAAGAAAAUGAUAGUAUGAGAAUUUUUUAUGAGAUUUUAAUUCUUUUCUUUGCUUUAUCACAUUUCUUAAUUUUUUUUAUAUAAUUUUUUAGUAUAUUUGUAAAAGGGUUUGUGACAGCCCUCUAACUUGUAUAAUCUAAAAACUCCACUAACUAAUUGCAUUUUCUAAGUUAUAUGAUUCAACAAAUACUAACAAGUCAAUUAAUAAUUUAAUUGUUCUAUAAAUUUGAAGGUAAAAUAAAUGAAAAUUUUGCAACUAAUAAAGACUAUGCUUUUAUUCCCAUAAACAAACCAGAUGAAAUAGAUGGAGUUAAAGAAUAAACUAUUUCGGGGCAAGAUAUCAGUACUAUCUGGAUUUCUUAAGCAUCAUAAUAUCAAGAAAAUCUGACUAGAACAACUUUACAUCAUGGCAAAAUUUCAAAGAAAAACCACUAGUUUCUCAAUUUCAUUCCUUCUUUCUCUUCCCCAAAAUUACAAAUUAUCUGCAUCAAGUUGCAUUUUUACAUAAGAUGUUCGCAUAUAUCUUUCCAAAAAAAAAAGUAGUAGAAUGAAGUCAACAAAUAAAACCAACCCUGAAACCUGUAAAAGUCGGUAUAUUUCCACCUCUAUGUUGUUUGACAGUGUUCAAUGUCCAACAUUAUUAACAUCAGCACCACCUUUGCAUUUCAUCCUCUAAAAAUCGAAAAAUCUUUAGAUAAGUAGGCUUCAAGUGAAUCUGUUAGCCAUGAUUUGCAUCAACAAACCUAAGAUUCACUGAUGUUGUUAGCUGCCAUAUUCAAAGCAAACUCGUUAGAUACUGGCAUUUCUAGAACAUGGCCAAGAAGUCUGGUAAGUUCCCUACGAACAUGAAUAAAACAUAUAUAUUUUACUGGAAAGGAAAAGCAAAAGGUAAAAUAUAUAUAUGUCAUAACUGAUCUAAAACAGAAAAAAUAAUUAAAGUAUAAAAUCAAUUAUAACACAAUUAGUAUAUAUAGAAGUAGAAUCAUGUAGUUAAUCAUAAAAAAUUUAAAUAUUUUGUGUAUAACUCUUCAAAAUUUUAUUGCUUAUGGAAAUGCUAUUUUUGCUUUUUUGCUUUCGGAAGCAAAAAGCAAAUAGCAAAAACCCAAUCAAACAAAUACUAAAUAAGGCAAAAUAACCAAGAACUUCAUAUGGUUCGCUAAUGCAUUAAUUGUGCACAAGCAAUUUUAUGUUCUCGGUAGUUACCUUUUUUAGUUUUUUCUAUUUCUGGUCAUUAAGUUAUAUUUUAUUUAUUGAAUUUAAUUUUUUGAAUUUUUUAGAAUUUAUGUAUGUACAGUGUUUGAAAUUUAUAUUUUAUUUUGGGAUUACACAAUUUUUAUACAAACAUUGUAUAUAACAUAUUUUUUAUACCAAUGUUUAUAUAUACCGUAUACAUACAUACAUUUGUACGCACUAAUAUAAGGGCUAUUUUUAUUUCUCCGGACCCCCUCUCCCUCUAAAAAAAGGGGGGGGGGUUAAAACAAGGCUUAUAUAAGAAAUCAAAACUUAAUCAAACUUUAACACUAGAAAUUUGAACCUACAAUUAAACAGCUUGAACAUAAUGUUAAAGUAUGCUUGUGAUCUACUACAACAACCAAGGCUCUAAAUGCAAUUUCAAAAGCUAGAGAGGAAGGGGAGGAAUAGUGGGGGCCAAGUGAAAAUGGAAAAGCACGAGAUCAAACUCUACCAUAAGCAAACCAACAAAAUACUGAGACCCAGGAAGUGAACAAAGAGACAGGGCAAAAGAUCUUUGCAGAAUAUGGAUGCAACAAAGAAAAGAUCAGAUUAUAACCACCUUUUCACAUAAACAUUCAAGUCCCAAUUUGCAAGAAGAACCUGUUAUGUCAUAUAUGUUAAAUCAUUUUGGGAACCGGAAACACGGACGAAACUUAUCUAGACCAAGGUACUUGAAAGCAAUGAAAUGGAAAUCCGAAAAACUUGCUCCAUUCAAUUGUUGGAAAAUGCAAAAUGUACAAUUAAACAAAUGAUGAUUGCAAGCUAGAACUCCAUAAAAGGUAACACUUUCCACCCAACUAUUCAUUUCAUUUCAUUUUUCUUUCCCUUUUCAACCCUCACAUUCUUCCCUAUAAUAACAAGAGAUUCCAACUGCAAUAACCAUUCUUUUGCAGCAAAUUCAACAGCUAGCAAUUGAAUGACAAAUUGACAAUUAUGUAUAGUAAUAGUCAGAGAAAGUACUGCUUGGCAUAACUCAAUAUUCCUAUUCACAUAGUUGUUCGAUUCAAAUCAUAAAAUUAAAUGAAAUAUGGGUAAAACAGAAAAGACCCAACACAUGAUAAAGCCUAAAAAAACACAAAUAAUUGAAAAAAAAAAAAAGAGUUAUGCUUAGCUAAGAAUAGAAUCUUUCUACACAGUGAAAGUAUAACAAGGAUCAUAGAAAAAAUAUUUAAAAGAAAAAAAUACUGUGCUUAAAAAAAUAUUUAAAAAAAUAUUUAAAAAAAAAUAUAUUUAAAAGAAUGAAAUCAACAAAUAAAACCAACCCUGAAACCUGAAAUAGGCUGUGAAGAAAAAAAACAAAAAAAGCCGCUAUAUUUCCUCCUCUAUGUUGUUUGACAGUGUUCAAUCUUCAAUGUCCAUUGUUAUUAACAUCAGCACCACCUCUGUAUUUCAUCCUCCAAAAUAGUAUUUGAGUUUAAAUAUUCCUGUACGAUCAAUCUUAUGCUCUGUUUUGGAAUAAUUGGUCGAGGAUCUUUAAAAAUAAUAAAAAAAAAAGUCUCUGAAAUUUGUAUCUGUAUGGGCUUUUGUAGAUCCCCAAAGGUUGUGUUUUAACUUAGGAUUACAUAUGUUACCAUGUAGGCUUGAACCCAUGUGUGUGCUUGUGUGUGUGUUAGUGAGUGCAAGGGAAACAAUAGUUUUGCUAAAAUAUUGAGUUUAUGGACAUUGCUCUCUCCGUACAUAUGGCCCAUUAAAGCAUGUUGUUGUUCCACAAUACACGGUCUCUAGUCACCUUUUUAAUUUGACCAUGUGAUUUUGAAUAUCAUUCCAUCUCUCCAAUCUAAAAAGGCUUUUAUAUUUCCACAGAGCUGUUUUUGGAGCUAUGCAAGCAGUAUGACCAGCCAAUAGGGUCUUUUUUUGCCCGUAAGUUUUCAAGGAUGUAUUAAUUUGGAUACUUAUAGUCAAGUUUGAUUUCCUUAAAAUUGAAGUUAACAGUUUCAAGAAAUUUUUUCAUGCCUUUCUAAGCUCAUGUACUCAUUAGAAUUGUUCAAAAUUGUAAUUGACCGUUCUGGACCUCCAUUUGUGUCCAAUUUUAUAUGCUCAUAAUUGGAUUACAAGUAAGAAAGUUAUGCCUCGUUUUAAUUUGUGCUCCUCUGAAAGGAAGAAACCUGUUGUCACCUGUUUGAUGAAAUAAUUUGCAAAAUGAAGAAACCUUUUAUACACAAUAUAUGUUGUAUCAUAUUAUUUAUUUUGGAUCCUUGGAUAAUGAUUUGAGAAAUAUAUUUAUUUCCUUUUGCAGAAUUUUGAUGACGUCCUGGUGCAUGCUGAUCACGUAAGCAGGAGCUAUAAUGAUACAUACUAUGUUGACUCUCAAAUUAUAUUGAGGUGUCAUACUGCUCAUCAAGCAGAGCUGUUGAGAAGAGGAUACACUCAUUUCCUUGUAACUGGCGAUGUUACCGUAGAUCUUCUAUAGAUUCUACUCAUUACCCUGUGUUUCAUCAUGUUUCAUUUUGUUGAAAAUCUCUUUAAUUUUGACUAGCUUUUAAAAAUUUUCUUCGCUUCAGAAAUUAUUCCAAGUACAUGUGAAUUUUGCAUCACAUGCUACAUGCGUAGCACAGCCAUCCAUAUGUUGGGCCUUACAAUGGGCUCCUUCGUAGGUUCACAUGAUGAACAGCUGUGAUUUGACAUGUAACAUUUGUUGUAAGAUGGCCAUGUUCAUAAAUUAAGGUUCCUUAUUUUUUUCCCUCUGAAACAUACGCCCUUUUACCAUACAGAUGGAAGGGGUUCGUGUUUUUACUCCAAAUAAUUGGGAGGCAUCAUCUGGUCUGGAUCCCACACCAUUUGCAGCCUAGGACUUAAAGAAAAGUCUAGAGGGCCUGGCUUGUCACCUAUCUGGCAAUUUUUAGAGUCAAAGCUUUGUUGAGGGAUUACAAUUUUGCAAAUGGUCAUGCAUUUCUAUCCGAAAGAGAUAUAGGGAUUAAGAGAUCAUAUUGAGUCCAAUUUGUGAUUUACAUCUUGAAUGCACUAACUGAUUUGGCAAGACGUGGCAAUUAUUGUAACAAGAAAUCAUUACAGAUUUGCAAAUUUUUUUUGGGGAUACCAUGGAGAUAUAUGUACCAAUGUGCAAGACAUCCAGUCCUAUGUGCAAUAGCAAAACUUUUGGUAAAAUACAUAUAGGUUUUUGAGUUUUAAGCAUAAUUUAACUAGAUCUAUUAACUUGAAAAAAAGACUUCUUGUCCCAAAACUUUUUAAUUAAUAAUACACUAAGAUCUUUCUAUUAGUUAGCUUAGUUAAAAGGCUCAUUAAAAGAUCAUUUUACAUUUAAAAAAUCAAUAUCUUAAAAGACUCACAUAAAAUAAUUAUUUAUAAUAUUAAAUUUUUUUCUUAAAAUAUAUAAAAUAUAUUAAUGAUAUAUAAAAAAAAUUUUAGGUGCAAAAUAUAAAAAAAAAAUUCACAAUCAUAAAUAACAUUUUUUUCAAUCAAAUAUUUUUUCUUAUUAUAUGUUACAUGUUUUUAAUAUAACAUUUUUCGUAUUAUAAUUUUGAAUUUUAUUUUUAUAUAUUGCACGUAAAAAUCUUUUUAUAUAUUAUUAACAUAUUUUAUAUAUUUCAAGAAAAAUUAUUAUUAUAAAUAAUUAUUUUAUGUGAGUAUUAACUUAUUAUAUUUACAUGCUCUUACAUGAAAACAAAAUUCACAAUUAUAAAUAACAUUUUUUUCAACCAAAUAUUUUUUUUAUUAUAUGUUACAUGUUCUUGUUAUAACAAUUUUUUUCUUAUUAUAAUUUUGAAUUUUAUUUUUAUAUAUUGCACUUAAAAUUUUUUAUAUAUUAUUAUAUAUUUUAUAUAUAAUUUUAAAAAUUAUUAUUAUAAAUAAUUUUUUAUGUGAGUAUUUGCUUAUUAUAAAUAACAUUUUUUUCAACAAAUUUUUUUUUAUUAUAUGUUACAUGUUCUUAUUAUAACAUUUUUUCUUACUAUAAUUUUGAAUUUUGUUCUUAUAUAUUGCACCUAAAAUUAUUUUUUAUAUAUUAUUAAUAAAUUAUUAUAUUUUAAGAGAAAAUUAUUAUUAAAAAAUAAUUAUUUUAUGUGAGUAUUUGCUUAUUAUAUGUUACACAGUUUCUUAUUAUAACAUUUUUCUUAUUAUAAUGUGAAGUUUGUUUUUAUAUGUUGCACCUAAAAUCUUUUUUAUAAUAUAUUAUUAAUAUAUUUAUAUUAUUUUUUAAAAAUUUAUUAAUUAUAAAUAAUUAUUUUAUAUGAAUAUUUAAGGAUAUUGAUUUUUAACGGGUCAAAAUGAUCUUCUUAAUGAAUCUUUUAAUGAAGUUAAUUGAAAGAUCUUAGUGUCUUAUUAAUAAAAAAUUUGAGUCAGGAUGUCCAAUUUUCAAAUUAAUAGACCUGAGUUGAAUUAUACCUUAAACUCAAAGACCUAAAUGUAUUUUACUCAUAAAACUUUUCAUGGGAAAGUAUCUAAACCAAACUGCUAUAAAUUCAUAUCACUUGCAAAAUUUUAUAAAGUUAAUCAUGAUGUGUUUGCAUCAGGGGUUGAUAAUGUACUGUGUAAGUACUGCUAUAUGUGGAAGCCAAUUAGCCUCACUCUGUUAACAUUCCAGCUGCUGUGGAGAUGCGUUGGAUCAAUGCCUAUUUCCCAUUUACCAGUCCUUAUGAAGUUGAAAUCUAUUUCAAGGUAUUCUCUUUAUCCCUUUUAGAGGAUAUUGUUAGUAUUUUCUUUAAGAUCGAGUUAUUUAGUCGGAAGAAUCUUGAUUCAUUUUUUUGCCUUUUUCCCUUGCUUUAUUGCAAUGCUUAUGGUCAUUUUGUCAAAAAAUUCUUUUAUGAUUGUUUGACAGCCAAAUUUAGGGGUGAACACUAUGCUUAUUAUUGUAAUGAUAAAUUCUAUUAAGAUAAAUCAAGAUUUGGACGUUUCUAAUACCUUACCUACAUGUUUGUACUCUGUGUUGUUAGCCCUUUUAUUUUUAUUGAUUGCUGUUCAAUAUGAAUCUUUUUAAAUCAAUGGCUAUUGCAUGUGAUAACUUUAGCACCGAGCAUAACUUACCAGUGACCUAGAUGGAGGUUUUGGGUUGCAGGGUAAUGGAGCAAGAAAUAUUGAAAAGUCAUGGUAGAUUAAACAGUGUUGCUCGGGCCUUUGGACUUGGAUUGGAGCGGCAAGCAAUGGUUUGAUUUGACAUACCAGAUAUUCGUCUUUUUGGCUGAACUGAUGAGCGAUUUACCUCACAGCUAGCCUCUGAAUGUAGCUUCAUGAUUUGAAUGUUGAAGUUCACGGAUUCCUAAUUUAAUAUCUCCGCCCAAGUCUGAUUAAGCUACUUGACUGCAGUUUUCCGAAGGCCAAUUGGAGUAAAGUUUAAACCCUUUUCAAAGGUAUAAAUUAAGCAAAUGGUUUCUUUUGUUUCCACUGUAUAUUCCUUUUGUUAUUUAAUACCUAUUACAGAAACAUGACUUGACUCCUCCACAGUUUUUGCAGUAUUCUCCCUGUUAUAAAGACAUGAGUUUUUGGAUCAAUGAAUUAUUUAGUGAGAACAGUUCAUGUGAAGUUCUAAGAGGAAUAGCUGGGGAUCUUGUUGAAGAGGUAUGCAAUUUAAUAUUUUUAGCCAGAAAUAUCUUCUGAAGAUAUAAACAUGUUCACCUAUAUGGUAAAUUUGACUAACUGAAUGUUGUAUAGAGUACGUGUUAUCAGUUAAUAAAUAUUAUAAUUGUCCAAAUGAUGGACAAGGUAUUGACCUAGAUGAGUUUAUUUGAUUGACUUCCUUUAUGUCGUCCUUUAUAAACAGCAAAACAGAAAUAAAUGUUAUUAGAUUUCUAGUUUUUUUCUUAAUAUGACUUAUUUUUACCCCACAUAUGGGCUGUAUGAAACAAUUUAGGAGUAACCAGUGCAAAUGGAUAUGCAUGCUGAUUCAGCUCUUUUUAUAUAGAAAAAAAAAAAGGAAAGAAAUUGUCAGCCAGCCAGUGUUGUGUGUCCAGAGACAGUUAAGAGGAAUUUGUUCACCUAAAAUUUAAUGAAAAUGACUAGGACUCUAACCUUUGGAUAUUGGUAAAAUAUUUUCUCUGAAUCUGUGAUAGCAAUUGUAACCAUUUAAGCUCACUUAAAUAUUGAAGGCAGGAGUGGAUGGCUAGUUUGUUUCUUAAGGUGUCUUAUUGAUGUAGUAAGCAUAUUUUAAAUUCUACACAGAAAGAUCUUAUGCACCAUAUCAACAGGUUAAUGUUGUAAACGUUUGGAAGUUUUGUACAUGUUUAGCUUUAAUUAAACCGAGAUUAUCAUCUUAAAUCUUUCAACAAUCAUAAUUUGAAGAAUUUGAGGGUCUUGUUGAUAGGUCUGUUUGACAGAAAAUAUUUGUCUUGUGGCUACCAGGUGAGUUUGAUAGAUAACUUUACCAACAAGAAUGGAAUGAUAAGUCAUUGUUAUUGGAUUGCACAUUGCUCCAUGGAGCGCUCACUUGAGGUGCAGUUUGGGAAAUUGAGGGUCAGAGAUCAAAGACCGCCAUGGUUUGCAUUACACAUUUGAAUGUUUAAGAGAGAUUUGACUGGUAUCUUCAGCGGUCUAUUGAUUAAAAUAUCAUCUGGGAGUUGAGAGCCUGUCAAUUUGAUUAACUUUCUCUUCUUGAUCUUUUGUUUACCCUUAAAGACAUUGCAGCGCAGAAAUAUGAAGCUUAUACAAAUGCUGAAAUAAUGGAUGUCAAUGGGAUGGAUACAACAAUUUUAUUCUCAUUUUUAAUUUUUUUACUUUAUAUCUAUAUUAAUAUUUUUAAAUUUAUAUUUUUAUUUUUGUUGGGGGAGUUAAUGGGUUGAUCGGCCCAUAUUUACAACUUAAAAACUAAAAAAAUUUUGUUAUUAUGUUCGAUAAAAAUUUAAAAUUAUAUUUAUUUUCGUUUUUAUUUUAAAAUUUUAAAUACAUAUUUUUAUUCUUAUUCAGAUAAAAAGAUUAGAUUUUUCAUCGAAUUUGAAUAAAAACAAAGUCAUCAGAAACGAAAAUUCUUUUAUUGGAGAAAUUUAGCAGUUUAGAGGAAGCAAUUUUUUUGCGUUUUCGUCAAAGCUAGUUUGAAAGGACAACCAACACAAAAGUCCAAUUGGUGCAAAAGAUUAUUCCGACGGGCAUUGCCAACAUGGGAAGGAAUUAUUCGCGUGUGCAAUUUGGACAAAAAAUUGACUGAUUUUCAAAACAAGUAAGAAGGCCGAAAAAGAAUCCGAAAGCCUGAUAAAAGAAUUUGGCGUUUUGGGUUCCUCCUUUACUCCUUCGUUCUUUAAUCCUUCAGUCGAUUCAUACCCAAUUCUUCAAUCCUUCAGUCGAUUCCUAUCCAAUUCCAAUUCUGAUUUCAAAAAAUCCCAAAUCCGAUGAUCGAAAGGAAUUAAUUGACGAAGGACGAUCUCUUCUUGUUGGGUAAUUUCAAUUCGGAUUAGUCAAUCGUGGGUAAAAGUUAAAUGUAUUGGGCGUUUUAGACUUCUUGUUCAGGUGAGUACUGUAAAUAUUUUGUUAUUUGGAUAAAAAAUUUAAUUCCUUCUUUUUCUUACAUCAAUAGAAAUUUAUGAUUUGGGUAAACAAAUUGAGCAUUUAGCCUUUCAUGAGAGAAUGCUUGAUCUUGUCUAUGGAAAUUUAAUUAUGACACCAGUUAGUGUGUUGAUCACGUUUGUUUCAUUACCUUAAUUAAUAGUAAUAAGGAUUUUCACUCACUUAGUUUAAAACCUUCUUUCAAGUGAUUGGAGCAACAGUCGUGAAUGAGAAUUGAAGUUCAUCUUGCUUGAGGCAAGGAAUCUAUAAACCUUUUCUCUUGUUUCUGUUAAGAUGACUGAUUCAAGCGAGCCCCAGUAGCCAGGAAAAGAACCUCAGCAAUCUGAAACAGAACCUCAACAAUCUGAGCAAGGUAAAAUUUGUUCCUUUUUUUUAAUUCUUUUUAAAGGUGUAUAUGUAUAUUUACUUAUAUGGCUAACUCUUUGACUUUUCAGUCUGCAAUUUCUUUAGGAAGCCAACAAAGGGCAAAAAACCAUAAGGAAAAGGACAAUAAAUGAAUAUGAAGAUGAAGAUGAAGACUCCAGAAAUGGCACAUCUUUGUUUCACAAUCAGAAAAACGCUUUGAAGCCUGACUCUUUUCAACUGGAUCCUCCAGGAGUGCUACUCCCACUGAAUCAAAUACAGAAUCUGACAAACCGAUUUUCAAUUUGAGUCUUCGAAGGAAAUUCAAGUUCAAAAUGAUAGCAGAGCUAUGGCAACCUUAGAAACUGAGACUGAGUUUACAAAAGAUGCUCGCGCGAUACGCGAGGAAGUUUUUGGAGGCUUUGAAGGGGAAAAACACAAGCUGGGGGAGAGAAGUUGUAUAAAGGAAUGCAUGGCUAUGUGGAUCAUAAGGCUGGGUUUCGAAGAGAGCAAACAGUUGCCAGUGAGAAAGCAGGUGGCAUGGAUAGGGCUUUUGCCCACAUCUUCAGCAUUUGAUUAUCAGCCUGACAUCGGUAAAGACUACAAAGAAACUGGUUACUGUGGUUACGGAGAUUCAUGUAAGUUUAUGCAUGAUCGUGGAGAUUACAAGUCUGGAUGGCAGUUAGAGAAGGACCGGGAAGAAGCAGAGAAAGCAAGGAAGAGAAAUCUGGCUUUGGGUGGCGAUGAUGAUGAUGAUGAGGCAGGGGUAGACCAGAGUGAUGAUGACGAUGAUGAUUCGUUGCCCUCUGCAUGUUUUAGUUGCUGGCAACCUUUUGUGGAAGUGCAAGUACUACUUCUGCCAGCAUUGUGCUUUAAAGGUGCCCUCAAUGCCUUUUCACGUGGAUUAAUUUUUUUUAGUGUCUUUUUUGUGCUAGGUUAACAUCUAUUAGUUUUUGUUAUGUUUGUUGUUAAUGCAUCACUUAGAUGCAAAACUUUUUUGGUUACUUACAUACAAAGAAUAUUUUAUGUGGUCCAACUUUUUUCAGCUAUAGAAAUAGGACAUAUUUUAACUUUACAUCAUCAACUUUUGGUGCCUCAUGUCAGUAUAAUUUACAUUUUUAUUCUCAUUCGAAUGUAAACUAACCAACUGCAUCUUUUGGUUUUUUCAGCAUCACACAAAGAACAAACAAGUGCUUUAUGUGCAACCAACCCACCCUUGGCAUUUUCAAUACUGCUCAUGAGAUACGUAGAAAGAUGGCUGAAGAGGGUAACGAUAAGUCCAUUGAUGCUUUUUUUCAACUCCUGCUGCCAUUAAUAUUUUUAUUUCUUUGUUUUGCCAUUUUAGUGGAAAGAUUUACUUGUCUGCAUACCUUAUUGAACAAAAUGUAUUCCGAGCUAGAUCUUGGGGGGAAUUUUGGAUUAUGCAGUGAUGAGCUCUUUAAAAUCAUUGUUGCUGCUGGAAUUGGUGUUUUUUUACCAAGUAUUUAGGUAAGUAUUGUUUCUGUGUCUGCUGCCACUGCUGCCUUUUGCCCAUGACGUAACAUUUCUACCUCGAGAUAGCAGUGCAAUGCAGUAAUCAACUUUCCAAGAAUCAGCAUUCCAACUUCACAACCUUCACAAUGGCCGAGAAUUCAUCUUGAUCAUAUCAAAAUCCAUGUCUAGAUGACACAUUCUGGUAGGGUCAUGAUCUAGGAAGGAUGUUACUUCACAGAGUUUAAGGCUGUAGGAUUGCUGAUAGUUUCAGUUGGGUAGGGACAGCUAAUAGAACCUGUGAUUUUUGUGCUGUCCAAGUCCAAAGCAUAGAAAGCUUUAAUGAACAGUUUCUUCCUUGAAAAAACAGUUUCCUGCAUUUAAGACAAAAAAAAUUAUGAAAUCAGCUACCAAACCUAAACUUAAAUUCAAGAUAUUGUAAUCUUUGGCUCUUAACAGCUGAUGUAUACUCAUCAUAUUCUUAGUAUGACCUUUAGUUUCCCUUUUUACCCUCUAUAGUUGUUAGGGAAAUUAAAACACCAUCAAAGUUAGUUUGGAAUUGUCGAGCUUGAGACCUGGAAACCAGAAGCUUUCUUCUAUUCCUUUUCAGUGUUUUUAUGGUGAUGUAGCAUCUUAGCUUGAUCUUGGUCUGUUGUCGACAAUUAUUCUGUGUUAGUAGAUGCAAUUAACUUCUUGUUUGGCAAUUAACGUGGUUACGCCUAGUCAUUGUUGUACAUGCCAUGGCUGGUAUAUCUUCUUGCACUGCAAAGUGUGUUGAGUCAUUGAUUAUCCUGAUCUGCUGGUCGAAAGGGCUGCUUUGGUGCCUGAUACAAUCUCUGUUCAAACUAGUGAUCUCCUCUGUUACCCAAUACAAAUUUCCAUGUCCCACCUUGGAUGGGUUUUCACUUUUCAACACAGCUGUCAUUUUUGCUCUGACUGGACAAAAAUGUUUAGCCGAACAUCAGUUUUGUAAGAAACAGAUAAGCAGAACAAGCUUUAGUCAGGAAGUCAUAUCCUUUCUGGAACUGUAUUUGGCAACCCAUGCUUUCCUUUUCCUAGUAUCUUCUCAAAUCAUUGGCCUGACAAUUCAAACGAUGAAGUUACUCCAUUUUGUUAGAAACAAUCAAGUUUUGUAUGCAGUAAACUCAAUGUUGACCAGGAAUAAGUGAUUGAGAGUAAAGGGAAAAAUCAUAAGAAAAUUACUGGAUGCUCUUUUUCAUAAACAAAGAUUUUACCACUAACCUUUUUCUAAAGAUAAAAUUAAAUCAUAUUAAUCAAGUCCACAUUAAUAAUUAAGAAUGGCAUUCACAUAACUUUCAAGUUGUUAAAAGUUUCUUUGUAUUGCCCACAUGUUUUUGUUUAGUGAAGGUCUAUUCUAUAUGGAUAUCAAUCGGAUAGCAAUAGCAAUAGCAAUAGAGCUUACAAAAAGCCAUUUGUUUUUGUCUGUGUGGGAGUCCAGAAGCAGAAAAACAAAGGAUGAUACGGGAUUAAAGUUAAGAAAAUAAUAAAGGAAAUAUUUAAAUCUCUCUCGCCAUAGUCAAAUCUAUAGUUAUUAGGGGCAAUGAAAUAAUAUCCUUUGGAAUUGUCGAGCUUUAUACCUGGAACUGGAAGCUUUGUUCUUUUUUCUUCUUUCUCUGUAGUGAUGUAGUAGCUAAUACAGGAAUAAAGCAUCUUAGCUUGAGCUUGGUCUGUAAAGAUUUUUCUGUGUUAGCAGAUGAAACUUCUAGUUUUGGCAGUUAAAGUAGUAGGCAUAGUCAUUUUUGUACAUGCCAUGGCUUGUAUCAGAUUCCUGCAAUGCAAAUAGUUGAGUUGAAUCAUUGAUUUCGUUAAUGUAAUUCUUGGUUGUUAAUGUAAUUCCUGGUCUGGUAGUCGGAAAGUCCUACUGGAGGUUGAGAGGAGAGUAUGUGUGACCUGUCACAGAAUAGAAAGUCAGGGGUGCCGAACAUGUUAUUUUGAGGCAUGCUCCGACGCACAAGAUAAGAUAGUAAGAUACACCAGAAGCAAGAAAAUGUAAAAGAGCAGGAAGUAGUUAAAGAGAGUAAAGAGGGUUGAGUAGUCAAUCACCUAACUCGUCUGAUUUACUUUUAUACCUCUUGGGUAAUAAUGUGGCAAACUGGGCUUUCAUGUGUAAAACCUAUUAUGUGAUUGCUGACAUGACCACUUAGAUAUAAUAAUACUGAAGAGCUUAAAAAAUAAUAAGAUUUUCCUUAAGAAAAUUUUUUGGAUAAAUGAUUUUUAUUAAUCCAAAAAAAGCAGUAGACCUGCUACAAAUAAACAGUAGGCUAUCAAGACCUUACAAACGUCAAAGAGCAACCUAAUAAAGUAAACUAAUUAAACUAAGCAACAUAGAGGAACCAGUCCCCAAUUCAGACACAUUCUUUUUUGCUAAGCCAGAAAUUAGUUAAUAAAAACAGAGUUACACAACAGGGGAACCCCAUAACUCAGCAGUAGAACACCAACCUAUAGAUAGAACAGAAGAGAAGCACAAUACAACCAGACAUUACCUUCAAUCAUCCUCGAGCAUAAGAGAAAGAACUGAGACACAAAUACCAUAACACCAGGCCAAAAACAUUCAGGCACAAUUUCUGUUGUUGAAAAAGGAAGAGUGAACUGGAGACUGCAAUCCUGUUAUUGAAUCGAAGCCAAAAGGAACUUUUGAUAGCUGAAACAAUAGCAUCUAUAUAUCUAGAUGGCCUGCCAAACUUCCUUUGAUUGUGCUCCUGCCAAAUAAAAUAUAUAUGAGCAUUCCAAGUCAAUCUAAGGAAAAUAAAUGCCAAAACUUUGCUCUUAAAAUGGCCGACAGCCCCAAUCUAACUCUAAAUACCAGUCACCCACAGGUCUUGUACAAAUUACUAACUUGAAAAUUAAUUUUCAUUUGUAAAAUGAGGUUAGGAAAUUCAAAGGACUUCCUAGUUUGCAGGCAAUUUUUUUUACCAAGUUUCAAAAAGGGAACGAGACAUAAAGUUGAAAUGUUCUUGAAUUAAAUUUUGAAUGCAAUCACUUUAGUAAGUUAUUAGUUAGUUAGUGCAGAUAAAUGACAAUAUAAGAGAGCAUUUAAAUAAUUUUAUUUUUUUAGGCUACAGUUCACAGAAUCAGUAACAAAACUUUUGAGUUAUUAAGUAUUCUAGAAUGCUUACCAAAUGACAUUGAAACUUGAAUUUUGAUUGAGUCACCUUGAUCUUCUCCAUUUUCGAUUCCAAUUCCGUGUAAACCUUUCCAACCAUUUGUUCCCCAACUCAUUCAGCACUGUAUAUCCAGUACAUAAUCCAAUGACCAAUCCACAUCCAUACCCUAUCAACACAAUUUUCCUGUCAGAUAAACCAUCUACCCAUGAAUCUGCAUCUUCCUUAGGGGUUGGCAUUCCAGGACCAUCUUGAUUGCAUUUCCUUGUCAGAGGCAGCCCACAUAAUCUUGGAUUCCCUUUGUUAAGAAUCGUUUGAAAAUGUACCGAAUGUAGCCUUUGUGGUAUGCUUCCCUCAAGUUGGUUUGUAAGAGAGCAUUCAAUACUUUCAAGAAAUGUUAUGGCUUGUAAGCUGUAGAGGAAUCCUUCCAGAGAGUUUGUUUUUGGGAGAGGAUCCAACGACUCAAGCCUCAGUUAACGUUUUCAAGUGCUAAAGGAAUUGGGCCAAGGAGCUGUUGAAGAUAAGUUUAGGCACUUUGAGCUGACUUGGGAGGUUUGUAUUUCGUCAUGGUAUUUCUCCCUUGGAAACUAUUAUGGAAAGGUCAAGACAAGAUAAGGAUGGUUAAGAUUUUCUCGUAAAAAAUUACAAACCCUUUAUUCACAAUUGUUACAGAGUCUGGUAGUAAUCAUCUCCAAUAUAAUCUGGCUUAGCUCUGUUGCCAUCAGUCAUCAUUCUCAUUGCCUUCAAAGAUUGAAAAAAUCCAACGGAUAACUCACCUGAAAAGUUAUUGGAAGCAAGGUCUAGUAUGUGUAACUCUGGCAAAGUAUCUUCAUCCCCAAAAAUUUUAAUUGGACCAUAAAAUCUAUUUGCUCUUAGUACAAGAACUUUCAAAAAAGGCAAUUUCACCAACCAAAAAGGAAAUGUGUCCUGUAUCAUAUUUUUUCCAAGGUCCAAAACUUCAAGAUUUCUGCAAUUGGCUAAUGACCUCGGCAACUUCCCUUCCAACUUAUUCUCACUGAUUAUGAGUGACCUUAGUUCAGUGGUUUGAAAGAAUUCAAUUGGUAAUUGCCCAGAAAAAUUAUUAAAAGCAACGUCUAACACAUCCAAGUCUUGAAAAUAAUUUUUCACAUGUUUAAUUGGACCGUAAAACCUAUUUGCUCUCAAUAUAAGAACCACCAACCAAGGCAAUUUUCCCAACCACGAAGGGAAUGUAUCAUACAAAGUAUUGUUUCCAAGGUUUAAAACUUCGAGCAUUGUGCAAUUGGCCAAUGAUCUUGGCAACUUUCCUUUCAAUUUAUUGUCAUUGAGUUGAAGCCAAUAUAAUUGGGUUGCUUUCGCAAAAUCCGGUAUGUUGCCGCUGAAAUUAUUUUUCUGUAGAUCCAAAGAUCUGAGAGAACUGAUAUUGCCCAAGCAACUUGGGAUUGGCCCACUUAAUUUGUUAAAGGAUGCAUUAAAGGUCUCAAGUUGCCUCAAAUUGCAAAUAGGUCUUGAUAAAGAGCCUUGUGAAGAAGUUAGAGAUUGGUUGAGCGAAAAUUGGUCCAAAGAUGAGAGAGAAUUGUUAGAAAGAUCCAGAUACCACAAACUUUUCUUCCACACCCAGUUUGGUACUGCACCACUUAUUUUGUCAUUUGAAAGGUCAAGAUCUUUUAAACUAGUUUGACUCUUUAAAAACUCUGGAAACAUACUUAGGUUACAGAAUCGUAAACGCAAGUAACUCAACAUUGGAAAAGAGGAGUUUGCAUCACCAAAAGGAACAUCUGUUGGAAAAUCAAUCGUAUUGAAAGAAAGGUCUAAACUCAAAAGAGUGGUCUUGCACAACCAAUUAGGCACAAAACCAUGGAUUUGGUUGUCAGGAAGAUAUAGAAAAGCCAACUUGUCUUGUGUUUUGAUGAAUUCUGGAAAUUCAGUAAGGUUGCAUGAGUGUAGAUACAGCAUCUCUAAUUGGGGAAAAGCAAGGCUUGUGAUGUUGCCUUCAAUUGAUAAAUUUAUAUUGGAAAGUUGAAGACAACUUAAGUUCUUGAGUUGGAAGAAUACGUCGAGCUUUACGCAACUAAAGCUAUUGAAGCCUAAAUACAAUACUUCAAUCAAUGAAGAAGACGCAAUGGGGAUCUCACGAAUUUCACCAACCAAUUGAUUUACUUCAAGAAGCAAUGUAUGCAAUGAUGGGAGAGUAAAUAACGAAGAAUGUAUUGAUCCAGAGAGGUGGUUCCCCCACAAACAAAGAUAUCCAAGAUUUGGAACUCCAGAUCUAUGAAAUGGAGGGAUUAAACCACUGAAAUUAUUAUCUCCUAAAUUCAGUUCCACAAGGUUUGUGAGAUUUGCAAUUGAUGAUGGAAUUUGUCCAAAGAAAUUGCCAUAAAAAAGAUUUAAAUUUGUCAAGAACUUGAGAUUACCAAUUGAUUCUGGUAGUUUUCCACUGAAAUUUGUAUCAGAAAUCGUUAAGAUCCGUAAAGCAUUGUUUGAUGGAAAUUCUGGCAACUGACCUCCAAGAGCGUAAUUAUUUGAAAUGUCAAUGCUUUCUAUUUUUGGCAACUUGAGAAUUUCUGUUGGAAAAUGCCCACUCAAAUUGCAAUUCACUAAACUGAGAGAAAUCAAACGAGAGGAAAUUUCCAACAAAUUGGGAGGUAAAUAAGAGAUCGGGUUCCUACCAAGGAAAAGUUUGGAAAGAAAAGGAAGUCUUGAGAGUGAAGAACAAAAUGGACCUGUCAACCCACAAUUCGACAGACUUAACACAUGCAAGUUAGGAAGUAUUAUGGAUGUGGUCUCACAGCAUUCACUACUUUGAGUUGAAAUGUUCACACUAUCCAAAUAGAGGUCUGUAAGAGGUCUCAAAUUUUGGAUUAAUGACUUGAAGUUUGGGUUUUCUAGUUUCAGAGGUUGUUGAAGGUUGUCAGGAAGAUCAUCGUACCAGAAAUUUGGAUCAAGAAUUUGAUUAUACCGUAGAUAGCAAGAAUCUUGAUUAGAUAGAUCAAGAGAAACUAACCUUAUUAAGUAUGAAAUCUCCACUGGAAUUUGGCCAUGGAAACAUGAGUUUGAAAGGUCGAGAUGAGUUAAAUUUGGGAAUCUAUCAAACUCAUAUUGAAACAGAGUAGUAUUAAAAUUGUUUCCAGCAAGAUUAAGGCGUUGAAGAUGAUGGAGAUUGAAAAUGGAGUGAAAGCUGCCUGAAAAGUUUUUGUAACUGAGAUCAAGUUCAAUCACAUGACCCAAAGCAUCACAUGUAAUUCCUUUCCAAGAGCAACAGUCAGUGUUGGGAUCCCAAAGCUCAACUUUGGAAGAGAAAGUAAAAUUUGGGGCAUAGUAAAGAUCAUGGUGCAAUUGUAGCAGAGCAGAUUUCUGGUGAUGAAGGCAUUGGUUUUGGAGAUCAGGAGGGGAAAAAGAUAACACAAGAGAUAUAGAGCAUGAGAAGAGAAACAAGGUAGGAAAAAUGAGUGAAAUUAGGAUAUGAAGAUUCUUCAUUUUUUGUUGGCUCUCUAUAAAGAAAAAAUGAAGGGAAAACUAUGGAGUUUGAGAUUUGCUUACACGUUAUUUAUAGACAAGUACUUCAUAUUAGGUACUGUUAUUGUAGCUACAUAUCUCCCUUGAUCUCAAGAGAUAAGUUCAAAUGCGUUUUUCCAACCACGUGUUUGUACAAAUCAUGAGUUUGAGCUAUUUCUAUAAGAGUUGAAUCAAAAUAGGUGGAAGACAGACAUAUUUAUUGCUUGUCCAUUUUGAAUUUUAAGGAAUGAAUAAUGGGUCAAUGGUGAUAAGGCUUAUAGUUUUGCUUUUGUAAAUUAAUCUUUAUCACUAUAUCUUUUCUUUUCUUCCACUUUUUAUUUCAUAUUAUGCAUUCGUACAAAUAACAAUUAAAUAAAAAAUUAAUUUUCUCAAAAGAAUGAAAAUUUUCACUAAGCUUUGCUCAUCUAUCAACUUGUCUGAAAGAGUAAUCUUACAAAGAUUUAUCAAUCAAAUCAAUUCUAUUAUUAAGGACAAAGGAAGAUGCAAGGCUAUGGGUGAGUUGUCAUGAACACCUCCAAACAUGGAAGGAGAAGAAAUUUCGAAAGAGAAUUUUUCAACAUCUCUAAUUUUUUAAUUUUUUUCAUCCAUGAAAUUAAUAAAUACAAUUAUAUAAUAAACACAGUAAACUCAAAAACGAUUGAACCUCCAAUGUUUUUGGCAACACAAUGACAGAUUUGCAAGAAAAAAAAAUCAAAGUUUUAAAAAAUGCUGACUGCUUUUUUUUUUUUUUAUGAGUAGACAAUUUUCAAUAAAAUAAAAUCAUGUAAUAUGAAUAAUAUAUUAUUUUAAUUUUUAUAUUUAAUUUUUAUAUAUUUUAAAUGAAUAUUUUUGAAAAAAUUUUUGAUUUCACCACUGAUUAUGAAAUUAUACGAAAUUCUUUUUUUGAAAAUUCUAAGUUGUUUCUUCUUCUUAAUGGGAAAGCUUGAACCUCCUUUUGGUAUCCUCGAUCAACUUCCUCAUAUAUAUCAAAUUUUUUUAUCCAAAUAAGCAUUAAAAGAAAAAGGGAUAUGAUCGUUUGGUGCAUUUUUAAUUUGUUGCAAUCCCACCUAACAUCUUGUAAUAUGGCAGCACAUAUGUUGUAAUUAAGAACAUUGCCUACCUAACCUGAAAAUCUAGAGCAAAAGUAUGAAUGAAAUGAAACGAGGGCAAAAGAUGAAAGCAAGGAGGAAACAUCCAGCCAACAGAGUGCAAGUGCUGAAACUGAGUUUCCAUGUAUUCAGUUCCCUGGUCUAUUGAUGUCAAGUCAGAGAUUAAUGGAUGCCUUUGGUUUUUAUAUUUUUCAAUAAAUGAAUUGAAAUUUUAAAAAAUAGUAAAAGAAAAAAAAUACAAACCAAACGAAAUCUAAAUUAUAUUUUUCAGUUAGGGUUUUUAUUUUUUUUAAUAAAUGAAUUGAAAGCAAAAAAUAAAUAGUAAAGGAAAAAAAUCCAAACCAAAUGAAAUCUAUAUUAUAAUUAAUCAUCUUAAAUAAUUAGCAAUUAAUUGCUUGAUGGAAUCUUAUCUAUAAGAAUUGAGAAAGCACAAUGAAAGAGUCAAGAUGUUGAUGGUAGUAUUCAAUCAGAUACUUAAAUUUUUAAUUAUUCAAAAAUAAUAGGAUCUAAAUUUUUGAUUAUUUGAAAAUAAGAGGAUGAAAGAUAAACUUUAGGAUUUGAAAAUUAUCUUUUUUUUUUUCCAAAGUCCUUGAAUCAAUUGAAACAUCAGAGAAAAAUAUGUGUUCUUCAAAUUUUUUUUCUCAAAAUUUUCAACAAAAGUAAAACAUGUUUUUCAAUUUGUUGAUUAGGCAACUUGUUUCUCUUGCUUUUAUUUGUAAUAUACUAUUAGAUUUAAUGGCAAUUGUAUUUUUUAAUUAUAUGAACUUUUUGUUUUUUAACAUAUCGGAAUAUAUAACAAUCCUCCAACUUCAUAAAUUUCACAUAAUUUAUAGAUAUUUAUAUAUAUUUAUAUAUAUUAUUAGUAGAGUUUUAAAGUUUUAUAAAUGGUGCUAAUAUAUUAUCACAUGUUUUAUUUUUUUUAUAAUUUUUAAUAUAUAAUAUAUGUUGUUUAUUACUUGAAAGCUUAUCUUGAUAUAUAAUCACGCAAAUCUUUCAGAAAUGGAUUAUUGAAAAUUUUCUUCCUUAAAGUCUUGUUUGCUUGCCGUUUAUUUUCAUUUGUAUGGACACAAUGUUUAAUCAUAAUAAACAAAAUAUUUUCUAUGUAAAGAAAAUUAACAAAAAAAAAAAAACUAAAUAACUACCACUUGACAAUCCGCACAUUUAUUUUGACAUUUCCAAUGAUCCGACGACCUUACCACUUCCAAAUUAAAUUAAAUUUUUACUACCUCAUAUAACUCGAGCAUUUAAUAAAUGAAAUAUGUUCUAAUUGUAAAAACUAAGGUAGAUAUAAUGCUCAAUUGAACGAGUCUUAAAUAUCAUUGUUGCUGCAGGCAUAUGCAUUAGUAUUUAUGCAUGUGAGCUUUUUUUUUUUGUGUUAUUAAUUUUUACAGAGUUUAAGAAAAAAACUUUGAUUUUAAUAUUUUUAAGAUUAAAAUUUAAUUUUUUUAUAAGAUUAAAGUUUCAUGAUUUUUAAUGUCAAAAAGUUAAAAAAAAAUCAUAAAAAAUAAUUUUAAAAUAUAAAAAAGUAAGAGUUUGAGUUAUUCCAAUAAAGAAAGAUGAUAUAAUUUUGAGAUAUCUAAAACAAAAAAAAAAAACAAGAGACUGUGGGAAUACUAUAUUUAGACAUUACCAUUAGAAUCAUUAAUAAGUUCUCUAUAGUAAAUGAUGAUAAAACUUUAUUAUAAAUCAAAUUAUAAAUGAAAGAAUAAACUUAAAAAGAGUUACAUAUAUGUCGAACUUUGGAUAGUUAUAAAUCACGAAGUAAAAGUUUAAAAAAAAUUUAGCAUAAUUGUUAAAGUAAAAUAUGUAUUGUAAUGUGAGAAUCUAAUAUCGAGUGUCAUAUCAUAUCGUAAAUAUUAUAAAUAGUUUUUAUAAUUUUUAAAAUUAAUUAUAAAUAAUAUAUAUAAAUCAAAUAAAAGUUUUUAAAACAUACUCUACAUAUUAAUGGGAUUAAGUGAUUAAUGGACAUAAAUAUAAAAUAUGAUUAUUUUUCAAACUUUCAUCACAUUCUGUUUUCAAAAAUAUAUAUAUAUAUUUGAUAUGUUGUUAAUUUAUAAAUAUUAUAUGCUAUAUGUGAAUCACAAAAGAAAUUUCUAAAUACAUUCCCAUUUUGUCUCUCCACACCCUUUGUAUUUCAAAAUUAUUUUAAAUGAAAUUAUUUAAUUACUCUUUCUCUUUUCUCUUCACACUUCUUCUACUUUUAAGCUUUUGGAUUUACAAAAUUCAAAAACUUUUAAGAGUUUUCAUAGUUGUAAAUCUAGAAGCUCUUAAAAGCCUCUAGAUUUGUAUAUCCAAAAGCUUUUAAAAGUUUCCGGAUUUGCAUAUCUAGAAGCUUAAAAUUUUCUAUAAGAUAUUUUUUCUUAACUAUUUUUUUUUUAGAACCUAAAUGUAACUUUUUUUUUAACUUUUUGGAUAUUAAAAUCUAGUAAGUUAUAAAAUUAAAACAAGAUGGAUAAACAAGUAAUUUCACUUAAAAAGUAAAAAAAAAAGUGGAUCUAAAGAAAAAAUGAUGGUGCACUUAGAAUCACCCAUCACAAAAUUAUACUUUAUGAAAAAAAUUGAUAUUUUAAUUUUGGACUCAGAAAGAAAAUAAUAGUAUGAGUUUUUUUAUUGGUAUUUAUCUUUUAUUUGUUUCACAUUUUUAAGUCUUCCCAUCUUGCAAAUGUCUAAGUCUUCUUAUCCCAUCAUUAUUACUCUAUGAAAAAAAAAAAAAAACAAUUUUUAACAAUUUGCUUAAGUUAAGUCUAUUUUUGUAAAAAGACAAAAAAAAUAACAAUUUUCUCGAUGGAGGUUUUCUUUUCUUUUCUAGUUAAAUUGGCAUAUUGAGAAUGGAUCUUAAGUAUAUUUAUUAUUAUUAUUAUUAUUAUUAUUAUUAUUAUUAUACUUUAGUCUUUCUAAUGACUUAGACUGAAGCAACUGCUAAAAUUAUUAUUUUUGUGAAGUAAAAAUGGGGGCAAAAAGACUAACAUUUGCAUGCUUAAUGCCAAGACUAAGUAUAAAGCAAAGACUAAGACUUAGACCAAUACAUUCCUAUAGUAUCUAUUAUUUUCUUUCUUAUUCCACCAUUAUAAAAUCCUAAUUUCCAAAAUAGAUAAGUUUGAGAAGUGAGAAUGAAUAUGUUCUUUAGAUUUUUUUUUUUUCAAAACUUUCAACAAAAAUAAAACACAGGUUUUUAUUUUGUUGAUUUUUUUUUUGCCAAUCAAUUUGUUGAUUAAGCAACUUGUUUCUCAUGUUGUUGUUCCUAAUAUACUAUUAGAUCCAUGGUGUGCUCCUUUUUUUUAUUUUUCUUUUUGUUUUUAUUGUUAAUAUAUCUUUAAAGAUCCUAUGAUUUAGAAAUUCAAUGAACCAAUAACCAUGCAGUAUGUUAGUAAAAUGCUAAACUCUUAGUUUUAGUAGUUUAAAAUUCAAAUCUUGACAACCUCACAAGCCAAAAAAAAAAAAAAAAACAAUCUUCUAAUUUCACAAAUUUUAUAUAUACAAGAUAACUUAUAUAUAUAUAUAUAAAACAAUUUCUUCACGUAUGAUUAAUACAUGAUUUAAAUUUUAUAAAUGGUAUUAGGUUCUCAUACUUUUUAUACGUAAGAUAUUUUCUCUUAACUCUUUUCUUUUUCAAACCUAAUUGUAACUUUUUUAACAUAUCGAAUAUGAAAAUUCGGUAAGUUAUAUAACUUAUAAAAAAUGUAUAUCUAGAAGCUUUAAAAUUAAAAUGAGAUGGAUAAAUAAGUGAUUUUACUUAAAAAAUUAAAAAAAAAAGUGUAUGUAGAGAAAAAAAAUGGUGUACUUAGAAUCACCUAUCACAAAAUUAUACUUUAUAAAAAAAUUGAUAUUCUAAUUUUGGACCCAUAAAGAAAAUGAUAGUAUGAGAUUUUUUUAUUGGUAUUUAUUCUUUUCUUUGCUUUAUACUUUUAAGUCUUCUCAUCAUGCAAAUGUCUAAGUCUUCUUGCGCCAUCAUUACUCUUGUGAAAAAUAAUCUUCUUAGCAGUUUGCUUAAGAUAAGUCUAUCUUUUAAAAAAGACAAAAAAAACAUAGCAAUUUUCUUAAUGGAUGUUGUCUUUUGUCUUUCAGUUAAAUUAACAAACUGAGAAUGGAUUUUAAGUAUAGCAAUUAUUAUUGUUAUAUUUUAGUAUUUUUAAUUACUUAGACUGUAGCAACGACUAAGAUUAUUAUUUUUUUGAAGUAAAGAUGAAUUUUUGUGAAGUAAAGAUGGGGGCAAAAAGGCUAACACAUUUGCAUGUUUGAUGCCAAACUAAGUAUAAACUGAAAACUAAGACUUAGACCAAUACAUUCCCAUAGUAUCUAUAGAUUUCUUUCUUAUUCCACCGUUAUAAUGUCACAAUCUCCAAAGUAGACAAGUUUGAGAAGUGAGAAUGAAUGUGUUCUUUAGAUUUUUUUGUUCAAACUUUUCAACAAAAAUAAAACAUAGGCUUGUAAUUUGUUGAUUUCUAUUUUUUUUUUGCCAAUCAAUUUGUUGAUUAAGCAACUUGUUUCUAAUGCUUUUGUUCCUAAUGUACUAUUAGAUUUCAUGGAAUGUACAUUUUUUUUAUUCUUAGUAUAUUUUAAAUAGAUCCUCUGAUUUAAAAAUUUAAUAAGCCAAUAACCAUGCAGUAUGUUAGUUAAAAACUAAACUCUUAGUUUAAAUAGUUUAAAGUUCAAAUUCUAACAACUUCACAUACAAAAAAAAAAAAACAAUCUUUUGAUUUCACAAGUUUCAUGUAUGUUUCGAUUUCUUCACAUAUGAUUUAUAGAGGAUUUAAAUUUAUAAAUAGUAGUAGAAUCUUAUGCUCUUUAUCAAAUAUUUUCUGUCAACUAUCUUUUUCCAAACCUAAAUGUAACUUGUUUUAAGGGCUACCUGGCUAUGAAAAACCAUAUGUUCUAUAACUAUUCAUUAAAUGCCAUAUCUAGAAGCUUUAAAAAUUAAAUGAGAUGCGAUAACUAGGUAAUUUCACUUAAAAAUAAAAAAAAAGUAUGAUGUAGGGAAAAAUGAUGAUGUAUUUAGAAUCACCCAUCACAAAAUUAUACUUUUAAUAAAAAGUUGAUAUUUUAUUGUAGGACACACAAAGAGAAUGAUAGUAUUGAGACUUUUUUAUUGGUAUUUAGUCCUUUCUCUGCUUUAUUCUUCUAAGUCUUCUCAUCAUUGCAAUGUCUAAGUCUUCUUGGCCCAAUUAUACUCUAUGAAAAAAAAUAAUGAUGGGCAAAGAAAACUAAACAUGUGCAUGAUGGGAAGACUUAAAAUUAUAAAGCAAAGCAAAGACUAAAUACCAAUAAAAAAAAUCUCAUACUAUCAAUUUCUUUGCAAGUCCAAAAUUAGAAUAUCAAUUUUUUUAAUAAAGUAUAAUUUUGUGAUGGGUGAUUCUAAAUACACCAUCAUUUUUUUCUCUACAUUUACUUUUUUCUUAAUUUUUAAGUGAUAUUACUUAUUUACCCAUCUCGUUUUAAUCUUAAAGCUUCUAAAUAUGCAUUUUUGAUAAGUUACAUAACUUAUCAGAUUUUCAUAUCCGAUAAGUUAAAAAAAGUUACAUUUAGGUUUGAAAAAAAAGUUAAGAGAAAAUAUCUUAUAAAAAGUAUGAGAUUCUAAUACUGUUUAUAAAAUUUAAAAACUCCAUUAAUCAUAUGUGAAGAAAUUGAACUAUAUAUAUAAAUAAAUUAUCUCGUAUACAUGAAAUUUGUGAAAUCAAAAGAUUAUCUUUUUUUUUUUUGUAUGCGAGGUUGUCAAGAUUUAACUUUAAACUACUGAAAUUAAAAAUCCAACAUUUUACCAACAAACUACAUGGUUAUUGGCUCAUUGAAUUUUUAAAUUAGAGGAUCUUUUUAAAAUAUAUUAACAACAAAAAAAACUAAAGAAAGAAAUACAUAUACCAUGAAAUCUAAUAGUACAUUAAGAACAAAAAGAUGAGAAACAAGCUGCUUAAUCAACAAAUUGAUUGGCCAAAAUAAUCAAUAAAUUAAAGGCCUGUGUUUUAUUUUUGCUGAAAAGUUUGAAAAAAAAAUCUAAAGAACACAUUCAUUCUCACUUUAUAAACUUGUCCAUUUUGGAAAUUGUGAUUUUAUAAUGGUGCAAUAAGAAAGAAAAUGAUAGACACUAUAGGAAUGUGUUGGUCUAAGUCUUAGUCUUUGCUUUAUACUUAGUCUUGACAUCUUUUUACACCCAUCUUUACUUCACAAAAGCAAUAAUCUUAGUAGUUGCUUCAGUCUAAAUCAUUAAAAAGACUAAAAUAUAACAAUAAUAAUUAAUAUACUUAAAAUCCAUUCUUAGUCUACUAAUGAAAGUGGAAGAUAAAAGAUAACUUCCAUUGAAAAAAUUGCUAUGUUUUUUUUUUAAUCUUUUUUAAAAGACAUAUUGGACUUAAGCAAACUGUUAAGAAAAUUAUUUUUCCACAAGGUAAUGGUGGGGCAAGAUGACUUAAACACUUGCAUGAUGGGACAACUUAAAGUAUAAAGUAAUGAAAAGAAUAAAUACCAACAAAAAAAAAACUCAUAUUAUCAUUUUCUUUGUGAGUCCAAAAUUAGAACAUCCAUUUUUUUUAUAAAAGUAUAAUUUUGUGAAGGUCGAUUCUAAAUACACCAUCAUUUUUUUUCUACAUAUACUUUUUUUUUUAAUUUUUAAGUGAAAUUACUUAUUUAUCCAUCUCAUUUUAAUUUUAAAGCUUCUAGAUAUACAUUUAUGAUAAGUUAUAUAACUUAUUAAAUUUUCAUAUCUGGUAAGUUAAAAAAAGUUAUAUUUAGGUUUAGAAAAAAAUAAUUAAAAGAAAAUAUCUUAUAGAAAGUAUGAGAUUCUAAUACCGUUUAUAAAAUUUAAAUCCUUUAUUAAUCAUAUGUGAAGAAAUCAAUAUAUAUAUGUGUGUGUGCGUGUAUAUAUAUAUAUAUAAUUAUCUCAUAUACAUGAAAUUUGUGAAAUCAUAAUAUUAUCUUCUUUUUUUUUUGUAUGUUAGGUUAUGAGGAUUUGAACUUUAAACUAUCAAACUAGGAAUUCAAUAUUUUACUAAUAAAUUACAUGGGUAUUGGCUCAUUGAAUUUUUAAAUCAGAGAAUCUCUUUCAAAUAUAUUAACAAGAAGAAAACUAAAAAAAUAAAAUAAUGCGGACACCAUGAAAUCUAAUAGUACAUUAGAAAUAAAAACAUGAGAAACAAGUUGCUUAAUCAACAAAUUGAUUGGCCAAAAAAAAAACCAACAAAUUAAAAACCUAUGUUUUAUUUUUGUUGAAAAGUUUGAAAAAAAAAAUCUAAAGAACACAUUCAUUCUUACCUUUGAAGCUUGUCUAUUUUGAAUAUUGUGAUUUUAUAAUGGUGGAAUAAGAUAGAAAAUGAUAGAUACUAUGUGAAUGUAUUGGUUUUAGUCUUUGCUUUAUACUUAGUCUUGGCAUCAAAUAUACAAAUGUGUCAAUCUUUUUGCCCCUAUCUUUACUUCACAAAAAUAAUAAUUUUAGUAGUAGCUUCAGUCUAAGUCAUUAAAAAUACUAAAAUAUAACAAUAAUAAUCAAUAUACUUAAAAUCUAUUCUCAAUCUACUAAUUUUACUGGAAGACGAAAGAUAACCUCUAUUGAGAAUAUUGCUAUGUUUUCGUAAGAUUUUUUUUAACUAUUUUUUUUUCUAAACCUAAAUGUAACUUUUUUUAACUUACUGAAUAUGAAAAUCCGGUAAGUUAUAUAAUUAUCAAAAUAUAUAUCUAGAAGCUUUAAAAUUAAAAUGAAAUGGAAAAAUAAGUGAUUUCACUUACAAAUUUUAAAAAAAAAAGGUGUAUGUAGAGAAAAAAAUGAUGGUGUUUUUGGAAUCACCUAUCACAAAAUUAUACUUUAUAAAAAAAAUUGAUAUCUAAUUUUGGACUUACAAAGAAAAUGAUAGUAUGAGAUUUUUUUUAUUGAUAUUUAUUCUUUUCUUUGCUUUAUACUUUUAAGUCUUCCUAUCAUGUAAAUGUCUAAGUCUUCUUACCCCAUCAUUACUCAAUCGAAAAUAAUUUUCUUAGCAGUUUGCUUAAGUCAAGUCUAUUUUUAAAAAAAGACAAAAACAUAGCAAUUUUCUCAAUGAAGGUUGUCUUUUUUCUUCCAUUUUGUAGACACCCAAUUGGGUCCGGCCCCAGAUCAAUUGGGCCUGGCCCAAAUGGGUAAGGCCCAUUUCAAUCCUGUAUUUUUUUUUCUUUUCUUUUUCUUCUUUUGUAUUUUAUGUAUUUUAUUAUUAUUAUUAUUAUGUAUAUCUUUGUUUAUUUAUUUUUAUUUAGAUUAGAUUUAUAUGUAUUGUAUGUAUAUAGUUAUAUAUUUAUUAUUAUUAUUAUCUUUUUUUUUUUUGUAAUAUAUUUUUGGGUUUAUCUUAUGCUUUUUUUUUGUUAUCUGUUAAUUUUAUCUGAUUUUUUUUUUGAAUUAUCUGAUAUUAUUUUUUUAUUUUUAUACUAUCAUAUCUUUUGAUUAUCUAGUAUUUUUUUUUAUUUAUUUUGAUUUUAAUUCUGGAUGGCUAAGAUUCAAAGUUGAAGAAUCCCACUCUGGAGGGGAAUUCAAUCAGAAGAGUCCAGUUGGAUUCAAAGACUGAAUUCCCGUCCAAGGAGGAAUUGUUCCUGAUCAAUCCCUAUAAAAGAGACCCCCCUGGAACAGAAUAAGACACAAAAAAACAGUGAGCAAAGCUACUGAAUUUGAGAGAAAAGAAGUGCUUAGAAGAGUUUUCGAAGGCUAAAGAAGGUCGAGAAGUGUUAGGAUAGCUGUAGGGAUCAGAAAUAAUUUUUUGGAAAUUUUUGGCGAAAAAUUUUUCUGGAAAUUUCUGGGAAAUUUCCAGAUUCCGGCGAAAAUUCCGACGAAGUUUGAAUUUUUCGGCGAACAUUCCAGCCAACAUUGAAGUUUCCGGCAAUCAGCCCAGUUUCCGAUGAAGAAUCCCAGAAACCGGUAUUCUUCCGGUCAACUUCCGGCGAAAUUUCCAGAUUCCGGCGACAUUUUCUAGAUUCCGGCACCGGUGUUCUUCAGCUUUUAGAGAGAAGGGGGAGGAAAGAUAGAGGAAGAAUCCGAAUAGGAGAGGAAAAAAAAAAAACAGAGAAAAAGAUAGAGGAGGAAUCUGAAUAGGAAGAGGAAUCCGAAUUGGAGAAAAAAAAACUCGAAGGCAUUGUCACAAUGGCAUGGAGAAGUAAGCCCAAAGCUUGCAGCUUGGGCAGCUGAUUUAUCCUCUCCCUACCCCAAUUCUGUCCUUGGUUUUGAAGUAGUCUGCCAACUUGGCGCAUCAGCUCUUGCUUAUUGGCCAGUAUCUGGUUCGACUCCUGGCCUCUUCCACUUAAUUCUUGCAGUGUUCGAAUGACUUCAUCACUGGCCCUAGGGUCCAAAGGAGACUUGCAGUUUACUUCGUCCUUUGAAUAUCUUGUUGACGACGAUACUGAAUACAAUUCUGCAUCUGAUUUAUUGCUGGAACGCAACCGUGAACAGUGUUUGGUUCAUCUUUUGGUUCCUUCUCUUGCAUUGCUGAUCACUCUUGUGUAGAAAAUUACAGGAAGCUAAGGAGCAGCAACAGGAAGAAAGAUCCAGAGAUCAGAAACUGACAAAAAAAUUCCCCUGAUCCCGCUACCAAUUUUGCUUGAGCGCAUGAGCAGGUUAGUUGAGCAGUAAAAGCUGGCACAGGCGCAAGCCGAGGCCCAAUCGCAGCUGUCUCAGAUUCAGACUCAAGAGCCACGACGACAGUCCAUGAAGGAAGGCUUUGCUUCGAAGGAAGAGGUGAAAGAUCACCUGUACAACCUGUAAGUAUUCAUUUAUUUAUUUGGAAGAAUAUAUUAUUCACAGAAUCAUCAAAGUUUCGAAACAGAAAAAGUGAAACCAACCAACAGAAAACAGCAACAUGACAAUUGGUAGACAGCGAAGCUGAGAAAGUAAUAAUGGCAAUGAAAAGAGAUGGUGCUGCUGCCUCCAAGAAGCGAAGCAUCGAAAGGUUGGACUACAAAGAUGGUAUAUUCUAUCGAAAGCUGGAAGGGUCUAAGCCUAGAAAAGUUAAAGCUAGAGAAGGAACUUCAACGUGCUACAUCUGAAAUUCUUCGACUCAAAUUGAAAAUUAGAGAUCUAUUUCAACGUAUUGAUUCACUAUGUGCUAAAGGAAGGCUCCCAGAAUCUUUAUUUGAUUCUGAGGGAUAAAUUGAUAGUGAAGAUAUAUAUUGUACAAAAUGUGGGUCCAAGGACCUAUCUUUCGACAAUGAUAUCAUUCUAUGUGAUGGUGCUUGUGACUGUGGAUUCCAUCAAUAUUGCUUGUAGCCGCCUUUAUUAAAAGAAGACAUUCCUCCUGAUGAUGAGGUUGGGAAAAGGUUUUUCCUGAUGCAGCAGUAGCUGUAGGUGGACAAAGUCAAGAUCCUAACUUUGGACUACCUUCAGAUGAUUCUAACGAUAAUGAUUAUAAUCCUGAUAGUUCAAAAAUCGGUGAGAAGGAUUGGGGAGAUGAGUCAAGUUUUGAUGAAUCUGAUUUCACUUCUACAUCCGAGAAAUUGGAAGCCCCAGCUAAGGAGGCCAGAACAGAGGAGUCGGAAAAGCAAUGGCAGUGGGGUUCACAACGAUAAAGCCGUAGCUGAUGGUGGAAGCACCAAGGGUAGUUGAUGCACUGUAAUUUUACAAGAUCGCGUUUGACACUAUCGAUAAUAGCUGUACUCUUUACCCAAAGUGCAAGGCGGGGCAGGAGCUUAUUCAUAUCCUUUCGGUUCAGUUUGAGCUCACUGGCUUUACCGUUCUUGUAUCUGACUUCACUGGUAACUCUGCUCUUGUGAAAAGUGAGGAAACUGGAUGUGUGCUUUGCAUCAAGACUGAGGAGCGUGGAAGCUGUUAUAGCCAAAGUCGUGAGCAUUGGAGCCAUUGCAAAGGACGGUGACGCGUGCUGUGGUGGACAUGUGGGCAAGGACAAGGAUUCAUAUGGAUACGGUUGGCUCAUUUGCUCUCUUGCCAAAAAUGUUGCUGAUGUCCCUACAUUGUUGGGAUCUGGCUUCCUUAAAUAUUUUUGAGGAAAAGUUGAAAGUAUCAAUUUUCCUUAAAAAUAAAUUUUCAAAAAAAGGUUUUUGAGGAAAAGUUGAAAGUAUCAAUUUUCUUCGAAAAUCAAGGUUUCCAAAAAAAAUAUUUUUGAGGAAAAGUUGAAAGUAUCAAUUUUCCUUGAAAAUCAAAAUUUUCAAAAAAAAAUAUUUUUAGGGAAAAGUUGAAAGUAUCAAUUUUCCUUAGAAAUAAAUUUUCAAAAAAAAUAAAUUUUUGAGGAAAAGUUGAAAGUAUCAAUUUUCCUCGAAAUUAAAAUUUCAAGAAAAUAUUUUUGGGGAAAAGUUGAAAGUAUCAAUUUUCCCUGAACAAAAAAAUCCUUCUUUUCUUAUAUUCUGAUUUUGAUCUUGAUUUUUCUUUAAAUAAUCCGACGACGGAGCCUCUGCAAGUGAAACAGUAGUUUUUCUUGCAUACUCUUGAGGUGAGGGAAUUUUCUCAAUUUUCUGCUAAAAGUAUUAGAGUCAAUUGAGAAUGAUUUUCAAUAAUUAAUUACUUGGUAAAAUUUUAAGGCUUACUGGAUAACACAAAUUUAAGCUGGUACCAUCUUUUGAUGGGCGUUGUGAGGGUGCUAUAACCUUCCUCACACGUAACCGAACUCCCGAACCCUGUUCUGGUUAGCAGACCUAAACCUAUUCUUUUAGGGGCCCUUAAAUUUAGGUGUUCCCUGAAAGGACAGAUUCUUUAGGUGGCCAAUCGCACCUAGAUAAAAAAGAUUGGUGGCGACUCCUUUAAGUCAAUGUCUAGCGAUAGAUCCCCGGAUCUAGACGUUAUGACAGCUUGGUGACUCCACUGGGGACCUUGAGAGUCAGGCCAGCAAAUAAUUUGUGUUAUCCAAAAGCCUAAUAAAAUUGAUCCUUGUUGUAUGUAUAUGUGUAAUUUUUUAGUCAUGUUUAUUUACCUUAUUAAUUAUGUCAUUCAUGUGCAUGUGCAUAACAUGAGCUCUACACCCGAGCUCCAUCCCUCUAGGAGGGAGUAAAGUACCUAUUGCUUUCGUGAGGUCUAAUGCCUCCGCAGUGGCUAGCGAAAUACUCCCACUCAAAUUGAACCUUUUCCGCUUGUAGCCUGUAAUGGGUGAGGAUUAGGGUGCCUUACUAGUCUGUGAUGGACAAGGAUGUAAGGAACAAUUUGAGGACCUUUAGACUCUGACCUUAAAACCACAUGUAGUGAACUUUAAGAGUGCCUACACCUAAGAUAGAGCCCUUUCUACCCAAUGAUAGAUAUACCCUGAAAUUAGGACACAAAAGGGUGUUUAUCUAAUCAUUUUGAUUGCUUAACUUUGUGUAUUAUUUUUAUCAUAUGUAACACUAUGCAUCAGCAUCACUUUCAUGUCAUCCAUGGAACUAACUAUGUUGUUUGUCUGAUUGUAUGCAUCUGUAUUAUUUUCAUGAUCAUGUUUUAACACAAUCAUUUGCAUUCAUUUCAUACUAGAUUUCAUUCAAAAAAUGUACAUUUCAUUUGUGUAUCAAAGCAUCAUACAUAAGGCAUAGCAUAACAUUUCUAAUCAUAAGUAUGGUACUCAAGGUCCGAGGAUAGCUCCAUCUAGCGAAAACCCUGCUCAUCCAUACAACACAAGAUCCAGAGCAAGGCAAAUGGAAGAAGAAAGUUCUCAUAGAUUUGAAAAACUAGAAAAAGCACAAGAGAAGAUUGAAAAUGAACUAAGCAAGAUUCUUGAGGCUCUUAAUAACAUGAAUAAAGGAAAAGGAGUUGCAGGAAAUACAAGCCAGCAAAUUCCCCCAUCACAAGAAGUGGCUGACCCUUUGUACCCUCCAGGUUUUGGCCCACCUCAAGCCCAUUCUGCCCAAGAGGUCCCGCUACAACCAACAUAUCCUGGAAUGCCAUCAGCUUUCAACCCGGGACAGUAUAAUAGCUACAUAAAUCCUGUCUUCACUAAAAAGGUAGCAGAACCAAUUCCUGAUCUAGAUGAUUUAAAAGAAAAAGAGAAGGAAAAGAUGAGAGUGGAAGCUGAGGAAAGUUCCAAGAUUAGUAUGCUAGAGCAGAGGCUAAGGGCUGUGGAAGGAUUUAGCUUUUAUGGGUCAGUUGAUGCUGCUGGGCUCUGCCUAGUCCCUGAUGUGGUUAUUCCCUAUAAGUUCAAAGUACCAAAAUUUGAAAAAUAUAACGGUACAAAGUGCCCCAAAACCCACAUCACCAUGUAUUGCAGAAAGAUGGCAGCUCAUGCACAUGAUGAAAAACUCUUGAUGCAUGUUUUCCAGGAUAUCUUACUGGCUCUGCCGCCAGAUGGUAUGUUCAGUUGGAUAGGACUCGUAUUCGCUCUUGGAGUGAUAUGGCACAUGACUUCAUCAGUCAAUAUCGACACAUUAUCGAUUUGGCUCCUGAUCGUUUAUCUUUACAGAAUCUGGAGAAAAAGUCAAACGAGUCUUUUAAAGAGUACGCCCAGAGAUGGAGAGAUAUAACUUCACAGGUACAACCUCCUCUGACAGAAAAAGAGACCACAGUGCUGUUUGUUAGCACUUUGAAACCUCCUUAUUAUGAAAAGAUGAUAGGGAAUGCAACAAAGAAUUUUGCUGACAUGGUGAUCUCUGGAGAAAUUAUUGAAAGUGCCAUAAAAAAUGGUAAAUUGAAAGGAGGAGAAACCAAGAAGGCAUCAGAAAAGAAAGAAGCUGAAGCUCAAGCUGUGAGCUUUGAUAGACAACAAUUCAGGGGGUUAUCAACCCUAUCCAUCCCAAGGCUACUCUCCAUACUAUCCCGCUGUGAAUAAUGCCUCAUCCUACCCAUACCAGCUAGCUCCUCAACCAUCUUAUUCAUCCACUUAUCGCCUUAACAUUCAAGCUCCUGUAAGAACCCAAAUCCGCCCUACUAACCCAGCCAGUGACUCGCAGAACGACGGACUACUCGAGAAAAACCUGUAUUUGAUCCAAUCCCUAUGACUUAUACAGAGUUAUAUCGAGAACUCUAUAAUAGCCACUUGAUUGCCCCCAGCCAUGUGGAACCUCUUAAACCACCCUAUCCAAAGUGGUAUGAUCCUACAGCCCGUUGUGACUACCAUUAUGGAAUUACUGGCCAUUCUACUGAAAAUUGUACUGCUUUAAAGCAUAAGGUGCAACGGUUGAUCAAUGAUGGAAUGGUAAGUUUUGAUCAGGGAAAAGCAACAACAUCUAAUGUUAGCACCCUGAGUGAAAGUCAAGAACAGAAAGGGUCCGGAGAGUCACAAUGAAUUGAGGGGCAAGAUGUCAAUAGAGAUUCUUCACCUGAUCGCAUAGGGGGACAAUUUUAAAAAAUGGAGAUAAGGCUGGUUGAAGGUUUCUUCUGUCAUUUUAGGAUUUCUUUUCAAAUAAUGUUAGAUUUCUUUUUGCAAUAUGACUUCACUUGUUAUCAUUUUAAUAAAGGCAAGUCAAUGCAUUUCAUUACAUUUUUCUCUUUCACUUGACCAUUAUUCCAUGCCCUGUUACCUUUCAUAACUUUAUACUCCCAUUCUCAAAUUUCAGAUGAUGAAUAUUUAGACAAUGAUAACAGUAAUUCUGGGAUUUAAUUUUGAGAACUCAUCCACAUUUAAUAUGAGAAGAUGAUUUGAGCAAGAAGUAAGGUAGAGAGAUAUGUCUUGAAGAUAUGUAAUCUUUCAUACAGGUUCAUGAGCUUUGUUUAAUAGAUGAUGUUCAAGGAAGGUAUUCACAAUUGAGAUGAAAAAUGGCCAUCUUUUCUUUUACCAUUGGAAAAACCAUUUAUUGCUACCCCUUUGAGCCAAUCAUGAUUUUUUUUCUUGAAGACCCCCAACCAAGGAUCACCCUCUACACUGGAGGGUAAUUUUUGAAAAAAAAAAAAAAAACACCACAAAAGGUCUCAGAGAUGGAAAUAGAAAGAAAAACAAAAGAAAAAUAAAUGCCACACAUGACUUGGGGCAAAGUAAUGGGAAUCCUUUGUGUGAGGAAAAGAAAAAAACAGUGAAAUGAUGUGGGGGCAAAAUGCCAAGUUGCAUCAAAUGAUCAUUUGGUUUUGAACCUUUUCAAUACAUGUUUUGAGCCUAUUAUAUCUAUUUUUUUGUGACCCUUCACCUUGGCCUACAUUACAACCUUGAAAAGUUCAUUUGGAUCAAGUGUGAAUACUCAACUUGAAUGAUCAUAUGUUGAGCGAAGGUAUACUCAUGAUGAAGCAAUGGAAUCAUGCUACAUUGCUCUAAAGUUGGAUGUAUGAAAGAUAUCAACAAUGGAUGAAAAAUGAGAAAAAAAGAAGAUGAUGAAAAGAAAAAAAAGAAAAAAGGAAAAAAAGAAAAAAAGAAGGAAAAAAAUGAGAAAAUGAAAAAAGAGAUUCAAAUUGAAAACCUGAAAGGGUGAUUUUGAUAGAAAAAAAAAAGAUCUAGGUCAAAUGGCUCACAUGAAUGGAAGAUCAAAGACAUCUGAAGAUCCCUCAAAGAUUGGGGCAAAGUUGUAAAUGGAAUGAGUUUUUGAAAAAGAAUCCUAGAUUAAUGUUGAGAAUUGUCUGAAUAUUCAUCAUUUGGACAUACCAUCCACCCCAAUGACAUGUAUCCAAUUCAUUUCCUUUCCCAUUUGCUUUGUACCAAAACAAAUCUUCAUUGAUUAUCUUUACUAUAAUUCACCUUGCGUUCUCUUAUUGUUUCACCCCUAGAAUGAAUUGAGAAAAUGCUUGGUUGCAUUGUAUUUGUCAAAAAUUGAAAUGAUAAUAAAUGAAUGAAUAUGUGCUUAAAAGGGUCUUGCAUUCAUUUGAAAAGAAAUCUAAGGUGAUGAAGAAAUGGUAGAAACCUAAAGGAGAUGAUUUGAAAAAGGUAUAUGAUAUAAUAGGGCAAAUCUUGAAAAGUGAUGAAUUGAUCGAUAUGACUUGCAAGUUAUGAUUGAAUGAUGAGAACAAUCAGUGGAGAAAGUCUGUUUUGGAAUGGUAAAUGCUGAGACAAUGACCCAGUGAUGGUGGAUGAAACUUGUUUUGAAAUUUGUUAGUGUUGAGAAAUUCAUUGAAUGAUGGUCAAGUGAUGAUCGAUUGAUGAAGCUUAUUCCAAGGUAUUGAGAAACUGAACAAGGAAGAAUGUGAGUGGAAAAGACAAAUUGAGAGCUACACUGGUUCGAUCUUAGAAGAGCAGUGUAAUUGGAUCUCUGAAGAAUCAAAGGGCUUGACACCCAAGAAAAAAAGAGCUAGAGAAACUUGAGUACCAUACAUUGAAUAGGAAUUAAUUGGCCAUCAUUUGCAUAACAUGCAUUGAAAUUCAUAUGCAUUGCACAGCAUACACUACUUUCAGGAGAAUAUAGUGUAUAAAUUCAAGAAGUAGGGGUGUUCCAACAUCCCACAUGGAGAAGACAAAUAUGAAGAUAUUUUGCAAAACUGAAAAAGAGAAAGCUUGUCAGGUAAGUUCCUAAUCCUUGAAAUAGGAUGUCUUUUGGUAUCAGGGUUGAUUUAUAAGACCUUUGGGCAUAAUCUCCUGAAAUUCCUUCAAACACAACUUUCAACUCCUUUGGACAUGAUUGUCAAGGAGCAAUUUACUUUUUCAAAGUUUCGCUGCCUCUGUUUAGAGGAGCAAUUUACUUUCCAAAGUCGUGGUGCCUCUGUUGAGAGGAGCAAUUUAUUUUUUCAAAGUCGUGGUGCCUCUGUUGAGAGGAGCAAUUUACUUUUCAAAGUCGUGGUGCCUCUCAAGGAGCAAUUUACUUUUCAAAGUCGUGGUGCCUCUGUUGAGAGGACCAAUUUAUUUUUUCAAAGUCGUGGUGCCUCUGUUGAGAGGAGCAAUUUACUUUCCAAAGUCCGUUGCCUCUGUUUAGAGGAGCAAUUUACUUUCAAAAGUCGUUGAGUCUCUGUUUAGAGGAGCUUCGGCAAAAAAACAAAAAAACAAAAAAAACAAAAAAAAAACAAAAAACAAAAAAACAAAAAAAUAAAAAAAAUAAAAACAAAUCAAAAAAUAAAAACAAAUCAAAAAAUAAAAACAAAAAAAUCAAAAAUCAAAAAAAUAAAAAAAAUAAAAAAAUGUUGAGUUGAGUCUUGAUUGGGUGUCUACGUCUUUGCGCAAUUUCUGUUUCACAGAAAAUGUGCAAAGAGGGGCAGCUGUAGACACCCAAUUGGGUCCGGCCCCAGAUCAAUUGGGCCUGGCCCAAAUGGGUAAGGCCCAUUUCAAUCCUGUAUUUUUUUUUCUUUUCUUUUUCUUCUUUUGUAUUUUAUGUAUUUUAUUAUUAUUAUUAUUAUGUAUAUCUUUGUUUAUUUAUUUUUAUUUAGAUUAGAUUUAUAUGUAUUGUAUGUAUAUAGUUAUAUAUUUAUUAUUAUUAUUAUCUUUUUUUUUUUGUAAUAUAUUUUUGGGUUUAUCUUAUGUUUUUUUUUUGUUAUCUGUUAAUUUUAUCUGAUUUUUUUUUGAAUUAUCUGAUAUUAUUUUUUUAUUUUUAUACUAUCAUAUCUUUUGAUUAUCUAGUAUUUUUUUUAUUUAUUUUGAUUUUAAUUCUGGAUGGCUAAGAUUCAAAGUUGAAGAAUCCCACUCUGGAGGGGAAUUCAAUCAGAAGAGUCCAGUUGGAUUCAAAGACUGAAUUCCCGUCAAAGGAGGAAUUGGGAUUGAUCAGAAACUCCUGAUCAAUCCCUAUAAAAGGGACCCCCCCUGGAACAGAAUAAGACACACAAAAAAACAGUGAGCAAAGCUACUGAAUUUGAGAGAAAAGAAGUGCUUAGAAGAGUUUUCGAAGGCUAAAGAAGGUCGAGAAGUGUUAGGAUAGCUGUAGGGAUCAGAAAUAAUUUUUUGGAAAUUUUUGGCGAAAAAUUUUUCUGGAAAUUUCUGGGAAAUUUCCAGAUUCCGGCGAAAAUUCCGGCGAAGUUUGAAUUUUUCGGCGAACAUUCCAGCCAACAUUGAAGUUUUCGGCAAUCAGCCCAGUUUCCGACGAAGAAUCCCAGAAACCGGUGAUCUUCCGGUCAACUUCCGGCGAAAUUUCCAGAUUCCGGUGACAUUUUCCAGAUUCCGGCACCGGUGUUCUUCAGCUUUUAGAGAGAAGGGGGAGGAAAGAUAGAGGAAGAAUCCGAAUAGGAGAGGAAAAAAAAAAAACAGAGAAAAAGAUAGAGGAGGAAUCUGAAUAGGAAGAGGAAUCCGAAUUGGAGAAAAAAAAACUCGAAGGCAUUGUCACAAUGGCAUGGAGAAGUAAGCCCAAAGCUUGCAGCUUGGGCAGCUGAUUUAUCCUCUCCCUACCCCAAUUCUGUCCUUGGUUUUGAAGUAGUCUGCCAACUUGGCGCAUCAGCUCUUGCUUAUUGGCCAGUAUCUGGUUCGACUCCUGGCCUCUUCCACUUAAUUCUUGCAGUGUUCGAACGACUUCAUCACUGGCCCUAGGGUCCAAAGGAGACUUGCAGUUUACUUCAUCCUUUGAAUAUCUUGUUGACGACGAUACUGAAUACAAUUCUGCAUCUGAUUUAUUGCUGGAACGCAACCGUGAACAGUGUUUGGUUCAUCUUUUGGUUCCUUCUCUUGCAUUGCUGAUCACUCUUGUGUAGAAAAUUACAGGAAGCUAAGGAGCAGCAACAAGAAGAAAGAUCCAGAGAUCAGAAACUGACAAAAAAAUUCCCCUGAUCCCGCUACCAAUUUUGCUUGAGCGCAUGAGCAGGUUAAUUGAGCAGUAAAAGCUGGCACAGGCGCAAGCCGAGGCCCAAUCGCAGCUGUCUCAGAUUCAGACUCAAGAGCCACGACGACAGUCCAUGAAGGAAGGCUUUGCUUCAAAGGAAGAGGUGAAAGAUCACCUGUACAACCUGUAAGUAUUCAUUUAUUUAUUUGGAAGAAUAUAUUAUUCACAGAAUCAUCAAAGUUUCGAAACAGAAAAAGUGAAACCAACCAACAGAAAACAGCAACAUGACAAUUGGUAGACAGCGAAGCUGAGAAAGUAAUAAUGGCAAUGAAAAGAGAUGGUGCUGCUGCCUCCAAGAAGCGAAGCAUCGAAAGGUUGGACUACAAAGAUGGUAUAUUCUAUCGAAAGCUGGAAGGGUCUAAGCCUAGAAAAGUUAAAGCUAGAGAAGGAACUUCAACGUGCUACAUCUGAAAUUCUUCGACUCAAAUUGAAAAUUAGAGAUCUAUUUCAACGUAUUGAUUCACUAUGUGCUAAAGGAAGGCUCCCAGAAUCUUUAUUUGAUUCUGAGGGAUAAAUUGAUAGUGAAGAUAUAUAUUGUACAAAAUGUGGGUCCAAGGACCUAUCUUUCGACAAUGAUAUCAUUCUAUGUGAUGGUGCUUGUGACUGUGGAUUCCAUCAAUAUUGCUUGUAGCCGCCUUUAUUAAAAGAAGACAUUCCUCCUGAUGAUGAGGUUGGGAAAAGGUUUUUCCUGAUGCAGCAGUAGCUGCAGGUGGACAAAGUCAAGAUCCUAACUUUGGACUACCUUUAGAUGAUUCUAACGAUAAUGAUUAUAAUCCUGAUAGUUCAAAAAUCGGUGAGAAGGAUUGGGGAGAUGAGUCAAGUUUUGAUGAAUCUGAUUUCACUUCUACAUCCGAGAAAUUGGAAGCCCCAGCUAAGGAGGCCAGAACGGAGGAGUCGGAAAAGCAAUGGCAGUGGGGUUCACAACGAUAAAGCCGUAGCUGAUGGUGGAAGCACCAAGGGUAGUUGAUGCACUGUAAUUCUACAAGAUCGCGUUUGACACUAUCGAUAAUAGCUGUACUCUUUACCCAAAGUGCAAGGCUGAGCAGGAGCUUAUUCAUAUCCUUUCGGUUCAGUUUGAGCUCACUGGCUUUACCGUUCUUGUAUCUGACUUCACUGGUAACUCUGCUCUUGUGAAAAGUGAGGAAACUGGAUGUGUGCUUUGCAUCAAGACUGAGGAGCGUGGAAGCUGUUAUAGCCAAAGUCGUGAGCAUUGGAGCCAUUGCAAAGGACGGUGACGCGUGCUAUGGUGGACAUGUGGGCAAGGACAAGGAUUCAUAUGGAUACGGUUGGCUCAUUUGCUCUCUUGCCAAAAAUGUUGCUGAGGUCCCUACAUUGUUGGGAUCUGGCUUCCUUAAAUAUUUUUGAGGAAAAGUUGAAAGUAUCAAUUUUCCUUAAAAAUAAAUUUUCAAAAAAAGGUUUUUGAGGAAAAGUUGAAAGUAUCAAUUUUCUUCGAAAAUCAAGGUUUCCAAAAAAAAUAUUUUUGAGGAAAAGUUGAAAGUAUCAAUUUUCCUUGAAAAUCAAAAUUUUCAAAAAAAAAAUAUUUUUAGGGAAAAGUUGAAAGUAUCAAUUUUCCUUAGAAAUAAAUUUUCAAAAAAAAUAAAUUUUUGAGGAAAAGUUGAAAGUAUCAAUUUUCCUCGAAAUUAAAAUUUCAAGAAAAUAUUUUUGGGGAAAAGUUGAAAGUAUCAAUUUUCCCUGAACAAAAAAAAUCAUUCUUUUCUUAUAUUCUGAUUUUGAUCUUGAUUUUUCUUUAAAUAAUCCGACGACGGAGCCUCUGCAAGUGAAACAGUAGUUUUUCUUGCAUACUCUUGAGGUGAGGGAAUUUUCUCAAUUUUCUGCUAAAAAUAUUAGAGUCAAUUGAGAAUGAUUUCCAAUAAUUAAUUACUUCGUAAAAUUUUAAGGCUUACUGGAUAACACAAAUUUAAGCUGGUACCAUCUUUUGAUGGGCGUUGUGAGGGUGCUAUAACCUUCCUCACACGUAACCGAACUCCCGAACCCUGUUCUGGUUAGCAGACCUGAACCUAUUCUUUUAGGGGCCCUUAAAUUUAGGUGUUCCCUGAAAGGACAGAUUCUUUAGGUGGCCGGCCAAUCGCACCUAGAUAAAAAAGAUUGGUGGCGACUCCCUUAAGUCAAUGUCUAGCGAUAGAUCCCCGGAUCUAGAUGUUAUGACACAUUUAAAUUAGCCUGAGAAUGGCUUUUAAGUAUAUUAAUUAUUAUUGUUAUAUUUCAAUAUUUUUAAUGAUUUAGAUUGAAGCAACUGCUAAGAUUAUUAUUUUUGUGAAGUAAAGAUAAGGGCAAAAAGAUUGACAUGUUUGCAUGCUUGAUGCCAAGACUAAGUAUAAAGCAAAGACUUAAGAUUUAGACCAAUACAUUCCCAUAGCAUCUAUCAUUUUCUUUCUUAUUCUACCAUUAUAAAAUCACAAUUUCCAAAAUAGACAAAUUUGAAAAGUGAGAAUGAAUGUAUUUUUUAGAAUUUUUUUUUAAAACUUUUCAGCAAAACUAAAACACAAGUUUUUAAUUUGUUGAUUUUUUUUUGGCCAAUCAAUUUGUUGAUUAAGCAACUUGUUUCUCAUGUUUUUUGUUCCCAAUGUACUAUUACAUUUCAUCACAUGUGCAUUUUUUUUUAUAUUUUUUAGUUUUUAUUAUUAAUACAUUUUAAAGAGAUCUUUGAGUUAAAAAUUCAAUAAGCCAAUAUCCAUAUAGUCUAAUUACUAAAAUGCUAAACUCUUAGUUUUUUAGUAGUUUAAAGUUCAAAUCUUGACAACUUCACAAAGAAAAAAAAACAAAUUUCUAAUUUCGCAAAUUUCAUGUGUAUGAGAUAAUUUUUAUAUAUUUUGAUUUCUUCACAUAUGAUUAGUAAAGGAAUUAAAUUUUAUGAAUGGUAUUAGAACCUCAUACAUUCUAGAAGAUAUUUUCCUUGAACUAUUUUUUUUAAGCAUAAAUGUAACUUUUUUUUAACUUAUCAGAUAUAAAAAUCUAGUAAAUUAUAUAAUCUAUUAGAAAUGUGAAUUUAGACGCUUUAAAAAUAAAACUAGAUGGGUAAAUGGUAGUAUCACUAAGAAAAUUUAAAAAAAAAAGUGAAUGUAGAGAAAAAAAAUGAUGGUAUAUUUAGAAUCAUCCAUCUCAAAAUUAUACUUUAUAAAAAACUUGACAUUUUAAUUUUGGACUUCCAAAGAAAAUGAUAGUAAUGAGAUUUUUUUAUUGAUAUUUAGUCUUUUCUUUGCUUUAUUCUUUUUAGUCAUCCAUCAUGCAAUUGUCUAAGUCUUCUUGUCUCAUUAUUACUCUAUGAAAAAUAAUCUUCUUAAUAGUUUGCUUAAGUCAAGUCAAUCUUUUAAAAAAGAUAAAAAGCAUAGCAAUUUUCUUAAGGGAGGUUGUCUUUUGUUUUCCAGAUAAAUUAGCAUAUUAGGAAUGCAUUUUAAGUAUAUUAAUUAUUAUUGUUAUAUUUUAAUCUUUUUAAUGACUUAGACUAAAGGAACUGCUAAGAUUGCUACUUUUGUGAAGUAAAAAUGAAGGCAAAAAGACUUACACAUUUGCAUGCUUGGUGCCAAGACUAAAUAUAAAGCAAAGACUAAGACUCAAACCAAUACAUUCCCAUAGUAUCUAUCAUUUUCUUUCUUAUUCCACCAUUAUAAUAAUAUCACAAAUUUCAAAAUAAACAAGUUUGAGAAGUAAGAAUGAAUGUGUUGUUUAGAUUUUUUUUUCGUCAAACUUUUUAGAAAAAAUAAAACAUAGGUUUUCAAUUCGUUGAUUUGUUUUUUUUGCCAGUUAAUUUGAUUAUUAAGGAACUUGUUUCUCAUGCUUACCUAAUGUACUACUAGAUUUCAUGGUAUGUCCAUUUUUUUUUUUAGUUUUUUUAUUGUUAAUAUGUUUUAAAGAGAUCCUCUCAUUUAAAAUUCAAUGAUGUCUAUUAAUAAAAUGCUAAACUCUUAGUUCCAAUAAUUUAAAGUUCAAAUCUUGACAACCUCAUGUACCCAAAAAAAAAAAAAAACAAUCCUUUAAUUUCACAAAUUUCAUUUAUACAAGAUAAUUUUUAUAUAUUUCAACUUAUUCACAUAUGAUUAAUAGAGUUUUUAAUUUUUAUAAAUGGUAUUAGAAUAUUAAUACAUAUCCUAAUAUUUUUAUAUAACUUUUAAUAUAUUUAUAAAAGGGUUUGUGACAACCCUUUAACACUUAUAAUCUAAAAACUCUACAAACUGAUUGCAUUUUCUAAGUUAUAUUAUUCAACAUAUACCAACCAAGUUAAUUAGUAAUUUAAUUGUUUGAUAAAUUUGAAGGUAAAAUGAAUGAAAUUUUCGCAGCCAAUAAGCUUUUAUUCCCAGAAACAAAACCAGAUGAAAUGGAUGAAAGUGAAGAAUGAACUAUUUUGGAACAAGAAAUCACUAGUAUCUGGAUUUUUGAAGCAUUAUAACAUCAAGAAAAUCUGACCAUAACAACUAAACAUCUGCAUCAAGUUGCAUAUUUACAUCAAAGCAAUCAAAUGAUUCCACUGAUGUUUUCUCCUCUAUUCCCUCUAAGUGACACAACAUAUCAAACUCAGCUUUGAACUCUUCAUACUAUGGCCUAAAUGGUAGAGAGAACCAACUUGAUAAUUUGGAAAGAACAUGCCAUGAACAUAUAACAUGUUCUAUAUUUGGCGAUUCUCUUGCAAUAGCAUCUUUCAGGCUAGAGUCAAUAACCAUUAGAAUCAAUCAACCCAUUUUGAGACCAAUUAUACCAAAAAUAAUUAAGUUAAACAUGGGUUAACUCUAUUAAUUAAUAUUGAUAGCCUGAGCUCCUUUCACUAAAAUAGCCAUAUCUCAAGAUAUCAAACUUAGAAUUAAGAUCUUUUUAAUAUGUUAGAAACUAGAGUCAAUAAGUUUACUAACUAUAUAUGGCCCAUCUUGUGAUUCCUUAUAGAUUAAUUAAAUAAUUUUUAUAUAUACCUUCUAAUAAAAAUUACACAUUUAUUCAUAGGAAACUCGAAAUUCAAUUCCACUUAUUUUGUUGGAAAGUACACUUAAUAACCUUUUCAAACAUAUAUGGCACAAUUUUUAAUUCCUUGUAUAAAAUUUAAGAUAAUUUUCAUAAUUCAACCCGGAUGAUGCUACCAUAUAGUCUGCAUAUCCUUAAGUAAAAAUUAGACAACUCUUUAUAAAAAAACUUGGAUUCGACUUCUGUUUAUUUAAUUAAAAAGUAGAUUCAACAUACUUUCCAACAAUAUAUAAUAAUCAUAGCAAUAAUCUAUCCAUUAAUACAAAAUUAUAUUUUAAUUCACUCUUGUAGAUCAUAGCAUCUCAUCUCAAAACAAAAUUUCUCCUUCAAUAUUUAAAAACUCAAAUCCCACUUUCAGCCUUUAAACUCCAUUCAAUUAUCAUCAAUAAAUCUUAAGAACAUGAAAUAAACAAAGCCUAAUAAUUUACGCAAAUUGAUCAUGAAGAUUAAUGAAAGAUAUCAUAAUUUUCUUGGUUUUUCUCUCAAAACUUUAACUCCAUUUAAAAGCAACCAAAAUAGUAUAUUUAUCUUAAAUAAAAAUAGGGCUUAUGCUCACCAUUAAGAGACUAACUUGAAUGUAGUCUCUGAUUUUGGAUUCUAUAUUUGAUUUUCAUGCUUUCUAACCUUAAGGAAAACCGGUAAGAAGAAUUCUCAUUUUUCUUUUCUGUUUCAUUAUAACUGGAUUUUUUCUCUAGUAAAACACCUUAGCCACUUUUUCUUUAAUAAUUAACCUCUUAAUUAACUUAAUGAGCUUUAGUAAUAGUCUAGCCCAAUUAUCAUUUGGGUUGGGUAUUACAGAAUCACAUAUCUAGUUUGAUUCUACCUUUUCUAUCUCGUGGAUGACUACGUGGCUAACUGGGUUUCCAUGUGUAAGACCAACUAUAUGGCUGCUAAUAUUUUUCACUUAAGUGUAACAAUAAUAAAGAGCUUAAAAAAUAAUAACAUUUUUGUUAAAGAUAAACAAAGAAAAUGAGACGGAAGAAAUCCUAUAUUUAGACGUUACAGUUAAAAUGAUUAAUAAGUUUUCUAUUGUAAAAGAUGAUAAAACGUUAUUGUAAAUUAAAUUCUAAAUAAAUGGAUAAACUUAUAAAAGUGUUACAUAUAUGUCAAACUUUGGAUAAUUAUAAGCCCUGAAGUAAAAGUUCGAAAAAGAAUAUUAGUAUAAUUAUUAGAUUGCACUAGGUAUUAUAAUUUGAGAAUCUAAUAUUAAGUAUCAUAUCGUAUCGUAAAUAUAAUAAAUAAAUUUUAAAAUUAAUUGUAAAUAAUAUAUAAAUAUAAAAAAAAUUUUAAAAAUAUUAUUCAUAUUAAUGGGAUUGAGUGAUUAAUGAAUAUAAACAAAAAGAUUUAUUAUUUUUCUAACUCUCAACAUAUUUUGUUUUAAAAAUAAUUUAUAUUUGAAACAUUGUCAAUAUAUAAAUAUUAUAUGCUAUAAGUGAAUCACAAAAUUAUACUUUAUAAAAAAUUAUUAUUCUAAUUUUGGACUCACAAAGAUAACAAUAGAAUGAGAUUUUUGUUGGUAUUUAGCCUUUGCUUUGCUUUAUGCUUUUAAGUCUUCCCAUCCAAAUGUCUAAGUCUUCUUGCCCCAUCAUUACUCUAUGAAAAAUAAUUUUCUUAAUAGUUUGCUUAAGUCAAUUCUAUCUUUUGAAAAAGACAAAAAAACAUAGUAAUUUACUUAAUGGAGCUUAUCUUUUGUCUUCUAAUUAAAUUGACAAAUUGAGAAUGGAUUUUAAGUGUAUUACUGUAUUUUAGUCUGUUUUAUGACAUAGACCGAAGUAAAUGCUAAUAUUAUUUUGUGGAAAGUAAAGAUGGGGGCAAAAAAGACUUAACCACAUUUGCAUGCUUUUAUUGCCAAGACUAAAUCUAAAGCAAUACUAAGACUUGUCCAUUUCCUUUCUUUGGGUUUUACUAUUCCUUUUUAAAAACUUCCCUUAAUUUCUAUGAUAAAGUCUUGAGUCUUUCCUUUAUACUAUUUUUGUGAAGUAAAGAUGGGGACAAAAAGUCUGACACAUUUGCAUGCUUCAUGCCAAGACUAAGUAUAAAGCAAAGACUAAGACUUUAUCAUUUUUUCUUUGGUUUUACUUUCUUUUUAAAACUUCCCUUAAUUUCUAUUGAUAAGUCUUAGUUUUUGCUUUAUACUUAUUUUGUAGAGUAACUGAGGGCAAAAGAUUGACACCACUUUUACUUGCCAGUAAUACACAUCCUAAGAAAAUUAUCUUUCCAUGAUAUCUAUACCAAACCAUACUCCAAGAAGCAAUCCGCAAGUGAUAGAACAAUAUGUAGUGUCAAAGGUACCAGCAUCAACAAAUACUGUAUAUGCUGGAAUAGAAUCUGCAUAUGACCAUGAAAUAUUUUCAACCUUACUAUUUUCCUCUGUAGUAUAAUCAUAAGCAAAAUUAUCUUCCCUCUCUGCCAUAGCCUUGCCGGCCUCAAGAAGUUACAAUGUAUCAUUUUCUCUUUUCUCGGUAAGCAAAGCAUCACUUUCUUGAAAAGUCUUUUCACAAGUCCGUACAAAAUUCCUAGCAUCCUUCUUGAUAAAAGGCAACCGUCCGCGCUGGACUCCCUUUUCUAAUUCCAAAACUUUCAUGAUACCAUUGACAGGAAACCCGGCUUUGGAGAGUAAAAGAAUUCUUUCCUGAUCUGCUUCCUGUAUUUUCCGAUAUGCAGGAAGCAAACUGACUUGGUCAUCUUGCAAUAAUUCAUGGUUAUUUACAUUACUAAAUUGUGAAACACACCAUUGAGUAACAUCAUGGAUGACUUCUUUUGUGGAAUAAAAUUUUGCAUCACAUCCACAUCGCACUGAAUUCCAGUCUCCUGGAUGCUCCACAUUGACCUUUUUUCUUAGUUGGUUAAACCCAUAUCUAUAACAGAUAAACUCUCGAUGGUAGAUCCCUAAAUUCUAGCUUUCUCUGGAGCAUGCUUUUGUUAUUGAAAAUCCAUUCUUCCGUGCAAAAUUGCUAUAGUACUCAAAAUAAUCAUCAUCACCUUUGAAUAUUUGACAUACAUAUGGCAUAAAGAUAGCUUCUGAUGAUAAGGAUGUUGAAGCUGUCUCAUUCUUUAUUACCUGAGAGUGCUGAAAGCUUACUGAUGUCUGAUCUUCUCCUUCAUACUUAACAUAACACUUCCAAUCACCACAUGGACACUGCUGAUGUCGAAUCCAAAUGUUUUUUGACGGUUUCAUUGUCAUUUUGUGGGAAAAGAAGUGAUAAAUUCCCAACCUUGAUGCUCUUCUUAGUACCUGGAGAAAGAGAAAGCCUUAAGAAUUUCAUGAUCUUAGAUUUAUUAUUUGGGAUGAAAGAAAACAAAGACAUCCACCAGAAUAAAAAACAUCUUUUCCAAUAGGGAAGUGAAGGGGCUUAGCAGAAGUCCUGAACACCUUCCAAUUUCAGUAAGGAUAUUUUUCAGCAUAAUUUUUCUCACAUUAAUAAAAUUUUGGCCCCUGCAUGGGUGAGAAUAUCGUUGCCCUUCCACAUAAAAGUCCUAUAAAGUGGAAACAGUUUUGUACUGGAAAAUCUUUUAUUCAGGGUAAGUUUUAACCAAAAUUGAAUCGGUAAAUGAUUAAUUUGUUUGUAAUGGAUACUUAUAAAUGCAAUACUUGCCAACUUUUGACUCCAUACCAAAGGGUUAAAGUUUCAAUAUGUCUCCCAACUGUUUAAAAGAAACAACUAAGAGUAUAAAAGAAAUUAUAAGUCCCCAUCUAGGUGGAGCUUCUACUUUUUGCUUUUUGCUUUUAGAAGAAUUACCAGAAAGGAAAAGCCAAGGUGAAAAAAAAACGAUAUCAUAAUUGAUCUAAAACAGAAAAAAUAAUUAAAAUAUAAAAUCAAUUAUAACACAUUUAGUCUAUAUAGAAGUAGAAUUAUGUAGUUAAUCAUAAAAAAUUUACAUAUUUCAAAAUUUUUUUGCUUAUGGAAAUGCAAUUUUUGCUUUUUGCUUUAGGAAGCAAAAAGCAAAUAGCAAAAAUCCAUUCAAACAUACUCUAAAUGAGACAAAACAACCGAGAACUUCAUAUGGUUUGCUAAUGCAUUAAUUUUGCAUGAGUAAUUUUAUAUUCUCGAUAGUUUCAUUUUUUAGUGUUUUCUAUUUUUGGUUAUUAGGUUAUAUUCUAAUUUUAUUGAAUUUAAUUUUUAGAAAUUUUUUAGAAAUGAUUUAUGUAUGCACAAUGCUUGAAAUUUACAUUUUAUUUUGCAAUUACAUGAUUUUUUAUAGAAACAUCGUAUGUAGCAUAUUUUUUAAGCCUAUUUUAUGUAUACCAUAUACAUACAUCCAUACAUCCAUACAUCCAUACACACUAAUAUAAGGGCUAUUUAUAAUAGUUUUAAUAGUUUAUGUAUAACUCUUAGUUUUAAUAGUUUAAAAUUCAAACCAUGGCAAUCUCAUAUUAAAAAAAAUCUUUUAAUUUAAAAGAUUUCUUAUAUGCAAGAUAAUUUAUAUAUAUGUAUAUAUUUCUCCACGUAUGAUUAAUAGAGUUUUUAAAUUUUAUAAACAUUAAAUCUCAUACUUUCUAUAAGAUAUUUUCUCUUAAUUAUUUUUUUUCAAACCUAAAUGUAACCUUUUUCAACUUAUUGGAUAUGAAAAUCCAAUAAGUUAUAUAACUUAAGAAAUGCAUAUCUAGAAGCUUUAAAAUUAAAACGAGAUGAGUAAAUAAGUAAUUUCACUUAAAAAUUAAAAAAAAAAAGAGUGGAUGUAGAGAAAAAUAUGAUGGUGUAUUUAGAAUCACCCAUCACAAAAUUAUACUUUAUAAAAAAAAUUAAUAUUCUAAUUUUGGACUCACAUCAAAAAUGAUAGUAUGAGAUUAUUUUAUUGGUAUUUAGUCUUUUCUUUGCUUUAUACUUUUAAGCCUUCCUAUCAUGCAAAUGUCUAAGUCUUCUUGGCCCAUCAUUACUAUGUGAAGAAUAAUCUUCUUAGCAAUUGUUUAAGUUAAGUCUGUCUCUUAAAAAAGACAAAAAAAACAUCACAAUUUUUUCAAUGGUGGUUGUCUUUUGUUUUUCAAUUAAAUUGGCAAACUAAGAAAGGAUUUUAAGUAUAUUAAUUAUUAUUGUUAUAUUUUAGUCUUUUUAAUGAUUUAGAUUGAAGCAACUACUAAAAUUAUUUUUUUUGUGAAGUAAAGAUGGGGGCAAAAAGACUAACACAUUUGCGUGUUUGACACCAAUACUAUGUAUAAGGCAAAGACUAAGAUUUAGACUAAUGCAAUCCCAUACUAUCUAUCAUUUUCUUUCUUAUUCCACCAUUAAUUUUCAAAAUAGACAAGUUUGAGAUGUGGGAAUGAAUGUGUUCUUUAGAUUUUUUUUUUCAAACUUUUCAACAAAAAUAAAAGACAGGUUUUUAAUUCGUUGAUUUUUUUUUUCAAUCAAUUUGUUGAUUAAGCAACUUCUUUCUCAUGCUUUUGUUCUUGAUGUACUAUUAGAUCUCAUGGUAUGUGCAUUUCCUAUUUUUUUAGUUUUUUAUUGUUAAUAUAUUUUAAAAAGAUUCUUUGAUUUAAAAUUAAAUGAGCAAAUAACCAUGUAGUUUGUUAGUAAAAUGUUGAACUCUUAAUUUCAGUAGUUUAAAGUUUAAAUCCUAAUAACCUCACAUACAAAAAAAGGACAAUCUUCUAGUUUCAUAAAUUUCAUGUAUACGAGAUAAUUUAUAUAUAUUUUAAUUCCUUUAUAUAUGAUUAAUAGAAAUUUUAAAUUUUAUAAAUGGUAUUAAAUUCUUAUACUUUCUGCAAGAUAUUUUCUCCUAAUUUUUUUCCAAACCUAACUAUAACUUUUUUUUAACUUACCAGAUAUGAAAAUCCAAUAAGUUAUAUCUAGAUGAUUUACAAUUACAACAAGAUAGGUAAAUAAGUAAUUUCACUUAAAAAUAAAAAAAAUGAUAUAGAGAAAAAAUGAUGAUAUAUUUAGAAUCACCCAUCACAAAUUUAUACUUUAUAAAAAAAUUGAUAUUUUAAUUUUGGACUCACAAAGAAGAUGAUAGUAUGAGGUAUUUUUAUUGGUAUUUAAUCAUUUUAUUUGUUUUAUACUUUUAAGUCUUCCCAUCAAACAAAUGUCUAAGUCUUCUUGCCCCAUCAUUUCUAUGUGAAAAUAAUCUUCUUAGCAAUUUGCUUAAGUCAAGUCUACCUUUUAAAAAAGACAAAAAAAAAAAAAUCCAACAAUUUUCUCAAUGAAAGUUGUCUUUUGUCUUUUAUUAAAAUUGGCACACAAGGAAUAAAUUUAAAGUAUACUAAUUAUUGUUGUUAUAUUUUAGUCUUUUUAAUAACUUAGACUGAAGCAACUACUAAGAUUAUUUUUGUGAAGUAAAGAUGGGGGAAAAAAGAUUGACACAUUUGCAUGCUUGAUGCCAAAACUAAGUAUAGAGCAAAGACUAACACUUAAACCAAUACAUUCCAAUAGCAUCUAUCAUUUUCUUUCUUAUUCCACCAUUAUAAGAUCACGACUUUCAAAAUAGACAAGUUUGAGAAGUGAGAAUGAAUAUAUUCUAUAGAUUUUUUUUUCAAACCUUUCAGCAAAUAUAAAACACAAGUUUUUAAUUUGUUGAUUUUUUUUUGGCCAAUCAAUUUGUUGAUUAAGCAACUUCUUUCUCAUGUUUUUGUUCCUAAUGUACAAUUAGAUUUAAUGGUAUGUACAUUUUUAAAGUUUUUUACUGUUAAUAUAUUUUAAAGAUAUCCUCUACUUUAAAAAUUCAAUGAGCUAAUAAUCAUAUAGUCUGUUAAUAAAAUGCUAAACUCUUAGUUUCAAUAGUUUAGAAUUCAAAUCUUGACAAUCUCACAUAUCAAAAAAUUAAAAAAAAAAAAAGACAAUCUUCAAAUGAAAAAAUUUCAUGCAUACAAGAUAAAUUAUAUAUAUAUAUGUAUUUUAAUUUCCUCACAUAUAAUUAAUAGAGUUUUUAAAUUUUAUAAACAGUAUUAAAAUCUUAUACUUCAUGUAAGAUAUUUUGUCUUAACUAUUUUUUUAAACCUAAAUGCAACUUUUUCUAACUUACCGGAUAUGAAAAUUUUAUAAAUUAUAUAACUUAUUAGAAAUGCAUAUUUAGAAGUUUUAAAAUUAAAACAAGAUGAGUAAAGAAGUAAUUUCACUUAAAUUUUUUUUUAAAAAGGUGGAUGUAGAGAAAAAAUGAUGCUGUAUGUAGAAUCACCCAUCACAAAAUUAUGCUUUACAAAAAAAAAAUUGAUAUUCUAAUUUUGGACUAACAAAGAAAAUGAUAGUAUGAGAUUUUUUUUAUUGGUAUUUAGUUUUUUCUUUACUUUAUACUUUUAAGUCUUCAAUCAUGCAAAUGUCUAAGUCUUCUUACCCCAUCAUUACUCUAUGAAAAAUAAUCUUCUUAGUAGUUUGCUUAAGUCAAAUCUAUCUUUUAAAAAAGACAAAAAAAAUAGUAAUUUUCUCUAUGGUCUUUAUCUUUUGUCUUCCAAUUAAAUUGGUAAACUGGGAAUGGAUUUUAAGUGUAUUAAUUAAUAUUUUUAUAUUUUAGUCUUUUCAAUGACUUAGACUGAAGCAAUGGCUAACAUCAUUAAUUUUUUGAAGUAAAAAUGGGGGCAAAAAGAUUGACACAUUUGCAUGCUUGAUGCCAAGACUAAGUAUGAAGCAAGGACUAUGAUUUAGACCCAUGCAUUCCAAUAAGAUCUAUCUUUUCCUUUCUUAUUCCACCAUUAUAAAAUCAUAAUUUCCAAAAUAGACGAGUUUGGGAAAUGGGAGUCAAUGUGUUCUUUCGAUUAUUGUUUUCAAACUUUUCAGCAAAAAUAAAAGAUAGGUUUUUAAUUUUUUGAUUUUUUUAGCCAAUCAAUUUGUUUAUUAAGCAACUUGUCUCUUAUGCUUUUGUUCCCAAUGUACUAUUAGAUUUUAUGGUAUGUGCAUUUUUUUUUUAGUUUUUUGUUGUUACUAUAUUUUAAAAUGAUGCAUUGAUUUAAAAAUUCAACAAGCCAAUAACCAUGUAAUUUGUUAGUAAAAUAUUGAACUUUUAGUUUUAAUAGUUUAAAGUUCAAAUAUUGACAACCUCAUAUACAAGAAAAAAAAAAGACAAUCUUCUAUUUUCACAAAUUUCAUGUGUACAAGAUAAUAUAUAUAUAUAUAUAUAUUUUGAUUUCUUUACAUAUGAUUAAUAAAGUUUUUAAAUUAUUUUAAAUGGUAUUAAAAUCUCAUACUUUCUAUAAGAUAUUUUCUCUUAAUUAUUUUUUUUUCAAACCUCAAUAUAUAUUUUUUAAAUUACCAAAUAUGACAAUCUGAAAAGUUGUAUAACUUAUCAUAAAUGCAUAUCUAGAAGUUUUAAAAUUAAAAUGAGAUGGGUAAAUAAGUAAUUUCUCUUACAAAAAUUUUAAAAAAUGGAUGUAGAGAAAAAAAAUGAUGAUGUAUUUUGAAUCACCCAUCAUAAAAUUAUAGUUUAUAAAAAAAUUGAUAUUGUAAUUUUGGACUCACAAAUAAAAUGAUAGUAUGAGAUUUUUUUAUUGGUAUUUAGUCAUUUCUUUACUUUAUACUUUUAAGUUUUCCAAUCAUGCAAAUGUUUAAGUCUUUUUACCCUAUCAUUACUUUAUUAAAAAUAAUCUUCUUAGCAAUUUGCUUAAGUCAAGUCUGUCUUUUAAAAUAUAUAUAUAUAACAAUUUUCUCAAUGGAAGUUGUCUUUUGUCUUCUAGCUAAUUUGGCACAUAGGGAAUGGAUUUUAAAUAUAUUAAUUAUUAUUGUUAUAUUUUAGUCUUUUUAAUGAUUUAGAUUGAAGCAACUGCUAAAAUUAUUAUUUUUGUGAAGUAAAGAUGGGGGCAUACAGAUUAAUACAUUUGCAUGCUUGAUGCCAAAACUAAGUAUAAAGCAAAAACUAAAACUUAGACUAAUACAUUCCCAUAGUAUCUAUCAUUUUCUUUCUUAUUCCACCAUUAUAAAAUCAUAAUUUCCAAAAUAGACAAGCUUGAGAAGUGAGAAUGACUGCAGAACUCUUAGUUUCAAUAGUUUAAGUUUAAAUCCUAACAACCUCAUAAAAAAAAAAAAAAGACAGUCUUAUUCUUUCGCAAAUUUCAUGUAUGCAAUAUAUUUUGAUUUCUUCACAUAUGUUUAGUAGAGCUUUUAAAUUUUAUAAAUAAUAUUAAAAAAUUAUCAUAUAUCUUAAUAUUUUUUAUAUAAUUUUUUAAUAUAUUUGUAAAAGGGUUUGUGACAGCCCUCUAACUUGUAUAAUCUAAAAACUCCACCAACUGAUUGCAUUUUCUAAGUUAUAUGAUUCAAAAAAGACUAACCAAGUCAAUUAAUAAUUUAAUUGUUCGAUAAAUUUGAAGGUAAAAUGAAUGAAAAUUUUGCAGCCAAUAAGGAAUAUUCUUUUAUUCCCAUGAACAAACCAGAUGAAUAGAUGGAGGUGAAGAAUGAACUAUUUUGGGGCAAGAUAUCAGUAGUAUCUGGAUUUCUUAAACAGCAUAACAAGAAAAUCUAACUAGAACAACUUUACAUCAUGGCAAAAUUUCAAAGAAAAACCAGUAUCUUCUCAAUUUCAUUCCUUCUCUCUCUUCCCCAAAAUUACAAAUUAUCUGCAUCAAGUUGCAUAUUUACAUAAGAUGUUGGUAUAUAUCUUUCCAAAACAAAAAGGUACUAAAAUGAAGUCAACAAAUAAAACCAACCCUGAAACCUGAAAUAGGCUUUGAAGAAAAAGAAAAGUCAGUAUAUUUCCACCUCUAUGUUGUUUGAGAGUGUUCAAUGUCCAACAUUAUUAACAUCAGCACCACCUCUGUAUUUCAUCCUCCAAAAAUCUGAAAAUCUUUAGACAAGUAGGAUUCAAGUGAAUCUAUUAGCCAUGAUUUGCGUCAAGAAACCUAAGAUUCACUAAUGUUGUUAGCUGCCAUAUUCAAAGCAAAAUCGUUAGAUACUGGCAUUUCUAGAACAUGGUCAAGGAGUCUUGUAAGUUCCCUAAGAACACUAAUAAAAUGUAUAUAUUUUGCUAGAAAGGAAAAGCAAAAGGUAAAAAAUAUAUAUAUCAUAACUGAUCUAAAACAGAAAAAAUAAUUAAAAUAUAAAAUCAAUUAUAACACAAUUAGUAUAUAUAUAGAAGUAGAAUCAUGUAGUUAAUCAUAAAAAAUUUACUUAUUUUGUGUAUAACUCCUCAAAAUUUUAUUGCUUAUGGAAAUGCAAUUUACUUUUUUGCUUUCAGAAGCAAAAAGCAAAUAGCAAAAACCCAAUUAAACAGACACUAAAUAAGGCAAAAUAACCAAAAACUUCAUAUAGUUCGUUAAUGCAUUUAUUUUGCACAAGUAAUUUUAAGUUCUCGAUAGUUUCCUUUUCAGUUUUUUCUGUUUUUGGUCAUUAAGUCUUACUCUAAUUUUAUUGAAUUUAAUUUUUUGACAUUUUUUAGAAUUUAUGUAUGUACAAUGCUUGAAAUUUACAUUUUAUUUUGCGAUUACACAAUUUUUUAUGCAAACAUCGUAUAUAACAUAUUUUUUAAACCAAUGUUUAUAUAUACGUACGUAAAUACAUUCAUAUGCACUAAUAUAAGUGCUAUUUUUAUCUCCCCAAACCCCCUCCCCCUCUAAAAUAGAGGGGGGGGGGGGGGGUUAAAACAAGGCUUAUGUAGGAAAUCAAAAUUUUAAUCAGACUUUAACACUGAAAAUUUUAACCUAAAUUUCAACAGCUUGAACAUAAUGUGAAAUGCAAUUUCAAAAGCUAGAGAGGAAGGGCAGGAAUAGUGAGGGCAAAGUGAAAAUGGAAGAGCAGGAGAUCAAACUCUACCAUAAGCAAACCGACAAAAUACUAAGACCUAGGAAGUGAACAAAGACAGGGCAAAAGAUCAUUGCAGAAUAUGGAUGCAACAAAGAAAAGAUCAGAUUAUAGCCACCUUUUUCACAUAAACAUUCAAUUCCUAAUUUGCAAGAAGAACCUGUUAUGUCAUAUAUAUUAAUUCAUUUUGAAAACAGAAAACACUGACGAAACUUAUCUAAACCAAGAUACUUGAAAGGAGUGAAAUGGAAAUACGAAUAACUCCAUCCAUUCAAUUGUUGGAAAAUGCAAAAUGUACAAUUAAACAAAUGAUGAUUGCAUGCUAGAACUCCAUAAAAGGUAACACUUUCUACCCAACUAUUUCAUUUUAUUUUUCUUUCCCUAUUUCAACCCUCUCAUUCUUCCCAAUAAUAACAAGAGAUUCAAACUGCAAUGCCAAUGUGACGUUUCCAAAAAAUAGAAAAAAGAAAUUAUAGAAAAAGACAUUUAAAAAAAAAAUCAAAUACCCUGCCUUUGCCAAUGUGACGUUUCCAAAAAUUAGCUGCAAUUGCUCCAGCUCUCGAAUUACAGUGCCACUGUAAAAAACAGGCGAUGAAAUCAAUUGAAAAAAAACCCAUAUUUUACAGUAAAAAAAAAGAAUUUUUUAAGAUUGAAAAUAAAACUGGGCAUGAGGAUUUUUAUUUUCCUGGACAAAGAAAAAAGAGGGGGAAAAUUUGAUUAAAACCCCCAAACUUAAAAAACUUUUGAUAACAUUUUUUUAAUUUUGCUUUUCUCAGUUAAUUGUAUGUGUAUCUUUCUUCAAUCAGUUUAUGAUUCGUAAAAAUUGCCCAUUUGUGUAUUAGUGCAAAGAGUCAAAGGGAAGCCCAAUUUCGGUAUUAAUGGACCCUGCUCAUGUAAGAAAAACGGGGUCUUUUGACCCAAUAGGCCUAUCAAUAUCAAUCUGGUAACUAAUUUUGCAUUUUUUUGGUUGAUUAUUAAUUUUAUUUAUAUGCAUGAAUUUUUUUUACAAUUUUUUUAAAAACAAAUAUUAUUAAGCUUUAAAUUCUUAUUUUUGUUUUCAAGGUAUUAGUUUUUCUUUCCUUUAUGAUUGCUUCUUCAUUGUUGUUGUUUGAUCAAUGAAAGAGGAUUUUUUUGUUAAUUAAAUUGUGUUUAGAAAUUUGAAUUUAAAAGAAAAGGAUAUAAAUUUAAAAUGUUAAUAUAAAUUUUGAAAUAGAGUUAAAAUAAAAUAUGAUUAUACUUAAAUUCAUGAUUUCUUUUUUAUAUAUAAACGUAUGCCAUCUAAUAUGCAUUAUGUACCAAAAUAAAAAUUUUAUUUUUUUAUAAUGGAAAGAGUAAUAAGUAUUAUUUAGAUUUCACUUUUUUUUAAUAACAAUUUGAAUGAAAAUAAAAUUAAUUUAGAUGAAAUUAAAAAUAGCAAUAAAAAUAAAAUUAAUUAUUAUAAUAAUAAAAUUGAAUACAAUAAUAAUAAAAUUAAAAUCAAUUAUUAAUAUAUAUAUUAAAUAAAAACAAAAAACAAAGGUGACGAUGAAUCCAUAUUUGGGCUUAAAUUUUAUGACACCGAGUAUGCUAUGAAAUCCAUAAGGGCCAGAAAUGAUAUGAAGUUAAGUAUGCAUUAGAUUAUUUAAGCAGGCAUUAGAUUAUUUUUAACCCAACAUGACAUACUAUUACUUUUUAUUUUUUCAGUUUUUCAGUAUUGAACAAUUUGAAUAUGCAUCAAUUUUGUAGUAAUUCCAUUUUAUCUCAAAAAUUUUUAAAGAUUUUUUUCAUAUUCCUUGAGUUUUGAAUUUUAAUUUGAUUGUAAAAUUGUAUAAUUGGGUUUUAAUUGUAAAAUGAACUUUAGGUUCAAAAUUAAAAGUCUGAAAUGUUUUCAAUUUAUUUUAUGAUUUUAUUUUUAUUUUUGGGUUUUUAGUUUUAAUUUACUUUUUAUUAUUAUUCUCGAUUUUUUUUUUUUUGCUAUUUGAAAAAAAAAAAAAGAGAAAGUCAGAAAUACAAAAACGUGGGAUUUUUUCAGGGAAACCUGCUAGAUUUGGUUUUAGAUUUUCAAAGUUUAAUAAUUAACUUGCUUAUGGAAAUUCUUGCCCCCAAUUUCAUGCAAAAAGAAAAGUUUACAAAGAGAAUAAAUCUGAAGAGAAAUCCUUUAAUCCUUAUAUAAAGAACUCUAAUCUGUAAUCAAUGCACAUGCACCAAUGCACAUGCACCAAGCACUAAGUAAAUAGUAUAGUACGCAAUAUAACAGCUCAAGCAAAAAUUUUCUGUUCUUAGUUUGAAUUUUUGGUGUUUUUGAAGGGUUGUUUGAUUUUUGGAUAGUUUGGAGAUUUGGUUUGAUUUCUGGGUUGGUUUAAUUCUUUUGGGUUCUGGGUUUCUCUGGGAAAAUUUGGGUUUUCUGGCCGGAAUUCUAGAGAGAGGGACGAGAAAAUUUAGGCAGAGAGAGAAGCAGUAAAUGACGCCGUUUUGGCACCCAGGAUCCUCGCCUUGACCCGAAGCAGAUCCGCGGGCCGACCGGCUUAGACCUGACCCAAAUCGCAGGUUUUCCUUUACCUGGUUACUGUGAUUACGCAGAUUCAUGUAAGUUUAUGCAUGAUCGUGGAGAUUACAAGCCGGGAUGGCAGUUAGUGAAGGACCAGGAAGAAGCAGAGAAAGCAAGGAAGAGAAAUCUGGCUUUGGGUGGCGAUUAUGAUGAUGAUGAGGCAGGGGUACGCCAGAGUGAUGAUGACAAUGACGAUUCACUGCCCUUUAAAAUCAUUUCCCUUGUCUGAAUAACUUAUUAAAGGAAAUCAUUUCCCUGCUUGAGCUUGGGGGAAUUUUGGAUUAUGCAGUGAUGAGCUCUUUAAAAUCAUUGUUGCUGCAGGCAUGUGCAUUAGUUUUUACUUAAGCAUUUUUUCUGCGUCAUUCCACAACUGACUUACGAGUUGAGUGAUGGUAUUAAGUAGUGUAUGAAUUAGGUUUUUACAUUAACUUCUAAAAGUUGUCGAAAACAACUGAAUGACUAGACAAUUGUAAAACUUGUAAUGUAUAUACAAAAUUGGCGUUCCUAAGAUGCCAACAAAUCCUAUUGCUGCCUUUUACCCAUGAAGUAUCAUUUCUUCUACCUAGAGAUAGCGGUGCAAUCCAGUAUUAAUUUUCCAAGAAUCAGCACCCAACUUCACAACCUUCAUCAUGGCCAAUAAUUCAGCUUGAGCAGAUCAGAAUCCAGGUAUCGAUGACACAUACUGGUAGGAUCUUGGAUGUUACUUCAAAGAGUUUAAGAAUGUUGGAUUGCAGGUAGUUUCAAUUGGGUAGGGACGGCUAAUGGAAGCUGUGAUUUUUUCUGCUGUCCAAGUCCAAAGCAUAGAAAACAUUAAUGAUCAGUUUUCUUCCUGGAAAAAUACGGUUCCUGCAUUCAAGACAAACAAAAAAAAAAAUGAAAUUAGAUAGCAAACCUAAACUUAAACUCAAGAAAUAGUAAUCUUUAGCUCUUAGCAGUCGUAGAGACUUCAAUUUUUUAACAUAACCUUUUGUUUCCUUUUUUCCCUCUAGAAUUUUCUUUUUUAGCAUGAGUUUUUGUUUUCUUUUUUCCCUGUAAAAUUUUGAAAUGACCGAAUUCAUGAGAAUAAAAUAUUUUUCUUGUUGAUACUUACAUUACUAUUUAGAGAUGGAUUCAAAAGAGCAAGAACUUAGGGCUGCAUGAGAAGGCCAGUUGUAGGAGAAAGCCUCUAGCGGUAAAGUCUUGAUAUCAUUUUCAGCAUGCGUAUAAAAUAUGUCGCUGUCAUUAUUUCUUUUAAAUGAAGGCUUUAAAAGAUAAAAAUUGACAACUAUGAUAUUUAAAUGAUUUAAUAAUUAAAUGGGAGCUUGAAUGAUCCAACAGAUUACAAAUUGUUGAUUUCAUAUAAAACUGUUUUAGUAUAAAGAAAGACGAUUAAUUGAUCAUUUACCAUUUAUUAUUGAAGUAAUUAAGGGUGAUGAAAGAUAAGCCUUCGGAUCCCAGAACAAAUAGUAUAUCACAUAGCAAUUGUCGUUCAGUGUUGAUCCGUUUUCAUCAACAAUAAUGCAUGCGUUUUCUUUUCCUUUACAAGAAAAAAAGGGCAUGCAGCUGUCAUUAGAGUUGGGUUUGGCUGCCAGCUAUUGAAACUCUAUCUUCACUUCCAUGAAGUUUCAUGAGAGCAAUCCAAGAAGGAAAAAAAAAAAAUACAAAAUAGCAACAUCAUGCACUAAAUCAAAUAUUGAGAUUAGAGUAGGAAAUAGGAGAAAAUGCCAUACUCAUACUUUUUGAAUCAUGUGACUUCUAAUUUAUAUAAUUAAUGUUAUAAAGAAUGAAAGAAGGAGAGGGUGCUCACGUGCCACCCCUCCCUUUCUCCAAAAUUUUAUUUUUUCUUUAUUUUUAAAAUUUUUAAAAUUUACUUUUUAUUUAAUUUUUUAUGAAAUAAAUUUUGUAAAAAAAAAGUCAAUAGAAAUAAAUAUGAUAAAAUAAUAUAUAUUUGAUUAAUUUUAAUUUGCAUCAAUCUAUAUAGGUGCAUUCUUUUUAAAUCAAGAUUGGAUCAAUUUUAUUUUUUUUUUUGAAAAUAGAGUUGGGUUGAAAAUGGAUUUAAAGUGUUUUACUCCCUCUUGUUGUUCACAUGAUAUCUCUAUCUUUUUUUAUAUUUAAUUUUUUAAAACUUCUUAUUUUUGAGGUUUCCUUUUUCUUUAAAUUUUUUAAUUUUUAGUUUUUUAUCAGAUAAAUUUUAUAAUAAAAAAGUUAAUUGAAAUAGAAACGACAAAAUAACUUGUACAUAAUGGGUUUCAAUUGGUCCCAAUUCAAUUGGUUCACAUUCUUUUAAUUCAAAAUAAUUGGUUCAAACAUUUUUUUUUUAAAUUGAGCUCGAUAAACAGUAAGAUUUUUAGUAUUAUGCUUCGGUUUAGGUAUGUAUAAAAAAUAUAUAUUUUGUUAUUUAUUCAUUCUAUAUUUAUAUAUGUAUUUUUAUUAAAAAUGUAUUAUUUAAUAUUUUAAUUUAAUAAAUUUAUUUGUCACCCCAUUUGGUUUUUUUAGUCAUUUUCAUUUUUUAAAAUUUUUUAUGAGAUAAAUGUUAUAAAGAAAAAAGUCAAUAAAUGUAAAAAUUACAAAACAAUUUAUAUUUGAUAGACUUUGGUUUAUCACAAUCCAAUCAAUAUAUAUAUUUUUAAAUAAAGAUUGAAUUAAGUUUUAUCUCUUUAAAUAAUUUAGGUUGAGUUGAAAUUAGGUUUGAUAUGUUUUGUCUUGACUCUCCUUUGGAUAUAUAAAAGAAUAUAUUUUAUUAUUUAUUAAAUUUAUAUUUAUAUAUAUUGUAUUAAUAAAAAUAUUAUUUAAUAUCAUAAUUUAAUAAAAAAAUUAUAUUUAUAUAAUUAAGUUAUAAUUAAUAUUAAAAUAUAUAUACUUACAUUUGUCUAUAUAUUAUCAUCUAUUAAAAUUUGAUAUAAAAAUUUUACUUCACUUACAUUUAAGAUAUAAUUUCAAAAAUAAAAAAUAAUCUAUUGAAAAAUCACGGAUCUAAUUCUAAUGAAAGUACGAUUAUAGAAAAAAAAAAUAAAGCUUCUUCACUCUUUGGAAAUUUCAAUAAAUUCGAUGGUUUCAACUUACGAUUAUAAUUAAAGGUUAAAGUGAUUCGAUUUCACGAGUAUUUUUGGCCAUAAAUUUCCAUUACCCAAACUUUCAUAUGUUAGUGCAAUGUGCACCAUGCAAAGAUAUUCUCUCUCUCUCUCUUUAUGCCGUAAUGUAUUUUUAUUUUAAGUGUUUACUUAUAAUAUAUUUUAAAAAUUAUAAAUAUAAUUUUAAAAUAAUAUAUUGUUAUAUUAUUACAAUUAUUCAAAGUUCUUAUAUUUAAAAAAAUUAUAAUUACAUUAUUAUUAAUAUUAUCAAAUAUAUAAUUAUAUAAUAAUUAAAUAAUCAUUCAAUCAAGAAUAAUUGUUAAUACUAUUAAAUUUAUUUCGACGAAUUUAUAAAUUUUGUUGACAAAAAUUAUCUUAAGAGAAAAAUUUUAAAGAUGACUAUAGAAAAAGUUUCUUUUAAUAUAUAUUUUUUUAUUUUCUGAUACUUGAAGUGUUUAUGAGCACUGUGCUCCAACCUUUGCAUCCGACACUGUAUACAAAAAACAAUUGCUACCCAUGUUUAGGAUGAUGUUGGUGUCGGCAUAUCCAAGAAUUCUUCCUUUGUUAGAUCAAAAUCAGUGAUGCACUCAUGUUUUUGUUUUGAACCAUUUACAAUUCCUUAAUAAUAUGAUUUUAAUACAUCUUAAAUUACAAUAUGAAUAAAACUAAAUUAUUAAAUCACAUAAAAUAAUAAAUAAAAUUAAUAAUUUUCAUUGAUCCCAUUCCUUAUUUUGUAUGGCUUGCAUAGAUUAUAACAAAAUGCUAAAUAUGAUACCAAAAUUUUUAAAAAUUUUAAUGUGAUACUUGAACUAAUCAUGUUAAAAAUAAAAAUUAAAUUAAUUAAUAAAUUUAUAAUUUAAAUAUCAAAUUAAAAAAUUUUAAAAUUUAAAUAUAAUAUUAAAUAUUUUAUUAUAAUUUAAAAUUAUUCAUAAUAUUAAAUUUUCAUAAUAUUUUUAUGGGUAUGCUUCUUCCGCUACAGCUUUAUAUGAAAGGAUCUUUUUCCGCCGUUAAAAAGUUGGGUGUGAACUAAAUUUUUUGUGGCGAAAGAUUAAUUUUACAUUGAUGAAAAUAUUAGAGACGGUACCUUAAAGGGGCAGUAUUUUUUUUUUUUCUAAAUAUUUUCUGAUUCUACCUUAUUUUCCCCUAUUUUUUAUGAAAAUUCUUCAAAAAUUAAUUAUGGAUGAUGUUAGAUCCAUCAAUCAAACCAAUCAGACAGGUUAAAAUAGUAAUCAGAGGUUUUGGUUGUUGGUCCGAUUUAAAACAUUGUGUCCAGCAAGUUGGACCGAUAAGAAAUUCGUUUGAUUAUUUUUAUUAAUAUUUAGUAUUAUUAUUUUUCAAAAGUUAAUCUAAAUUUAAAUUGAUUUUUUUAAUUUGAAUUAAUUUGAAAUGAAUUUUAUUGAUUUAAUUUAAUUUAUUGAUUUUUAAAAAUUUAUUUACUAUUACUUUCAUAUUAUUUUUUAAAGGGAAUGAUUAAUUUAUAUCACUAUAAAAUUUUUUAAUUUUAUAUUUUUUUAAUUAUUGAUUUUAAUUGAUUUAAAAAAUGAGAUUAAAUUAUUUUAUUUAUUUAAUCAUUGAAUCAAUUGAAAUUAAUGAUUAAAAAANNNNNNNNNNNNNNNNNNNNNNNNNNNNNNNNNNNNNNNNNNNNNNNNNNNNNNNNNNNNNNNNNNNNNNNNNNNNNNNNNNNNNNNNNNNNNNNNNNNNNNNNNNNNNNNNNNNNNNNNNNNNNNNNNNNNNNNNNNNNNNNNNNNNNNNNNNNNNNNNNNNNNNNNNNNNNNNNNNNNNNNNNNNNNNNNNNNNNNNNNNNNNNNNNNNNNNNNNNNNNNNNNNNNNNNNNNNNNNNNNNNNNNNNNNNNNNNNNNNNNNNNNNNNNNNNNNNNNNNNNNNNNNNNNNNNNNNNNNNNNNNNNNNNNNNNNNNNNNNNNNNNNNNNNNNNNNNNNNNNNNNNNNNNNNNNNNNNNNNNNNNNNNNNNNNNNNNNNNNNNNNNNNNNNNNNNNNNNNNNNNNNNNNNNNNNNNNNNNNNNNNNNNNNNNNNNNNNNNNNNNNNNNNNNNNNNNNNNNNNNNNNNNNNNNNNNNNNNNNNNNNNNNNNNNNNNNNNNNNNNNNNNNNNNNNNNNNNNNNNNNNNNNNNNNNNNNNNNNNNNNNNNNNNNNNNNNNNNNNNNNNNNNNNNNNNNNNNNNNNNNNNNNNNNNNNNNNNNNNNNNNNNNNNNNNNNNNNNNNNNNNNNNNNNNNNNNNNNNNNNNNNNNNNNNNNNNNNNNNNNNNNNNNNNNNNNNNNNNNNNNNNNNNNNNNNNNNNNNNNNNNNNNNNNNNNNNNNNNNNNNNNNNNNNNNNNNNNNNNNNNNNNNNNNNNNNNNNNNNNNNNNNNNNNNNNNNNNNNNNNNNNNNNNNNNNNNNNNNNNNNNNNNNNNNNNNNNNNNNNNNNNNNNNNNNNNNNNNNNNNNNNNNNNNNNNNNNNNNNNNNNNNNNNNNNNNNNNNNNNNNNNNNNNNNNNNNNNNNNNNNNNNNNNNNNNNNNNNNNNNNNNNNNNNNNNNNNNNNNNNNNNNNNNNNNNNNNNNNNNNNNNNNNNNNNNNNNNNNNNNNNNNNNNNNNNNNNNNNNNAAAUAAAGGAAUUUGGUAGAUCUAAUAAAAAUGUCACUUAGCAUUAUAGUUUCACAUGGAUUAUCUUUAAUAUAUAACAAUAGGGGUUUAAUGCCAAUUAUUCUUGGCAAUUCUAUACAAGAAUAUCUAUAUCUAAAACAAUUCCAAGAACAUAUCUACACAAUACAUAUUGAACUGCAAGAAAGUCAUUAAUUGGGAAAAAAAAUACUAUGGUUUCAUUAUCAUUUUCAACAUAAGUAUAAAAAUAUGUUGCUCUCGUUAUUUCUUUUUUCUUUAAAUGAAGGCUUUAAAAGAUAAAAAUGACAAGGAUAUUAAAUUAAUAUGGGGCUGAAUGUCCAACAGAUUACAAAUUGUUGAUUUCGUAUUAAACUGUUUUAGUAUAAAGGAAGAAGAUUAAUUGAUCAUUUACCAUUUAUUAAUGAAGUAAUUAAGGGUGAUAAAAGAUAAGCCUUCGGAUUCCAGAACGAAUAAUAUAUCACAUAGCAAGUACCGUUCAAUGUUGAUCCGAUUGCAUCAACAAUAACGCGUAUUCUUUUGCUUUACAAGGAAGAAAGGGCAUGCAGCUGUCAUUAGAGUUGGGUUUGGCUGCCAGCUAUUGAAACUCUAUCUUCACUUCCAUGAAGUUUCAAGAGAGCAAUCCAAAAAGGACAAAAAAAAAAAAAAACAGCAACAUCAUGCACUAAAUCAAAUAUUGAGAUUAGAGUAGGAAAGAGGAGAAAAUGCCAUACUCAUACUUUUUGAAUCGUGUGACUUCUAAUUUAUAUAAUUAAUGUUAUAGAGAAUGAAAGAAGGAGAGGGUGUUCACGUGCCACCCCUCCCUCUCUCUAUAAUUUUAUUUAUUUUUUUAUUUUACUUAUUAUUUUAUUUUUUUAUGAAAUAAAUUUUGUAAAAAAAUUCAAUAAAAAUAAAAAUAAUAAAGUAAUAUGUAUUCGAUUGAUUUUAAUCUGCAUCAAUCUAAUAUAAGUAUUUUUUUAAAAAUUAAAAUUCGAUCAAGAAUUUUUCUUUUUUUUGAAAAUAGAGUUAGAUUGAAAACAGAUUUAAAGUGUUUUACUUUGUCUUAUUAUCCACAUGAUAUCUCUAUCUUUUUUUAUAACUUCCAAUUUUUGGGAUUUCCUUUUUUUAAAAAUUUUUUACUUUUAGUUUUUUAUCAAUGAAAUAUAAAUAGAGGUGACAAAAUAACCUGUAUAUGAUGGGUUUCAAUUGGUUCCAAUUCAAUUGGUGCAUAUUCUUUUAAUUUGAGAUAAUUGGAUUGAGCUCUUUUUUAAAUCGAGCUCCAAAAAUAUUAAGAUUUUUAAUAUUACGUUUCAGCUUGAAUGUGUAUAAAAAAUAUAUUUUUUAUUAUUUAUUCAUUCUAUAUUUAUAUAUAUUUUAUAAAACAUAUUAUUUAUAUUUUAAUUUAAUAAAUUUAUUUGUCACCCCAUUUGGUUUUUUAGUCAUUUUCAUUUUUUAAAAUUUUUUAUGAGAUAAAUUUUAUAAAGAAAAGAGUCAAUGAAAGUAAAAAUGACAAAACAACUUAUAUCUAAUAGGUUUCAGUUUAUUUACAAUCCAAUUGAUAUGAUUUUUUUAAAAUAAAGAUUGAGUUAAGUUUUAUUUCUUUAAACAAUUUAGAUCAAGUUGAAAUCAAUUUUGAUAUAUUCUAUCUUGAACUCUUUGGAUAUAUAAAAGAAUAUAUUUUAUUAUUUAUUAAUUUAUAUUUAUUAUUAUAUAAUAAAAUAUUAUUAAUAUCAUAAUUUAAUAAAAAACUAUAUUUAUAUAAUUAAGUUAUAAUUUAUAUUGAAAAAUAAAUACAAUUACAUUUGUCUAUUUGUUAUCAUCUAUUAAAAUUUGAUAUAAAAAUUUUACUUUGCUUACAUUUAAGAUAUAAUUUAAAAAAUAAAAAAUAAUAUCGUGACAAAAUGUGGAUCUAAUUUUAAUAAAAGUAACAAUUAUACAAAAAAAAAAAAAAGCUUCUUCACUCUUUGGAAAAUUCAAUGGUUUCAACUUACAAUCAUAAUUGAAGGUUAAAAGUGAUUUGUUUUCAAGAGUAUUUUUAGCCAUAUAUUUCUAUUACCCAAACUUCGUAUGUUGGUGCAAUAUGCACCAUGAAAAGAUAUCCUUUUCUCUCUCAAUACCGUAAUAGGUUUUUUUUAAGUGUUUACUUAUAAUAUGUAUAAAAAAUUAUAAAUAUAAUUUGAAAUAAUAUAUUAUUAUAUUAUUAUAAUUAUUUUGAAGUUUUUAUAUUUUGAAAAAAAAUUAUAAUUACAUUAUUAUUAAUAUUAUCAAAUAUAAAUUAUAUAAUAAUUAAAUAAUCUGUCAAUCAAGAAUAAUUGUUAAUACUAUUAAAUUUAUUUCGACUAAUUAUCAAUUUUGUGGACAAAAUUAUGUUUAGAGAAAAAUUUUAAAGAUGUCUAUAGAAAAAGUUUCUUUUAAUUUUUUUAUUUUCUAAUAUUUGAAGUGUCUAUGAACAUUGUACUCCAACCUUUAGUGUAUACAAAAACAAUGAUAGCCAUUUAUAGGAUGAUGAUCAGCUAUCGCUGUAGGGAUAUCCAAGAAUUCUUCCUUUGUUAGAUCAAAAGCAGUGAUGUACUCAUGUUUUUGUUUUGAACCAUUUACAAUUCCUUUUUAAUAAUAUGAUUUUAAUACAUCUUAAAUUACAAUAUGAAUAAAACUAAGUUAUUAAAUCACAUAAAAUAAUAAAUAAAAUUAAUAAUUUUCAUUUAUCUCAUUUUUUAUUUUGUAUGGCUUGCACAUAUUAUAAUAAAAUAUUUAAUUUGAUAUUUAAAUUUUAAAAAAAUUUAAUGCGAUAUUUAAACUAAUCAUGUUAAAAAUAAGAAUCAAAUUAAUUAAUAAAUUUAUAAUUUAAAUAUCGAAUUAAAAAAUUUUAAAAUUUAAAUGUAAUAUUAAAUAUUUUAUUAUAAUUUAAAAUUAUUCAUAAUAUUAAUUUUUGUAAUAUUUUUAUGGUAUGCUCUGCUACGCUACAACUUAUUAUAGAGGGAUCUUUUCCGCCGUUAAAAAGUUACUUAAAAAAAAAAGUUGAGUGUGAACUAAACUUUUUUUAGCGAAAGAUUAAUUUUACGUUGAUGAAAAUAUUAGAGACAGAGCCUUAAAAAGGCAGUAUUUUUUUUAUUUUUCUAAAUAUUCCUGAUUCUACCUUUUUUUUCCUUUUUUUUUUAAAUUCUUCAAAAAUUAAUUAUGGAUGACGUUGGAUCCAUCGAUCAAACCAGUCAAACAGGUUAAAACAGUAACCAGAGGUUUUGAUUAUUGGUCUGAUUUAAAGCAUUGUGUCUAGCAAGUUGGAAAGAUAAGAAAUCGGUUUGAUUAUUUUGAUUAAUAUUUAGUAUUAUUAUUUUUCAAAAGUUAAUCUAAAUUUUAAUUUAUUUUUUAAAUUGAAUUAAAUUGAAUUAAAUUGAAUUGAAUUUUAUUAAUUAGAUUUAGGUUAUUGAUUUUUAAAAAUUUAUUUAUUAUUAUUUUUAUAUUAUUUUUUUAAAGGGACUGAUUAGCUUAUAUCACUAUAAAAUUUUUUAAUUUUAUAUAUAUUUUUUAUUAUUAAUUUUAAUUGAUUUAAAAAAUGAGAUUAAAUUAUUUAUUUAUUUAUUUCAUCUUUUGUAUCAAUUGAAAUUAAUGAUUAAAAAAUAUAAUUUUUUUGAUGUAAUUUGAUUUCUCUUUAUUUUAAAAUAAAAAUUAUUUUUAUUUUAUAAAAUAAUAAAUUUUAUAUAAAAAUUAAUAAAAAUAUAAUUUAGUUCGAUUGAAAUUUUUUUAAUUUAAUGAAUCAAAAAUCAUUUAAAUUGAAUAAAAAUAUUUAAUAUUCGAUCUGAAUCAAAUAAAAAAAUUUAUUAUAAUUUUUAACCGAUUUUUUAUUUCUCAAUUCUUUGCAUACGCUUUCGGUUUAUUUACUUUGUUUCCUCAGCCUUGCUGCCAGGAGCUUUGCUCUAACAAAAAUAUGUUAUAUAUUUUAAUAAAAAUUUGAAAUUAACUAAUAGUUAGGUUGCUAGGGUCGAACGCGCAUCCCAUGAGCAAAGUUUUUUUUUUAUUUUACAUAAUUAGCGUAUUUUUAAUUUUUUCGUGCCUAUGAAACGAAUCAGGCCCAAACUGACUAAUCCUUGUUUCUUCUCUUCACAGAAUCCAGCAUUCUGAAACGGAAAACCGAGGCUUUAUGGCAGUAGUUUCAACUGCUCAUUCAACUGCCACCCUUUUUCACCACAUAAAUGGUUUCAAACGCUUCACUUUUUUCUUACCCUUCUCUUCUUCUUCUGUUGCUGCUUCUCUGUCUACUAUGAAAAAGUGGAGACAACCAGUGGCUUCCUCAGUGCUAGAGCAUGGUGGAAUCAGAAUUGCUAAAGAUGGUAACAAAUUCCUACUUUUAUGAACUUGGGCUUUGCUGUUAUAUGAUUUUAUUGACUUUUCCAUGAACUGCGCCAUUUCAGUAUUUGCAGAUAUAGCAUUUUUACUAUGACUAGUAAAUUGUUAAGAGUAAUGGGUAUUUUAUCUCGUGUUUAAAUCUGGGCUGGCAAAGGUUAAUUGCAUUUAUGUGUUGCUUCUUUUUUAAAUUUGCCCUUUGUGUGUGUUCAAGUUGUAUUUGAUAAGAAAGUUCAAUUUAUGGUGUUUUGAUUUGGUAUGUUUUGGAAUGGAAGAUGUAUAUAGUCUAGGUAGAUUACACCUUUCUUCGAGUAUGAUGAAUUGAUUGAAAGUGUCAGCAAUUGAAAUCUGUUGUUGAGGUUUUUUGGUUUGAAAAUUGGCAUGGUAUAUGCUUUGAUAUUUUGUUAUUGGUGAAAUUUGAUUCAUCACUUUCUGUGCUUUCAUAAUUUAUGAAUGACUUAGUAUUGUUUGGAUGGCGGGAUUUGUAGAUGUGGUGAGGGACGAUCAACAAACAAUGUUCCAGACCACAAUUUUUUCAAAACUGGGAAUGCAGCUCCACAGAAGGAAUAAACCACCCUCUUGGGAUUCUGAAGAAUGGAAUCUAUGACUAUUUCGAUCACAUUUGAUUUCUAAGUGUUGGAAUGGUGAACUCAGGUAUUUGACAAAGGAUGAUCUCUUCUUGUUCGGUAAUUUGAUAGUAUAAAAAAUUUAAUUCCUUCACUUUCUUACAUCAAUAGAAAUUUAUGAUUUGGGUAAAAAAUAGAGCAUUUAGCCUUUCAUGAGAGAAAGCUUGAUGUUAUCUAUGGAAAUUUAGUUGUGACACUAGUUAGUGUGUUAAUCCUGUAUCAUUCUUUACCUUAAUUAAUAGUAAUAAGGAUUUUGUCUCACUUAGUUUAAAACCUUCUUUCAAGUGAUUGAAGCAGCAGUCGUAAACGAUUGGAAGUUCAUCUUGUUUGAGGCAAGUAACCUAUAAAACCUUUGCUUUUGUUUCUGUUAAGAUGACAGAUUCAAGCGAGCCGCAGUAUCCAGGAAAAGAACCUCAGCAAUUUGAAACAGAACCUCAACAAUCUGAACAAGGUAAAAUUUGUUCCCUUUUUUAUUCUUUUUAAAGGUGUAUACGUAUAUUUACUUGUAUAGCUAACUCUUUGAUUUUUCAGUCUGCAAUUUCUUUAGGAAGCCAACAAAGGGCAAAAACAUGAGGAAAAGGACAAUAAAUGAAGAUGAAGUUAAAGAUGAAGACUCCGGAAAUGGGACAUCUCUGUUGCACAAUCAGAAAAAGGCUUUGAAGCCUGACAUUAUGUUAUGCUUUUCAACUGGAUCCUCCAGGAGUGCUGCUCCCACUGAAUCAAAUACAGAAUCUGACAAACUGAUUUUUCAAUUUGAGUCAGAAAUUCAAGUUCAAAAUGAUAGCAGAGCUACAGCAACCUUAGAAACUGAGACUGAGUUUACAAAAGAUGCUCAUGCUACGUGAAAAAGUUCUUAAAUGAGCAAAGGAGGCUUUGAAGGGGAAAAACACUAGCUCUGGGGGAGAGAAGUUGUAUAAAGGAAUGCAUGGCUAUGUGGAUCAUAAGGCUGGGUUUCGAAGAGAGCAAACAGUUGCCAGUGAGAAAGCUGGUGGGUCACAUGGACCUCUUAGGGCUUCUGCCUACAUCAGGGUUUCAGCAAGAUUUGAUUAUCAGCCUUAAAUCUGUAAAGACUACAAAGAAACUGGUUACUGUGGUUACAGAGAUUCAUGUAAGUUUAUGCAUGAUCGUGGAGAUUACAAGUCUGGAUGGCAGUUAGAGAAGGACUGGGAAGAAGCAGAAAAAGCAAGGAAGAGAAAUCUGGCUUUGGGUGUCGAUGAUGAUGAUGAGGCAGGGGUAGACCAGAGUGAUGAUGACAAUGAUGAUUCGUUGCCCUUUGCAUGUUUUAUUUGCCUGCAGCCUUUUGUGGAUCCUGUUGUGACUAAGUGCAAGCACUACUUCUGCGAGCAUUGUGCUUUAAAGGUACCCACAUAUGCCUUUUCAUGUAGAUUAAUUUUUUUAAUGUCCUUUUUGUGCUAGGUUAAUAUCUAUUAGAUUUUGUUACAUUUGUUGUUAAUGCAUUGCUUAGGUGCAAAACUUUUUUGGUUACUUGCAUACAAAGAAAAUUGUAUGUGGACCAACUGUUUUUCAGCUAUAGAAAGAGGACAUAUUUUAACUUUACAUCGUCAACUUUUGGUGCCUCAUGUCUGUAUAGUUUACAUUUUUAUUCUCAUUCCAAUGUAAAAUAACCAACUGCAUCUUUUAGUUGUUCGGCAUCAUGCAAAGAAUAAGGAAUGCUUUGUAUGCAACUAACCCACCCUUGGCAUUUUCAAUACUGCUUAUGAGAUACGUAUACAUUGAUGCUUUCCUUCAAUUCCUGUUGCCAUGAGCACUUUUAUUUCUUAGUUUAGUGUUGUAGUGGAGGAUUCACUUGUCUGAAUACCUUAUUAAAUGAAACCGUUUCCCUGCUUGAGCUUGGGGGAAUUUUGGAAUGUCGAGCUCUUUAAAAUCAUUGUUGCUGCAGGCAUGUGCAUUAGUAUUUAGGUAAGCAUUUUUUCUGCGUCAUUCCACAACUGACUUAUGAGAUGAGUGAUUGUAUUAAUCAGAGUAAGAAUUAGGUUUUUACAUGAAGUUCCAAGAGUUGUCGAAAACAACUGAAUGAGUAGACAAUUGUAGAACUUGUAAUGUAUAUACAAAAUUGGCAUUCCUAGGAUGCCAACAAACCCUAUUGCUGCCUUUUACCCAUGAAGUAGAAUUUCUUCUACCUAGAGAUAGCGGUGCAAUCCAAUAUUAAUUUUUCAACAAUCAGCAUCCAACUUCACAACCUUCAUCAUGAUCAGAUCAGAAUCCAGGUCCCGAUGACACAUACGGGUAGGAUCUAGGAUGUUACUUCAAAGAGUUUAAGAAUGUUGGAUUGCAGGUAGUUUCAAUAGGGUAGGGAUGGCUAAUGGAAGCUGUGAUUUUUUGUGCUGUCCAAGUCCAAAGCAUGGAAAACAUUAAUGAUUGGUUUUCUUCCUUGAAAAAUACAGUUCCUGGAUUCAAAAAAAAAAAAGAGUGAAAUUAGCUAGCAAACCUAAACUUAAACUCAAGAAAUAGUUAUCUUUUUUGUUUCCUUUUUUCCCUGUAAAAUUUUCAAAUGACCGAAUUCAUAAGAACAAAGUAUUUUUCUAGUUGAUACUUACAUUUCUAGUUAGAGAAGGAUUCAAAUGAGCAAGAACUUAGGGCUGCAUGAGGACAGUUGUAGGAGAAAGCCUCUAGCGGUAAAGUCUUCAUAUACGCAUAAUCACUCUGUCCAAUGUGGCUUUUGGCAACCUCUAAGUCAUCAAAUAUCUUUUUACUUGCAGCAAUCUUCUAAACAUAAAUUCUGAGCUAAUACUCAAAAUAGGCUAAAUAUCAGAAGGCUUGACAUCCUUCCUGGUUUACAGCAUCAAGCUGACUACUAGAGAAAAAACUACCUAUAAAAUGACGAGUGAUUGAAACAUAGCGUGUCUUCAUCUUUUAAUUAUGGAUUAGUGGCUAUAUCAGAACACUUAGCACAUCAAUGUCAAUAUUGGCUAUUUAGUUAUGAUGUUUUUUUUCUAUUAGAUAGAGAAUAAGUUACUGAAAGGAUUCAAUGGAAUAGAGAAGUGAGUAUAUAUAAGUUACUGAAUGUAUUGCCCUCAUUGUUUUUGUUUAGUCAGGGUCUAUUCUACAUGCAAAUCAAUCAUAUAGCAAUAGAGCUUACAACAAACCAUUUGUUUUUGUCUGUAGGAGUGCUGAAGCAAAGAAACAAAGGAUGAUAUGGGAUUAAAGUUGAAGAAAAUAAUAAAGGAAAUAUUUCAAUGUUUCUCGCUAUUGUCAAAUCUAUAGUUGUUAGGGACAAUAAAAUACUAUCGAAGUUAGUCUGGAAUUGUCGAGCUUGAUACCUGGAACUGGAAGCUUUGUUCUUUUCUUUUCGUUGUUUUUUUCUCUGUAGUGAUGUAGCAGUUAAUACAGGAAUAAAGCAUCUUAGCUUGAGCUUGGUCUGUGAAGAUUUUUCUGUGUUAGGAGAUGUAACAUCUAGUUUUGGCAGUUGAAAUGGUAGCGUAGUCAUUGUUGUACAUGCCAUGGCUUAUAUCAAAUUCCUGCACUGCAAAUAGUUGAGUGAAUUAAUGAUAUUGUUGAUGUAAUUCCUGGUCUGAUAGUUGAAAGUUUUACUGGAGGUUGAGAAGGAGAGUUUGUGUGACCUGUCAUAGAGUAGAAAGUCAGUGUGCCAAAAAUGUUAUUUUGAGGCAUUCUCCGAUGCAAGUUAAGUUAGUAAGGUAUAUUAGAAGCAAGUAAAUGAGAGAGAGUAAGGAGCAGUUAAAGAGAGCAAAGAGAAUUCAGUAGUGAAUCGCCUGUCUGGUCUGGUUCUACUUUUUAUACCUCUUAAUGACGACGUGGCAAACUGAGCUUUCAUGUGUAAGACCUAUUAUGUGGCUGCCGGCAUGAUCACUUAGGUAUAACCAUAAUGAAGAGUUUAAAAGAUAAUAGGACUUUUGUUAAGAAUUUCUUUGGAUAAAUGAUUUUUAUUAACCCAAAGAAAGCAGUAGACCUGCUACAAGUAAACAGUAAGCUAUCAAUACGCUACAAAUGUCCAAGAACAAUCUAACUUUUGCAAAGUAAUCAAACGAAGCAACAUUAAGGAACCAGUCCCCAAUUCAGACACAUUUUUCUUUUGCUAAGCCAGAAAUUAUUAAUAAAAACAGAGUUACACAAUAGGGUGAACAACAGGGGAACCCCAUAACUCAGCAGUAAAACACCACCCCAUAGACAGAACAGAAGACAAGCACAAUACAACCGGACAUACUGCCAAUCAUCUUUGGUGAGCAGAAGAGAAAGAACCGAGACACAAGUACCGUAACACCAAGCCAAAAACACUCAGACACAAUUUCUGUUGUUGAAGAGGAAGCGUGGAACUGGAGAAUGCAAUCUUGUUAUUGAACUAAGCCAAAAGGAACUUCUGAUAGUUGAAACAAUAGCUUCUAUAUCUUUAGAUGGCCUGCCAAACUUCCCUUGAUUGUGCUCCUGCCAAAUAAAAUAUAUAUGAGCAUCCCACGCCAAUCUAAUUAAGGACAAUAGACGCCAAAGCUUUGCUUUGCUCUUAAGAUGGCUGACAGCCCAAUCUAACUCAAAAUACCAGUCACCCACAUGUCUUUUACAAAUUGUUAACUUGGAAACUCAUUAUUGUCAUUUAUAAAAUGAGGUUAGGAAUUCAAAGGACAUAUCCUAGUUUGCAGGCAAUUUUUGCUUUUAGUUUUAAAAGCAAUGCCAAGUUUAAAAAGGGAAUGAGACGUCCAAAGUUGAAACCUUCUUGAAUUAAAUUUCAAAUGUAAUUACUUUAGUCAAAUAUCAAUUAGUGCAUAUAUAUAUAUAUAUAUAUAUAUAUAUAUAUAUAUAGCACACUUAUAAUGUAAGAGAGUAUUUAAAUAAUUUUAUUUGUUUAGGCAAUUAACUACAGCUGAAACAAUCAACAAGAAAACUUUUGAGUUAUUAAGUAUUCUAAAAUGCUUACCAAAUGAAUUUGAAACUUGAAUUUUGAUGGAGUCACCUAGAAGAUCUUCUCCAUUUUUUAUUCCGAUUCCAUGUAAACCUAUCCAUCCAUUUGUUUCCCAUCUCAUUCAGCACUGUAUAUCCAAUAGACAACCCAAUCACCAAACCACAUCCAUAACCAAUCAAUAUGAUUUUCCAAACAGAUAUACCAUCUACCCAUGAAUCUUGAUCUUCCUUAGGGGGUGGCAUUCCGAGACCAACUUCAUUGCAUUUCUUUGUCAAAGGAGGCCCACACAAUCUUGGGUUCCCUUUGAAAGAAUCGUUUGAAAAUGUACCAAAUUGGUAGCUUUGUGGUAUGGUUCCCUCAAGUUGGUUGUAAGAGAGAUUCAAUACUGCAAGAAAUGUUAGGCUUGUAAGCUGUAGAGGAAUCUUCCCGGAGAGUUUGUUCUGGGAGAGGUCCAAAGACUCAAGUUGAGUUAAGUUUCCAAGUGCUAAAGGAAUUGGGCCAAGGAAGCUGUUGUAGGACAAGUUUAGCACUUUGAGUGACUUGAGGUUUUGUAUUUCUUCUGGUAUUUUCCCAUGGAAACUAUUAUUGGAAAAGUCAAGACAAGCAAAGAUGGUUAAAAUUUUCUGGUAAAAAAGUUCAAACCCUUUAUUCACAAUUGUCACAGAGUCCUGGUAGUAAUCAUCUCCAAUAUAAUCUGGCUUACCUUUUUUGCCAUCAAUCAUCAUCUUCAUUGCCUUCAAAGAUUGAAAAAAUCCAACAGGUAACUCACCUGAAAAGUUAUUGGAAGCGAGGUCCAGUAUGUGUAACUCUAGGAAAGCAUUUUCAUCCUCAGAAAUUUUAAUCGGACCAUAAAAUCUAUUUGCUCUUAGUACAAGAACCUUUAAAGAAGGCAAUUUCACCAACCAAAAAGGAAAUGUGUCUUGUAUCAUAUUUUUUCCAACGUCCAAAACUUCAAGCUUUUUGCAAUGGGCUAAUGACCUCGGCAACUUUCCUUUCAGUUUAUUCCCGCCAAUUUUGAGUGACCUUAGUUGAGGGGCUUGAAAGAAUUCAAUUGGUAAUUGACCAGAAAAAUUAUUGAAAGCAAUGUCAAGUACAUCCAAGUCUUGAAAACAAUUUUUCACAUGUUUAAUUGGACCAUAAAACCUAUUUGCUCGCAAUACAAGGACCAUCAACGCCGGCAAUUUUCCCAACCACAAAGGGAAUGUGUCAUGUAGAGUAAAGGUUUAAAACUUGGAGGAUUGUGCAAUUGGCUAAUGACCUUGGCAACUUCCCUUCCAAUUUAUUAUCAUUGAGUUGAAGCCAAUAUAAUUGGGUCGCUUUUGCAAAAUCUGGUAUGCUGCCAUUGAAAUUAUUUUUUUGUAGAUCCAAAGUGUCGAGAGAACUGAUGUUGCCCAAGCAACUUGGGAUUGGCCCGGUUAAUUUGUUAAAGGAUACAUUAAGGGUCCCAAGCUGACUCAAAUUGCAAAUAGGUCUUGAUAAAGAGCCUUGUGAAGAAGUUAGAGAUUGGUUUAGUGAAAAUUGGUCCAAAAAUGAGAGAGAAUUGUUAGAAAGAUCCAGAUUCCUCAAACUUUUCUUCCACACCCAAUUUGGUACUGCACCACUUAUUUUAUUAUUUGAAAGGUCUAGAUGUUCUAAACUAGUUUGACUCUUUAAAAACUCUGGAAACAUACUUAGGUUACAGAAUUGUAAAUAUAAGACACUCAACAUUGGAAAAGAGGAGUUUGCGUCACCAAAAGGAACCUCUUUUGAAAAAUCAAUUGCAUUGAAAGAAAGGUCUAACCCUAAAAGAGUGGUCUUCCGUAACCAAUUAGGCACAAAACCAUGGAUUUGGUUGUUAGAAAGACCUAGAAAAGCCAACUUGUCUUGAGUUUUGAUGAAAUCUGGAAAUUCAGUAAGGUUACAUGAAUUUAGGUCCAGCUCCUCUAAUUGGGGAAAAGCAAGGCUUGUGAUGUUGCUUUCAAUUGACAAGCUCGUAUUUGAAAGGUCAAGAAACCUUAAGUUCUUGAGUUGGGAGAACAUGUCAAGCUUCAUGGAACUAAAGCUAUUGUAGCCUAAAUACAAUGCUUCAAUCAAGGAGGAAGAUGCAUUGAGAACCUCAUCAAUUUCACCAAACAAUUGAUUUUCACUAAAAUCCAAGGCCUGCAAUGAUGGGAGAGUAAAUACAGAAGAAUUUAUUGAUCCAGAGAGGUGGUUCCUCCACAAACAAAGAUAUGCAAGAUUUGGAACUCCAAAUCUAUGAAAUGCAGGGAUAAAACCACUUAAAUUGUUAUGGGAUAGAUCCAGUUCCACAAGGUUAGUAAGAUUUGCAAUUGAUGAUGGAAUUUGUCCAAAGAACUUGCAAACAUGGAGAUUUAAAUUUGUCAAGAAUUUGAGAUUACCAAUUGAUUCUGGUAAUUUUCCACUGAAAUUUGUAUAAGACAUCGUUAAGAUCCGUAAAGCAUUGUUUAAUGGAAAUUCUGGCAACUGACCUCCAAGAUUGUCAUUUUCUGAGAUGUCAAUGCUUUCUAUUUUUGGGAACAUGAGAAUUUUUGUUGGAAAAUGCCCACUCAAAUUGCAAUUCACUAAACUGAGAGAAACCAAACGAGAGGAAAUUUCCAAGAAAUUAGGAGGCAAAUAAGAGAUCGAAUUCCCACCAAGGAAAAGUUUGGAAAGAAAAGGAAGUCUUGAGAGUGAAGAACAAAAUGGACCUGUCAAACCACAAUUCGACAGACUUAGCACAUGUAGGUUAUGAAGUGCUAUGGAUGUGGCUUCACACCAUUUAGUACUUUGAGUUGAAAUGUUCACACUAUCCAGGUAGAGCUCUGUAAGAGGUCUCAAAUUGUGGAUGAAUGACUUGAAGUUUGGGUUUUCUAGUUUUAAAGGUUGAUAAAGGUUGUAAGGAAAAUCAUCAUACCAGAAAUUUGAAUCAAGAAUUUGGUAAUUGUGUAGAUAGCAAGAAUCUUGAUUAGAUAGAUCAAGAGAGACUAACCUUGUUAAGUAUGAAAUCCCCACUGGAAUUUGGCCAUGAAAACAUGAGUUUGAAAGGUUAAGAUGAGUUAAAUUUGGAAAUCUAUCAAACUCAUAUUGAAACAGAGUAGUAUUAAAAUUGUUUCCAGCAAGAUUAAGGCGUUGAAGAUGAUGGAGAUUGAAAAUGGAGUGAAAGCUGCCGGAAAGGUUUUUGUAACUGAGAUCAAGCCCAAUCACAUGACCCACAGCAUCACAUGUAAUUCCUUUCCAAGAGCAACAAUCAGUGUUGGGAUCCCAAAGCUCAAUUUUGAAAGAGAACGUAAAAUUUGGGGCAUAGUACAGAUCAUGGUGCAAUUGCAAUAGAGCAGAUUUCUGAUCAUUAAGGCACUGAUUUUGGAGAUCAGUAUGAGGAGGGGAAAAAGAUAGCACAAGAGAUACAGAGCAUGAGAAGAGAAACAAGGUAGGAAAAAUGAGUGAUAUUAGGAUAUGAAAAUUCUUCAUGUUUUGUUGGCUCUCUAUAGGAAAAAAAUUGAAGGGAAGAUUGUGGAAUUUAAGAUUUGCAUACACGAUAUUUAUAGACAAGUACUUCAUAUUACGAUUGUUAUUGUAGCUAUAUAUCUCCCUUGAUCUCAAGAGAUAGGUUCAAAUGUGUUUUUCCAACCACGUGUUUGUACAAAUCAUGAGUUUGAACUUUUUUCUGUAAGAGUUGAAUCAAAAUAGGUGGAAGACAAAUAUGGUUAUUGCUUGUCCAUUUUGAAUUUUAAAGAAUGAAUAAUGGGUUUCAAUGAUGCUAAGGCUAAUAGUUUUGCUUUUGUAAAUUAAUCUUUUAUCACUAUAUUCUUUCUUUAUUCCUACUUUUUAUUUCAUAUUAUGUAUUCCUACAAAAAAACAAAUAAAAAAUUAAUUUUCUCAAAGUUAGGUAAUAGUGGUAUGUAUAUAUCGGUAGGGAGGAAUCCUCUCUAGUACAAAAAAAAAAAUAAUAAUAAAAAUUAUCACUAACUUUGAUGUCUAAAGAGAAGUAAAACUUGUAAAGAUUUAUCAGUUAACUCAACUCUGAUAUUAUAGAAUUAGAUGGAAUAAAUUUUUUUUUUUAAAUUUUAACUAAUAAGUUUGUUUCUUCUUAUUUUUCUUCGAUUCAAAGUUUGAAUCUCCUUUUGUUCCCUCCAUCAACUUCCUCAUAUUUAUCAAUUUUUGUUUUCUAAAUAAGCAUUCAGAGAAAAGAAUAAUUACUGUAACAAUUAUUUCUUUAUAAUACUAUGCGUUAUUCAUUGGUCUGUAAUAGAGUUUAGUCAUCAUAGCACAUUAGAUUAAUAAUUAAGAAAAUAGGAUAUCGUUUAGUCAUAUGGAUACCGUUUGGUGCAUUUUUUUUACUUUUGUUGCAAAACCUGUUGUAAAAUGGCAUCACAUGUUGUAAAAAUACUGCCCACUUAACCUGAAAAUCUAUAAACGAAGGCAAAGAUGAAAGCAUGAAAGAAACAUCCAGCUAACAAAGUGAAAAUGCUGAAACUGAGUUUUGCUGGUAUAUAGAUGUCAAGUCGGUUGAAAUAAUGGGAGAUAGGAGCUUAGCUUUGGACAAUGCUUCACAUUCCCAUCCAUUCAAUUAGAUUUGAUUGAUUGCGUCUCCCUUGAUAUUCCGUUUAGGAAUGAUGAUGGAUAGAAAAUAAUUGAAUAUUUGAUAUAUUAUCUGACCUAUUUAUGUCUAAUUCAAAUAUUUAUAAAUAUAUAUUUAAUAGAUUCGGAUAGAAUUUAGAUAAUACCAUUUGAAUAUCUGAAUCCGUUCAAGUUUUAAAGCAUAUAGUAUCUAUUAUUUGAAUCUAUUAUUUAUUUACAUAUAUAAAAUUUUAUUUUCGAAUCUUAGCAAACAACAUUUACUUAUUAUUAAUUAAUAGUGAAUUUUAUAUUUAAAUUUAAUUCUUGUUGAAUUUAUAUUUUAGCAAAAAUUUUAACUUAAGUAAUUGGAUAUUUUAAAGGAUUAAAAAAUGAAACAGGCGAUAUUUAUUUAAAUGGUUUAUAUAAAGAUAAUGAUAGUAAAUUUAAUUGAAUAUUUAAAUGAAUUCACAUACCAUGAAAAUUAAAUAGAUUUAAAUACAAAUAUCUAAAUAAUAUGUAUUCACUCUGUUGUUAUUCUUACUUCUCCAUUCAUAAACAUGAUAAAACAAAUUCGCAAAAGAGUUUUUCACUCUCUAAAAUUAGUUAAUAUAUUAUUUAUUGUAAUAAUUUUAUGUUAAAUGCAAUACUUGAUACCUAAUAAUUUUCAUAUUUAUAAUUUUUAAUGUAUUGGAUGAAGAUAUUAUAUUAUGUAAUAACCUUAGAGUGUGCUUUUAGAGCAUUGUUUGCAAAAUCAUUUUAUUAAUCUCUGAAAAUUCAAAACAGCAUAUUAAUAAUUUAAUAUUGAAUUUAUCAUAUAUAUAUAUAGUCCUUUUUAUUAUUUUUGUUUUUAAUAUUGUUAAAGAAUAUUGAUUUGAAUAGUGAGAACUUAGAAUAUAUAUAGAUUCAUCAUUUUUAUAUUUACAAAAGCUUUCAAAUAAAAAAUAUUAACCAAUAUUAUUUUUUAAUGAUAAUGAACCUUAAUAUUAAUGAAUAAUGUGAAAGUUACAAACGUGAACAUUACAAAUAUAAAAGUGGACAAAUGAUUGUGUUUCCAAUAGAACAAAAAUUAAUGGGAUUUUCUAUAUAUGAAUUAGUCUUCAAUUUCAUCGUGCAUAGUUUUUCUUUGUCGGUUAAAGUCAAAAAAGUUACAUGAUUGGUUAAUUUUUGUUCAAAUUCCAUUGUCCACGCUUACACAAGAAAUUAAUACUAACUUUUCUUUUCAUUUAAUUGUUCAAAGGAAAUUUAAUUUAAAUUUAUUCAAAAUUAAAUAAUAAGUGUUCAACUUUAAUAUCUAAUUAGACUAUAUAUUUUCCAAAUGUCUUCAAUCAUCACGUCUAAGUUUUUUAUUUUUUGUUAUUUGUUCCUUAUUUUCAAUUCAUUUUUCUAAUUAGUAAUUAAUUAUAUUCUCCCUAUCUCGUUUUUUUUUAUCUAUCAUUCCCUAUUCGAAUAUUUUAAAAUUACCAUCUUUGCUUUUUUGAACACAAAAUGCUAUUAUUUUUCCAUACGAUUAUAUUCCAAAAUCAUUUUGAUUUUUUAAUUACAUUUUUAUAUUUAAAACCUCAAAAUAUAAAUUUUAUAUAAUAAAUUUAAUUUUUUAAUAUUAAAUACACUCAUAAUAAAUUGAAAAUUGACACCCCAACGAAAAUAAACAAAAUAAAAAGAACAUUAGAAAUUUUAUCCAUAAUAUCAAAUACACUCAUACUUUAUAUUGUUUUAAACUGAAUAAAUUUUUUAAUUGAAAAAAAAAGAAAUUAACCAAAGAGAUUACAUAAUUUUCUCACUUUUUAAUCUUCUAAUUAAUUGAUGCUUUUGGUUUUUAUUUUUUAAUAAAUGAAUUGAAAACCAAAAACAAAUAGUAAAAGAAAAAAAAUACAAACCAAAUGAAAUCUAAAUUAUAUUUUUUAGUUGAAUCUCAAGAAUGUAAUAAUUAAUCAUCUUAAAUAAUUAGCAAUUAUUCACUUGGUGGAAUCUUAUCUAUAAGAUUUGAGAAAGUACAACAAAAGUGUCAAGACAUUGAUCGUAGUAUUCAAUAGAUACAUAAAUUUUCAAUUAUUUGAAAAUAUUAGGAUCUAAAUUUCCAUUUAUUUGAAAAUAAUAGGAUGAAAGAAAAACUUUAGGAUUUGAAAAUUGUCUUCUUUUUUUUUUUUCAAAGUCCUUGAAUCAAUGGAAAUUAUACUUUAUAGAGAUCCACUUGUUAAUUUUAAAGUUUCUAGAUAUAUAUUUUUGAUAAGUUAUAUAAAUUACUAAAUUUUCAUAUCCGGAUGUAGGGAAAAAAAUGGUGUAUCUAGAAUCAUCCAUCAUAAAAUUAUACUUUAUAAAAAAUUUGUUUUUUUUUAUUUUUAUUUUGGACUUACAAAGAAAAUGAUAGUAUGAGAUUUUUUUAUUGGUAUUUAGACUUCUCUUUGCUUUAUAUUUUAAGUCUUCUCAUCAAGCAAAUGUCUAAAUCUUUUUGCCCCCAACAUUACUCUAUGAAAAAUAAUAUUCUUAGCAGUUUACUUAAGUCAAGUCUGUCAUUUAAAAAAGACAAAACAAACAACAAUUUUCUCAAUUGAAGUUGUUUUCUUGUCUUUUAGUUAAAUUGAUGGACUAGAAAUAAAUUUUAAGUAUAUUAAUUAUUAUUGUUAUAUUUUGAUCUUUUUAAUAACUUAGACUACAACAACUGCUAAUAUUGUUAUUUUUGUGAAGUAAAGAUGGGGCAAAAAGAUUGACACAUUUGCAUGCUUGAUGCCAAGACUAAGUAUAAAGCAAAGACUAAGACUUAAACCAAUACAUUACCAUAGUAUCUAUCAUUUUCUUUCUUAUUCCACCAUUAUAAAAUCACAAUUUCCAAAAUAAACAAGUUUAAGAAGUGAGAGAAUGAAUGUGUUCUUUAGAUUUUUUUUUUCAAACUUUUUAGAAAAAUAAAACAAAGAUUUUUAAUAUGUUGAUUUGUUUUGGCCAAUCAAUUUGUUGAUUAUAUAAUUUUUUCUCAUGAUUUUGUUCCUAAUGGACUGUUAGAUUUCAUGGUGUGCGCAUUUUUUCUUUCUUCAAUUUUUUAUGAUUAAUAUAUUUUAAAGAGAUCCUCUAAUUUAAAAUUUCAAUAAUCCAAUAACCAUGUAAUCUGUUAAUAAAAUACUAAACUUUUAGUUUCAAUAGUUUAAAGUUCAAAUCCUAACAAACUCACAUACAAAAAAAAAAAAAAGAUAAUCUUCUACUUUCACAAAUUUCAUGUAUACGAGAUAAGUUAUAUAUAUUUCAAUUUCUUCACAAAUGAUUAAUAAAGUUUUUAAAUUUUAUAAACGAUAUUAGCAUCUCAUACUUUUGUAACAUAUUUUCUUUUAACUAUUUUUUUCAAACCUAAAUGUAACUUUUUUUAAUUUAUCAGAUAUGAAAAUCCAGUAAGAUAUAUAACUUAUCAGAAAUGUUUAUUCAAAAGUUUUAAAAUUAAAACGAGAUGGGUAAAUAAGUAAUAUCACUUAAAAAAUUAAAAAAAAAAGUAAAUGUAGAGAAAAAUAUGAUGGUGUAUUUAGAAUCACUCAUCACAAAAUUAUACUUUAUAAAAAAAUUGAUAUUCUAAUUUUGGAAUCACAAAGAAAAUGAUAAUAUGAGAUUUUUUAUUGGUAUUUAGUCUUUUCUUUGCUAUAUACUUUUAAGUCUUCCCAUCAUGCAAAUAUUUAAGUUUUCUUUCCAAUUAUUAUUUUGUGAAGAAUAAUUUCUUAGCAAUUUGCUUAAGUCAAGUCUGUCUUUUAAAAAAGAUAAAAAAACAUAGCAAUUUUCUUAAUAGAGGUUGUCUUUUGUCUUCCAGUUAAAUUGGAAGACUAAAAAUGGAUUUUAAGUAUAUUAAUUAUUAUUGUUAAAUUUUAGUCUUUUUAAUAACUUAGAUUGGAGCAAUUGCUAAGAUUAUUAUUUUUGUAAAGCAAAGACGGGGGCAAAAAAACUAAUACAUUUACAUGUUUGUUGCCAAAACUAAGUAUAAAGCAAAGUCUAAGACUUAAACCAAUACAUUCCCAUAGUAUCUAGCAAUUUGUUUCUUAUUCCACCAUUAAAAAAUUACAAUUUCCAAAAUAGACAAGUUUGAUAAGUGAGAAUGAAUAUGUUCUUUAGAUUUUUUUUCAAACUUUUCAGCAAAAAUAAAAUUCAAGUUUUUAAUUUGUUGAUUUUUUUGUCCAAUCAAUUUGUUGAUUAAGCAACUUCUUUUUCAUGCUUUUGUUCCUAAUGUACUAUUUGAUUUCAAGGUAUGUCCUUUUUUUUUUUUCUAUUUUUUUUAGUUGUUAUUGUUAAUAUAUUUUAAAGAAAUCCUCUUAUUUAAAAAUUCAAUGAGCCAAUAACCAUAUAAUCUAUUAAUAAAAUGUUUAACUCUUAGUUUUAAUAGUUUAAAGUUCAAACCAUAGCAACCUCAUAUAAAAAAAAUCUUCUAAUUUAAAAAAUUUCUUGUAUGCAAGAUAAUUUAUAUAGAGUUUUAAAUUUUAUAAACAAUAUUAAAUCUCGUACUUUCUAUAAGAUAUUUUCUCUUAAUUAUUUUUUUUCAAACCUAAAUGUAACCUUUUUUAAUUUAUCAUAUAUGAAAAUCCAGUAAGUUAUAUAACUUAAGAAAUAUAUAUCUAAAAGCUUUAAAAUUAAAAUUAGAUGAGUAAAUAAGUAAUUUCACUUAAAAAUUAAAAAAAAAGAGUGGAUAUAAAGAAAAAUAUGAUGGUGUAUUCAAAAUCAUCCAUCACAAAAUUAUACUUUAUAAAAAAAUUGAUAUUCUAAUUUUGGACUCACAAAAAAAACUAUAGUAUGAGAUAUUUUUAUUGGUGUUUAGUCUUUUCUUUACUUUAUACUUUUAAGCCUUCUCAUCAUGCAAAUGUGUAAGUCUUCUUGCCCCAUCAUUACUAUGAGAAGAAUAAUCUUCUUAGCAAUUUACUUAAGUCAAGUUAGUCUCUUGAAAAAAAUAAAAAAACAUAAACCAGUUUUUCAAUGGCUGUUGUCUUUAUGUUUUUAAUGUAAAUUAGCAGACUAGGAAAAAUAUUUUAAGUAUAUUAAUUUAUUAGUAUAUAUUCUAGUCUUUUUAAUGAUUAGAUUGAAGAAUUAAAAUUAUUAUUUUUAUGAAGUAAGAUAGGGGCAAAAGACUAACAUGAUUUACAAAAGUUUACUGAUUUAGCAAUGACAUAGCUAUAAUGUAUAGCAAAGUUAUAGAUAGAUCUACAUGUGUAACAAUUGCAGUUACCAAUGCAAAAUCUAUUAUUUUCUUUCUUAUUCACCAUUAUUAAAUCACAUAUUUUCAAAUAGAAAAUUUGAGAAGUGGAAUGAAUAGUGUGUUAGAUUUUUUUUUUUCAACUUUCAGCAAAAAUAAAAGACAUUUUAAUUGUUGCUUUUUUUUUUGCCAAUCAUAUUUGUUGAUUAAGCAACUUCUUUCUCUUGCUUUUGUUCCUAAUGGUAUUUGCAUUUUUUUAAUUUUUUAGUUUUUAAUUGUUAAUAUAUUUUAAAAAGAUUCUUUAAUUUAAAAUUAAAUGAACAAAUAAUCAUAUAGUUUGUUAGCAAAAUGUUGAACUCUUAAUUUCAAUAGUUUAAAGUUCAAAUCCUAAUAACCUCACAUACAAAAAAAAAGGAUAAUUUUCAAAUUUCAAAAAUUCCAUGUGUACGAGAUAAUUUUUAUAUAUUUUUUGAUUUCAUAAUAUAUGAUUAAUAAAGAUUUAAAAUUUUAUAAAUGGUAUUAGAAUCUCAUACUUUAUGCAAGAUAUUUUCUCUUAACUAUUUUUUUUCCAAACCUAAAUGUAACUUUUAACUUAGUAGAUAUGAAAAUCUAAUAAGUUAUAUCUAAAUGCUUUAAAAUCAAAAUGAGAUGAUAAAGAAGCAAUUUCAUUUAAAAAUUAAAAAAAUUGAUAUAGAGUAAAAAUGGUCAUAAUUUUAGAAUCAACCAUCACAAAAUUAUACUUUAUAAAAAAUUGAUAUUUUAAUUUUGGACUCAUAAAGAAAAUGAUAGUAUGAGAUCUUUUUAUUGGUAUUUAAUCUUUUCUUUGUUUUAUACUUUUAAGUUUUCCCAUCAUGCAAAUGCCAAAGUCUUCUUGCCCCAUCAUUAUUAUGUGAAAAUAAUCUUCUCAUCAAUUUGCUUAAGUCAAGUCUACCUUUUAAAAAAGACAAAAAAAUAAAAAAAAGUUUUUUUCUCAAUGAAAGUUGUCAUUUGUCUGCUAGUUAAUUGGCACACAAGGAAUAGAUUUUAAGUAUAUUAAUUAUUAUUGUUAUAUUUUAGUCUUUUUAAUGACUCAGACUAAAGCAACUACUAAAAUUAUUUUUGUGAAGCAAAUAUGGGGGCAAAAUGAUUGACACAUUUGCAUGCAUGAUGCCAAAACUAAGUAUAGAGCAAAGACUAACACUUGGACCAAUACAUUCCCAUAUUAUCUAUCAUUUUUUUUCUUAUUCCACCAUUAUAAAAUCACAAUUUUCAAAAUAGACAAGUUUGAGAAGUGAGAAUGAAUAUAUUUUGUAGAUUUUUUUUUUCAAACCUUUCAACAAAAAUAGAACACAUGUUUUUGAUUUGUUAAUUUUUUUUUUGCGAAUUAAUUUGUUGAUUAAGCAACUUCUUUCUUAUGCUUUUGUUCCUAAUGUACUAUUAGAUUUCACGGUAUGUGCAUUUUUUUAGUUUUUUAUUGUUAAUAUAUUUUAAAGAUAUCUUCUAAUUUAAAAAUUCAAUAAACUAAUAACCAUAUAGUCUAUUAGUAAAAUGCUAAUCUCUUAGUUUUAGUAGUUUAAAAUUCAAAUCCUGGCAAUCUCACUAUAAAAAAAAGACAAUCUUAAAAUGAAAAAAUUUCAUGUAUACAAGAUAAUUUAUAUAUAUUUUAAUUUUCUUCACAUAUGAUUAAUAGAGUUUUUAAAUUUUAUAAACAGUAUUAAAAUCUCAUACUUUUUAUAAGAUAUUUUCUCUUAACUAUUUUUUUUUCAAACCUAAAUGUAAUUUUUUCUAACUUACCAGAUAUGAAAAUUCUGUAAGUUAUAUAACUCAUUAGAAAUGCAUAUUUAAAAGGUUUAAAAUUAAAACAAGAUAAGUAAAUAAGUAAUUUACUUAAAAAUUUUCUAAAAAAGGUGGAUGUAGAGAAAAAAUAAUGGUGUAUUUAAAAUAACCCACCACAAAAUUAUACUUUACAAAAAAAAUUGAUAUUCUAAUUUUGGACUAACAAAGAAAAUGAUAGUAUGAGAUUUUUUUCAUUGGUAUUUAGUCUUUUCUUCACUUUAUACUUUUAAGUCUUCCCAUCAUGCAAAUGUCUAAGUCUUCUUGCCCCAUCAUUACUCUAUGAAAAAUAAUCUUAUUAGCAGUUUGCUUAUGUCAAGUCUAUCUUUUAAAAAAGACAAAAAAAAUAGCAAUUUUUUCAAUGGUGAGUGUCUUUUGUCUUCCAAUUAAAUUUGCAGACUGGGAAUGGAUUUUAAAUAUAUUAAUUAAUAUUGUUAUAUUUAGUCUUUUCAAUGACUUAGAUAAAGCAAUUGCUAACAUCAUUUUUUUUUUUUGAAGUAAAAAUAGGGGCAAAAAGAUUGACACAUUUGCAUGCUUGAUGCCAAGACUAAGUAUGAAGCAAAGACUAUGAUUUAGACCGAUGCAUUCUGAUAGGAUCUAUCUUUUCUUUCUCAUUCCACCAUUAUAAAAUCACAAUUUCCAAAAUAGACAAGUUUGAGAAAUGGGAGUGAAUGUGUUCUUUAGAUAAUUUUUUCAAACUUUUCAGUAAAAUUAAAAGAUAGGUUUUUAAUUUAUUAUUAUUAUUAUUAUUAUUAUUAUUAUUAUUAUUAUUAUUAUUAUUAUUAUUAUUAUGCUAAUCAAUUUGGUGAUUAGGCAACUUCUUUCUCAUGCUUUUGUUCCUAAUGUACCAAUAGAUCUCAUGGUAUGUGCCAUUUUUUUUAUUUUUUAGUUUUUUAUUAUUAAUAUAUUUUAAAGAGAUUUUUUUAUUCAAAAUUAAAUGAGCAAAUAACCAUGUAGUUUGUUAGUAAAAUGUUGAAUUCUUAAUUUUAGUAGUUUAAAGUUCAAAUCCUGAUAACCUCACAUUACAAAAAAAAAGGACAAAUUUCUAAUUUCACAAAUUUCAUGUAUACGAGAUAAUUUUUAUAUAUUUCAAUUUCAUCAUAUAUGAUUAAUAGAGAUUUUAAAGUUUAUAAAUGGUAUUAGAAUCUCAUACUUUAUGCAAGAUAUUUUCUCUUAACUAUUUUUUUCCAAACCUAAAUGUAACUUUUUUUAACUUACCGGAUAUGAAAAUCCAAUAAGUUAUAUCAAGAUGCUUUAAAAUUAAAACGAGAUGAGUAAAUAAGUAAUUUCAUUUAAAAAUUAAAAAAAUUGAUAUAGAGAAAAAAUGAUGGCAUAUUUAGAAUCACCCAUCACAAAAUUAUGCUUUAUAAAAAAUUUGAUAUUUUCAUUUUGGACCCACGAAGAAAAUGAUAGUAUGAGAUCUUUUUAUUGGUAUUUAAUAUUUUCUUUGUUUUAUACUUUUAAGUCUUCCCAUCAUGCCAAUGUCUACAUCUUCUUGCCCUAACAUUACUUUAUGAAAAUAAUCUUCUUAGUAAUUUGCUUACGUCAAGUCUGCCUUUUAAAAAGGACAAAAAAAAAAAACAACAAUUUUCUCAAUAAAAGUUGUCUUUUGUCUUCCAGAUAAAUUGACACACAAGGGAUGGAUUUUAAGUAUAUUAAUUAUUAUUGUUAUAUUUUAGUCUUUUUAUUGACUUAGAUUGAAGUAACUGCUAAGAUUAUUUUUGUGAAGUAAAGAUGAGUGCAAAAAGAUUGACUCAUUUGCAUGCUUGAUGCCAAAAUUAAGCAUAGAACAAAGACUAAGACUUAGACCAAGACAUUCCCAUAGUAUCUAUCAUUUUCUUCCAUAGAAUAUAUUCUGUAGAUUUUUUUUCAAACCUUUCAGCAAAAAUAAAACUCUGGUUUUUAAUUUGUUGAUUUUUUUUUGGCCAAUCAAUUUGUUGAUUAAGCAACUUCUUUCUCAUGCUUUUGUUCCUAAUGUACUAUUAGAUUUUAUGGUGUGUGCAUUUUUUUAGUUUUUUAUUGUUAAUAUAUUUUAAAGAUAUCCUCUAAUUUAAAAAUUCAAUGAGCUAAUAACUAUAUAUUCUAUUAGUAAAAUACUAAACUCUUAGUUUCAGUAUUUAAAAUUCAAAUCCUAACAAUCUCACAUAUACAUAAAAAAAAAAAAAAAAGACAAUCUUCAAAUGAAAAAACUUCAUGUAUAUGAGAUAAUUUAUAUAUAUUUUAAUUUCUUCACAUGUGAUUAAUCGAGUUUUUAAAUUUUAUAAACAGUAUUAAAAUCUCAUACUUUCUGUAAGAUAUUUUCUCUUAACUAUUUUUUUCAAACCUAAAUGUAACUUUUUCUAACUUAUUGGAUAUGAAAAUUCUAUAAGUUAUAUAACUCAUCAGAAAUGCAUAUUUAGAAGUUUUAAAAUUAAAACAAGAUAAGUAAAUAAGUAAUUUCACUUAAAAAAUUUUUAAACAAGGUGGAUGUAGAGAAAAAAUGAUGGUGUAUUUAGAGUCACCUAUCACAAAAUUAUACUUCACAAAAAAAUUGAUAUUCUAAUUUUGGACUAACAAAGAAAAUGAUAGUAUGAGAUUUUUUUUAUUGGUAUUUAUCUUUUCUUUACUUUAUACUUUCAAGUCUUCCCAUCAUGCAAAUGUCUAAGUAUUCUUGCCCCAUCAUUAUUCUAUGAAAAAUAAUCUUUUUAACAGUUUGCUUAAGUCAAGUCUAUCUUUUAAAAAAGACAAAAAAAUAGCAAUUUUCUCAAUGGUGGUUUUUUUUUUUUGUCUUCCAAUUAAAUUGGCUGGGAAUUAAUUUUAAGCAUAUUAAUUAAUAUUGUUAUAUUUUAGUCUUUUCAAUGACUUAGACUAAAGCAAUUGCUAACAUCACUAUUUUUUUGAAGUAAAAAAGGGGGCAAAAAGAUUGACACAUUUGCAUGCUUGAUGCCAAGACUAAGUAUGAAGCAAUGACUAUGAUUUAGACCCAUGCAUUCCGAUAAGAUCUAUCUUUUUCUUUCUUAUUCCAUCAUUAUAAAAUCACAAUUUCCAAAAUAGAUAAGUUUGAGAAAUGGGAGCGAAUGUGUUCUUUAAAUUUUUUUUUCAAACUUUUCAGCAAAGAUAAAACACAGGUUUUUAAUUUAUCGAUUUUUUUGGCCAAUCAAUUUGUUGAUUAAGCAACUUGUUUCUUAUGCUUUUGUUCCUAAUGUACUAUUAGAUUUCACGGUAUGUGCAUUUUUUUUGUUUUUUAUUAUUACUAUAUUUUAAAGUGAUGCAUUGAUUUAAAAAUUCAAUGAGCCAAUAAUCAUGUAAUUUGUUAGUAAAAUAUUGAACUAUUAGUUCUAAUAGUUUAAAGCUCAAAUCUUGGCAAAUUUAUAUACAACAAAAAAAAAAAAGACAAUCUUCUAUUUUCACAAAUUUCAUGUAUACCAAAUAAUUUAUAUAUAUUUUGAUUUCUUUACAUAUGAUUAAUAGAGUUUUUAAAUUUUUUUAAUGGUAUUAGAAUAUCAUACUUUCUAUAAGAUAUUUUAUCUUAACUAUUUUUUUUCAAUCCUAAAUAUAACUUUUUUAACUUACCGAUAUGAAAAUUUGAAAAGUUAUAUAAUUUAUCAUAAAUGCAUAUCUAGAAGUUUUAAAAUUAAAAUGAGAUAGGUAAAUAAGUAAUUUCACUUUAAAAACUUUUAAAAUUGGAUGUAGAGAAAAAAAAAUGAUGUAUUUGGAAUCACCCAUCAUAAAAUUAUAGUUUAUAAAAAAUUGAUAUUUUAAUUUUGGACUCACAAAGAAAAUGAUAGUAUGAGAAUUUUUUAUGAGAUUUUAAUUCUUUUCUUUGCUUUAUCACAUAUCUUAAUUUUUUUUAUAUAAUUUUUUAGUAUAUUUGUAAAAGGGUUUGUGACAGCCCUCUAACUUGUAUAAUCUAAAAACUCCACUAGCUAAUUGCAUUUUCUAAGUUAUAUGAUUCAACAAAUACUAACAAGUCAAUUAAUAAUUUAAUUGUUCUAUAAAUUUGAAGGUAAAAUAAAUGAAAAUUUUGCAACUAAUAAAGACUAUGCUUUUAUUCCCAUAAACAAACCAGAUGAAAUAGAUGGAGUUAAAGAAUGAACUAUUUCGGGGCAAGAUAUCAGUACUAUCUGGAUUUCUUAAGCAUCGUAACAUCAAGAAAAUCUGACUAGAACAACUUUACAUCAUGGCAAAAUUUCAAAGAAAAACCACUAGUUUCUCAGUUUCAUUCCUUCUUUCUCUUCCCCAAAAUUACAAAUUAUCUGCAUCAAGUUGCAUAUUUACAUAAGAUGUUGGCAUAUAUCUUUCCAAAAAAAAAAGUAGUAGAAUGAAGUCAACAAAUAAAACCAACCUGAAACCUGUAAAAGUCAGUAUAUUUCCACCUCUAUGUUGUUUGACAGUGUUCAAUGUCCAACAUUAUUAACAUCAGCACCACCUUUGCAUUUCAUCCUCUAAAAAUCGAAAAAUCUUUAGAUAAGUAGGCUUCAAGUGAAUCUGUUAGCCAUGAUUUGCAUCAACAAACCUAAGAUUCACUGAUGUUGUUAGCUGCCAUAUUCAAAGCAAACUCGUUAGAUACUGGCAUUUCUAGAACAUGGCCAAGAAAUCUGGUAAGUUCCCUACGAACAUGAAUAAAACAUAUAUAUUUUACUAGAAAGGAAAAGCAAAAGGUAAAAUAUAUAUAUGUCAUAACUGAUCUAAAACAGAAAAAAUAAUUAAAAUAUAAAAUCAAUUAUAACACAAUUAGUAUAUAUAGAAGUAGAAUCAUGUAGUUAAUCAUAAAAAAUUUAAAUAUUUUGUGUAUAACUCUUCAAAAUUUUAUUGCUUAUGGAAAUGCUAUUUUUGCUUUUUUGCUUUUGGAAGCAAAAAGCAAAUAGCAAAAACCCAAUCAAACAAAUACUAAAUAAGGCAAAAUAACCAAGAACUUCAUAUGGUUCGCUAAUGCAUUAAUUGUGCACAAGCAAUUUUAUGUUCUCGGUAAUUACCUUUUUUAGUUUUUUCUAUUUCUGGUCAUUAAAUUAUAUUCUAUUUAUUGAAUUUAAUUUUUUGAAUUUUUUGGAAUUUAUGUAUGUACAGUGCUUGAAAUUUAUAUUUUAUUUUGGGAUUACACAAUUUUUAUACAAACAUUGUAUAUAACAUAUUUUUUAUACCAAUGUUUAUAUAUACAUAGAUACAUUUGUAUGCACUAAUAUAAGGGCUAUUUUUAUUUACCCGGACCCCCUCUCCCUCUAAAAAAAGAGGGGGGGGGUUAAAACAAGGCUUAUAUAAGAAAUCAAAACUUAAUCAAACUUUAACACUAGAAAUUUGAACCUACAAUUAAACAGCUUGAACAUAAUGUUAAAGUAUGCUUGUGAUCUACUACAACAACCAAGGCUCUAAAUGCAAUUUCAAAAGCUAGAGAGGAAGGGGAGGAAUAGUGGGGGCAAAGUGAAAAUGGGAAAGCACGAGAUCAAACUCUACCAUAAGCAAACCAACAAAAUACUGAGACCCAGGAAGUGAACAAAGAGACAGGGCAAAAGAUCUUUGCAGAAUAUGGAUGCAACAUAGAAAAGAUCAGAUUAUUUCCACCUUUUCACAUAAAACAUUCAAGUCCCAAUUUGCAAGAAGAACCUGUUAUGUCAUAUAUGUUAAAUCAUUUUGGGAACAGGAAACACGGACGAAACUUAUCUAGACCAAGGUACUUGAAAGCAAUGAAAUGGAAAUCCGAAAAACUUGCUCCAUUCAAUUGUUGGAAAAUGCAAAAUGUACAAUUAAACAAAUGAUGAUUGCAAGCUAGAACUCCAUAAAAGGUAACACUUUCCACCCAACUAUUUCAUUUCAUUUCAUUUUUCUUUCCCUUUUCAACCCUCACAUUCUUCCCUAUAAUAACAAGAGAUUCCAACUGCAAUAACCAUUCUUUUGCGGCAAAUUCAACAGCUAGCAAUUGAAUGACAAAUUGACAAUUAUGUCUAGUAAUAGUCAGAGAAAGUACUGCUUGGCAUAACUCAAUAUUCCUAUUCACAUAGUAGUUCGAUUCAAAUCAUAAAAUUAAAUGAAAUAUGGGUAAAACAGAAAAGACCCAACACAUGAUAAAGCCUAAAAAAACACAAAUAAUUGAAAAAAAAAAAGAGUUAUGCUUAGCUAAAAAUAGAAUCUUUCUACACAGUGAAAGUAUAACAAGGAUCAUAGAAAAAAUAUUUUAAAAAAAAAAAAAUACUCUGCCUUUGCCAAUGUGGGGUUUCCAAACAUUAGCUGCAAUUGCUCCAGCUCCUAAUUACAGUGUCACUGUAGAAACAGGAGAUAUAAAAAAAGACCCAUAUUUUACAGUUAAAAAAAAAAGAAGAAUUUUUUACGAUUGAAAAUAAAAGUGGGCAUGAGGAAAAUUUUACCUGGAAAAGGAAGAAAAGAAGGGGGAAAUUUUGAUUAAAAACCCCAUAACUUUAAACCCCUUUUGACAACCUUUUUUUUUUUUUUUUAAUUUUGCUUUUCUCAGUUAAUUGCGUAUCGUUCUAUAAUCAGUUUAAGAUUCGCAAAAAUUGCCCAAUUGUGUUUUGGUGCAAAAGUCAAAGGGAAGCCCGAUUUCGGUAUUAAUGGACCCAUCUCAUGUAAGAAAAACGGGUGUUUUGAAAUUUUGAUAUUCUAAUUUUGAACUCACAAAGAUAAUGAUAGUAGGAGAUUUUUUCUCAGUAUUUUGUCUUUUCUUUGCUUAAUAUUUUAAGUCUUCCAUCAUGCAAAUGUCUUCUAUUAGUAUUUUGUCUUUUCUUUGCUUUAUACUUUUAAGUCUUUCAUCAUGCAAAUAUCUAAGUCUUCUUGUCUCAUCAUUAGUAAUAUAUAAAAAAUAAUCUUCUUAACAAUUUGUUUAAGUCAAGUCUUUCCUUUUAAAAAAACAAAAACGUAGCAAUUUUACUCACUAGAAAUUAUCUUUUGUCUUCCAAUUAAAUAAGUAGACUGAGAAUGAAUUUUAAGUGUAUUAAUUAUUAUUAUUAUUAUUGUUAUAUUUUAGUCUUUUUAAUUGCUUAAAAUAAAGCAACUACUAAGAUUAUUAUUUUUGUAAAGUAAAGAUGAGGAGCAAAAAGACUUGACAUAUUUGCAUGCUUCAUGCCAAGAUUAAGUAUAAAGCAAAGACUAAUACUUGUUUUUUUUUUUUUUUAAACUUUCCUUUAAUUUCUAUGAUAAACGCAUUAAACUUUGAGUAAAUUACCCCACAAAUCUAUAUUUUUAUAUAAUAUUUUACUUUCAUUCGUAACUUUUAAUAUUUAAUUUUUGAAUCACGAUAAAUUAUUAUCUUUUACAUGAAUAAUUUGUUAUUUGAUCAUGAUUUCACUUAUCUAAUAAUUGAUCAAGGUUUAGCCUAACACAUAAGACUAAUAUAUACCAUACACUUAAAUUUCCAAUUAUUUAAAAAUAAUAAGAUGAAAGAAAAACUUUGAGGAUUUGAAAAUUGACUUUACUUUUUUUCAAGGUCUAUAAGCCAAUUGAAAUGACAUGGAAAGUUUGUAUUCUUUAGAUUUUUUUUUUCUUCAAACUUUUCAGCAAUAGUAAAGCACAAAUUUUCAAUUGGUUGAUUUUUAUUCUGUCAAUUUGUUGAUUAAGCAACUUGUUUCUCAUUCUUUUAUUCCUAAUGUACUACUAGAGUUCAUGGUAUGUGCAUUUUUUUUAUUUUUGUUAUUGUUAAUAUAUUUUAAAGAAAUCCUCUCAUUUAAAAUUUAAUGAGCCAACAAUUAUGUAGUUUAUUGAUAAAAUGUUAAACUCUUGGUUCCUAUAUUUUAAAAUUCAAAUUUUGACAAUCUCACGUACAAACAAAAAAAAUAAUCUUCUAAUUUCGUAAAUUUCAUCUAUAUGAGAUAAUUUUUAUAUAUUUUGAUAUCUUCACAUAUGAUUAAUAGAGCUUUUAAAUUUUAUAAACGGUAUUAGAAUAUUAACACAUAUCCUAAUAUUUUUUAUAUAAUUUUUUAAUAUAUUUAUUAAAGGGUUUAUGACAACCUUGUUGACACUUAUAAUCUAAAAACUCUACUAACCGAGUGCAUUUUCUAAGCUAUAUGAUUCAACAUAUACUAAUCAAGUCAAUUACUAAUUUAAUUGUUUGAUAAAUUUGAAGACAAAAUGAAUGAAAAUUUUCAGGAAAUAAGGAAUAUGCUUUUAUUCCCAGAAACAAACCAGAUUAAAUAGAUGAAGGUGAAGAAUGAACUAUUUUGGGGCAAGGUAUCACUAGUAUCUGGAUUUCAUAAGCAUCAUAAGAUUAAGAAAUCUGACAAGAACAACUUCACAUCAUGGUUAAAUUUCAAAGAAAAACCACUACCUUCUCAAUUUCAUUCUUUUUCUCUCUUCCCCAAAAUUACAAAUUAUCUGCAUCAGGUUGCAUAUUUACAUCAGAUGUUGGUAUAUAUCUCUCGGAAAAAAAAAAAAACGUAUAAUGAAAUCAACAAAUAAAACCAACCCUGAAACCUGAAAUAGGCUGUGAAGAAAAAAAACAAAAAAAGCCGGUAUAUUUCCUCCCCUAUGUUGUUUGACAGUGUUCAAUCAUCAAUGUCCAUCGUUAUUAACAUCAGCACCACCUCUGUAUUUCAUCCUCCAAAAUAGUAUUUGAGUUUAAAUAUUCCUGUACGAUCAAUCUUAUGCUCGGUUUUGGAAUAAUUUGUCGAGGAUCUUUAAAAAUAAUAAAAAAAAAAGUCUCUGAAAUUUGUAUCUGUAUGGGCUUUUGUAGAUCCCCAAAGGUUGUGUUUUAACUUAGGAUUACAUAUGUUACCAUGUAGGCUUGAACCUAUGUGUGCGUGAGUGAGUGCAAGGGAAACAAUAGUUUUGCUAAAAUAUUGAGUUUAUGGUCAUUGCUCUCUCCGUACAUAUGGCCCAUUAAGGCAUGUUGUUGUUCCACAAUACACGGUCUCUAGUCAGCUUUUUAAUUUGACCAUGUGAUUUUGAAUAUCAUUCCAUCUCUCCAAUCUAAAAAGGCUUUUAUAUUUCCACAAAGCUGUUUUUGGAGCUAUGCAAGCAGUAUGACCAGCCAAUAGGGUCUUUUUUUGCCCGUAAGUUUUCAAGGAUGUAUUAAUUUGGAUACUUAUAUUCAAGUUUGAUUUCCUUAAAAUUGAAGUUAACAGUUUCAAGAAAUUUUUUCAUGCCUUUCUAAGCUCAUGUACUCAUUAGAAUUGUUCAAACUUGUAAUUGACCGAUUCUGGACCUCCAUUUGUGUCCAAUUUUAUAUGCUCAUAAUUGGAUUACGAGUAAGAAAGUUAUGCCUCGUUUUUAAUUUGUGCUCCUCUGAAAGGAAGAAACCUGUUGUCACCUGUUUGAUGAAAUAAUUUGCAAAAUGAAGAAACCUUUUAUACACAAUAUAUGUUGUAUCAUAUUAUUUAUUUUGGAUCCUUGGAUAAUGAUUUUGAGAAUAUAUUUAUUUCCUUUUGCAGAAUUUUGAUGACGUCCUGGUGCAUGCUGAUCACGUAAGCAGGAGCUAUAAUGAUACAUACUAUGUUGACUCUCAAAUUAUAUUGAGGUGUCAUACUGCUCAUCAAGCAGAGCUGUUGAGAAGAGGAUAUACUCAUUUCCUUGUAACUGGCGAUGUUUACCGUAGAUCUUCUAUAGAUUCUACUCAUUACCCUGUGUUUCAUCAUGUUUCAUUUUGUUGAAAAUCUCUUUAAUUUUGACUAGCUUUUAAAAAUUUUCUUCGCUUCAGAAAUUAUUUCAAGUACAUGUGAAUUUUGCAUCACAUGCUACAUGCGUAGCACAGCCAUCCAUAUGUUGGGCCUUACAAUGGGCUCCUUCGUAGGUUCACAUGAUGAACAGCAGUGAUUUGACAUGUAACAUUUGUUGUAAGAUGGCCAUGUUCAUAAAUUAAGGUUCCUUAUUUUUUUCCCUCUGAAACAUACGCCCUUUUACCAUACAGAUGGAAGGGGUUCGUGUUUUUACUCCAAAUAAUUGGGAGGCAUCAUCUGGUCUGGAUCCCACAUCAUUUGCAGCCUAGGACUUAAAGAAAAGUCUAGAGGGCCUGGCUUGUCACCUAUUUGGCAAUUUUUAGAGUCAAAGCUUUGUUGAGGGAUUACAAUUUUGCAAAUGGUCAUGCAUUUCUAUCCGAAUGAGAUAUAGGGAUUAAGAGAUCAUAUUGGGUCCAAUUUGUGAUUUACAUCUUGAAUGCACUAAUUGAUUUGGCAAGAAGUGGCAAUUAUUGUAACAAGAAAUCAUUACAGAUUUGCAAAUUUUUUUUGGGGAUACCAUGGAGAUAUAUUUACCAAUGUGCUAGACAUCCAGUCCUAUGUGCAAUAGUAAAACUUUUGGUAAAAUACAUCUAGGUUUUUGAGUUUUAAGUAUAAUUUAACUAGAUCUAUUAAUUUGAAAAAAAGACUUCUUGUCCCAAAACUUUUUAAUUAAUAAUACACUAAGAUCUUUCUUUUAAUUAGCUUAGUUAAAGGCUCAUUAAAAGAUCAUUUUACAUUUAAAAAAUCAAUAUCUUAAAAGACUCACAUAAAAUAAUUAUUUAUAAUAUUAAAUUUUUUUCUUAAAAUAUAUAAAAUAUAUUAAUGAUACAUAAAAAAAUUUUAGGUGCAAAAUAUAAAAACAAAAUUCACAAUCAUAAAUAACAUUUUUUUCAAUCAAAUAUUUUUUCUUAUUAUAUGUUACAUGUUUUUAAUAUAACAUUUUUCAUAUUAUAAUUUUGAAUUUUAUUUUUAUAUAUUGCACGUAAAAAUCUUUUUAUAUAUUAUUAAUAUAUUUUAUAUAUUUUAAGAAAAAUUAUUAUUAUAAAUAAUUAUUUUAUGUGAGUAUUAACUUAUUAUAUUUACAUGCUCUUAUUGGAGCAAUAUAUGAAAACAAAAUUCACAAUUAUAAAUAACAUUUUUUUCAACCAAAUAUUUUUUCUUAUUAUAUGUUACAUGUCCUUGUUAUAACAAUUUUUUUCUUAUUAUAAUUUUGAAUUUUAUUUUUAUAUAUUGCACCUAAAAUUUUUUAUAUAUUAUUAAUAUAUUUUAUAUAUUUUAAGAAAAAAUUAUUAUUAUAAAUAAUUGUUUUAUGUGAGUAUUUGCUUAUUAUAAAUAACAUUUUUUUCAACCAAAAUUUUUUUUUAUUAUAUGUUACAUGUUCUUAUUAUAACAUUUUUUCUUACUAUAAUUUUGAAUUUUGUUCUUAUAUAUUGCACCUAAAAUUAUUUUCUAUAUAUUAUUAAUAAAUUAUUAUAUUUUAAGAAAAAAAAUUAUUAUUAAAAAUAAUUAUUUUAUGUGAGUAUUUGCUUAUUAUAUGUUACAGUUUCUUAUUAUAACAUUUUUUCUUAUUAUAAUUGUGAAGUUUGUUUUUAUAUGUUGCACCUAAAAAUCUUUAUAUAUAUAUAUAUAUAUUAUUAAUAUAUUAUAUAUUUUUUAAAAAAAUUUAUUAUUAUAAAUAAUUAUUUUAUAUGAAUAUUUAAGGAUAUUGAUUUUUUAAAGGUAAAAUGAUCUUUUAAUGAAUCUUUUAAUGGAGUUAACUGACUGAAAGAUCUUAGUGUCUUAUUAAUAAAAAAGCAGGAUGUUCACACCUGAGUUGAAUUAUACUUAAACUCAAGGAUCUAAAUGUAUUUUACGCAAAACUUUUUAUUGGGAGAAGUAUCUAACCAGCUGCUAUAAAUUCAUAUCACUUGCAAAAUUUUAUAAAGUUAAUCAUGAUGUGUUAGCAUCAGGGGUUGAUAAUGUACUUUGUAAGGACUGCUAUAUGUGGAAGCCAAUUAGCCUCACUCUGUUAACAUUCCAGUGGAGAUGCGUUGGAUCAAUGCCUAUUUCCCAUUUACCAGUCCUUAUGAAGCUAGAAAUCUAUUUCAAGGUAUUCUCUUUAUCCUUUUUAGAGGAUAUUGUUAGUAUUUUCUUUAAGAUCGAGUUAUUCAGUCGGAAGAAUCUUGAUUCAUUUUUUUGCCUUUUUCCCUUGCUUUAUUGCAAUGCUUAUGGUCAUUUUGUCAAAAAAUUCUUUUAUGAUUGUUUGACAGCCAAAUUUAGGGGUGAACACUAUGCUUAUUAUUGUAAUGAUAAAUUCUAUUAAGAUAAAUCAAGAUUUGGACGUUUAUAAUACCUUACCUACAUGUUUGUACUCUGUGUUGUUAGCCCUCACUUUUAUUUUUAUUGAUUCCUGUUCAAUAUGAAUCUUUUUAAAUGAACGGUUAUUGCAUGUGAUAACUUUAGCACCGAGUAUAACUUAGCAGUGACCUACACAAUUGUCAGGAGAAAUGGAUGGAGGUUUUGGGUUGCAGGGUAAUGGAGCAAGAAAUAUUGAAAAGUAAUGGUAGAUUAAACAGCGUUGGUUGGGCCUUUGGACUUAGAUUGGAGCGGCUAGCAAUGGUUUUAUUUGACAUACCAGAUAUUCGUCUUUUUUGGUGAACUGAUGAGCGAUUUAACUCACAGGUAGCCUCUGAAUGUAGCUCCAUGAUUUGAGUGUUGAAGUUCAUCGAUUCCUAAUUUAAUAUCUCCGCGUAAGUCUGAUUAAGCUACUUGAAUGCUGUUUUCCGAAGGCCAAAUGGGGGUAAAGUUUAAACCCUUUUCGAAGGUAUAAAUUAAGCAAAUGGUUUCUUUUAACCCUUUCCACUGUAUAUUACUUUUGUUAUUUAAUACCUAUUAUAGAAGCGUGACUUGACUCCUCAACGGUUUUUGCAGUAUCCUCCCUGUUACAAAGACAUGAGCUUUUGGAUCAAUGAAUCAUUUACUGAGAACAAUUUAUGUGAAAUUAUAAGAGGUUCUUACCCCACAGGUGGGCUAUAUGAAACAAUUUAGGAGUAACCAGUGGAAAUGGAUAUGCAUGCUGAUUGAGCUGUUUUUACAUAGAAAAAAAUAAAAAGAAAUUGUCAGCUAGCCAUUGUUGUGUCUCAAGAGACAGUUAAAAGGAAUUUGAUCACCUAAAAUUUAAUGAAAAUGACUAGGACUCUAACCUUUGGAUAUUGGAAAAAUAUUUUCUCUGAAUCUGUGAUACCAAUUGUAACCAUUUAAGCUCACUUAAAUAUUGAAGGCAGGUGUGGAUGGCUGGUUUGUUUCUUAAGGUGUCUUUGUGAUGUAGUAAGCAUAUUUUAAAUUCUACACAGAAAGAUCUUAUAAACCAUAUCAACAAGUUAAUAUUGUAAACGUUUGGAAGUUUUGUACAUGUUUAGCUUUAAUUAAACCGAGGAUUAUCAUCUUAAAUCUUUCAACAAUCAUAAUAUGAAGAAUUUGAGGGUCUUUGUUGAUAGGUCUGUUUGACAGAAAAUAUUUGUCUUGUGGCUACCAGGUGAGUUUGAUAGAUAACUUUACCAACAAGAAUGGAAUGAUAAGUCAUUGUUAUUGGAUUGCACAUUGCUCCAUGGAGCGCUCACUUGAGGUGCACUUUGGGAAAUUGAGGGUCAGAGAUCAAAGACCGCCGUGGCUUGCAUUACACAUUUGAAUGUUUAAGAGAGAUUUGACUGGUAUCUUCAGCAGUAUAUUGAUUAUAAUAUCAUCAAGGAGUUGAAAGCCGGUCAAUUUGAUUAACUUUCUCUUCUUGAUCUUUGUUUACCCUUCAAGACAUUGCAGCGCAGAAAAUUGAAGCUUAUACCAAAUGCUGAAAUAAAGGAUGUCAAUGGGAUGGAUACAACAAUUUUUAUUCUCAUUUUUAAUUUUUUACAUUAUAUCUAUAUUAUAUAUAUUUUAAAUUUAUAUUCAUUUUUAUUUUUGUGGGGGAGUUAAUGGGUUGAACGGCCCAUUUUUACAACUUAAAAAACUAAAAAAAUUUUGUUAUUAUGUUCGAUAAAAAUUUAAAAUUAUAUUAUUUUCGUUUUUAUUUUAAAAUUUUAAAUACAUAUUUUUAUUCUUAUUCAGAUAAAAAGAUUAGAUUUUUCAUCGAAUUUGAAUAAAAACAAAGUCAUCAGAAACGAAAAUUCUUUUAUUGAAGAAAUUUAGCAGUUUAGAAGAAGCAACUUUUUUGCGCUUUGGUCAAAGCUAGUUUGAAAGGACAACCAACACAAAAGUCCAAUUGGUGCAAAAGAUUAUUCCGAUGGGCAUUGCCAACAUGGGAAGGAAUUAUUCGCGUGUACUACACGUGCUUUUAAUUGCUGAGCCAGAAUAUUAUGUAGAGGACGUGUAAUUUUCAGGUGAGGUGGCAUGCUUUGUCUACGUGUGCAAUUUGGACAAAAAAUUGACUGAUUUUCAAAACAAGUAAGAAGGCCGAAAAAGAAUCCGAAAGCCUGAUAAAAGAAUUUGGCGUUUUGGGUUCCUCCUUUACUCCUUCGUUCUUUAAUCCCUUCAGUCGAUUCAUACCCAAUUCUUCAAUCCUUCAGUCGAUUCCUAUCCAAUUCCAAUUCUGAUUUCAAAAAAUCCCAAAUCCGAUGAUCGAAAGGAAUUAAUUGAUGAAGGACGAUCUCUUCUUGUUGGGUAAUUUCAAUUCGGAUUAGUCAAUCGUGGGUAAAAGUUAAAUGUAUUGGGCGUUUUAGACUUUCUUGUUCAGGUGAGUACUGUAAAUAUUUGUUAUUUGGAUAAAAAAUUUAAUUCCUUCUUUUUCUUACAUCAAUAGAAAUUUAUGAUUUGGGUAAUAAAAUUGAGCAUUUAGCCUUUUCAUGAGAGAAUGCUUGAUCUUAUCUAUGGAAAUUUAAUUAUGACACCAGUUAGUGUGUUGAUCACGUUUGAUUCAUUACCUUAAUUAAUAGUAAUAAGGAUUUUCACUCACUUAGUUUAAAACCUUCUUUCAAGUGAUUGGAGCAACAGUCGUGAAUGAGAAUUGAAGUUCAUCUUGCUUGAGGCAAGGAAUCUAUAAACCUUUUCUCUUGUUUCUGUUAAGAUGACUGAUUCAAGCGAGCCCCAGUAUCCAGGAAAAGAACCUCAGCAAUCUGAAACAGAACCUCAACAAUCUGAGCAAGGUAAAAUUUGUUCCUUUUUUUUAAUUCUUUUUAAAGGUGUAUAUGUAUAUUUACUUAUAUAGCUAACUCUUUGACUUUUCCGUUUGCAAUUUCUUUAGGAAGCCAACAAAGGGCAAAAAACCAUAAGGAAAAGGACAAUAAAUGAAUAUGAAGAUGAAGAUGAAGACUCCAGAAAUGGCACAUCUUUGUUUCACAAUCAGAAAAACGCUUUGAAGCCUGACUAUAAGUUAGUCUUUUCAACUGGAUCCUCCAGGAGUGCUACUCCCACUGAAUCAAAUACAGAAUCUGACAAACCGAUUUUUCAAUUUGAGUCUUCGAAGGAAAUUCAAGUUCAAAAUGAUAGCAGAGCUAUGGCAACCUUAGAAACUGAGACUGAGUUUACAAAAGAUGCUCGCGCGAUACGCGAGGAAGUUUUUAAACGAACAGAGGAGGCUUUGAAGGGGAAAAACACAAGCUCUGGGGGGGAGAAGUUGUAUGAAGGAAGGCAUGGCUAUGUGGAUCAUAAGGCUGGGUUUCGAAGAGAGCAAACAGUUGCCAGUGAGAAAGCAGGUGGCUUACAUGGACCUCUUAGGGCUUUUGCCCACAUCAGGGUUUCAGCAAGAUUUGAUUAUCAGCCUGACAUCGGUAAAGACUACAAAGAAACUGGUUACUGUGGUUACGGAGAUUCAUGUACGUUUAUGCAUGAUCGUGGAGAUUACAAGUCUGGAUGGCAGUUAGAGAAGGACCGGGAAGAAGCAGAGAAAGCAAGGAAGAGAAAUCUGGCUUUGGGUGGCGAUGAUGAUGAUGAUGAGGCAGGGGUAGACCAGAGUGAUGAUGACGAUGAUGAUUCGUUGCCCUCUGCAUGUUUUAGUUGCUGGCAACCUUUUGUGGAAGUGCAAGUACUACUUCUGCCAGCAUUGUGCUUUAAAGGUGCCCUCAAUGCCUUUUCACGUGGAUUAAUUUUUUUUAGUGUCUUUUUUGUGCUAGGUUAACAUCUAUUAGUUUUUGUUAUGUUUGUUGUUAAUGCAUCACUUAGAUGCAAAACUUUUUUGGUUACUUACAUACAAAGAAUAUUUUAUGUGGUCCAACUUUUUUCAGCUAUAGAAAUAGGACAUAUUUUAACUUUACAUCAUCAACUUUUGGUGCCUCAUGUCAGUAUAAUUGACAUUUUUAUUCUCAUUCAAAUGUAAACUAACCAACUGCAUCUUUUGGUUUUUCAGCAUCACACAAAGAACAACAAGUGCUUUAUGUGCAACCAACCCACCCUUGGCAUUUUCAAUACUGCUCAUGAGAUACGUAGAAAGAUGGCUGAAGAGGGUAAAUGAUAAGUCCAUUGAUGCUUUGCUUCAACUCCUGCCGCCAUUAACAUUUAUAUUUCUUUGUUUUACCGUUGUAGUGGAAAGAUUUACUUGUCUGCAUACCUUAUCGACCAAAAUGUAUUUCUCAGCUAGAUUUUCGGGGAAUUUUGGAUUAUGCAGUGAUAAGCUCUUUAAAAUCAUUGUUGCUGCUGGAAUGUGCAUUAGUAUUUAGGUAAGUAUUGUUUCUGUGUCACGCUGCCACUGCUGCCUUUUGCCCAUGAAGUAACAUUUCUACCUUGAGGUAGCAGUGCAAUGCAGUAUCAACUUUCCAAGAAUCAGCUUCCAACUUCACCACCUUCACAAUGGCCAAGAAUUCAGCUUGAUCAUAUCAGAAUCCAUGUCUAGAUGACACAUACUGGUAGGGUCAUGAUCUAGGAAGGAUGUUACUUCACAGAGUUUAAGGCUGUAGGAUUGCGAAUAGUUUCAAUUGGGUAGGGACAGCUAAUAGAAGCUGUGAUUUUUUGUGCUGUCCAAGUCCAAAGCAUAGAAAGCUUUAAUGAACAGUUUUCUUCCUUGAAAAAACAGUUCCUGCAUUUAAGACAAAAAAAAAAUAAUGAAAUCAGCUACCAAACCUAAACUUAAACUCAAGAAAUUGUAAUCUUUGGCUCUUAACAGCAGAUGUAUACUCAUCAAAUUUUAAGGAUGACCUUUUGUUUCCUUGUUUACCCUCUAUAGUUGUUACGACAAUUAAACACUAUCAAAGUUAGUUUGGAAUUGUCGAACUUGAUGCCUGGAAUCAGAAGCUUUCUUCUGUUCCUUUUCAGUGUUUUUAUGGUGAUGUAGCAUCUUAUACAGCAAGAAAGCAUCUUAGCUUGAUCUUGGUCUGUGUCAACAAUUAUUCUGUGUUAGCAUAUGCAAUUUAACUUCUUGUUUUGGCAAUUAAAGUGGUAGGCCUACUCAUUGUCGUACAUGCCAUGGCUGGUAUCAUCUUCCUGCACUGCAAAUAGUUGUGUUGAAUCAUUGAUAAUCCUGAUCUGGUGGUAGAAAGUGUUGCUUUGGUGCCUGAUACAAAUUUUCUCUGUCCUACCUUGGAUGGUUUUCACUUCUAAACACAAUGGUUGUUUUUGCUUCUGACUGGACAAAAAAUGUAGCCGAAACAUCAGUUUUGUAAGAAACAGAUACGCUGAAUAAGCUUUUACUCAGAAAUCAUAUCCUUUUCUGAACUGUAUUCUGGCAAUCCAUGCUUUCUUUUCCUAGUAUCUUCUUAAAUCAUUGGCCUGAAAAUUCAAACGAUGAAGUUACUCCAUUUUAUUGGAAACAAUUAAGUUUUAUAUAUGCAUAAACUCAAUUUGACCAGGAAUAAGGGAUGUGAUUAAGGGGAAAAAAUCAUAAGAAAAUUACUGGAUGCUCAUUUUCAUAACAAAGAUUUUACCACUACCUUUUCUAAAUAUAAAAUUAAAUCAAUUAAUCAAGUCCACAUAAUAAUUCAAGAAUGGCAUUCACAUAACUAUCAUGUUGUUAAAAGUUUCUUUGUAUUGCACACAUGUUUUUGUUUAGUGAAGGUCUAUUCUACAUGGAUAUCAAUCAUAUAGCAAUAGCAAUAGAGCUUACAACAAACCAUUUGUUUUUGUCUAUGUCGGAGUGCAGAAGCAGAAAAACAAAGGAUGAUACGGGAUUAAAGUUAAGAAAAUAAUAAAGGAAAUAUUUAAAUCUCUCUCGCCAUAGUCAAAUCUAUAGUUACUGGGGGCAAUAAAAUAGUAUCGUUUGGAUUCGUCGAGCUUUAUACCUGGAACUGGAAGCUUUGUUCUUUUCUUUUCACUGUUUUUUUUUUUUUUUCUGUGUAGUGAUGUAGUGGCUAAUACAGGAAUAAAGCAUCUUAGCUUGAGCUUGGUCUGUAAAGAUUGUUCUGUGUUAGCAGAUGUAAACUUCUAGUUUUGGCAGUUAAGUAGUAGGCAUAGUCAUUUUUGUACAUGCCAUGGCUUGUAUCAGAUUCCUGCAAUGCAAAUAGUUGAGUUGGAAUCAUUGAUUUCGUUAAUGUAAUUCUUGGUGUUAAUGUAAUUCCUUGUCUGGUAGUCGGAAAGUCCUACUGGAGGUUGAGAGGAGAGUAUGUGUGACCUGUCACAGAAUAGAAAGUCAGGGGUGCCGAACAUGUUAUUUUGAGGCAUGCUCCGACGCACAAGAUAAGAUAGUAAGAUACACCAGAAGCAAGAAAAUGUAAAAGAGCAGGAAGUAGUUAAAGAGAGUAAAGAGGGUUGAGUAGUCAAUCACCUAACUCGUCUGAUUUUACUUUUUAUACCUCUUGGGUAAUAAUGUGGCAAACUGGGCUUUCAUGUGUAAAACCUAUUAUGUGAUUGCUGACAUGACCACUUAGAUAUAAUAAUACUGAAGAGCUUAAAAGAUAAUAAGAUUUUCCUUAAGAAAAUUUUUUGGAUAAAUGAUUUUUAUUAAUCCAAAAAAAGCAGUAGACCUGCUACAAAUAAACAGUAGGCUAUCAAGACCUUACAAACGUCAAAGAGCAACCUAAUAAAGUAAACUAAUUAAACUAAGCAACAUAGAGGAACCAGUCCCCAAUUCAGACACAUUUUUCUUUUGCUAAACCAGAAAUUAUUGAUAAAAACAGAGUUACACAAUAGGGUGAACAACAGGGGAACCCCAUAACUCAGCAGUAAAACACCACCCCAUAGACAGAACAGAAGACAAGCACAAUACAACCAGACAUACCGCCAAUCAUCUUAGGCGAGCAGGAGAGAAUGAACUGAUACACAAGUACAGUAACAGCAAGCCAAAAACAUUCAGACACAAUUUCUGUUGUUGAAGAGGAAGAGUGGAACUCGAGACUGCAAUCUUGUUAUUGAACUAAGCUAAAAGGAACUUCUGAUAGUUGAAACAAUAGCUUCUAUAUCUUUGCAUGGCCUGCCAAACCCUUUGAUUGUGCUCCUGCCAAAUAAAAUAUAUAUGAGCAUCCCAAGCCAAUCUAAUUUAAUUACAAUAGAUGCCAGAGCUUUGCUUUGCUCUUAAGAUGGCCGACAGCCCAAUCCAACUCAAAAUACCAGUGACCCACAAGUCUUAUACAAAUUAAUAACUUGGAAGCUAAUUUUCAUUUGUAAAAUGAGGUUAGGAAAUUCAAAAGACAUCCUAGUUUGCAGGCAAUUUUUGUUCUUAGUUUGAAAAGCAUUACCAAGUUUCAAAAAGGGAAAGAGGCAUCAAAAGUUGAAACGUUCUUGAAUUAAAUUUUAAACACAAUCACUUUAGUAAAUUAUUAUUUAGUGCAGAUAAAAGACAAUAUAAGAGAGCAUUUAAAUAAUUUUAUUUGUUUAAGCUACAGUUCAGAGUCAACAGCAAAACUUUUGAGUUAUUAAGUAUUUUAGAAUACUUACCAAAUGACAUUGAAACUUGAAUUUUGAUGGAGUCACCUAGAAGAUCUUCUCCAUUUUUUAUUCCGACUCUGUAUAAACCUAUCCAACCAUUUGUUCCCCAACUCAUUCAGCACUGUAUAUCCAAUACAUAAUCCAAUGACCAAUCCACAUCCAUAACCCAUCAACACAAUUUUCCAAUCAGACAAACCAUCUACCCAUGAAUCUCCAUCUUCCUUAGGGGGUGGCAUUCCAAGACCAUCUUCAUUGCAUUUCCUUGUCAGAGGCAGCCCACAUAAUCUUGGAUUCCCUUCGUAAGAAUCGUUUGAAAAUGUACCAAAUUGGUAGCUUUGUGGUAUGCUUCCCUCAAGUUGGUUGUAAGAGAGAUUCAAUACUGCAAGAAAAGUUAGGCUUGUAAGCUGAAGAGGAAUCUUUCCGGAGAGUUUGUUCUGGGAGAGGUCCAACGACUCAAGCUCAGUUAAGUUUCCAAGUGCUAAAGGAAUUGGGCCAAGGAAGCUGUUGUAGGACAAGUUUAGCACUUUGAGUGACUUGAGCUUUUGUAUUUCUUCCGGUAUUCUCCCAUGGAAACUAUUAUUGGAAAGGUCAAGACAAGCAAAGAUGGUUAAAAUUUUCUGUUAAAAAAGUUCAAACCCUUUAUUCACAAUUAUCACAGAGUCCUGGUAGUAAUAAUCUCCAAUAUAAUCUGGCUUAGCUUUGUUGCCAUCAAUCAUCAUCUUCAUUGCCUUCAAAGAUUGAAAAAAUCCAACAGGUAACUCACCUGAAAAGUUAUUGGAAGCAAGAUCCAGUAUGUGUAACUCUAGGAAAGCAUUUUCAUCCUCAGAAAUUUUAAUCGGACCAUAAAAUCUAUUUGCUCUUAGUACAAGAACCUUUAAAGAAGGCAAUUUCACCAACCAAAAAGGAAAUGUGUCUUGUAUCAUAUUUUUUCCAACGUCCAAAACUUCAAGCUUUUUGCAAUGGGCUAAUGACCUCGGCAACUUUCCUUCCAGUUUAUUCCCACCAAUUUUGAGUGACCUUAGUUGAGGGGCUUGAAAGAAUUCAAUUGGUAAUUGACCAGAAAAAUUAUUGAAAGCAAUGUCUAGUACAUCCAAGUCUUGAAAAUAAUUUUUCACAUGUUUAAUUGGACCAUAAAACCUAUUUGCUUGCAAUACAAGGACCAUCAAAGCAGGCAAUUUUCCCAACCACAAGGGGAAUGUGUCGUACAGAGCAUUUUUCCCAAGGUUUAAAACUCGAAGGAUUGUGCAAUUGGCUAACGACCUUGGCAAUUUCCCUUCCAAUUUAUUGUCAUUGAGUUGUAGCCAAUAUAAUUGGGUUGCUUUUGCAAAAUCUGGUAUGCUACCGCUGAAAUUAUUUUUUUGUAGAUCCAAAGUGUCGAGAGAACUGAUAUUGCCCAAGCAACUUGGGAUUGGCCCGCUGAAUUUGUUAAAGGAUGCAUUAAAGAUCAGAAGUUGACUCAAAUUGCAAAUAGGUCUUGAUAAAGAGCCUUGUGAAGAAGUUAGAGAUUGGUUUAGUGAAAAUUGGUCCAAAGAUGAGAGAGAAUUGUUAGAAAGAUCCAGAUCUCGCAAACUUUUCUUCCACACCCAGUUUGGUACUGCACCACUUAUUUUGUUAUUUGAAAGGUCAAGAUAUUUUAAACUGGUUUGACUCUUUAAAAACUCUGGAAACAUACUUAGGUUACAGAAUCGUAAACCCAACCGACUCAACAUUGGAAAAGAGGAGUUUGCAUCACCAAAAGGAACCUCUGUUGGAAAAUCAAUCGCAUUGAAAGAAAGGUCUAACUCCAAAAGAGUGGUCUUCCACAACCAAUUAGGGACAAAACCAUGGAUUUGGUUGUCAGGAAGAUAUAGACAAGCCAACUUGUCUUGUGUUUUGAUGAAUUCUGGAAAUUCAGUAAGGUUGCAUGAGUGUAGUUCCAGUAUCUCUAAUUGGGGAAAAGCAAGGCUUGUGAUGUUGCUUUCAAUUGACAAGCUCGUAUUUGAAAGGUCAAGAAACCUUAGGUUCUUCAGUUGGGAGAACAUGUCAAGCUUCAUGGAACUAAAGCUAUUGAAGCCUAAAUACAAUCCUUCAAUCAAUGAAGAAGAUGCAUUGGGGAUCUCACGAAUUUCACCAACCAAUUGAUUUUUACAAAGAUCCAAGUCCUUCAAUGAUGGGAGAGUAAAUACAGAAGAAUGUAUUGAUCCAGAGAGGUGGUUCCCCUGCAAAAAAAGAUGUGUAACAUUUGGAACUCCAGAUCUAUGAAAUGCAGGGAUAAAACCACUGAAAUUAUUGAAGGAUAGAUCCAGUUCCACAAGGUUAGUAAGAUUUGCAAUUGAAGAUGGAAUUUGUCCAUAGAAAUUGCUACCAAAAAGAAUUAAAUUUGUCAAGAACUUGAGAUUACCAAUUGAUUCUGGCAAUUUUCCGCUGAAAUUUGUAGAAGAAAUCUUUAAGACUCGUAAAGCAUUGUUUAAUGAAAAUUCUGGCAACUGACCUUCAAGAUUGUCAUUUUCUGAAAUGUCAAUGCUUUCUAUUUUUGGGAACAUGAGAAUUUUUGUUGGAAAAUGCCCACUCAAAUUGCAAUUCACUAAACUGAGAGAAACCAAACGAGAGGAAAUUUCCAAGAAAUUGGGAGGCAAAUAAGAGAUCGAAUUCCCACCAAGGAAAAGUUUGGAAAGAAAAGGAAGUCUUGAGAGUGAAGAACAAAAUGGACCUGUCAACCCACAAUUCGACAGACUUAACACAUGCAAGUUAGGAAGUAUUAUGGAUAUGGUCUCACACCAUUUACUUCUUUGAGUUGAAAUGUUCACACUAUCCAAAUAGAGGUCUGUAAGAGGUCUCAAAUUUUGGAUUAAUGACUUGAAGUUUGGGUUUUCUAGUUUCAGAGUUUGUUGAAGGUUGUCAGGAAGAUCAUACCACCAGAUAUUUGGAUCAAGAAUUUGAUUAUACCGUAGAUAGCAAGAAUCUUGAUUAGAUAGAUCAAGAGAGACUAACCUUCUUAAGUAUGAAAUCUCCACUGGAAUUUGGCCAUGGAAACAUGAGUUUGAAAGGUUGAGAUGAGUUAAAUUUGGGAAUCUAUCAAACUCAUAUUGAAACAGAGUAGUAUUAAAAUUGUUUCCAGCAAGAUUAAGGCGUUGAAGAUAAUGGAGAUUGAAAAUGGAAUGAAAGCUGCCGGAAAGGUUUUUGUAACUGAGGUCAAGCACAAUCACGUGACCCAGAGCAUCACAUGUAAUUCCUUUCCAAGAGCAACAAUCAGUGUUGGGAUCCCAAAGCUCAACUUUGGAAGUGAAAGUAAAAUUUGGGGCAUAGUACAGAUCAUGGUGCAAUUGCAACAAAGCAGAUUUCUGAUCAUCAAGGCACUGAUUUUGAAGAUCAGUAUGAGGAGGGGAAAAAGAUAGCACAAGAGAUACAGAGCAUGAGAAGAGAAACAAGGUAGGAAAAAUGAGUGAUAUUAGGAUAUGAAAAUUCUUCAUGUUUUGUUGGCUCUCUAUAAGAAAAAAAAUGAAGGGAAGAUUGUGGAAUUUAAGAUUUGCAUACACGAUAUUUAUAGACAAGUACUUCAUAUUACGAUUGUUAUUGUAGCUAUAUAUCUCCCUUGAUCUCAAGAGAUAGGUUCAAAUGUGUUUUUCCAACCACGUGUUUGUACAAAUCAUGAGUCUGAACUUUUUUUUGUAAGAGUUGAAUCAAAGUAGGUGGAAGACAGAUAUAGUUAUUGCUUGUCCAUUUUGAAUUUUAAAGAAUGAAUAAUGGGUUUCAAUGAUGAUAAAUUUUGCUUUUGUAAAUUAAUCUUUACCACUAUAUCCUUUCUUUAUUCCCAUUUUUUAUUUCAUAUUAUGUAUUCCUACAAAAAAAACAAAUAAAAAAUUAAUUUUCUCAAAAUUAGGUAAAUAGUGGUACAUAGAUAUCGGUAGAGAGGAAUCCUCUCCAGUACAAAAGAAAUAGUAAAAAUUAUCACUAACCUUGAUGUUUAAAGAAAAGUAAAACUUAUAAAGAUUUAUCAGUCAACUCAACUCUGAUAUUAUAGAAUUAGAUGGAAUAAUUUUUUUUUGAAAAUUUUAACUAAUAAGUUUGUUUCUUCUUAUUUUUCUUAGAUUCAAAGUUUGAAUCUCCUUUUGUUCCCUCCAUCAACUUCCUCAUAUUUAUCAAUUUUUGUUUUCUAAAUAAGCAUUCAGAGAAAAGAACAAUUACUGUAACAAUUAUUUCUUUAUAAUACUGUGCGUUAUUCAUUGGUCUGUAAUAGAGUUUAGUCAUCAUAGCACAUUAGAUUAAUAAUUAAGAAAAUAGGAUAUCGUUCAGUCAUAUGGAUACCGUUUGGUGCAUUUUUUUUCUUUUGCUGCAAAACCUGUUGUAAAAUGGCAUCACAUGUUAUAAAAAUACUGCCCACUUAACCUGAAAAUCUAUAAACGAAGGCAAAGAUGAAAGCAUGAAAGAAACAUCCAGCUAACAAAGUGAAAGUGCUGAAACUGAGUUUUGCUGGUAUAUAGAUGUCAACUCGGAUGAAAUAAUGGGAGAUAGGAGCUUAGCUUUAGACAAUGCUUCACAUUCCCAUCCAUUCAAUUAGAUUUGAUUGAUUGGUUCUCCCUUGAUAUUCCGUUUAGGAAUGAUGAUGGAUAGAAAAUAAUUGAAUAUUUGAUAUAUUAUCUGAUCUAUUUGUCUGAUUCAAAUACUUAUAAAUAUAUAUUUAAUAGAUUCGGAUAGAAUUUAGAGAGUACUAUUUGGAUACCUGAAUCCGUUUAAGUUUUAAAGCAUAUAGUAUCAAUUAUUUGAAUCUAUUAUCUUUUUACUUAUAUAAAAUUUUAUUUUCGAAUCUUAGCAAACAACAUUUACUUAUUAUCAAUUAAGAGUGAAUUUUAUAUUUAAAUUUAAUUCUUGUAGAAUUUAUAUUUUAGCAAAAAAUUAAACUUAACUAAUUGGAUAUUUUAAAGGAUUCAAAAAUGAAACGGACGAUAUUUAUUUAAAUGGUUUCAUAUUCAGAUAGUGAUUUAAUCGAAUAUUUAAAUGGAUUCACAUACCAUGAAAAUUAAAUAGAUUUAAAUAUAAAUACCUAAAUAAUAACAGGUAUUCACUUUGUUAUUAUUCUUACUUCCCCAUUCAUACACAUGAUAAAACAAAUUCGUGAAAGAGUUUUUCACUCUCUAAAAUUAGUUAAUAUAUUAUUUAUUGUAAUAAUUUUAUAUUAAAUGCAAUAGUUGAUACCUAAUAAUUUUCAUAUAUAUAAUUUUUAAUGUAUUGGAUGAAGAUAUUAUUUUAUGUAAAAACCUUAGAGUGUGCUUUUAGAGCAUUGUUUGCAAAAUUAUUUUAUUAAUCUUUGAAAAUUCAAAACAACAUAUUAAUAAUUUAAUAUUGAAUUUAUCAUACAUAUAUAGUCCUUUUUAUUAUUUUUGUUUUUAAUAUUGUUAAAGAAUAUUGAUUUGAAUAGUGAGAACUUAGAAUAUAUAGAUUCAUAUUUUAUACUUUACAAUGCUUCAAAUAAAAAUAUUAACCAAUAUUAUUUUUAAUGAUAAUGAACCUUAAUAUUAAUGAAUAAGUGAAAGUUACAAACGUGAACAUUACAAAUAUAAAAGGGACAAAAUGAUUGUGUUUCCAUAGAACAAAAAUUAAUGGGAUUUUCUAUUAAUGAAUUAGUCUUCAAUUCAAUGCAUAGUUUUGUUUCAAUCCCAUUGUCAAGCUACACAAGAAAUUAAUAGUAACUUUUCUUUUCAUUAAUUGUUCAAAAGGAAAUUUAAUUUAAAUUAUUCAAAAUUAAAUAAUAAGUUUUCAACUUUAAUAUCUAAUUAGACUCUAUAUUUUCCAAAUGUCUUCAAUCAUCACGUCUAAGUUUUUUUUAUUUUUUGUUAUUUGUUCCUUAUUUUCAAUUCAUUUUCUAAUUAGUAAUUAAUUAUAUUCUUACUAUCUCAUUUUUUUUAUCUAUCAUUCCCUAUUCGAAUAUUUUAAAAUUACCAUCUUCGCUUUUUUGAACACAAAAUGCUAUUAUUUUUCCAUACGAUUAUAUUCCAAAAUCAUUUUGAUUUUUUUAAUUACAUUUUUAUAUUUAAAACCUCAAAAUAUAAAUUUUAUAUUAUAAAUUUAAGUUUUUAAUAUAAAAUACACUCAUAAUAAAUUGAAAUUUGACACCCCAGCGAAAUUAAAAAACUAAAAAGAACAUUAGAAAUUUUAUCCAUAAUAUCAAAUACACUCAUACUUUAUAUUGUUUUAAACUGAAUAAAUUUUUUAAUUGAAAAAAAAGAAAUUAACGAAAGAGAUUACAUAAUUUUCUAACUUUUUAAUCCUCUAAUUGAUUGAUGCUUUUGGUUUUUAUUUUUUAAUAAAUGAAUUGAAAACCAAAAACAAAUAGGAAAAGAAAAAACAUACAAACCAAAUGAAAUCCAAAUUAUAUUUUUUAGUUGAAUCUCAAGAAUGUAAUAAUUAAUCAUCUUAAAUAAUUAGCAAUUAUUCACUUGGUGGAAUCUUAUCUAUAAGAUUUGAGAAAGUACAACGAAAGUGUCAAGACGUUGAUCGUAUUAUUCAAUAGAUACCUAAAUUUUCAAUUAUUUGAAAAUAAUAGGAUCUAAAUUUUCAUUUAUUUGAAAAUAAUAGGAUGAAAGAAAAACUUUAGGAUUUCAAAAUUGUCUUUAUUUUUUUUUUCAAAGUCCUUGAAUCAAUGGAAAUUAUACUUUAUAGAGAUCCACUUGUUAAUUUUAAAGUUUCUAGAUAUGUAUUUUUGAUAAGUUAUAUAAAUUACUAAAUUUUCAUAUCCAGAUGUAGGGAAAAAAAAUGAUGGUGUAUCUAGAAUCAUCCAUCAUAAAAUUAUACUUUAUAAAAAAUUUUUUUUUUUUUUUUAUUUUGGACUCACAAAGAAAAAGAUAGUAUGAGAUUUUUUUUAUUGGUAUUUAGACUUCUCUUUGCUUUAUAUUUUAAGUCUUCUCAUCAAGCAAAUAUCUAAGUCUUUUUACCCUCAACAUUACUCUAUGAAAAAUAAUAUUCUUAGCAGUUUACUUAAGUCAAGUCUGUCAUUUAAAAAAGACAAAACAAACAACAAUUUUCUCAAUUGAAGUUGUUUUUUUUGUCUUUUAGUUAAAUUGAUGGACUAGAAAUAAAUUUUAAGUAUAUUAAUUAUUAUUGUUAUAUUUUGAUCUUUUUAAUAACUUAGACUACAACAAUUGCUAAUAUUGUUAUUUUUGUGAAGUAAAGAUGGGGCAAAAAGAUUGACACAUUUGCAUGCUUGAUGCCAAGACUAAGUAUAAAGCAAAGACUAAGACUUAAACCAAUACAUUACCAUAGUAUCUAUCAUUUUCUUUCUUAUUCCACCAUUAUAAAAUCACAAUUUCCAAAAUAAACAAGUUUAAGAAGUGAGAGAAUGAAUGUGUUCUUUAGAUUUUUUUUUCAAACUUUUCACAAAAAUAAAACAAAGAUUUUUAAUAUGUUGAUUUUUUUGGCCAAUCAAUUUGUUGAUUAUAUAAUUUUUUCUCAUGAUUUUGUUCCUAAUGUACUGUUAGAUUUCAUGGUGUGUGCAUUUUUUCUUUCUUCAAAUUUUUAUGAUUAAUAUAUUUUAAAGAGAUCCUCUAAUUUAAAAUUUCAAUAAUCCAAUAACCAUGUAAUCUGUUAAUAAAAUACUAAACUUUUAGUUUCAAUAGUUUAAAGUUCAAAUCCUAACAAACUCACAUACAAAAAAAAAAAAAGAUAAUCUUCUACUUUCACAAAUUUCAUGUAUACGAGAUAAUUUAUAUAUAUUUUGAUUUCUUCACAAAUGAUUAAUAAAGUUUUUAAAUUUUAUAAACGAUAUUAGCAUCUCAUACUUUUGUAACAUAUUUUCUUUUAACUAUUUUUUUCAAACCUAAAUGUAACUUUUUUUAAUUUAUCAGAUAUGAAAAUCCAGUAAGUUAUAUAACUUAUCAGAAAUGUUUAUUCAAAAGUUUUAAAAUUAAAACGAGAUGGGUAAAUAAGUAAUAUCACUUAAAAAAUUAUUAAAAAAAAGUAAAUGUAGAGAAAAAUAUGAUGGUGUAUUUAGAAUCACUCAUCACAAAAUUAUACUUUAUAAAAAAAUUGAUAUUCUAAUUUUGGAAUCACAAAGAAAAUGAUAAUAUGAGAUUUUUUAUUGGUAUUUAGUCUUUUCUUUGCUAUAUACUUUUAAGUCUUCCCACAUGCAAAUAUUUAAGUUUUCUUUCCAAUUAUUACUCUGUGAAGAAUAAUUUCUUAGCAAUUUGCUAAAAUCAAGUCUGUCUUUUAAAAAAGAUAAAAAAACAUAGCAAUUUUCUUAAUGGAGGUUGUCUUUUGUCUUCCAGUUAAAUUGGAAGAUUAAAAAUGGAUUUUAAAUAUAUUAAUUAUUAUUGUUAUAGUUUAGUCUUUUUAAUAACUUAGAUUGGAGCAAUUGCUAAGAUUAUUAUUUUUGUAAAGUAAAGAUGGGGGCAAAAAAACUAAUACAUUUACAUGUUUGUUGCCAAAACUAAGUAUAAAGCAAGGUCUAAGACUUAAACCAAUACAUUCCCAUAGUAUCUAGCAUUUUGUUUCUUAUUCCACCAUUAAAAAAUUAUAAUUUCCAAAAUAGACAAGUUUGAUAAGUGAGAAUGAAUAUGUUCUUUAGAUUUUUUUUCAAACUUUUCAGCAAAAAUAAAAUUCAAGUUUUUUAUUUGUUGAUUUUUUUCUCCAAUCAAUUUGUUGAUUAAGCAACUUCUUUUUCAUGCUUUUGUUCCUAAUGUACUAUUUGAUUUCAAGGUAUGUGCUUUUUUUUUCUAUUUUUUUAGUUGUUAUUGUUAAUAUAUUUUAAAGAAAUCCUCUUAUUUAAAAAUUCAAUGAGCCAAUAACCAUAUAAUCUAUUAAUAAAAUGUUUAACUCUUAGUUUUAAUAGUUUAAAGUUCAAACCAUAGCAACCUCAUAUAAAAAAAAUCUUCUAAUUUAAAAAAUUUCUUGUAUGCAAGAUAAUUUAUAUAGAGUUUUAAAUUUUAUAAACAAUAUUAAAUCUCGUACUUUCUAUAAGAUAUUUUCUCUUAAUUAUUUUUUUUCAAACCUAAAUGUAACCUUUUUCAAUUUAUCAGAUAUGAAAAUUCAGUAAGUUAUAUAACUUAAGAAAUAUAUAUCUAGAAGCUUUAACAUUAAAAUGAGAUGAGUAAAUAAGUAAUUUCACUUUAAAAUUAAAAAAAAAAAGAGUGGAUAUAAGGAAAAAUAUGAUGGUGUAUUCAAAAUCAUCCAUCACAAAAUUAUACUUUAUAAAAAAAUUGAUAUUCUAAUUUUGGACUCACAAAAAAAAUUAUAGUAUGAGAUAUUUUUAUUGGUGUUUAGCCUUUUCUUUACUUUAUACUUUUAAGCCUUCUCAUCAUGCAAAUGUCUAAGUCUUCUUACCCCAUCAUUACUAUGAGAAGAAUAAUCUUCUUAACAAUUUACAUAAGUCAAGUUUGUCUCUUGAAAAAAAUAAAAAAACAUAACAUUUUUUCAAUGGUGGUUGUCUUUUGUUUUUAAUUAAAUUAGCAGACUAGGAAAAUAUUUUAAGUAUAUUAAUUAUUAUUAUUAUUAUAUUCUAGUCUUUUUAAUGAUUUAGAUUGAAGCAAUUGCUAAAAUUAUUAUUUUUAUGAAGUAAAGAUGGGGGCAAAAAGACUAACACAUUUUCGUGUUUGAUGCUAAGACCAAGUAUAAAGCAAAGACGAUGAUUUAGACCAAUGCAUUCCCAUAGUAUCUAUCAUUUUCUUUCUUAUUCCACCAUUAUAAAAUCACAAUUUUCAAAAUAGACAAGUUUGAGAAGUGGGAAUGAAUGUGUUGUUUAGAUUUUUUUUUUCAAACUUUUCAGCAAAAAUAAAAGACAAGUUUUUAAUUUGUUGCUUUUUUUUUUUGCCAAUCAAUUUGUUGAUUAAGCAACUUCUUUCUCUUGCUUUUGUUCCUAAUGUACUAUUAGAUCUCAUGGUAUGUGCAUUUUUUAUUUUUUAGUUUUUAAUUGUUAAUAUAUUUUAAAAAGAUUCUCUGAUUUAAAAUUAAAUGAAGAAAUAAUCAUAUAGUUUGUUAGCAAAAUGUUGAACUCUUAAUUUCAAUAGUUUAAAGUUCAAAUCUUAAUAACCUCACUUACCAAAAAAAAUGAUAAUUUUCUAAUUUCAAAAAUUUCAUGUAUACGAGAUAAUUUAUAUAUUUUUUUUUAUUUCAUAAUAUAUGAUUAAUAAAGAUUUUAAAUUUUAUAAAUGGUAUUAGAAUCUCAUACUUUAUGCAAGAUAUUUUCUCUUAACUAUUUUUUUUCCAAACCUAAAUCUAACUUUUAACUUAGCAGAUAUGAAAAUCUAAUAAGUUAUAUCUAAAUGCUUUAAAAGUAAAAUGAGAUGAUAAAUAAGUAAUUUCAUUUAAAAAUUAAAAAAAAAUUGAUAUAGAGUAAAAAUGGUCAUAUUUUUAGAAUCAGCCAUCACAAAAUUAUACUUUAUAAAAAAUUGAUAUUUUAAUUUUGGACUCAUAAAAAAAAUGAUAGUAUGAGAUCUUUUUAUUGGUAUUUAAUCUUUUCUUUGUUUUAUACUUUUAAGUCUUCCCAUCAUGCAAAUGCCAAAGUCUUCUUGCCCCAUCAUUAUUAUGUGAAAAUAAUCUUCUCAUCAAUUUGCUUAAGUCAAGUCUACCUUUUAAAAAAGACAAAGAAAUAAAAAAAAAAUUUUUUCUCAAUGAAAGUUGUCAUUUGUCUGCUAGUUAAAUUGGCACACAAGGAAUAGAUUUUAAGUAUAUUAAUUAUUAUUGUUAUAUUUUAGUCUUUUUAAUGACUCAGACUAAAGCAACUACUAAGAUUAUUUUUGUGAAGCAAAUAUGGGGGCAAAAUGAUUGACACAUUUGCAUGCAUGAUGCCAAAACUAAGUAUAGAGCAAAGACUAACACUUGGACCAAUACAUUCCCAUAUUAUCUAUCAUUUUCUUUCUUAUUCCACCAUUAUAAAAUCACAAUUUUCAAAAUAGACAAGUUUGAGAAGUGAGAAUGAAUAUAUUUUGUAGAUUUUUUUUUUCAAACCUUUCAACAAAAAUAGAACACAUGUUUCUGAUUUGUUAAUUUUUUUUUUUGUGAAUUAAUUUGCUGAUUAAGCAACUUCUUUCUCAUGCUUUUGUUCCUAAUGUACUAUUAGAUUUCACGGUAUGUGCAUUUUUUUUAGUUUUUUAUUGUUAAUAUAUUUUAAAGAUAUCUUCUAAUUUAAAAAUUCAAUAAACUAAUAACUAUAUAGUCUAUUAGUAAAAUGCUAAACUCUUAGUUUUAGUAGUUUAAAAUUCAAAUCCUGGCAAUCUCACUAUAAAAAAAUUAUAAAAAAAAAAAGACAAUCUUAAAAUGAAAAAAUUUCAUGUAUACAAGAUAAUUUAUAUAUAUAUAUUUUAAUUUUCUUCACAUAUGAUUAAUAGAGUUUUUAAAUUUUAUAAACAAUAUUAAAAUCUCAUACUUUUUAUAAGAUAUUUUCUCUUAACUAUUUUUUUUUCAAACCUAAAUGUAAUUUUUCUAACUUACCAAAUAUGAAAAUUCUAUAAGUUAUAUAACUCAUUAGAAAUGCAUAUUUAAAAGGUUUAAAAUUAAAACAAGAUAAGUAAAUAAGUAAUUUACUUAAAAAUUUUCUAAAAAAGGUGGAUGUAGAGAAAAAAAUAAUGGUGUAUUUAAAAUUACCCACCACAAAAUUAUACUUUACAAAAAAAAUUGAUAUUCUAAUUUUGGACUAACAAAGAAAAUGAUAGUAUGAGAUUUUUUUCAUUGGUAUUUAGUCUUUUCUUCACUUUAUACUUUUAAGUCUUCCCAUCAUGCAAAUGUCUAAGUCUUCUUGCCCCAUCAUUACUCUAUGAAAAAUAAUCUUAUUAGCAGUUUGCUUAUGUCAAGUCUAUCUUUUAAAAAAGACAAAAAAAAAGCAAUUUUUUCAAUGGUGGGUGUCUUUUUUCUUCCAAUUAAAUUUGCAGACUGGGAAUGGAUUUUAAAUAUAUUAAUUAAUAUUGUUAUAUUUUAGUCUUUUCAAUGACUUAGACUAAAGCAAUUGCUAACAUCAUUUUUUUUUUUGAAGUAAAAAUAGGGGCAAAAAGAUUGACACAUUUGCAUGCUUGAUGCCAAGACUAAGUAUGAAGCAAAGACUAUGAUUUAGACCCAUGCAUUCUGAUAGGAUCUAUCUUUUUCUUUCUCAUUCCACCAUUAUAAAAUCACAAUUUCCAAAAUAGACAAGUUUGAGAAAUGGGAGUGAAUGUGUUCUUUAGAUAAUUUUUUCAAACUUUUCAGUAAAAUUAAAAGAUAGGUUUUUAAUUUAUUUAUUAUUAUUAUUAUUAUUUUGCUAAUCAAUUUGGUGAUUAAGCAACUUCUUUCUCAUGCUUUUGUUCCUAAUGCACCAUUAGAUCUCAUGGUAUGUGCCAUUUUUUUUUUAUUUUUUAGUUUAUUAUUAUUAAUAUAUUUUAAAGAGAUUUUUUUAUUUAAAAUUAAAUGAGCAAUAACCAUGUAGUUUGUUAGUAAAAUGUUGAAUUCUUAAUUUUAGUAGUUUAAAGUUCAAAUCCUGAUAACCUCACAUUACAAAAAAAAAAAAGGACAAAUUUCUAAUUUCAUAAAUUUCAUGUAUACGAGAUAAUUUUUAUAUAUUUCAAUUUCAUCAUAUAUGAUUAAUAGAGAUUUUAAAGUUUAUAAAUGGUAUUAGAAUCUCAUACUUUAUGCAAGAUAUUUUCUCUUAACUAUUUUUUUCGAAACCUAAAUGUAACUUUUUUUAACUUACCGGAUAUGAAAAUCCAAUAAGUUAUAUCAAGAUGCUUUAAAAUUAAAACGAGAUGAGUAAAUAAGUAAUUUCACUUAAAAAUUAAAAAAAUUGAUAUAGAGAAAAAAUGAUGGCAUAUUUAGAAUCACCCAUCACAAAAUUAUGCUUUAUAAAAAAUUUGAUAUUUUCAUUUUGGACCCACGAAGAAAAUAAUAGUAUGAGAUCUUUUUAUUAGUAUUUAAUCUUUUCUUUGUUUUAUACUUUUUAGUCUUCCCAUCAUGCAAAUGUCUACGUCUUCUUGCCCUAACAUUACUUUAUGAAAAUAAUCUUCUUAGCAGUUUGCUUAUGUCAAAUCUGCCUUUUAAAAAGGACAAAAAAAAAAACAACAAUUUUCUCAAUGAAAGUUGUCUUUUGUCUUCUAGAUAAAUUGACACACAAGGGAUGGAUUUUAAGUAUAUUAAUUAUUAUUGUUAUAUUUUAGUCUUUUUAAUGACUUAGAUUGAAGUAACUGCUAAGAUUAUUUUUGUGAAGUAAAGAUGGGUGCAAAAAGAUUGACUCAUUUGCAUGCUUGAUGCCAAAAUUAAGUAUAGAACAAAGACUAAGACUUAGACCAAUACAUUCCCAUAGUAUCUGUCAUUUUCUUCCAUAGAAUAUAUUCUGUAGAUUUUUUUUCAAACCUUUCAGCAAAAAUAAAACUCUGGUUUUUAAUUUGUUGAUUUUUUUUGGCCAAUCAAUUUGUUGAUUAAGCAACUUCUUUCUCAUGCUUUUGUUCCUAAUGUACUAUUAGAUUUUAUGGUGUGUGCAUUUUUUCAGUUUUUUAUUGUUAAUAUAUUUUAAAGAUAUCCUCUAAUUUAAAAAUUCAAUGAGCUAAUAACUAUAUAUUCUAUUAGUAAAAUACUAAACUCUUAGUUUCAGUAUUUAAAAUUCAAAUCCUAACAAUCUCACAUAUAUAUAUAUAUAUAUAAAGACAAUCUUCAAAUGAAAAAACUUCAUGUAUAUGAGAUAACUUAUAUAUAUUUUAAUUUCUUCACAUAUAAUUAAUUGAGUUUUUAAAUUUUAUAAACAGUAUUAAAAUCUCAUACUUUUUGUAAGAUAUUUUCUCUUAACUAUUUUUUUUCAAACCUAAAUGUAACUUUUUCUAACUUAUUGGAUAUGAAAAUUCUAUAAGUUAUAUAACUCAUCAAAAAUGCAUAUUUAGAAGUUUUAAAAUUAAAACAAGAUAAGUAAAUAAGUAAUUUCACUUAAAAAAUUUUUAAACAAGGUGGACGUAGAGAAAAAAUGAUGGUGUAUUUAGAGUCACCUAUCACAAAAUUAUACUUCACAAAAAAAUUGAUAUUCUAAUUUUAGACUAACAAAGAAAAUGAUAGUAUGAGAUUUUUUUAUUGGUAUUUAUCUUUUCUUUACUUUAUACUUUCAAGUCUUCCUAUCAUGCAAAUGUCUAAGUCUUCUUGCCCCAUCAUUAUUCUUUGAAAAAUAAUUUUUUUGACAGUUUGCUUAAGUCAAGUCUAUCUUUUAAAAAAGACAAAAAAAUAGCAAUUUUCUCAAUGGUGGUUUUUUUUUUUGUCUUCCAAUUAAAUUGGCUGGCAAUUAAUUUUAAGCAUAUUAAUUAAUAUUGUUAUAUUUUAGUCUUUUCAAUGACUUAGACUAAAGCAAUUGCUAACAUCACUAUUUUUUUGAAGUAAAAAAGGGGGCAAAAAGAUUGACACAUUUGCAUGCUUGAUGCCAAGACUAAGUAUGAAGCAAGGACUAUGAUUUAGAACCAUGAAUUCCGAUAAGGUCUAUCUUUUUCUUUCUUAUUCCAUCAUUAUAAAAUCACAAUUUCCAAAAUAGACAAGUUUGAGAAAUGGGAGAGAAUGUGUUCUUUAAAUUUUUUUUUCAAACUUUUCAGCAAUGAUAAAACACGGGGUUUUAAUUUAUCGAUUUUUUUGGCCAAUCAAUUUGUUGAUUAAGCAACUUGUUUCUUAUGUUUUUGUUCCUAAUGUACUAUUAGAUUUCACGGUAUGUGCAUUUUUUUUUUAGUUUUUUAUUAUUACUAUAUUUUAAAGUGAUGCAUUGAUUUAAAAAUUCAAUGAGCCAAUAACCAUGUAAUUUGUUAGUAAAAUAUUGAACUCUUAGUUCUAAUAGUUUAAAGCUCAAAUCUUGACAACUUUAUAUACAAGAAAAAAAAAGACAAUCUUCUAUUUUCACAAAUUUCAUGUAUACCAGAUAAUUUAUAUAUAUUUUGAUUUCUUUACAUAUGAUUAAUAGAGUUUUUAAAUUUUUUUAAUGGUAUUAGAAAAUCAUACUUUCUAUAAGAUAUUUUAUCUUAACUAUUUUUUUUCAAUCCUAAAUAUAACUUUUUUAACUUACUGCAUGUGAAAUUUUGAAAAGUUAUAUAAUUUAUCACAAAUGCAUAUCUAGAAGUUUUAAAAUUAAAAUGAGAUGGGUAAAUAAGUAAUUUCACUUAAAAAACUUUUAAAAUUGGAUGUAGAGAAAAAAAAAUGAUGUUGUAUUUUGAAUCACCCAUCAUAAAAUUAUAGUUUCUAAAAAAUUGAUAUUUUAAUUUUGGACUCACAAAGAAAAUGAUAGUAUGAGAAUUUUUUAUGAGAUUUUAAUUCUUUUCUUUGCUUUAUCACAUAUCUUAAUUUUUUUUAUAUAAUUUUUUAGUAUAUUUGUAAAAGGGUUUGUGACAGCCCUCUAACUUGUAUAAUCUAAAAACUCCACUAACUAAUUGCAUUUUCUAAGUUAUAUGAUUCAACAAAUACUAACAAGUCAAUUAAUAAUUUAAUUGUUCUAUAAAUUUGAAGGUAAAAUAAAUGAAAAUUUAGCAACUAAUAAAGACUAUGCUUUUAUUCCCAGAAACAAACCAGAUGAAAUAGAUGGAGUUAAAGAAUGAACUAUUUCGGGGCAAGAUAUCAGUACUAUCUGGAUUUCUUAAGCAUCAUAAUAUCAAGAAAAUCUGACUAGAACAACUUUACAUCAUGGCAAAAUUUCAAAGGAAAACCACAAGUUUCUCAAUUUCAUUCCUUCUUUCUCUUCCCCAAAAUUACAAAUUAUCUGCAUCAAGUUGCAUAUUUACAUAAGAUGUUGGCAUAUAUCUUUCCAAAAAAAAAGUAGUAGAAUGAAGUCAACAAAUAAAACCAACCCUGAAACCUGUAAAAGUCAGUAUGUUCCACCUCUAUGUUGUUUGACAGUGUUCAAUGUCCAACAUUAUUAACAUCAGCACCACCUUUGCAUUUCAUCCUCCAAAAAUCGAAAAAUCUUUAGAUAAGUAGGCUUCAAGUGAAUCUAUUAGCCAUGAUUUGCAUCAACAAACCUAAGAUUCACUGAUGUUGUUAGCUGCCAUAUUCAAAGCAAACUCGUUAGAUACUGGCAUUUCUAGAAUAUGGCCAAGAAGUCUGGUAAGUUCCCUACGAACAUGAAUAAAACAUAUAUAUUUUACUAGAAAGGAAAAGCAAAAGGUAAAAUAUAUAUAUCAUAACUGAUCUAAAACAGAAAAAAUAAUUAAAAUAUAAAAUCAAUUAUAACACAAUUAGUAUAUAUAUAGAAGUAGAAUCAUGUAGUUAAUCAUAAAAAAUUUACUUAUUUUGUGUAUAACUCAAAAUUUUAUUGCUUAUGGAAAUGCAAUUUACUUUUUUGCUUUCAGAAGCAAAAAGCAAAUAGCAAAAACCCAAUUAAACAGACACUAAAUAAGGCAAAAUAACCAAGAACUUCAUAUGGUUCGUUAAUGCAUUUAUUUUGCACAAGUAAUUUUAAAUUCUCGGUAGUUUCCUUUUUAGUUUUUUCUGUUUUUGGUCAUUAAAUCUUACUCUAAUUUUAUUGAAUUUAAUUUUUUGACAUUUUUUAGAAUUUAUGUAUGUACAAUGCUUGAAAUUUACAUUUUAUUUUGCGAUUACACAAUUUUUUAUGCAAACAUCGUAUAUAACAUAUUUUUUAAACCAAUGUUUAUAUAUACAUACAUACGUACAUACAUUCAUAUGCACUAAUAUAAGUGCUAUUUUUACAAGGCUUAUGUAGGAAAUCAAAACUUUAAUCAGACUUUAACACUGAAAAUUUUAACCUAAAAUUCAACAGCUUGAACAUAAUGUGAAAUGCAAUUUCAAAAGCUAGAGAGGAAGGGCAGGAAUAGGAGGGCAAAGUGAAAAUGGAAGAGCAGGAGAUCAAACUCUACCAUAAGCAAACCGACAAAAUACUAAGACCUAGGAGGUGAACAAAGACAGGGCAAAAGAUCAUUGCAGAAUAUGCAUGCAACAAAGAAAAGAUCAGGUUAUAACCACCUUUUCACAUAAACAUUCAAUUCUUAAUUUGCAAGAAGAACCUGUUAUGUCAUAUAUAUUAAUUCAUUUUGAAAACAGAAAACACUGACGAAACUUAUCUAAACCAAGAUACUUGAAAGCAAUGAAAUGGAAAUCCGAAAAACUCGCUCCAUUCAAUUGUUGGAAAAUGCAAAAUGUACAAUUAAACAAAUGAUGAUUGCAUGCUAGAACUCCACAAAAGGUAACACUUUCCACCCAACUAUUUCAUUUUAUUUUUCUUUCCCUUUUUCAACCCUCUCAUUCUUCCCAAUAAUAACAAGAGAUUCAAACUGCAAUAACCAUUCUUUUGCAGCAAAUUUAACCGCUAGCAAUUGAAUGACAGAUUGACAAUUAUGUACAGUAAUAGUCAAAGAAAAUACUACUUGGCAAUAAAAAUAAAUGACAUAUGGGUAAAACAGAACAAAACCAACAUACAAUAAAAAUAAAUGACAUAUGGGUAAAACAGAACAAAACCAACAUACAAUAAAGCCCGAGAAACACAAAUAAGGAAAAAAAAAAAAAGUUAUGCUUAGCUAAACAUAGAAUCUUUCAACACAGUGAAAGUCUUACAAAGAUCAUGGAAAAAAGAAAUUAAAAAAAAAAUAAAAUACUCUGCCUUUGCCAAUGUGGGGUUUCCAAAAAUUAGCUGCAAUUGCUCCAGCUCUCUAAUUACAGUGUCAAUGUAAAAACAGGAGAUAAAAUCAAUUUUAAAAAAAAGACCCAUAUUUUACAGUAGCAAAAAAAAAAGAAUUUUUAAGAUUGAAAAUAAAACUGGGCAUGAGGAAAUUUUUACCUGGAAAAAGAAAAAAAAGAGGGGGAAAAAUUGAUUAAAACCCCCUAGCUUUAAACCCCUUUUGACAAUUUCUUUUUUUAAUUUUGCUUUUUUCAUUUAAUUGCUUUGUGCAUUCAAUCGGUAUAUUGCCCAAUUGUAUUUUAGUGCAAAAAGUCAAAGGGAAGCCCGAUUCGGUAUUAGUGGACCCAGCCCAUGUAAGAAAAACCGGGUCUUUUGAUCCAAUAGGCCUAUCAAGUAUCAAGACCAAUUCGGGUAAUUAAUUUUCCUUUUUUUGGUUGAUUAUUAAUUUUAUUUGGAUGUAUGAAAUUUUUUUUUUACAAUCUUUUUGAAAAAACAAAUUUUAUAAAAGCCCUAAAUUCUUAUUUUUGUUUUCAUAGGUAUUAGUUUUUCUUUCCUCUAUGAUUGUUUCUUCAUUAUUGUUGUUUGGUCAAUGAAAGAGAAUUUUUUUGGUAAUUAAAUUCGUGUUUAGAAAUUUGAAUUCAAAAUAAAGGGAUAUAAAUUUCAAAUGUUAAUAUAAAUUUAGAAAUAGAAUUAAAACAAACUAUGAUUGUACUUAAAUUCAUGAUUUAUUUUUUAUACAUUAAAAGUAUUCUAUCUAUUGUGCAUUAUGUACCAAAAUAUAAUUUUUUUUAUAUAUAAUGGAAAGGGUAAUAAGUAUUGUGUUUUUUCCUUAAUAACAAUUUGGAGGAGAAGUGAAAUCAGUUUUAGUGAAAUUAAAAAUAAAAGUAAUGGUAAAAUUAAUUAUUGUAGUGAUAAGAUUAAAUAAAAUAACAAUAAAAUUAAAAUCAAUAAUAAAAUAUAUAUUAGAUAUAAAUGUAAAGGCGACCAUGAAUCCAUGUAUUGACUUGCAUUGUAUUGCACCGAAUAUGCACUGAAUCCAAAAGGGCCUAAAUAAUCUCUUUAGAGAUGAUCUAAUGUUAAGUAGGCAUGAGAUUUUUUUUAACCCAACAGCCAACAUGGCAUGCUAUUGCUUCUUAUCUUUUCAGUUUUUAAGUACUGAACAAUUUGAACAUACAUCAACUUCAUUUUCAUUGAGUUUUAUUUAUAUUUUUUAAGAAAAUUGAAGGUACUAUUUCAGUAUUUUAUUUAAUUCCUCACCAGUCACCAAGUCUUUGCUUGACCCUGUGAAGCUGAUCUUUACUUCAAAAACAUCCUGCCCAAUAUUGAAGAUAGCGAUCCUGUCCCAUAUAGUUUCUCGAUACUCACUAGCUUCUCCCAAUAAUUUUCUUGCUGCCAAGUUGUAUGAAAUGAAAGCUUCACAAAUCCGCUUUCAACAAAAUUGCCAUGUACAGCUUUAGAAUCCUCGGCAUUGGUGGAAGCUAUUUGCAGGGACUUUUGGUCAUGGAGCUCAUGCUUUUGGGUUAGACAUUGGCACCAAGUACAAUCAAUGUUGUGGCAAAUGGAAUGUCUUUGAAGUAUGAUUCCAUUUUCUGAAUUGUUGCAGUGGGCUCAUUUGAUUAUUGAUAUGAAAUCAUUAAGGUUUUUUUCUCUUAUUUUAUGUAGUAAGCAGGUAAUUAAUAUGUGUUUGUUUAUCAUUUCUCGCUAAUUUUCAAUCUCUGCAGUUUCAUUGCAAUCAAGACAGAUCGUCAAGCCUAUUUUGCAGGUUCCAGAAGCACACUUCUUAUGCUAAGUUUUUUUUUUUUUCCUUUUUCUAUUUGAUUGCAUAUCCAACUCUAUUCAUAAUUUUGGUUUCUAAACAUCAAAACUGGGUUUCAACAGAGACAGUUUACAGCUUGCAUUAAAUUAAGACAGUACUAGCAGACACUUUAGAUUAAUUGAUUGUCACACUACAAUUUUCAGCAAAUCAAAACACAUUAACUCUUUAUAUUCCCCAUUGCAUAUUAAAAUCAAUCUAUUUACAUUAAAAAAAAUCAGCAAAUUAGUCGUUUCCGCUGCAACUAAUAAUUCAAAUGUGCACAUAUAUUUGACAACAAAUGUACUGUAAUCAAAGGAAAAGUUGUAACAUGUAAAUUGAGGAUGGCACUUACAAGAAGAAAUAUAAACCCCAUGAAACAGAGGACGCUAAAACUGCAGGAAAGAAGCUUGCAUAAAGCCCUUUCAAACCCUGCAUGACAAACCCACUAAACUUUUAGCAUAUAUCAAAAGAAAAACAGCAUACAAAAGAGAAACGUUAAUCUCCAAUGCAAGCGAGAAAGACCUCAAAUUUACAUGUAGAGAAAAGAAAAAUAAAGUACCUAAGCCUAAUUAAAUGAAAGGAAAAAAAAAGAGUAAAAAAAAGUGCGAACCUCUAAGCGAGUAAUGGUAAAAAUGACGUGGGCGGUGUUCUUGUAAAUCGGGAAAUUGGUGAGUCGAUCGUCUUUAACUAUUUGAAAACUCGAUCCAAUCAGCACCUAAAAAGACUGAAACUUUUUGUCGAGACUAUGUAUAUAUAAAGAAAGAGACGGAAAAAGAAGAAGAAGAGGAUAACCUUGAAAUCUCGUACGGACGAUGUUCAGAGGGUAAAUCGCUGCAACGGUGGCGAAGCCCGCCACUGCACCGGCGGUUGCGUUCUCCCAUUGCCACUGUCAUUGUGACAUUUCUUUUUGAAUAAAUAAUAAUAAUGAAAAGGAACAGGCCGUUUCUGUUAAUGUGCAUCAAAUUAAGACAGUAUCUUUACUUAUAUCGUUAACUCUUUGAUUUUUCAGUCUGCAAUUUCUUUAGGAAGCUAACAGAAGGGCAAAAACGUAAGGAAAAGGACAAUAAAUGAAGACGAAGAUGAAGACUCCAGAAAUGGCACAUCUCCGUCACACAAUCAGAAAAAGGCUUUGAAACCUGACAAUAAGUUAUACUGUUCGACCGGAUCCUCCAGGAGUGCUGCUCUCAAUGAAUCAAAUACAGAAUUUGACAAACCGAUUUUUCGAUUUGAGUCUUCGAAGGAACUUCCAAUUCAAAUUGAUAGCAGAGUACGGCAACCUUAGAAACUGAGACUGAGUUUACAUAAGAUGCUCGCGCUAUACGUAAGAAUGUUCUUAAACGAGCAGAGAAGGCUUUGAAGGGGAAAAGCAUAAGCUCUGUGGGAGAGAAGUUCCAUAAAGGAAUGCAUGACUAUGUGAAUCACAAGGCUGGGUUUGAAGAGAACAGACAGUUGCCAAUGAGAAAGCUGGUGGCUCACAUGGACCUCUUAGGGCUUCUGCCCACAUCAGGGUUUCAGAGAGAUUUGAUUAUCAACCUGACAUCUGUAAAGACUACAAAGAAGCUGGUUACUGUGGUUACAGGAUUCAUGUAAGUUUAUGCAUGAUCGUGGAGAUUACAAGUCUGGAUGGCAAUUAGAGUAAGGACUGGGAAGAAGCAGAGAAAGCAAGGAAGAGAAAUCUGGCUUUGGGUGGCGAUUAUUAUGAUGAUGAGGCAGGGAUAGGCCAGAGUGAUGAUGACAAUGACGAUUCAUUGCCCUUUAAAAUCAUUUCCCUUGUCUGAAUACCUUAUUAAAGGAAAUCAUUUCCCUGCUUGAGCUUGGGGGAAUUUUGGAUUAUGCAGUGAUGAUCUCUUUAAAAUCAUUGUCGCUGCUGGCAUGUGCAUUAGUAUUUAGGUAAGCAUUUUUUCUGUGUCCUUCCACAACAGACCUAUGAGUUGAGUGAUAGUAUUAAGCAGAUUAAGAAUUAGGUUUUUACAUUAAAUUCCAAGAGUCGUCGAAAACAACUGAAUGAGUAGACAAUUGUAAAACUUGUAAUUUAUAUACAAAAUUGGCGUUCCUAAGAUUCCAACAAACCCUAUUGCUGCCUUUUACCUAUGAAGUAGCAUUUCUUCUACCCAGAGAUAGCAUUGCAAUCCAGUAUUAAUUUUCCAAGGAUCAGCAUCCAACUUCACAACCUUCAUAAUGGCCAAGAAUUCAGCUUGAUCAGAUCAGAAUCCAGGCCUCGAUGACACAUACUGGUAGGAUCUAGGAUGUUACUUCAAAGAGUUUAAGAAUGUAUCGCAGGUAGUUUCAAUUGGGUAGGAACGGCGAAUGGAAGCUGUAAUUUUUUGUGAUGUCCAAGUCCAAAGCAUAGAACACAUUAAUGAUCAGUUUUCUUCCUGGAAAAAUACAGUUCCUGCAUUCAAGACAAAGAAAAAAAAUGUGAAAUCAGCAAGCAAACCUAACUUAAGCUCAAGACAUAGUAAUCUUUAGCUCUUAGCAGUAGUUGUAUAGAAAUCAAAUUUUUAACAUAAACUUUUGUUUCCUUUUUUCCUCCUAAAAUUUUCAUUUUUAGCAUGAGUUUUUGAUUUCUUUUUUCCCUGUUAAAUUUUGAAGUGACCGAAUUCAUGAGAAUAAAGUAUUUUCCUAGUUGAUACUUACAUUUCUAGUUAGAGAUGGAUUCAAAAGAGCAAGAACUUAGGGCUGCAUGAGAAGGACAGUGUUGUAGGAGAAAGCCUCUAGUGGCAAAGUCUUGAUGUCAUUUUCAAUAUAAGUAUAAAAUAUGUUGCUGUCAUUAUUGCUUUUAAAUGAAGGCUUUAAAAGAUAAAAAGUUGACAAGUAUCAUAUUUAAAUGAUUUAGUAAUUAUAUGGGUGCUUGAAUGAUUGAACAGAUUACAAAUUGUUGAUUUCAUAUAAAACUGUUUUAGUCUAAAGGAAGAUGAUUAAUUGAUUAUUUACCAUUUAUUAUUGAAGUAAUUAAGGGUGAUAAAAGGUAAGCCUUCGGAUCCCAAAACAAAUAAUAUAUCACAUAGUAAGUGUCGUUCAGUGUUGAUCCGAUUGCAUCAACAAUAACGUGUAUUAUUUUCCUUUACAAGGAAAAAAGUGCAUGCAGCUGUCAUUAGAGUUGGGUUUGGCUGCCAGCUAUUGAAACUCUAUCUUCACUUCCAUGAAGUAUCAUGAGAGCAAUCCAAGAAGGAAAAAAAAAAAUACAAAAUAGCAACAUCAUGCACUAAAUCAAAUAUUGAGAUUAAAGUAGGAAAUAGGAGAAAAUGCCAUACACAUACUUUUUGAAUCAUGCGGCUUUUAAUUUAUAUAAUUAAUUUUGUAGAGAAUGAAAGAAAAAGAGGGUGUUCACAUGCCACCCCUCCCAUUCUCCAAAAACUCUUUUUUGUAGUUUUUUAUUUUUUAUUUUUAUUAUUUUAUUUAUUAUUUAGUUUUUUAUUUUAUUUUUUAUGAAAUAAAUUUUGUAAAAAAAGUCUAUAGAAAUAAAGAUUAUAAAAUAAUUUGUAUUUGAUUGAUUUUAAUUCACAUCAAUCUAAUAUAGGUGCAUUUUGUUUAAAUUAAUUGCGUCAAGUUUCUUUUCUUUUGAAAAUAAAGUAGGGUUGAAAAUGGAUUUAAAGUGUUCUACUCUGUUUUGUUGUCCUUAUGAUACCAUACCUUUUUCUCUCUUUUUUUUUUUUAACUUUUGAUUUUUGGGGUUUUUUUUUAAUUUUUUUACUUUUAGUUUUUUAUUAGAUAAAUUUUGUAAUAAAAAAUUCAAUUGAAAUAGAAAUAAAAAAAUAAUUUUUAUAUGAUGGGUUUUGAUUCAUCCCAAUUCAAUUGGUACACAUUCUUUUAAUUCGAAAUUUUUGGUUUGAGCUCUUUUUUAAAUCAAACUAAAGGAAGAAUAAGAUUCUUGGUAUUAUGCUUUGACUUUGACACGUAUAAAAGUAUAUAUUUGAUUAUUUAUUUAAUUUUAUAUUUAUAUAUGUAUUUUAUUAAAAAUAUUAUUUAAUAUUUUAAUUAACAAAUUUGUUUGUCACCCUAUUUCGAUUUUUUAGUCAUUUUCUUUCCUUAAAAAUUUUUUAUGAGAUAAAUUUUGUAAAGAAAAAAGUUAAUAAAUAUAAGGAUAACAAAAAAACUUAUUUUUAUGAGAUAAAUUUCAUAAAGAAAAAAGUUAAUAAAUGUAAGGAUGAUUAAAUAAUUUAUAUUUAAUAGAUUUCAAUUCGUUACGAUAUAAUCGAUAUAUCAUUUUUUUAAAUAAAAAUUGAGUUAAAUUUUAUCUCUUUAAAUAAUUUAAGUUAAGUCCAAAUCAAGUGUAAUAUGUUCUAUCCCAACCUUUCUUUGGAUUUAUAAAAGUAUAUAUUUUAUUAUUUAUUAAAUUUAUAUUUAAAUAUAUAUUAUAUUAAUAAAAUUAUUAUUUAAUACCAUAAUUUAAUAAAAAACUAUAUUUAUAUAAUUAAAUUAUAAUUUAUAUUAAAAAAUAAAUAACUUACAUUUUUCUAUAUAUUAUCAUCCAUUAAAAUUUAAUAUAAAAAUAUUACUUCUCUUAUAUUUAAAACAUAAUUUUAAAAAAUAAAAAAUAAUCUCGUCAAAAACACGGUUUUAGUUCUAACGAAAGUAAUAUUAUAUAUAUAUAUAUAUAUAUAUAUAUAUAUAUAUAUUUAUAAAAACACACACACACACGCGCUCACAAAACUUCUUCGCUCUUUGGAAAAUUCAGUGGUUUCAGUUUUCUAUCGUAAUUGAAGGUUAAAGUGAUUCCUUUCCUAGAUGUUUUUUGGCCAUAUAUUUCCAUUACCCAAACUUCGUAUGUUGGUGCCAAAUGCCAAGAUAUCCUCUCUUUAUACACAGCAAUGGAUUUUUUUUUCCAGAGUGUUCACUCAUAAAUAUAUAUAUAUAUAUAUAUAAAUAAUAAACACAAAUUUAAAAUAUUAUAUCACUACAUUAUUACAAUUGUCCAAAAUUCUCAUAUUUUAAAAAACUUAUAAUUACAUUAUUAUAAUAUCAUCAAAUUCAUAAUUUUUAAAAAUAUAAGUAACUGAAUAAUCAUUCAGUAAAUAAUCAUUGUUAGUACUAUUAAAUUUUAUUUUGAUGGAUUUAUCAAAUUAUAUUGACAAAAAUGAUAUUAAGAAAAAAAUUUUGAUGAUGUCCUUAGAAAAAUUUUCUUUUAAUUUUUUUUUUUAAAUAUUUGAAGUGUCUGUGAAUACGGCACUCCAACCUUUGCAUCUGUAUACAAAAACAAUUCAUACCCAUGCAUAAGAUGAUUAUCAGCUAUUGGUGUAGGGAUAUCCAAGAAUUCUUCCUUUGUUAGAUCAAAAGCAGUGAUGCACUCGUGUUUUUGUUUUGAACCAUUUACAAUUCCUUUUUAAUAAUAUGAUUUUAAUACAUCUUAAAUUACAAUAUGAAUAAAACCAAGUUAUUAAAUAACAUAAAAUAAUAAAUAAAAUUAAUAAUUUUCAUUGAUUCUAUUUUUUAUUUUGUAUGUCCUCCAUAGAAAAUGUAGCUUUCUAAUAAAAUUAAUAUUAUGAAUGAUUUUUAAAUUAUAAUAAAAUAUUUAAUAUGAUAAUUAAAUUUAAAAAAUUUUUAAUAUGAUAUUUGAAUUAAUCACAUUAAAGAUAAAUAUCAAAUUAAUUAAUAAAUUUAUAAUUUAAAUAUCAAAUUAAAAAAUUUUAAAGUUUAAAUGUAAUAUUAAAUAUUUUAUUAUAAUUUAAAAUAAUUCAUAAUAUUUAUUUUUAUAAUUUUUUUUGGGUAUGCUCUGCUCGAUCUUAUGCUACAUCUUUAUAUAAAGGGACCUUUUUCCACCAUUAAAAAGUUUUGAGUGUGAACUGAACCCUUUUUAGCAAAGGAUUAAUUUUACGUUGAUGAAAAUAUUAGAGACAUGCCUUAAAGGGCAGUAAUGUUUUUUAAUUUUUUUAAAUAUUUCCUGAUUCUACCUUAUUUUCCUCUAUUUUCUUGAAAACUCUUCAAAAAUUAAUUAUAGAUGAUGUUAGAUCCAUCGGUUAAACCAAUCAAUCAAACUAGUUAGACAAGUUAAAUCAAUGACAGGAGAUUUUGAUUAUUGGUCUAAUUUAAAACAUUGUGUCUAUCAAGUUGGACUGAUAAGAAAUCGGUUUGAUUAUUUUGAUUAAUAUUUAGUAUUAUUAUUUUUUUAAAGUUAAUCACAAUUUGAAUUGAUUUUUUUAAAUUGAAUUAAUUUGAAUUGAAUUUUAUUGAUUAGUUUUAAUUUAUUGAUUUGUAAAAUUUUAUUUAUUAUUAUUGUCAUCUUAUUUCUAAAAGGGAAUAUUAACUUAUAUCACUAUAAUUUUUUUUAAUUUUAUAUUUUUUUAAUUAUUGAUUUUAAUUAAUUUUAAAAAUGAUAUUAAAUUAUUUUUUUAUUUAUCUAUUUCAUCUUUGAAUCAAUUCAAAUUAAUGAUUAAAAAAAUAUGAAACUUUUUUUAUGUAACUUGAUCUUUCUUUAUUUUAAAAGAAAAAUUAUUUUUAUUUUAUAAAAUAAUAACAUUUAUAUAAAAAUUAAUAAAAAUAUAAUUAUGUUCUAUUUAAAUUUUUUAAUUUAAUGAAUCAAAAAUCAUUUGAGUCAAAUUAAAAUAUUUAUUCGAUCUGAAUCAAAUAAAAAAAUUCCUUAUAAGUUUUAAUCGAUUUUUGAUUUAUCAAUUCUUUGAAAAGGUUUUCGGUUUCUUUAUUUUUUUUUCCCCAGCCUUCCUGGCAGGAGCUUUGUUCUAACAAAAAUAUGUUAUAUAUUUUGAAAAAAAUUUGAAAUUAACUAAUCGUUAGGUUGCUGGGGUCGAAACCGUGUCCCAUGAGUAAAGGUUUUUUAUUUUACAUAAUUAGCGUAUUUUUAAUUUUUUCGUGCCUUCCAAAGUCCAAAACAAUCAGGCCCAAACUGAUUAUCCUUGUUUGUGCUCUUUACAGAGUCCAGUGUUCUAAAACAGAAAACCAAGCCUUUAUGGCAGUAGUUUCAACUGCUCAUUCAACUGCCUCCCUUUUGCACCACAUAAAUGGUUUCAAACGCUUCACUUUCUUCUUACCCUUUUCUUCUUCUUCUGUUGCUGCUUCUUUGUCCACUAUGAAAAAAUGAAGACAACCAGUGGCUUCCUCAGUGCUAGAGCUUGGUGGAAUCAGAAUUGCUAAAGAUGGUAAAAAAUUGCUACUUUUAUGAACUUGGACUUUGCUGUUAUAUGAUUUUGUUGACUUUUUCACGAACUGAGCCAUUUCAGUAUUUGCAGAUAUAGCAUUUUGACUAUGACUAGUAAAUUGUUAAGAGUAAUGGGUAUUUUAUCCCCUGUUUAAAUCUGGGUUGGCAAAGGUUAUUUGCUUUUAUGUGUUGCUGCUUUCUUAAAUAUGCCCUUUGUGUGUGUUCAAGUUGUAUUUGGUAAGAAAGUUCAAUUUAUGGUGUUUUGAUUUGGUAUGUUUUGGAACGGAAGAUGUAUAUAAGGUGAUUAGUCUAGGUAGAUUACACCUUUCUUGGAGUAUCAUGAAUUGAUUGAAAGUGUCAGCAAUUGAAAUCUAUUGUUGAGUUUUUUGGUUUGAAAAUUGGCAUGGUAUAUGCUUUGAUAUUUUGUUAUUGGUGAAAUUUGAUUCAUCACUUUCUGUGUUUUCAUAAUUUAUGAAUGAUUUAGUAUUGUUUGGAUGGUGGGAUUUGUAGAUGUGGUGAGGGAUGAUCCAACAAACAGUGUUCCGGACACAAUUUUUUCAAAACAUGGAAUGCAGCUCCAUAGAAGGAAUAACCAGUCUCUUGGGAUUCUGAAGAAUGGAAUGAUAUAUGAGUCUUUUGAUAUUAAUUACUCAAACAUUUUUAUAAGUUUGGUGAUCUCUGCCCAAUUGUUUCAGUAAAACAGGUACAAUGUUUGUCCACUAUUGCCGNNNNNNNNNNNNNNNNNNNNNNNNNNNNNNNNNNNNNNNNNNNNNNNNNNNNNNNNNNNNNNNNNNNNNNNNNNNNNNNNNNNNNNNNNNNNNNNNNNNNNNNNNNNNNNNNNNNNNNNNNNNNNNNNNNNNNNNNNNNNNNNNNNNNNNNNNNNNNNNNNNNNNNNNNNNNNNNNNNNNNNNNNNNNNNNNNNNNNNNNNNNNNNNNNNNNNNNNNNNNNNNNNNNNNNNNNNNNNNNNNNNNNNNNNNNNNNNNNNNNNNNNNNNNNNNNNNNNNNNNNNNNNNNNNNNNNNNNNNNNNNNNNNNNNNNNNNNNNNNNNNNNNNNNNNNNNNNNNNNNNNNNNNNNNNNNNNNNNNNNNNNNNNNNNNNNNNNNNNNNNNNNNNNNNNNNNNNNNNNNNNNNNNNNNNNNNNNNNNNNNNNNNNNNNNNNNNNNNNNNNNNNNNNNNNNNNNNNNNNNNNNNNNNNNNNNNNNNNNNNNNNNNNNNNNNNNNNNNNNNNNNNNNNNNNNNNNNNNNNNNNNNNNNNNNNNNNNNNNNNNNNNNNNNNNNNNNNNNNNNNNNNNNNNNNNNNNNNNNNNNNNNNNNNNNNNNNNNNNNNNNNNNNNNNNNNNNNNNNNNNNNNNNNNNNNNNNNNNNNNNNNNNNNNNNNNNNNNNNNNNNNNNNNNNNNNNNNNNNNNNNNNNNNNNNNNNNNNNNNNNNNNNNNNNNNNNNNNNNNNNNNNNNNNNNNNNNNNNNNNNNNNNNNNNNNNNNNNNNNNNNNNNNNNNNNNNNNNNNNNNNNNNNNNNNNNNNNNNNNNNNNNNNNNNNNNNNNNNNNNNNNNNNNNNNNNNNNNNNNNNNNNNNNNNNNNNNNNNNNNNNNNNNNNNNNNNNNNNNNNNNNNNNNNNNNNNNNNNNNNNNNNNNNNNNNNNNNNNNNNNNNNNNNNNNNNNNNNNNNNNNNNNNNNNNNNNNNNNNNNNNNNNNNNNNNNNNNNNNNNNNNNNNNNNNNNNNNNNNNNUGAAAAAAUUUUAUAUAUGUAAACAGAUUAUAGAUUCAAAUAAUUGAUACAGAUUAUAGAUCAGACAUAAAUAGAUCAGAUAAUAUAUCAAAUAUUCAAUUAUUUUCCAUCCAUCAUCAUUCCUAAACGGAAUAUCAAGGGAGAAGCAAUCAAUCAAAUCUAAUUGAAUGGAUGGGAAGGUGAAGCAAUGUCUAAAGCUAAGCUCCUAUCUCCCAUUAUUUCAUCCGACUUGACAUCUAUAUACCAGCGAAAUUUGAAUGCGUGGAAACCCAGUUUCAGCACUUUCACUUUGUUGGCCGGAUGUUUCCUGCAUGCUUUCAUCUUUGCCUUCGUUUCAUUUCGUUCAUACUUUUGCUUUAGAUUUUCAGGUUAACCGGGCAGUAUGUUUUUGUAGGAAUACAUAAUAAGAAAUAAAAAGGGGGAAUAAAAGAAAGAAUAUAGUGAUAAAGAUUAAUUUACAAAAGCAAAACUAUUAGCGUUAUCAUCAUUGAAACCCAUUAUUAAAAUUCAAAAUGGACAAGCAAUAACAAUGUUUGUCUUCCACCUAUUUUGAUUCAACUUUUACAAAAAAGGUUUAAACUCAUGAUUUGUACAAACACGUGGUUGGAAAAACACAUUUGAACCUAUCUCUUGAUAUCAAGGGAGAUAUACAGCUACAAUAACAGCAUGCAAUAGGAAGUACUUGUCUAUAAAUAUCUGUAUGCAAAUCUCAAACUCCACAAUCUUCCCUUCAUUUUUUUUUUUUUAAAGAGAGCCAACAAAACAUGAAGAACUUUCAUAUCCUAAUAUCACUCAUUUUUCCUACCUUGUUUCUCUUCUCAUGCUCUGCAUCUAUUGUGCUAUCUUUUUCCCCUCCUCAUACUGAUCUCCAAAACCGGUGCCUUAAUGACCAAAAAUCUGCUCUGUUGCAAUUGCACCAUGAUCUGUACUAUGCCCCAAAUUUUACUUUCUCUUCCAAAGUUGAGCUUUGGGAUCCCAACACUGAUUGUUGCUCUUGGAAAGGAAUUACAUGUGAUGCUCUAGGUCAUGUGAUUGGGCUUGACCUCAGUUACAAAAAUCUUUCGGGCAACUUUCACUCCAUUUUCAAUCUUCAUCAUCUUCAAUGCCUUAAUCUUGCUGGAAACAAUUUUAAUACUACUCUGUUUCAGUAUGAGUUUGAUAGAUUCCCAAAUUUAACUCAUCUCAACCUUUCAAACUCAUGUUUCCUUGGUCAAAUUCCAGUGGGCAUUUCAUACUUAACCAGGUUAGUCUCUCUUGAUCUAUCUAAUCAAGAUUCUUGCUAUCAACGGUAUAACCAAGUUCUCGGUCCAUUCUACUUGUUCUACCUCUAUCCACAGCCUUUUGACCUUCAACAACCUCUUAAACUAGAAAACCCAAACUUUAAGACAUUAAUCCAAAAUUUAAGACCUCUUACAGAGCUCUACUUGGAUAGUGUGAACAUUUCAGCUCAAAGUACUAAAUGGUGUGAAACCACCUCUGUAGUACUUCCUAACCUGCAUGUGUUAAGUUUGUCGAAUUGUGGUUUGACAGGUCCAUUUUGCUCUUCACUCUCAAGACUUCCUUUUCUUUCCAAACUUUUCCUUGGUGGGAAUUCGAUCUCUUAUUUGCCUCUCAAUUUCUUUGAAAUUUCCUCUCGUUUGGUUUCUCUCAAUUUAGUGAAUUGCAAUUUGAGUGGGCAUUUUCCAACAGAGGUUUUCUUAUUGCCAAUAAUACAAAGCAUUGACAUUUCAGAAAAUGACAAUCUUGAAGGUCAGUUGCCAGAAUUUCCAUUAAAUAAUGCUUUACGAAUCUUAAAGAUUUUUUCUACAAAUUUCAGUGGAAAAUUGCCAGAAACAAUUGGUAAUCUCAAGUUCUUGACAACUUUAGAUCUCCGUUUUUGCAAUUUCUUUGAACAAAUUCCAUCAUCAACUGCCAAUCUUACUAACAUUGUGGAGCUGAAAUUAGGAUAUAAUAAUUUCAGUGGUUUAACCCCUCCAUUUCAUAGAUUAGGAGUUCCAAAUCUUUCAUGUCUUGAUUUGACAGAGAACCACCUCUCUGGCUCAAUUCCUUCUUCUUUAUUUACUCUCCCAUCAUUGCAUACCCUGUUUCUUUGGAGAAAUCAAUUGAUUGGUGAAAUUGGUGAGUUCCCGAAUGCAUCUUCUUCAUUGAUUGAAGCAUUGUAUUUAGGCUACAAUAGCUUUAGCUCCGUGAAGCUUGACAUGUUCUUCCAACUCAAGAACUUAAGGUUUCUUGACCUUUCCAAAACGAGCUUGUCAAUUGAAAGCAACAUCACAAGCCUUGCUUUUCCCCAAUUAGAGGAGCUAUACCUAAAUUCAUGUAACCUUACUGAAUUUCCAGAAUUCAUCAAAACUCAAGAUAAGUUGGCUUUUCUAGGUCUUUCUAACAACCAAAUCCAUGGUUUUGUGCCUAAUUGGUUAUGGAAGACCACUCUUUUAGGGUUAGACCUUUCUUUCAAUGCGAUUGAUUUUUCAAAAGAGUUUCCUUUUGGUGACGCAAACUCCUCUUUUCCAAUGUUGAGUUUCUUAUAUUUAAAAUUCUGUAACCUAAGUAUGUUUCCAGAGUUUUUAAAGAGUCAAACUAGUUUAGAAUAUCUAGACCUUUCAAAUAAUAAAAUAAGUGGUGCAGUACCAAAUUGGGUGUGGAAGAAACGUUUGUGGUAUUUGGAUCUUUCUAACAAUUCUCUCUCAUUUUUGGACCAAUUUUCACUAAACCAAUCUCUAACUUCUUCACAUGGCUCUUUAUCCAGACCCAUUUGCAAUUUGAGUCAACUUGUGAUCUUUAAUGCAUCCUUUAACAAAUUAAGCGGGCCAAUCCCAAGUUGCUUGGGCAACAUCAGUUCUCUCGACACUUGGAUCUACAAAAAAAUAAUUUCAAUGGCAGCAUACCAGAUUUUGCAAAAGCGACCCAAUUAUAUUGGCUUCAACUCAAUGAUAAUAAAUUGGAAGGGAAGUUGCCAAGGUCAUUAGCCAAUUGCACAAUGCUCCAAGUUUUAAACCUUGGAAACAAUACUCUGCAUGACACAUUCCCUUUGUGGUUGAGAAAAUUGCCGGCGUUGAUGGUCCUUGUAUUGCGAGCAAAUAGGUUUUAUGGUCCAAUUAAACAUGUGAAAAAUUGUUUUCAAGACUUGGAUGUACUUGACAUUGCUUUCAAUAAUUUUUCUGGUCAAUUACCAAUUGAAUUCUUUCAAGCCCCUCAACUAAGGUCACUCAAAAUUGGUGGGAAUAAACUGAAAGGAAAGUUGCCGAGGUCAUUAGCCCAUUGCAAAAAGCUUGAAGUUUUGGACGUUGGAAAAAAUAUGAUACAAGACACAUUUCCUUUUUGGUUGGUGAAAUUGCCUUCUUUAAAGGUUCUUGUACUAAGAGCAAAUAGAUUUUAUGGUCCGAUUAAAAUUUCUGAGGAUGAAAAUGCUUUCCUAGAGUUACACAUACUGGACCUCGCUUCCAAUAACUUUUCAGGUGAGUUACCUGUUGGAUUUUUUCAAUCUUUGAAGGCAAUGAAGAUGAUGAUUGAUGGCAAAAAAAGUAAGCCAGAUUACAUUGGAGAUGAUUACUACCAGGACUCUGUGACAAUUGUGAAUAAAGGGUUUGAACUUUUUUACCAGAAAAUUUUAACCAUCUUUGCUUGUCUUGACUUUUCCAAUAAUAGUUUCCAUGGGAAAAUACCAGAAGAAAUACAAAACCUCAAGUCACUCAAAGUGCUAAACUUGUCCUACAACAGCUUCCUUGGACCAAUUCCUUUAGCACUUGGAAACUUAACUCAACUUGAGUCUUUGGACCUCUCCCAGAACAAACUCUCCGGAAAGAUUCCUCUACAGCUUACAAGCCUAACAUUUCUUGCAGUAUUGAAUCUCUCUUACAACCAUCUUGAGGGAACCAUACCACAAAGCUACCAAUUUGGUACAUUUUCAAACGAUUCUUUCAAAGGGAACCCAAGAUUGUGUGGGCCUCCUUUGACAAAGAAAUGCAAUGAAGUUGGUCUCGGAAUGCCACCCCAUAAGGAAGAUCAAGAUUCAUGGGUAGAUGGUAUAUCUGUUUGGAAAAUCAUAUUGAUUGGUUAUGGAUGUGGUUUGGUGAUUGGGUUGUCUAUUGGAUAUACAGUGCUGAAUGAGAUGGGAAACAAAUGGAUGGAUAGGUUUACAUGGAAUCGGAAUAAAAAAUGGAGAAGAUCUUCUAGGUGACUCCAUCAAAAUUCAAGUUUCAAAUUCAUUUGGUAAGCAUUCUAGAAUACUUAAUAACUCAAAAGUUUUCUUAUUGAUUCUUUCAGCUGUAGUUAAUUGCCUAAACAAAUAAAAUUAUUUAAAUACUCUCUUACAUUAUAAGUGUGCUAUAUAUAUAUAUGCCCUAAUUGAUAUUUAACUAAAGUGAUUACAUUUGAAAUUUAAUUCAAGAAGGUUUCAACUUUGGACGUCUUAUUCCCUUUUUAAACUUGGCAUUGCUUUUAAAACUAAAAGCAAAAAUUGCCUGCAAACUAGGAUAUGUCCUUUGAAUUUCUAACCUCAUUUUAUAAAUGACAAUAAUGAGUUUCCAAGUUAACAAUUUGUAAAAGACAUGUGGGUGACUGGUAUUUUGAGUUAGAUUGGGCUGUCAGUCAUCUUAAGAGCAAAGCAAAGCUUUGGCGCCUAUUGUCCUUAAUUAGAUUGGCGUGGGAUGCUCAUAUAUAUUUUAUUUGGCAGGAGCACAAUCAAGGGAAGUUUGGCAGGCCAUCUAAAGAUAUAGAAGCUAUUGUUUCAACUAUCAGAAGUUCCUUUUGGCUUAGUUCAAUAACAAGAUUGCAGUCUCCAGUUCCACGCUUCCUCUUCAACAACAGAAAUUGUGUCUGAAUGUUUUUGGCUUGGUGUUACGGUACUUGUGUCUCGGUUCUUUCUCUUCUGCUCACCAAAGAUGAUUGGCAGUAUGUCCGGUUGUAUUGUGCUUGUCUUCUGUUCUGUCUAUGGGUGGUGUUUACUGCUGAGUUAUGGGUUCCCAUGUUGUUCACCCUAUUGUGUAACUCUGUUUUAUAAUAAUUUCUGGCUUAGCAAAAGAAAAAUGUGUCUGAAUUGGGACUGGUUCCUUAAUGUUGCUUCGUUUGAUACUUUGCAAAAGUUAGAUUGUUCUUGGACAUUUGUAGCGUAUUGAUAGCUUACAGUUUACUUGUAGCAGGUCUACUGCUUUCUUUGGUUAAUAAAAUCAUUUAUCCAAAGAAAUUCUUAACAAAAGUCCUAUUAUCUUUUAAACUCUUCAUUAUGGUUAUACCUAAGUGAUCAUGCCGGCAGCCACAUAAUAGGUCUUACACAUGAAAGCUCAGUUUGCCACGUCGUCAUUAAGAGGUAUAAAAAGUAGAACCAGACCAGACGGGCGAUUCACUACUGAAUUCUCUUUGCUCUCUUUAACUGCUCCUUACUCUCUCUCAUUUACUUGCUUCUAAUAUACCUUACUAACUUGCAUGGGAGAAUGCCUCAAAAUAACAUUUUUGGCACACUGACUUUCUACUCUAUGACAGGUCACACAAACUCUCCUUCUCAACCUCCAGUAAAACUUUCAACUAUCAGACCAGGAAUUACAUCAACAAUAUCAAUUAUUCACCUCAACUAUUUGCAGUGCAGGAAUUUGAUAUAAGCCAUGGCAUGUACAACAAUGACUACGCCUACCAUUUCAACUGCCAAAACUAGAUGUUACAUCUCCUAACACAGAAAAAUCUUCACAGACCAAGCUCAAGCUAAGAUGCUUUAUUCCUGUAUUAACUGCUACAUCACUACAGAGAAAAAAACAACGAAAAGAAAAGAACAAAGCUUCCAGUUCCAGGUAUCAAGCUCGACAAUUCCAGACUAACUUCGAUAGUAUUUUAUUGUCCCUAACAACUAUAGAUUUGACAAUAGCGAGAAACAUUGAAAUAUUUCCUUUAUUAUUUUCUUCAACUUUAAUCCCAUAUCAUCCUUUGUUUCUUUGCUUCAGCACUCCUACAGACAAAAACAAAUGGUUUGUUGUAAGCUCUAUUGCUAUAUGAUUGAUUUGCAUGUAGAAUAGACCCUGACUAAACAAAAACAAUGAGGGCAAUACAUUCAGUAACUUAUAUAUACUCACUUCUGUAUUCCAUUGAAUCCUUUCAGUAACUUAUUCUCUAUCUAAUAGAAAAAAAACAUCAUAACUAAAUAGCCAAUAUUGACAUUGAUGUGCUAAGUGUUCUGAUAUAGCCACUAAUCCAUAAUUAAAAGAUGAAGACACGCUAUGUUUCAAUCACUCGUCAUUUUAUAGGUAGUGUUUUCUCUAGUAGUCAGCUUGAUGCUGUAAACCAGGAAGGAUGUCAAGCCUUCUGAUAUUUAGCCUAUUUUGAGUAUUAGCUCAGAAUUUAUGUUUAGAAGAUUGCUGCAAGUAAAAAGAUAUUUGAUGACUUAGAGGUUGCCAAAAGCCACAUUGGACAGAGUGAUUAUGCGUAUAUGAAGACUUUACCGCUAGAGGCUUUCUCCUACAACUGUCCUCAUGCAGCCCUAAGUUCUUGCUCAUUUGAAUCCUUCUCUAACUAGAAAUGUAAGUAUCAACUAGAAAAAUAUUUUGUUCUUAUGAAUUCGGUCAUUUGAAAAUUUUACAGGGAAAAAAGGAAACAAAAAAGAUAACUAUUUCUUGAGUUUAAGUUUAGGUUUGCUAGCUAAUUUCACUUUUUUUUUUUUUGAAUCCAGGAACUGUAUUUUUCAAGGAAGAAAACCAAUCAUUAAUGUUUUCCAUGCUUUGGACUUGGACAGCACAAAAAAUCACAGCUUCCAUUAGCCAUCCCUACCCUAUUGAAACUACCUGCAAUCCAACAUUCUUAAACUCUUUGAAGUAACAUCCUAGAUCCUACCCGUAUGUGUCAUCGGGACCUGGAUUCUGAUCUGAUCAAGCUGAAUUCUUGGUCAUGAUGAAGGUUGUGAAGUUGGAUGCUGAUUGUUGAAAAAUUAAUAUUGGAUUGCACCGCUAUCUCUAGGUAGAAGAAAUUCUACUUCAUGGGUAAAAGGCAGCAAUAGGGUUUGUUGGCAUCCUAGGAAUGCCAAUUUUGUAUAUACAUUACAAGUUCUACAAUUGUCUACUCAUUCAGUUGUUUUUGACAACUCUUGGAACUUCAUGUAAAAACCUAAUUCUUACUCUGAUUAAUACAAUCACUCAUCUCAUAAGUCAGUUGUGGAAUGACGCAGAAAAAAUGCGUACCUAAAUACUAAUGCACAUGCCUGCAGCAACAAUGAUUUUAAAGAGCUCGUCAUUCCAAAAUUCCCCCAAGCUCAAGCAGGGAAAUGGUUUCAUUUAAUAAGGUAUUCAGACAAGUGAAUCCUCCACUACAACACUAAACAAAGAAAUAAAAGUGCUCAUGGCAACAGGAAUUGAAGGAAAGCAUCAAUGUAUACGUAUCUCAUAAGCAGUAUUGAAAAUGCCAAGGGUGGGUUAGUUGCAUACAAAGCAUUCCUUAUUCUUUGCAUGAUGCUGAACAACCAAAAGAUGCAGUUGGUUAUUUUACAUUGGAAUGAGAAUAAAAAUGUAAACUAUACAGACAUGAGGCACCAAAAGUUGACGAUGUAAAGUUAAAAUAUGUCCUCUUUCUAUAGCUGAAAAACAGUUGGUCCACAUACAAUUUUCUUUGUAUGCAAGUAACCAAAAAAGUUUUGCACCUAAGCAAUGCAUUAACAACAAAUGUAACAAAAUCUAGUAGAUAUUAACCUAGCACAAAAAGGACAUUAAAAAAAUUAAUCUACAUGAAAAGGCAUAUGUGGGUACCUUUAAAGCACAAUGCUCGCAGAAGUAGUGCUUGCACUUAGUCACAACAGGAUCCACAAAAGGCUGCAGGCAAAUAAAACAUGCAAAGGGCAACGAAUCAUCAUUGUCAUCAUCACUCUGGUCUACCCCUGCCUCAUCAUCAUCAUCGCCACCCAAAGCCAGAUUUCUCUUCCUUGCUUUUUCUGCUUCUUCCCAGUCCUUCUCUAACUGCCAUCCAGACUUGUAAUCUCCACGAUCAUGCAUAAACUUACAUGAAUCUCUGUAACCACAGUAACCAGUUUCUUUGUAGUCUUUACAGAUUUAAGGCUGAUAAUCAAAUCUUGCUGAAACCCUGAUGUAGGCAGAAGCCCUAAGAGGUCCAUGUGAUCCACCAGCUUUCUCACUGGCAACUGUUUGCUCUCUUCGAAACCCAGCCUUAUGAUCCACAUAGCCAUGCAUUCCUUUAUACAACUUCUCUCCCCCAGAGCUAGUGUUUUUCCCCUUCAAAGCCUCCUUUGCUCAUUUAAGAACUUUUUCACGUAGCAUGAGCAUCUUUUGUAAACUCAGUCUCAGUUUCUAAGGUAGCUGUAGCUCUGCUAUCAUUUUGAACUUGAAUUUCUGACUCAAAUUGAAAAAUCAGUUUGUCAGAUUCUGUAUUUGAUUCAGUGGGAGCAGCACUCCUGGAGGAUCCAGUUGAAAAGCAUAACAUAAUGUCAGGCUUCAAAGCCUUCUUCUGAUUGUGCAACAGAGAUGUCCCAUUUCCGGCGUCUUCAUCUUCAACUUCAUCUUCAUUUAUUGUCCUUUUCCUCAUGUUUUUGCCCUUUGUUGGCUUCCUAAAGAAAUUGCAGACUGAAAAAUCAAAGAGCUAGCUAUACAAGUAAAUAUACAUAUACACCUUUAAAAAAGAAUAAAAAAGGGAACAAAUUUUACCUUGUUCAGAUUGUUGAGGUUCUGUUUCAAAUUGCUGAGGUUCUUUUCCUGGAUACUGCGGGCUCGCUUGAAUCUGUCAUCUUAACAGAGACAAAAGCAAAGGUUUUAUAGGUUACUUGCCUCAAGCAAGAUGAACUUCAAAUCGUUUACGACUGCUGCUUCAAUCACUUGAAAGAAGGUUUUAAACUAAGUGAGACAAAAUCCUUAUUACUAUUAAUUAAGGUAAUGAAUGAUACAAGAUUAACACACUAACUAGUGUCAUAACUAAAUUUCCAUAGAUAACAUCAAGCUUUCUCUCAUGAAAGGCUAAAUGCUCAAUUUUUUACCCAAAUCAUAAAUUUCUAUUGAUGUAAGAAAGUGAAGGAAUUAAAUUUUUUAUACUAAUCAAAUUACCGAACAAGAAGAGAUCAUCCUUUGUCAAAUACUGAGUUCACCAUUCCAACACUUAGAAAUCAAAUGUGAUCGAAAUAGUCAUAGAUUCCAUUCUUCAGAAUCCCAAGAGGGUGUUUAUUCCUUCUGUGGAGCUGCAUUCCCAGUUUUGAAAAAAUUGUGUCUGGAACAUUGUUUGUUGGAUCGUCCCUCACCACAUCUACAAAUCCCGCCAUCCAAACAAUACUAAAUCAUUCAUAAAUUAUGAAAGCACAGAAAGUGAUGAAUCAAAUUUCACCAAUAACAAAAUAUCAAAGCAUAUACCAUGCCAAUUUUCAAACCAAAAAACCUCAACAACAGAUUUCAAUUGCUGACACUUUCAAUCAAUUCAUGAUACUCCAAGAAAGGUGUGAUCUACCUAGACUAACCAUCUUAUAAAUAUAUUCCAUUACAAAACAUAUCAAACCAAAACACCAUAAAUCCAACUUUCUUAUCAAAUACAACUUGAACACCCACAACACAAAGGGCGUAUUUAAAAAAGCACCAACGCAUAAAUGCAAUUAACCUUUGCCAACCCAGAUUUAAACACGGGGUAAAAUACCCAUUACUCUUAACAAUUUACUAGUCAUAGUCAAAAUGCUAUAUCUGCAAAUACUGAAAUGGCUCAGUUCAUGGAAAAGUCAAUAAAAUCAUAUAACAGCAAAGCCCAAGUUCAUAAAAAGAGCAAUUUGUUGCCAUCUUUAGCCAUUCUGAUUCCACCAAGCUCUAGCACUGAGGAAGCCACUGGUUGUCUCCACUUUCAUAGUAGACAGAGAAGCAGCAACAGAAGAUGAAGAAAAGGGUAAGAAAAAAGUGAACCGUUUGAAACCAUUUAUGCGGUGAAAAAGGGAGACAGUUAAAUGAGCAGUUGAAACAACUGCCAUAAAGCCUUGGUUUUCUGUUUCAGAGUACUGGAUUCUGUGAAGAGAAGAAACAAGGAUUAGUCAGUUUGGGCCUGAUUCGUUUGAAAGGCACGAAAAAAUUAAAAAUAUGCUAAUUAUGUUAAAAAAAAAAAAAAAAAAAACUUUACUCAUGGGACGCGCGUUCGACCCCAGCAACCUAAGUAUUAGUUAAUUUCAAAUUUUUAUCAAAAUAUAUAACAUAUUUUUGUUGGAGCAUAGCUCCUGCCAGCAAGGCUGAGGAAACAAAAUAAAGAAACCGAAAACCUUUUCAAAGAAUUGAGAAAUAAAAAAUCGAUUAAAAAUUAUAAUAAAAUUUUUUUAUUUGAUUCAGAUCAAAUAUUAAAUAUUUUAAUUUGAUUCAAAUGAUUUUUUAUUUAUUAAAUUAAAAAUUUUUCAAUCGAACUUAAUUUUAUUUUUAGUAAUUUUUAUAUAAAUUUUAUUAUUUUAUAAAAUAAAAAUAUUUUUUAUUUUAAAAUAAAGAGAUCAAGUUACAUCAAAAAAAUUUUAGAUUUUUUUAAUCAUUAAUUUCAAUUGUUCAAAGAUUAAAUAGAUAAAUAAAUAAUUUAAUCUCAUUUUUUAAAUCAAUUAAAAUCAAUAAUUAAAAAAAUAUAAAAUUAAAAAAUUUUAUAGUGAUAUAAAUUAAUCAUUCCCUUUAAAAAAUAAUAUGAAAGUAAUAGUAAAUAAAUUUUAAAUAUCAAUAAAUUAAAUUAAAUCAAUAAAAUUCAUUUCAAAUUAAUUCAAAUUAAAAAAAUCAAUUUAAAUUUAGAUUAACUUUUGAAAAAUAAUAAUACUAAAUAUUAAUAAAAAUAAUCAAACGAAUUUCUUAUCGGUCCAACUUGCUAGACACAAUGUUUUAAAUCGGACCAACAACCAAAACCUCUAAUUAUUAUUUUAACCUGUCUGAUUGGUUUGAUUGAUGGAUCUAACAUCAUCCAUAAUUAAUUUUUGAAGAAUUUUCAUAAAAAAUAGGGGAAAAUAAGGUAGAAUCAGAAAAUAAUUAGAAAAAUAAAAAAAGAUACUGCCCCUUUAAGGCAUCGUCUCUAAUAUUUUCAUCAACGUAAAAUUAAUCUUUCGCCACAAAAAAUUUAGUUCACACCCAACUUUUUAACGGCGGAAAAAGAUCCUUUCAUAUAAAGCUGUAGCGUAAGAAGCAUACCCAUAAAAAUAUUAUGAAAAAUUAAUAUUAUGAAUAAUUUUAAAUUAUAAUAAAAUAUUUAAUAUUAUAUUUAAAUUUUAAAAUUUUUUAAUUUGAUAUUUAAAUUAUAAAUUUAUUAAUUAAUUUAAUUUUAUUUUUAACAUGAUUUAGUUCAAGUAUCACAUUAAAAUUUUUAAAAAUUUUAGUAUCAUAUUUAACAUUUUGUUAUAAUCUAUGCAAGCCAUACAAAAUAAGGAAUGGGAUCAAUGAAAAUUAUUAAUUUUAUUUAUUAUUUUAUGUGAUUUAAUAAUUUAGUUUUAUUCAUAUUGUAAUUUAAGAUGUAUUAAAAUCAUAUUAUUAAGGAAUUGUAAAUGGUUCAAAACAAAAACAUGAGUGCAUCACUGAUUUUGAUCUAACAAAGGAAGAAUUCUUGGAUAUGCCGACACCAACAUCAUCCUAUAUAUGGGUAGCAAUUGUUUUUUUGUAUACAGUGUCGGAUGCAAAAGUUGGACACAGUGUUCAUAAACACUUCAAGUAUCAGAAAAUAAAAAAUAUAUAUAUUUUAAAAGAAACUUUUUCUAUAGUCAUCUUUAAAAUUUUUCUCUUAAGAUAAUUUUUGUCAAAAAAAUUUAUAAAUUUGUCGAAAUAAAUUUAAUAGUAUUAACAGUUAUUCUUGAUUGAAUGAUUAUUUAAUUAUUAUAUAAUUAUAUAUUUGAUAAUAUUAAUAAUAAUGUAAUUAUAAUUUUUUUAAAUAUAAGAACUUUGAAUAAUUGUAAUAACAUAACAAUAUAUUAUUUUAAAAUUAUAUUUAUAAUUUUUAAAAUAUAUUAUAAGUAAACACUUAAAAUAAAAAUACAUUACGGCAUAAAGAGAGAGAGAAAGAGGAUAUCUUUGCAUGGUGCAUAUUGCACUAACAUAUGAAAGUUUGGGUAAUGGAAAUUUACGGCCAAAAAUACUCGUGAAAUCGAAUCACUUUAACCUUCAAUUAUGAUUGUAAGUUGAAACCAUCGAAUUUAUUGAAAUUUCCAAAGAGUGAAGAAGCUUUAUUUUUCUUUUCUAUAAUCGUACUUUCAUUAGAAUUAGAUCCGUGAUUUUUCAAUAGAUUAUUUUUUAUUUUUUAAAUUAUAUCUUAAAUGUAAGUGAAGUAAAAUUUUUAUAUUAAAUUUUAAUAGAUGAUAAUAUAUAGACAAAUGUAAGUAUAUAUAUAUAUAUAUUUUUUUUCAUAUUAAUUAUAACUUAAUUAUAUAAAUAUAAUUUUUUUAUUAAAUUAUGAUAUUAAAUAAUAUUUUUAUUAAUACAAUAUAUAUAAAUAUAAAUAUAAUAAAUAAUAAAAUAUAUUCUUUUAUAUAUCCAAAGGAGGGUCAAGACAAAAUAUAUCAAACCUAAUUUCAACUCAACCUAAAUUAUUUAAAGAAAUAAAACUUAACUCAAUCUUUAUUUAAAUAUAUAUAUAUAUAUAUAUAUAUAUAUAUUGAUUGGAUUGUGAUAAACCGAAGCCUAUCAAAUAUAAGUUGUUUUGUUAUUUUUACAUCUAUUGACUUUUUUCUUUAUAACAUUUAUCUCAUAAAAAAAUUUUAAAAAAUGAAAAUGACCAAAACAACCAAAUGGGGUGACAAAUAAAUUUAUUAAAUUAAAAUAUUAAAUAAUAUAUUUUCAAUAAAAAUACAUAUAUAAAUAUAGAAUGAAUAAAUAAUAUAUAUAUAUAUUUAUACAUACCUAAGCUAAAGCAUAACACUAAAAAUCUUAUUGUUUCUCAAGCUUGAUUUAAAAAAAAGUUCGAACCAAUUAUUUUGAAUUAAAAGAAUGUAAACCAAUUGAAUUGGGACCAAUUGAAACCUAUCAUGUACAGGUUAUUUUGUUGUUUCUAUUUCAAUUAACUUUUUUAUUAUAAAUUUAUCUGAUAAAAAAUUAAAAAUUAAAAAAUUAAAAGAAAAGGGAAACCCCAAAAAUCAAAAGUUUUAAAAAAUAAUAAAAAAAAAAAGAUAGAGAUAUCAUGUGAACAACAAGACGAAGUAAAACACUUUAAAUUCAUUUUCAACUCAACUCUAUUUAAAAAAAAAAGAUUGAUCCAAUCUUGAUUUAAAAAGAAUGCACCUAUAUAGAUUGAUGCGAAUUAAAAUCAAUCAAAUAUAUAUUAUUUUAUUAUUUUUAUUUCUAUUGACUUUUUUUACAAAAUUUAUUUCAUAAAAAAAUUAAAUAAAAAGUAAAUUUAAAAAAUUUAAAAAAUAAAGAAAAAAUAAAAUUUUGGAGAAAGGGAGGGGUGGCACGUGAGCACCCUCUCCUUCUUUCAUUCUUUAUAACAUUAAUUAUAUAAAUUAGAAGUCACAUGAUUCAAAAAGUAUGAGUAUGGCAUUUUCUCCUAUUUCCUACUCUAAUCUCAAUAUUUGAUUUAGUGCAUGAUGUUGCUAUUUUGUAUUUUUUUUUUUCCUUCUUGGAUUGCUCUCAUGAAACUUCAUGGAAGUGAAGAUAGAGUUUCAAUAGCUGGCAGCCAAACCCAACUCUAAUGACAGCUGCAUGCCCUUUUUUUCUUGUAAAGGAAAAGAAUACGCAUGCAUUAUUGUUGAUGGAAACGGAUCAACACUGAACGACAAUUGCUAUGUGAUAUACUAUUUGUUCUGGGAUCCGAAGGCUUACCUUUCAUCACCCUUAAUUACUUCAAUAAUAAAUGGUAAAUGAUCAAUUAAUCGUCUUUCUUUAUACUAAAACAGUUUUAUAUGAAAUCAACAAUUUGUAAUCUUUUGGAUCAUUCAAGCUCCCAUUUAAUUAUUAAAUCAUUUAAAUAUCAUACUUGUCAAUUUUUUAUCUUUUAAAGACUUCAUUUAAAAGAAAUAAUGACAGCAACAUAUUUUAUACGUAUGUUGAAAAUGAUAUCAAGACUUUGCCGCUAGAGGCUUUCUCCUACAACUGGCCUUCUCAUGCAGCCCUAAGUUCUUGCUCUUUUGAAUCCAUCUCUAAAUAGUAAUGUAAGUAUCAACAAGAAAACUAUUUUAUUCUCAUGAAUUCGGUCAUUUCAAAAUUUUACGGGGAAAAAAGAAAGCAAAAACUCAUGCUAAAAAAGAAAAUUCUAGAGGGAAAAAAGGAAACAAAAGGUUAUGUUAAAAAAUUGAAGUCUAUACGAUUGCUAAGAGCUAAAGAUUACUAUUUCUUGAGUUUAAGUUUAGGUUUGCUAUCUAAUUUCAUUUUUUUUUGUUUGUCUUGAAUGCAGGAACCGUAUUUUUCCGGGAAGAAAAAUGAUCAUUAAUGUUUUCUAUGCUUUGGACUUGGAUAGCACAAAAAAUCACAGCUUCCAUUAGCCGUCCCUACCCAAUUGAAACUACCUGCAAUCCAACAUUCUUAAACUCUUUGAAGUAACAUCCUAGAUCCUACCAGUAUGUGUCAUCGAUACCUGGAUUCUGAUCUGAUCAAGCUGAAUUCUUGGCCGUUAUGAAGGUUGUGAAGUUGGAUGCUGAUUCUUGGAAAAUUAAUACUGGAUUGCACCGCUAUCUCUAGGUAGAAGAAAUGCUACUUCAUGGGUAAAAGGCAACAAUAGGAUUUGUUGGAAUCUUAGGAACACCAAUUUGUAUAUACAUUACAAGUUUUACAAUUGUCUACUCAUUCAGUUGUUUUCGACAACUUUUAGAAGUUCAUGUAAAAACCUAAUUCUUACACUGCUUAAUACUAUCACUCAACUCGUAAGUCAGUUGUGGAAUGACGCAGAAAAAAUGCUUUCCUAAAAACUAAUGCACAUGCCUGCAGCAACAAUGAUUUUAAAGAGCUCAUCACUGCAUAAUCCAAAAUUCCCCCAAGCUCAAGCAGGGAAAUGAUUUUGUUUAAUAAGUUAUUCAGACAAGGGAAAUGAUUUUAAAGGGCAAUGAAUCGUCAUUGUCAUCAUCACUCUGGCGUACCCCUGCCUCAUCAUCAUCAUAAUCGCCACCCAAAGCCAGAUUUCUCUUCCUUGCUUUCUCUGCUUCUUCCUGGUCCUUCUCUAACUGCCAUCCCGGCUUGUAAUCUCCACGAUCAUGCAUAAACUUACAUGAAUCUGCGUAAUCACAGUAACCAGGUAAAGGAAAACCUGCGAUUUGGGUCAGGUCUAAGCCGGUCGACCCGCAGAUCUGCUUCGGGUCUAGGCGCGGAUCCUGGGUGCCAAAACGGCGUCAUUUGCUGCUUCUCUCUCUGGCUAAAUUUUCUCGUCCCUCUCUCUAGAAUUCCCGCCAGAAAACCCAAAUUUUCCCAGAAAAACCCAGAACCCAAAAGAAUUAAACCAACCCAGAAAUCAAACCAAAUCUCCAAAACUAUCCAAAAAUCAAAACAACUCUUCAAGAACACCAAAAAUUCAAACUAAGAACAGAAAUUUUUGCUUGAGCUGUUAUAUUGCGUACUAUACUAUUUACUUAGUGCUUGGUGCAUGUGCAUUGGUGCAUGUGCAUUGAUUACAGAUUAGAGUUCUUUAUAUAAGCAUUAAAGGAUUUCUCUUCAAAUUUUAUUCUCUUUGUAAUCUUUUCUUUUUUGCAUGAAUUGGGGGCCAAGAAUUUCCGUAAGCAGUUAAUUAUUAAAUUUGAAAGAUCUAAAACCAAAUCUACAGGUUUCUGAAAAAUCCCACGUUUUUGUAUUUCUGACUUUCUCUUUUUUUUUUUUUCAAAUAGCAAAAAAAAAAUCGAGAAUAAUAUAAAAAAGUAAAAUUAAAACUAAAAACCAAAAAUAAAAAUAAAAUCAUAAAAAUAAAUUGAAAACAUUUUCAGACUUUUAAUUUUGAACCUAAAGUUCCAUUUUACAAUUAAAACCCCAAUUAUACAAUUUUACAAUCAAAUUAAAAUUCAAAACUCAAGGAAUAUGAAAAAAAAUCUUUAAAAAAUUUUUGAGAUAAAAUGGAAUUACUACAAUAUUGAUGCAUAUUCAAAUUGUUCAAUACUUAAAAACUGAAAAAAUAAAAAGUAAUAGUAUGUCAUGUUGGGUUAAAAAUAAUCUAAUGCCUGCUUAAAUAAUCUAAUGCAUACUUAACUUCCUAUCAUUUCUGGCCCUUAUGGAUUUCAUAGCAUACUCGGUGUCAUAAAAUUUAAGCCCAAAUAUGGAUUCAUCGUCACCUUUGUUUUUUGUUUUUAUUUAAUAUAUAUAUUUAAUAAUUGAUUUUAAUUUUAUUAUUAUUGUAUUCAAUUUUAUUAUUAUAAUAAUUAAUUUUAUUUUUAUUGCUAUUUUUAAUUUCAUCUAAAUUAAUUUUAUUUUCAUUCAAAUUGUUAUUAAAAAAAAGUGAAAUCUAAAUAAUACUUAUUACUCUUUCCAUUAUAAAAAAAUAAAAUUUUUAUUUAGGUACAUAAUGCAUAAUAGAUGGCAAACGUUUAUAUAUAAAAAAGAAAUCAUGAAUUUAAGUAUAAUCAUAUUUUAUUUUAACUCUUUUUCAAAAUUUAUAUUAACAUUUUAAAUUUAUAUCCUUUUCUUUUAAAUUCAAAUUUCUAAACACAAUUUAAUUAAUAAAAAAUCCUCUUUCAAUGAUCAAACAACAACUAUGAAGACGCAAUCAUAAAGGAAAGAAAAACUAAUACCUUGAAAACAAAAAUAAGAAUUUAAAGCUUUAAUAAUAUUUGUUUUUCAAAAAAAUUGUAAAAAAAAAAUUCAUACAUAUAAAUAAAAUUAAUAAUCAACCAAAAAAUGCAAAAUUGGUUACCGGAUUGAUAUUGAUAGGCCAAUUGGGUCAAAAGACCCGGUUUUAUCUUACAUGAGCGGGGUUCAUUAAUACCGAAAUUCAGCUUCCCUUUGACUUUUUCCACAAAUACACAAAAUGGGCAAUUUUUUCGAAUCAUAAACUGGUUGAAGUAAGGUACACAAACAAUUAACUGAGAAAAGCAAAAUUAAAAAAAUGUUGUCAAAAGGUUUUUAAGUUAGGUGGUUUUAAUCAAAUUUUCCCCCUCUUUUUUUUUUCUUUGUCCAGGUAAAAAUUUCCUCAUGCCCAGUUUUAUUUUCAAUCUCAAAAAAUUCUUUUUUUUUUUACUGUAAAAUAUGGGUCUUUUUUUAGUUGAUUUUGUCUCCUUUUUUUUACAGUGGCACUGUAAUUCGAGAGCUGGAGCAAUUGCAGCUAAUUUUUGAAAUCCCCACAUUGGCAAAGGCAGAGUGUUUGAUUUUUCUUUUUUUUAAUUUCUUUGUUCUAUAAUCUUUUUUAGGCUUUCACUGUGUAGAAAGAUUCUAUUUUUAGCUAAGCAUAACUUUUUUAUUUCCUUAUUUGUGUUUCUCAGGCUUUAUUGUAUGUUAGUUUUGUUCUGUUUUUAUCCAUAUUUCAAUUUAUUUUAUGAUUUGAAUUGAACUACUAUGUGAAAAGGAAUAUUGAGGAUUGCCAAGUAGUAUUUUCUUUGACUAUUACUGUACACAAUCGUCAAUCUGUCAUUCAAUUGCUAGCUUUUAAAUUUGCUGCAAAAGAAUGAUUAUUGCAGUUUGAAUCUCUUGUUAUUAUGGGGAAGAAUGGGAGGGUGGUUGGAAAAGGGAAAUAAAAAUAAAAUGAAAUAGUUGGUUGGAAAGUGUUACCUUUUAUGGAGUUCUAGCUUGCAAUCAUCAUUUGUUUAAUUGUAUAUUUUGCAUUUUCCAACAAUUGAAUGGAGCGAGUUUUUGGGAUUUGCAUUUCUUUGCUUUCAAGUAUCUUGGUCUAGAUAAGCUCCGUCUGUGUUUUCUGUUUUCAAAAUGAAUUAAUAUAUGACCUAAAAGGUUCUUGAUGCAAGUUGGGAAUUGAAUGUUUAUCUGAAAAGGUGUUUAAAUUCUGAUCUUUUCUUUGUGGCAUCCAUAUUCUGCAAAGAUCUUUUGCCCUGUCUUUGUUCACCUCCUAGGUCUCAGUAUUUUAUCGGUUUGCUUAUGGUAGAAUUUGAUCUUCUUCUUGCCCAUUUUACCUUUGCCCCCACUAUUCCUCUCCUUCCUCUUUAGCCUUUGAAAUUGCAUUUUAGAGCGUUGGUUGUUAUAUUGGAUUACAAGCAUACUUAACACCAUGUUCAAGCUGCUGAUUUUUAGGUUCAACUUUCAAGUGUUAAAGUUUUAUUAAAGUUUUGAUUUCUUGUGUAAGUCUUGUUUUACCCCCUUUUUUAGAGGGAGAGGGGGUUUGGGAGAGAUAAAAAUUGCACUUAUAUUAGUGUAUAUGGAUGUAUGUAUGUCUGUAUAUGGUAUACAUAAACAUAGGUUUAAAAAAUAUGCUACAUAGGAUGUUUCUAUAAAAAAUUGUGUAAUUGCGAAAUAAAAUGUAAAUUUCAAGUACUGUGCAUACAUAAAUCAUUUCUAAAAAAAUUCUAAAAGUUAAAUUCAAUAAAAUUAGAGUAUAACUUAAUGACCAGAAACAAAUAAAACUAAAAAGGGAACCACCAAGAACAUAAAAUUACUUGUGCAAAAUUGAUGCAUUAGCAAACCAUAUGAAGUUCAUAGUUGUUUUGCCUUAUUUAGAGUCUGUUUGAUUGGGUUUUUGCUAUUUGCUUUUUGCUUCCGAAAGUAAAAAAGCAAAAAUUGCAUUUCCAUAAGCAAUAAAAUUGUGAAGAGUUAUACACAAAAUAUGUAAAUUUUUUAUGAUUAACAACAUGAUUCUACUUCUAUGUAUACUAAUUGUGUUAUAAUUGAUAUUAUAUUUUAAUUAUUUUUUCUGUUUACAUCAGUUAUGAUAUAUAUAUUUUUUACCUUUUGGUUUUCCUUUCUAGUAAAAUAUAUACGUUUUAUUCAUGUUCAUAGGGAACUUACCAGACUUCUUGACCGUGUUCUAGAAAUGCCAGUAUGUAUCGAGUUUGCUUUGAAUAUGGCAGCUAACAACAUCAGUGAAUCUUAGGUCUGUUGAUGCAAAUGAUGGCUAAUAGAUUCACUUGAAGCCUACUUAUCUAAAGAUUUUCAGAUUUUUGAAGGAUGAAAUACAGAGGUGGUGCUGACGUUAAUAAUAUUGGACAUUGAACACUGUCAAACAACAUAGAGGUGGAAAUAUACCGACUUUUUAAGGUUUCAGCGUUGGUUUUAUUUUUUGACUUCGUUCUACUUUUUUUUUUUUUUUUUUGGAAAGAUAUAUACCAACAUCUUAUGUAAAUAUGCAACUUGAUGUAGAUAAUUUGUAAUUUUGGGGAAGAGAGAGAAGGAAUGAAAUUGAGAAGAUAGCGAUUUUUCUUUGAAAUUUUGCCAUAAUGUAAAGGUGUUCUAGUCAGAUUUUCUUGAUGUUAUGAUGCUUAAGAAAUCCAGAUGCUACUGAUAUCUUGCCCCAAAAUAGUUCAUUCUUCAACUCAAUCUAUUUCAUCUGGUUUCUUUAUGGGAAUAAAAGCAUUUUCCUUAUUGGUUGCAAAAUUUUCAUUCAUUUUACCUUCAAAUUUGUCAAACAAUUAAAUUAUUAAUUGACUUGGUUAGUAUUUGUUGAACCAUAUAACUUGGAAAAAGCAAUCAGUUACUGGAGUUUUUAGAUUAUACAAGUCAGAGGGCUGUCACAAACCCUUUUACAAAAAUAUUAAAAAAUUAUAUUAAAAAAUAUUAAGAUAUGUGAUAAUUUUUUAAUAUUGUUUAUAAAAUUUAAAAGUUCUAUUAAACAUAUGUGAAGAAAUCAAAAUAUAUAAAAAUUAUUUCAUAUAUAUGAAAUUUGCAAAAGAAGAAUAUUGUCUUUUUUUUUUAUUAUGUGAGGUUGUUAGGAUUUAGACUUAAAAUAUUGAAACUAAGAGUUCUGUAUUUUACUAACAAAUUACAUGAUUAUUGACUUAUUGAAUUUUUAAAUCAAAGGAUCUCUUUAAAAUAUAUUAGCAAUAAAAAACUAAAAAGAUGCAUAUACAAUGAAAUCUAAUAGUACACUAAGAACAAAAGCACGCGAAACAAGUUGCUUAAUCAACAAAUUGAUUGGCCAAAAAAAUCAACGAAUUAAAAACUUGUUUCUUAUUUUUGUUCAAUAGUUUGAAAAAAAAAUCUAAAGAACACAUUCAUUCCCACUUCUCAAACUUGUCUAUUUUGGAAAUUGUGAUUUUGUAAUGGUGGAAUAAGAAAGAAAAAGAUAGAUCCUAUGAAUGCAUGGGUCUAAAUCAUAGUCCUUGCUUCAUACUUAGUCUUGGCAUUGCUUCCAUUUUUACUUCAAAAAAAAAAAAUGAUGUUAGCAAUUGCUUCAAUCUAAAUCAUUGAAAAGGCUAAAAUAUAACAAUAUUAAUUAAUAUACUUACUAUUCUUAGUCUGCCAAUUUAAUUGGAAGACAAAAGACAACCAUUACUGAGAAAAUUGUUAUUUUUGUCUUUUUUUAAAAGAUAGACUUACUUAAACAAACUGCUAAAAAAAAUUAUUUUUCACAGAGUAAUGAUGGGGCAAGAAGACUUAGACAUUUGCAUGAUGGGAAGACUUAAAAGUAUAAAGUAAAGACAAGACUAAAUACCAAUAAAAAAAAUCUCAUACUAUCAUUUUCUUUGUUAAUCCAAAAUUAGAAUAUCAAUUUUUUUGUAAAGUAUAAUUUUGUGAUGGGUAAUUCUAAACCAUCAUUUUUUCUCUACAUCCACCUUGUUCAAAAAUUUUUUAAGUGAAAUUACUUAUUCACUCAUUUUGUGUUAAUUUUAAAACUUUUAAAUAUGCAUUUUUGAUAAGUUAUAUAACUUACAAAUUUUUCAUAUCCGGUAAAUUAGAAAAAGUUACAUUCAAGUUUGAAAAAAAAUAGUUAAGAGAAAAUAUCUUAUAAAAAGUAUGAGAUUUUAAUUCUGUUUAUAAAAUUUUAAAUUUCUAUUAAUCAUAUGUGAUGAAAUUAAAUACAUAUAAAUUAUUUUGUAUACAUGAAAUUUUUUCGUUUGAAGAUUGUCUUUUUUUAAAAAUUUUUUUAGCAAGAUCGUCAAGAUUUGAAUUUUAAACUACUAAAACUAAGAAUUUAGCAUUUUACUAAUAGACUAUAUGGUUAUUAACUUAUUGAAUUUUUAAAUUAAAGGAUAUCUUUAAAAUGUAUUAACAAUAAAAAACCAAAAAAAUGCACAUACCAUAAAAUCUAAUAGUACAUUAGGAUCAAAAACAUGAGAAAGAAGUUGCUUAAUCAACAAAUUAAUUGGCAAAAAAAAAAUCAACAAAUUUAAAAUCUGUGUUUUAUUUUUGUUGAAAGGUUUGAAAAGAAAAUCUACAUAAUAUAUUCGUUCUCACUUCUCAAACUUGUCUAUUUUGAAAAUUAUGAUUUUAUAAUGGUGGAAUAAGAAAGAAAAUGAUAGAUAUUAUGGGAAUGUAUUGGUCCAAGUGUUAGUCUUUGCUCUAUACUUAGUUUUGGCAUCAAGCAUACAAAUGUGUCAAUAUUUUUGCCCCCAUCUUUACUUCACAAAAAUAAUCCUAGCAGUUGCUUCAGUCUAAGUCAUUAAAAAGACUAAAAUAUAAACAAUAAUAAUUAAUAUACUUAAAAUCCAUCCCUUGUGUGUCAAUUUAACUAGAAGCCAAAAGACAACUUUCAUUGAGAAAAUUGUUGUUUUUUGCUUUUUUGUCUUUUUUAAAAGUAGACUUGACUUAAGCAAAUUGCUAAGAAAAUUAUUUUCACAAAGUAAUGAUGGGGCAAGAAGACUUAGACAUUUGCAUGAUGGGAAGACUUAAAAGUAUAAAACAAAGAAAAAAUUAAAUACCAAUAAAAAGAUCUCAUACUAUCAUUUUUUUUUGUGAGUCCAAAAUUAAAAUAUUAAUUUUUUUUAUAAAGUAUUAUUUUGUGAUGGGUGAUUCUAAAUAUACCAUAAUUUUUCCCUAUAUCAAUUUUUUUUUAAUUUUUAAGUGAAAUUACUUAUUUACCCAUUUCAUUUUAAUUUUAAAGCAUCUAGAUAUAACUUAUUAGAUUUUCAUAUCCGGGAAGUUAAAAAAAAGUUACAUUUAGGUUUGGAAAAAAAAUAAUUAAGAGAAAAUAUCUUCCAUAAAGUAUGAGAUUCUAAUACCAUUUAUAAAAUUUAAAAUCUCUAUUAAUCAUAUAUGAUGAAAUUGAAAUAUAUAUAUAUAUAUAUAAAUUAUCUCGUAUACAUGAAAUUUGUGAAAAUAGAAAAUUGUCCUUUUAUUUGUAUGUGAGGUUAUUAGGAUUUGAACUUUAAACUAUUGAAAUUAAGAGUUCUACAUUUUACUAACAAACUACAUGGUUAUUUGCUCAUUUAAUUUUAAAUCAAAGAACCUCUUUAAAUUAUAUUAAUAAUAAAAAACUAAAAAAUAAAAAAAUGCACAUACCAUGAAAUCUAGUAGUACAUUAGGAACAAAAGCAUGAGAAAGAAGUUGCUUAAUUAACAAAUUGAUUAGAAAAAAAAAUCAACAAAUUAAAAACCUAUCUUUUAUUUUUGCUAAAAAGUUUGAAAAAAAAUCUAAAGAAUACAUUCACUCCCAUUUCUCAAACUUGUCUAUUUUGGAAAUUGAAAUUUUAUAAUGGUGGAAUGAGAAAGAAAAAGAUAGAUCCCAUCAGAAUGCAUGGGUUUAAAUCAUAGUCUUGGCAUCAAUCAUGCAAAUGUGUCAAUGUUUUCACCCCCAUUUUUACUUCAAAAAAGUAAUGAUGUUAGCAAUCGCUUCGGUCUAAGUUAUUGAAAAGACUAAAAUAUAACAAUAUUAAUUAAUAUAAUUAAAAUCCAUUCCCGAUCUUCCAAUUUAAUUGGAAGACAAAAGACACCCAUCAUUGAGAAAAUUGCCUUUUUUUUUUGUUUUUUUAAAAGAUAGACUUGACUUAAGCAAACUGCUAAGAAGAUUAUUUUUCACAAAGUAAUGAUGGGGCAAGAAGACUUAGACAUUUGCAUGAUGGGAAGACUUAAAAAUAUAAAGUAAAGAAAAGACUAAAUACCAAUAUAAAAAAUCUCAUACUAUCAUUUUCUUUGUUAGUCCAAAAUUAGAAUAUCAAUUUUGUUUGUAAAGUAUAAUUUUGUGGUGGGUGAUUCUAAAUAUACCAUCAUUUUUUCUCUACAUCCACCUUUUUUAAAAAAUUUUUAAGUGAAAUUACUUAUUUACUCAUCUUGUUUUAAUUUUAAAACUUCUAAAUAUGCAUUUCUGAUUAGUUAUGUAACUUAUAGAAUUUUCAUAUCUAGUAAGUUAGAAAAACUUACAUUUAGGUUUGAGAAAAAAUAGUUAAGAGAAAAUAUCUUAUAAAAAGUAUGAGAUUUUAAUACUAUUUAUAAAAUUUAAAAACUCUAUUAAUCAUAUGUGAAGAAAUUAAAAUAUAUACAUAAAUUAUCUUGUAUACAUUAAAUUUUUUUCAUUUGAAGAUUGUCUUUCUUUUUUAAUUUUUUUUAUAGUGAGAUUGUCAGGAUUUGAAUUUUAAACUAUUGAAACUAAGAGUUUAGCAUUUUACUAAUAAACUAUAUGGUUAUUAGCUUAUUGAAUUUUUAAAUCAGAGGAUCUCUUUAAAAUAUAUUAAUAAUAAAAAACUAAAAAAAUGCACAUACCAUGAAAUUUAAUAGCACAUUAGGAACAAAAGCAUGAUAAAGAAGUUGCUUAAUCAAUAAAUUGAUUGGUAAAAAAAAAUCAACAAAUUAAAAACCUUUGUUUUAUUUUUUCUGAAAGGUUUGAAAAAAAAUCUACAAAAUAUAUUCAUUCUCACUUUUCAAACUUGUCUAUUUUGAAAAUUGUGAUUUUAUAAUGGUGGAAUAAGAAAGAAAAUGAUAGAUACUAUGGGAAUGUAUUGGUCCAAGUGUUAGUCUUUGCUCUACACUUAGUUUUGGCAUCAAGCAUGCAAAUGUGUCAAUCUUUUUGCCCCCAUCUUUACUUCACAAAAAUAAUCUUAGUAGUUGCUUCAGUCUAAGUCAUUAAAAAGACUAAAAUAUAACAAUAAUAAUUAAUAUACUUAAAAUCCAUUCCUUGUGUGCCAAUUUAACUAGAAGACAAAAGAUAACUUUCAUUGAGAAAAUUAUUUUUUUUUUGUCUUUUUUAAAAGGCAGACUUGACUUAAGCAAAUUGAUAAGAACAUUAUUUUCACAUAGUAAUGAUGCGGCAAGAAGACUUAGACAUUUGCAUGAUGGGAAGAUUUAAAAGUAUAAAACAAAGAAAAGCUUAAAUACCAAUAAAAAGAUCUCAUACUAUCAUUUUCUUUGUGAGUCCAAAAUUAAAAUGUCAAUUUUUUUUAUAAAGUAUAAUUUGGUGAUGGGUGAUUCUAAAUAUAUCAUCAUUUUUUUCUCUAUAUCAUUUUUUUUUAAUUUUUAAGUAAAAUUACUUAUUUACCUAUCUCAUUUUAAUUUUAAAGCAUCUAGAUAAAAUUUAUUGGAUUUUCAUAUAUGGUAAGUUAAAAGUUACAUUUAGGUUUGCAAAAAAAAUAGUUAAGAGAAAAUAUCCUGCAUAAAAUAUGAGAUUCUAAUACCAUUUAUAAAAUUUAAAAUCUUUAUUAAUCAUACAUGAUGAAAUCCAUAUAUAUAUAUAAAUUAUCUCGUAUACAUGAAAUUUUUGAAAUUAGAAAAUUAUCCUUUUUUUUUGUAUGUGAGGUUAUUAGGAUUUAAAUUUUAAACUAUUGAAAUUAAGAGCUCAACAUUUUACUAACAAACUACAUGGUUAUUUGUUCAUUUAAUUUUAAAUCAGAGAAUCUUUUUAAAAUAUAUUAACAAUUAAAAACUAAAAAAUAAAAAAAAUGCACAUACCAUGAGAUCUAAUAGUACAUUAGGAACAAAAGCAUGAGAAAGAAGUUGCUUAAUCAACAAAUUGAUUGGCAAAAAAAAAAAAAUUUAAAACUUGUCUUUUAUUUUUGUUGAAAAGUUUGAAAAAAAAAAUCUAAAGAAACAUUCAUUCCCACUUGUCAAACUUGUCUAUUUUGAAAAUUGUGAUUUUAUAAUGAUGGAAUAAGAAAGAAAAUGAUAGAUACUAUGGGAAUGCAUUGGUCUAAAUCAUAGUCUUUCCUUUAUACUUAGCCUCGGCAUCAAACACGCAAAUGUGUUAGUCUUUUUGCCCCCAUCUUUACUUCACAAAAAUAAUAAUUUUAACAAUUGCUUCGGUCUAAAUCAUUAAAAAGACUAAAGUAUAACAAUAAUAAUUAAUAUACUAAUAAUAAUUAAUAUACUUAAAAUCCUUUCCUAGUCUCCUAAUUUAAUUAAAAAACAAAAGACAACCACCAUUAAAAAAAUUGUUAUGUUUUUUUUAUCUUUUUUAAGAGACAAACUUGAUUUAAGUAAAUUGCUAAGAAGAUUAUUCUUUACAGAGUAAUGAUGGGGCAAAAAGACUUAGACAUUUGCAUGAUGGGAAGGCCUAAAAGUAUAAAGUAAAGAAAAGACUAAAUACCAAUAAAAAAAUCUCAUACUAUCAUUUUUUUGUGAGUCCAAAAUUAGAAUAUCAAUUUUUUUAUGAAGUAUAAUUUUGUGAUGGAUGAUUCUAAAUACACCAUCAUAUUUUUCUUUAUGUCCACUCUUUUUGUUUUUUUUAAACUUUUAAGUGAAAUUACUUAUCUACUCAUCUCAUUUUAAUUUUAAAGCUUCUAGAUAUGUCUUUCUUAAGUUAUAUAACUUAAUGGAUUUUCAUAUCCGAUAAAUUGAAAAAUGUUACAUUUAGGUUUGAAAAAAAUAGUUAAAAAAAUCUUAUAGAAAGUACGGGAUUUAAUAAUGUUUAUAAAAUUUAAAAACUCUAUAUAAAUUAUCUUGUAUACAAGAAAUUUUUUAAAUUAGAAGAUUUUUUUUAAUAUGAGGUUGCUAGGGUUUAAACUUUAAACUAUUAAAACUAAGAGUUAAGCAUUUAUUAACAGAUUAUAUGGUUAUUGGCUCAUUGAAUUUUUAAAUAAGAGGAUCUCUUUAAAAUAUAUUAACAAUAACAACUAAAAAAAAAUGCGCAUACUCUGAAAUCAAAUAAUACAUUAGGAACAAAAGCAUGAAAAAAAGUUGCUUAAUCAACAAAUUAAUUGGCCAAAAAAAUCAACAAAUUAAAAACUCAUGUUUUAUUGUUGCUAAAAAGUUUGAAAAAAAAGUCUACAGAACAUAUUCAUUCUCACUUAUCAAACUUGUCUAUUUUGAAAAUUGUAAUUUUUUAAUAGUGGAAUAAGAAACAAAAUGAUAGAUACUAUAGGAAUGUAUUGGUUUAAGUCUUAGACUCUGCUUUAUACUUAGUUUUGGCAACAAGCAUGCAAAUGUGUUAGUUUUUUUAUGCCCAUCUUUACUUUACAAAAAUAAUAAUCUUAGCAAUUGCUCCAAUCUAAGUCAUUAAAAAGACUAAAAUAUAACAAUAAUAAUUAAUAUACUUAAAAUCCAUUUUUAGUUUGUCAAUUUAACUGGAAGACAAAAGACAAUCUUCAUUGAGAAAAUUGCUAUGUUUUUUUUAUCUUUUUUAAAAGACAAACUUGUCUUAAGCAAAUUAUUAAGAAUAUUAUUUUUCACAGAGUAAUAAUGGGAAAGAAAACUUAAUAUUUGCAUGAUGGGAAGACUUAAAAGUAUAAAGCAAAGAAAAGACUAAACACCAAUAAAAAAUCUCAUACUAUCAUUUUCUUUGUGAUUCCAAAAUUAGAAUAUCAAUUUUUUUAUAAAGUAUAAUUUUGUGAUGGGUGAUUCUAAAUACACCAUCAUUUUUUUUCUCUACAUUUACUUUUUUUUUUAAUUUUCUAAGUGAUAUUACUUAUUUACCCAUCUUGUUUUAAUUUUAAAAUCUUUUGAAUAUACAUUUUUGAUAAGUUAUAUAACUUACCGGAUUUUCAUUUCUGAUAAGUUAAAAAAGAUAAAUUUGGUUUGGAAAAAAAUAGUUAAAAGAAAAUAUGUUACAAAAGUAUGAGAUGCUAAUAUCAUUUAUAAAAUUUAAAAACUCUAUUAAUUGUAUGUGAAGAAAUUGAAAUAUAAAAAAUUAUCUUGUAUGCAUGAAAUUUGUGAAACUAGAACAUUGUUUUUUUUUUUUUAAUGUGAGAUUGUCAAAAUUUGAACUUUAAACUAUUGAAACUAAAAGUUUAGUAUUUUACUAAUAGACUACAUGGUUAUUGGAUCAUUGAAAUUUUAAACUAGAGGAUCUCUUUAAAUAUAUUAAUCAUAAAAAAUUGAAGCAAUAAAAAAUGCACAUACCAUGAAAUCUAAUAGUACAUUAGGAACAAAAUAAUGAGAAAAAAUUGUUUAAUCAACAAAUUGAUUGGCCAAAAAAAUCAACAAAUUAAAAAUCUGUGUUUUAUUUUUUCUGAAAAGUUUGAAAAAAAAAAUCUAAAGAACACAUUCUUUCUCUCACUUCUUAAACUUGUUUAUUUUGGAAAUUGUGAUUUUAUAAUGGUGGAAUAAGAAAGAAAAUGAUAGAAACUAUGGUAAUGUAUUGGUUGAAGUCUUAAUCUUUGCUUUAUACUUAGUCUUGGCAUUAAGCAUGCAAAUGUGUUAGUCUUUUUGCCUCAUAUUUACUUCACAAAAAUAAUAAUAUUGGCAAUUGCUUUAGUCUAAGUUAUUAAAAAGACCAAAAUAUAAAAAUAACAAUUAAUAUAUUUAAAAUCCAGUCUUAUGUCAAUUUAACUAAAAGACAAAAGACAAUUUCAAUUGAGAAAAUUGUUGUUUGUUUUGUCUUUUUUAAAUGACAAACUUGACUUAAACAAAUUGCUAAGAAGAUUAUUUUUCAUAGAGUAAUGUUGGGGUAAGAAGACUUAAACAUUUGCAUGAUGAGAAGACUUAAAAGUAUAAAGCAAAUAGAAAAUUAAAAACCAAUAAAAAAAUCUCACACUAUCAUUUUUUUUUAGUCCAAAAUAAAAAAUCAAUUUUUUUUAUAAAGUAUAAUUUUAUGAUGGAUGAUUCUAGAUACACUAUCAUUUUUUUCUCUACAUCCGGAUAUGAAAAAUCGGUAAUUUAUAUAACUUAUUAGAAAUACAUAUCUAGAAGCUUUAACAUUAAAAAACGGAUCUCUAUAAAGUAUAAUUUCCAUUGAUUCAAGGACUUAGAAAAAAAAAAAUAAAGACAAUUUUCAAAUCCUAAAGUUUUUCUUUCAUCCUAUUAUUUUCAAAUAAUUGAAAAUUUAGUAUCUAUUGAAUCCUAUGAUCAACGUCUUGACUCUUUCAUUGUACUUUCUCAAAUCUUAUGGAUAAGAUUCCACCAAGUGAAUAAUUGCUAAUUAUUUAAGAUGAUUAAUUACUACAUUCUUGAGAUUCAACUGAAAAAUAUGAUUUAGAUUUCAUUUGGUUUGUAUUUUUUUUUCUUUUACUAUUUGUUUUUUGUUUUCAAUUCAUUUAUUAAAAAAUAAAAACCAAAAGCAUCAAUUAAUUGGAGGAUUAAAAAGUGAGAAAAUUAUGUAAUCUCAUUGGUUAAUUUCCUUUUUUUGAUUAAAAAAUUUAUUCAGUUUAAAACAAUAUAAAGUAUGAGUGUAUUUGAUAUUAUGGAUAAAAAUUUCUAAUGUUCUUUUUAUUUUUUUAAAUUUUGUUGGGAUUUUAGAUUUCAAUUUAUUAUGAGUGUAUUUUAUAUUAAAAUCUUAAAUUUAUUAUAUAAAAUUUAUAUUUUGAGGUUUCAAAUAUAAAAAUGUAAUCAAAAUCAAAAUGAUUUUGGAAUAUACUCGUAUAGAAAAGUAAUAGAAUUUUGUGUUGGAAAAGCAAAGAUGAUAAUUUUGAAAUAUCCAAAUAGAGAAUGAUAGAUAAAGAAAAUGAGAUAGUGAGAGUAUAAUUAAUUACUAAUUAGAAAAUGAAUUGAAAAAAAAAAAAAACAACUUAGAAGUGAUGAUUGAAGACAAUUGAAAAGAUCAAUAUAAUUACGUAAAGAUGGUAAUAUAUAGUCUAAUUAAACAUUGAAGUUGAACAAUUAUUAUUUAAUUUUGAAUAAUUUAAAUUAAAUUCCCUUUUGAACAAUUAAAAAAAGAGUUACUAUUAAUUUCUUAUGUAGCGCGACAAUGAGAUUGAAACAAAGAUGCACCAAAUGACGUUCUUCUUCUGACUCCACUAGUGCCAAGUGUGCUUAAGUUCAUUCUCCAUUUUUGUCAUCUGAAUGACUUUACCGGUAAGCAAUUCCAAAGGCUAUAAACUUUAAUUAGCAUAAAACAACACCAAUUCUAAGAUUACAUAUAAUAUUUUAUAGAAAAAAUUAUUAUAAUUUUUUUUAAAAAGCCAAAUUUAAGAAGAGAAAAGGUGUUAUAGGUGUAAGAAUUUGAACUCUAAACCUGUAAAAUACUAUCUUGUAAUCAUAAUUGUAUAAAUCAACUAGGGGCAUAUCUAGGCCCAAAAUUUUUUUUUCACCAUUGUAGCAUAAUACCUUAUCCCGCCAAAAAUAAUAUUUGAUCCCCUCUUUUCUAGUAAAAUUAUUAUUUAACCUCUCAUUUCUCAAGUUUUUGCUUCACUUCUGAAAUUAACUGAGAUAAAUCUCAAAUUAAAAAAAUUAUUUUAUUAUUAAUAUUCCUUUAUAGAAAUGUAUUUAUUUAUUUAAUUUGUUAUGAGGUAGAUAAUGGAAGGACGAAAGAAGCUUCUGAUAUUAGACAAAGCAACUUUAGACCAAUUCUAAAGAUUUUUUAAAGAAAAGGAAACAACUUUAGACAAAGCAAAGCAAGAAACAUAUAUAUGAGGCAAGAACAAGAAAAAUCCACGCGUGAUGAAUUGAAGACUAAUUCAUUAUUAGAAAAUCCCAUUAAUUUUUGUUCUAUGAAAAAGCAAUAAUUUUGUCCCUUUCAUAUUUCUAAUGUUCACAUUUGUAACUUUCAUUUAUUCAUUAAUAUUAAGGGUCAUUCCCAUUAAAAAUAAUAUUGGUUAAUAUUUUUAUUUGAAGUAUUGUAAAAUAUAAAAUAUGAAUCUAUAUGUUCUAAGUUCUUAUGAUUCAAACCAAUAUUCAUUUACAAUAUUAAAAACAAAAAUAAUAAAAAAGUGCUAUACAUAUGAUAAAUUCAAUAUUAAAUUAUUAAUAUGUUGUUUUGAAUUCUCAACGAUUAAUAAAAAGAUUUUGCAAACAAUAAUCUAGAAAUACAUUUCAAGACGAUUACAUAAAGUAAUAUCUUCACCUAAUACAUUAAAAAUAAUAGAUAUAAAACUAUUAACUAUAUCAACCAUUACAUUUAAGAUAAAAUUAUUACAAUAAAUAGUAUAUUAACUAAUUUUAAAGAGUGGAUAAUUAACUAUUCCAAUAAAUAAUGAAUUAACUAAUUUUAAAUAGUAUAAAUAGUAUAUAUAAAAUAAUAUAUCAAAUAUUCAAUUAUUUACUAUCUAUCACUAUCCCUAAACAGAAUAUCAAGAGAGAAGCAAUCAAUCAAAUCUAAUCGAAUGGAUUGGAAGGUGAAGCACGGUCUAAAGCUAAGCUCCUGUCUCAGAUCCCAUUAUUUCCUCUGACUUGACAUCAAUAUACAAGCGAAAUCUGAAUGCUUGGAAACUCAUUUUCAGCAAUUUCACUUUGUUGCCUAGAUGUUUCCUGCAUGCUGUCAUCUUUUGCCUUCGUUUCAUUUCAUUCAUACUUUUGCUUUAGAUUUUCAGGUUAGGUAGGCAAUAUUUUUACAACAUGUGAUGCCAUAUUACAACAAGUUUUGCAAAAAAAAAAGCACCAAAUGGUAUCCAUAUGACUAAAUGAUAUCCUUUUUUCUUAAUUAUUAAUCGAAUGGUGCUAGGAUAAACUUUAUCAUGACCAAAGAAUAACGCAUACUAUUAUAAAGAAAGAAUUGUUAAAGUAAUUAUUUUUUUCUCUGAAUGCAUAUUUAGAAAAAAAAAAAAAAAGAAAUAGAUACUUUUGAGGAAGUUGAUCAAGGAAACAAAAGGAGAUUCAAACGUUGAAUUGAAGAAGAAGAAGAAGAAGAAACAAACUUAUUAAUUAGGAUUUUCAAAAAAAAAAAAAAGAAGUGUUCCAUCUAAUUUCAUAAUAACAAAGUUGAGUUGACUCAUUAAUCUUUGCAAGUUUUACUUCUCUUUAGAUGUUAAACUUAGUGAAAAUUUUUAUUAUUUUUUAGUAGUGAAGAAAUACUUUACUACCGAUCUACUUGUAAUACUAUUACUUGAGAAAAUUAUUUUUAUUUAAUUUGUUUUUUUGCAUGAAUGCAUAAUAUGAAAUAAACAGUGGGAAGAAAGGGGAAAAUAUAGCGACAAAGAUUAAUUUACAAAAGCAAAACUAUCAACCUUAUCAUCAUUCAAACCUAUUAUUCAUUCUUUAAAAUUCAAAAUGAACAAGCAAUAAAUAUUUCUGUCUGUCUUCCACCUAUUUUGACUUAACUUCUACAGAAAAAGCUCAAACUCAUGAUUUGUACAAACACGUGGUUGGAAAAACGCAUUUGAACCUAUCUCUUGAUAUCUAGGAGAUAUAUAAGCUACAAUUAAACAGUAUGUUAAUGUGGAAGGACUUGUCUAGUUAUGAUAACCAUGCAUGGAAAUUUCAAACUCCACAUCUUCCCUUCAUUUUUUUAUAGAGAGCCAACAAAACAUGAAGAAUCCUCAUAUCCUAAUUUCACUCAUUUUUCCUACCUUGUUUUUCUUCUCAUGCUUUGUAUCUCUUGUGCUAUCUUUUUCCCCUUCUUAUACUGAUCUCCAAAACCAGUGCCUUGAUGACCAGAGAUCUACUCUGUUGCAAUUGCAUCGUGAUCUUUACUAUGCUCCAAAUUUUACUUUCUCUACCGAAGUUGAGCUUUGGGAUCUCAACACUAAUUGUUGCUCUUGGAAAGGAAUUACAUGCGAUGCUCUUGGUCAUGUGAUUGGGAUUGAUCUCAGUUACAAAAAUCUUUCAGGCAGCUUUCACUCCAUUUUCAAUCUCCAUCAUCUUCAACGCCUUAAUCUUGCUGGAAACAAUUUUAAUUCCACUCUGUUUCAAUAUGAGUUUGACAAACUCCCAUAUUUAACUCAUCUCAACCUUUCAAACUCAUGUUUCCAUGGCCAAAUUCCUGUGGGGAUUUCAUACUUAACAAGGUUAGUCUCUCUUGAUCUAUCUAAUCAAGAUUCUUGCUAUCUACAAAAUUACCAAAUUCUUGAUCCAAAUUUCUGGUAUGAUGAUUUUCCUUACAACCGUCAUCAACCUUUAAAACUAGAAAACCCAAACUUCAAGUCAUUCAUCCUAAAUUUGAGACCUCUUACAGAGCUCUACUUGGAUAGUGUGAACAUUUCAACUCAAAGUACUAAAUGGUGUGAAGCCACAUCCAUAGCACUUCAUAACCUACAUGUGCUAAGUCUGUCGAAUUGUGGUUUGACAGGUCCAUUUUGUUCUUCACUCUCAAGACUUCCUUUUCUUUCCAAACUUUUCCUUGGUGGGAAUUCGAUCUCUUAUUUGCCUCCUAAUUUCUUGGAAAUUUCCUCUCGUUUGGUUUCUCUCAGUUUAGUGAAUUGCAAUUUGAGUGGGCAUUUUCCAAUAGAAGUUUUCUUAUUACCAAAAAUCCAAAGCAUUGACAUUUCAGAAAAUGACAAUCUUGGAGGUCAGUUGCCAGAAUUUCCAUUAAACAAUGCUUUACGGAUCUUAACGAUGUCUUAUACAAAUUUCAGUGGAAAAUUACCAGAAUCAAUUGGUAAUCUCAAGUUCUUGUCAAAUUUAAAUCUUAAUGGUUGCAAUUUCUGUGGACAAAUUCCAUCUUCAAUUGCAAAUCUUACUAAUCUUGUGGAACUGGAUCUGUUCAAUAACAAUUUCAGUGGUUCUAUCCCUGCAUUUCACAGAUCUGGAGUUCCAAAUCUUGCAUAUCUUAAUUUGGGGGGAAACUACCUCUCUGGAUCAAUAUAUUCUUCUUUAUUUACUCUCCCAUCUUUGCAGACCUUGCAUCUUAGUGGAAAUCAAUUGUUUGGUGAAAUUGAUGAGUUUCUUAAUGCAUCUUCUUCUUUGAUUGAAGCACUGGAUUUAGGCUACAAUAGCUUUAGUUCCGUGAAGCUUGACAUGUUCUCCAAACUCAAAAACUUAAGGUUUCUUGGCCUUUCCAAUACGAGCUUGUCAAUCGAAAGCAACAUCACAAGCCUUGCUUUUCCCCGAUUAGAGUGGCUAGACCUAAAUUCAUGUAACCUUACUGAAUUUCCAGAAUUCAUCAAAACUCAAGACAAGUUGGUUUUUCUAGGUCUUUCUAACAACCAAAUCCAUGGUUUUGUGCCUAAUUGGUUAUGGAAGACCACUCUUUUCUGGUUAGACCUUUCUUUCAAUGCGAUUGAUUUUUCAAAAGAGUUUCCUUUUGGUGACGCAAACUCCUCUUUUCCAAUGUUGAGAUUCUUGUUUUUACAAUUCUGUAACCUAAGUAUGUUUCCAGAGUUUUUAAGUCAAACUAGUUUAGAAUAUCUUGUCCUUUCAAAUAACAAAAUAAGUGGUGCAGUGCCAAACUGGGUGUGGAAGAAAAGUUUGCGGUAUCUGGAUCUUUCUAACAAUUCUCUCUCAUCUUUGGACCAAUUUUCUCUGAACCAAUCUCUAACUUCUUCACAAGGCUCUUUAUCAAGACCUAUUUGCAAUUUGAGUCAACUUGUGACCUUUAAUGCAUCCUUUAACAAAUUAAGCGGGCCAAUCCCAAGUUGCUUGGGCAAUAUCCGUUUUCUCGACACUUUGGAUCUACAAAAAAAUAAUUUCAAUGGCAGCAUACCAGAUUUUGCAAAAGCGACGCAAUUAUAUUGGCUUCAACUCAAUGAUAAUAAAUUGGAAGGGAAGUUGCCAAGGUCAUUAGCCAAUUGCACAAUGCUCCAAGUUUUAAACCUUGGAAACAAUACUCUGCAUGACACAUUCCCUUUGUGGUUGGGAAAAUUGCCUGCGUUGAUGAUCCUUGUAUUGCGAGCAAAUAGGCUUUAUGGUCCAAUUAAACAUGUGAAAAAUUGUUUUCAAGACUUAGAUGCACUAGAUAUUGCUUUCAAUAAUUUUUCUGGUCAAUUGCCAAUUGAAUUCUUUCAAGCUCCUCAACUAAGGUCACUCAAAAUUGGUGGGAAUAAACUGGAAGGAAAGUUGCCAAGGUCAUUAGCCUAUUGCAAAAAGCUUGAAGUUUUGGACGUUGGAAAAAAUAUGAUACAAGACACAUUUCCUUUUUGGUUGGAGAAAUUGCCUUCUUUAAAGGUUCUUGUAUUAAGAGCAAAUAGAUUCUAUGGUCCAGCUAAAACUUCUGAGGAUGAAAAUGCUUUUCCAGAGUUACACAUAUUGGACCUUGCUUCCAAUAACUUUUCAGGUGAGUUAUCUAUUGGAUUUUUUCGAUCUUUGAAGGCAAUGAAGACGAUGACUGAUGGCAAGAAAGCUAAGCCAGAUUACAUUGGAGACAAGUACUACCAGGACUCCCUGACAAUUGUGAAUAAAGGGUUUGAAAUUUUUUACAAGAAAAUCUUAACCAUCUUUGUUUGUCUCGACCUUUCCAAUAAUAGUUUCCAUGGGAGAAUACCGGAGGAAAUACAAAACCUCAAGUCACUCAAAGCGCUAAACUUCUCCUACAACAGCUUCCUUGGCCCAAUCCCUUCAGCACUUGGAAACUUAACUGAGCUUGAGUCGUUGGACCUCUCCCAGAACAACCUCUCAGGAAAGAUUCCUCCACAGCUUGCAAGCCUAACUUUUCUUGAAGUAUUGAAUCUCUCUUACAACCAACUUGAGGGAAGCAUACCACAAAGCUACCAAUUUGGUACAUUUCCAAACGAUUCUUACAAAGGGAACCCAAGAUUGUGUGGACCGCCUUUGACAAAGAAAUGCAAUGAAGUUGGUCUUGGAAUGCAACCCCCUAAGGAAGAUGAAGAUUCAUUGGUAGAUGGUAUAUCUAUUUGGAAAAUCGUAUUGAUUGGGUAUGGAUGUGGUUUGGUGAUUGGGUUAUCUAUUGGAUAUACAGUGUUGAAUGAGAUGGGAAACAAAUGGAUGGAUAGGUUUACAUGGAAUCGGAAUAAAACAUGGAGAAGAUCUUCUAGGUGACUCCAUCAAAACUCAAGUUUCAAAUUCAUUUGGUAAGUAUUCUAGAAUAUUUAAUCACUCAAAAGUUUUUUUAUUAGUUCUUUCAACUGUAGUUAAUUGUCUAAACAAAUAAAAUUAUUUAAAUACUCUCGUGCAUUAUAAAUGUGAUAUAUAUAUAUAAUUGCUCUAAUUGAUAUUUGAUUAAAGUGAUUACUUUUGAAAUUUAAUUAAAGAAGGUUUCAACUUUGUACGACUUAUUUCCUUUUUAAACUUGGCAUUGCUUUUAAAACUGAAAACAAAAAUUGCCUGCAACCUAGGAUAUGUCCUUUGAAUUCCUAACCUCAUUUUAUAAAUGACAAUCAUGAGUUUCCAAGUUACUAAUUUGUAAAAGACAUGUGGGUGACUGGCAUUUUGAGUUAGAUUGGGCUGUCAAUCAUCUUAACAGCAAAGCAAAGCUUCGGCAUUUAUUUUCCUUAAUUAGAUUGGCUUGGGAUGCUCAUGUAUAUUGUAUUUGGCAGGAGCACAAUCUAAGGAAGUUUGGCAGGCCAUCUAAAGAUAUAGAAGCUAUUGUUUCAACUAUCAGAAGUUACUUUUCGCUUAGUUCAAUAACAAGAUUGCAGUCUUCAGUUGCACUCUUCCUCUUCAACAACAGAAAUUAUGUCUGAAUGUUUUUGGCUUGGUGUUACGGUACUUGUGUCUCAGUUCUUUCUCUUCUGCUCACCUAAGAUGAGUGGCAGCAUGUGUGGUUGUAUUGUGCUUGUCUUCUGUUCUGUCUAUAAGGUGGUGUUUUACUGCAGAGGUAUGGGGCUCCCCUGUUGUUCACCCCAUUGUGUAACUCUGUUUUUAUUAAUAAUUUCUGGCUUAGCAAAAGAAAAAUGUGUCUGAAUUGGGGAAUGGUUCCUUAAUGUUGCUUAGUUUGAUUACAUUGCAAAAGUUAGAUUUUUCUUGGACAUUUGUAACGUUUUGAUAGCUUACUGUUUACUUGUAGCAAGUCUAAUGCUUUGUUUGGGUUAAUAAAAAUCAUUCACCCAAAGAAAUUCUUAACGAAAAUCUUAUUAUCUUCUAAGCUCUUCAUUAUUGUUAUACCUAAGAGAUCAUAUUAGCAGCCACAUAGUAGGUCUUACACAUGAAAACCCAGUUUGCGACGUCAUCAUCUAAAAGGUAUAAAAAGUAGAACCAGACCAGACAGAUGAUUCACUACUGAACUCUCUCUACUCUCUUUAACUGCUUCUUACUCUCUCUCAUUUACUUGCUUGUGGUAUACCUUACUAACUUGAGCGUUGGGGAAUGCCUCAAAAUAACAUUUUUGGCACACUGACUUCCUACCAUGUGAUAGGUCACACAAACUCUCCUUCUCAACCUCCAGUAAAACUUUCGACUAUCAGACCAGGAAUUACAUCAACAAUAUCAAGUAUUCAACUCAACUAUUUGCCGUGCAGGUAUUUGAUAUAAGCCAUGGCAUGUACAACAAUGACUACGCCUACCACUUUAGCUGCCAAAACUAGAAAGUACAUCUCCUAACACAGAAAAAUCUUCACAGACCAAGCUCAAGCUAAGAUGCUUUAUUCCUUUAUUAACUGCUACAUCACUACAGAGAAAAAAACAACGAAAAGAAAAUAACAAAGCUUCCAGUUCCAGGUAUCAAGCUCGACAAUUCCGAACUAACUUUGAUAGUAUUUUAUUGUCCCUAACAACUAUAGAUUUGACCAUGGCGAGAAAGAUUGAUAUAUUUCCUUUAUUAUUUUAUUCAACUUUAAUCCCAUAUCAUCUUUUGUUUCUUUGCUUCAGCACUCCCACAGACAAAAACAAAUGGUUUGUUGUAAGCUUUAUUGCUAUAUGAUUGAUUUGCAUGUAGAAUAGACCUUGACUAAACAAAAACAUGAGGGCAAUACAUUCAGUAACUUAUAUAUACUCACUUCUCUAGAAUGCCAAUGAAUCCUUUCAGUAACUUAUUCUCUAUCUAAUAGAAAUAAAGCGUCAUAACUAAAUAGCCAAUAUUCACAUUGAUGUGCUAAGUGUUCUGAUAUAGCCACUAAUCCAUAAUUAAAAGAUGAAGUAAUAGACGACAUGCUAUCUUUCAAUCACUGGUCAUUUUAUAGGUAGUAUUUUCUCUAGUAGCCACCUUGAUGCUGUAAACCAGGAAGGUUGUCAAGCCUUCUGACAUUUAGCCUAUUUUGAGUAUUAGCUCAGAAUUUAUGUUUAGAAGAUUGGUGCAGGUAAAAAGAUAUCUGAUGACUUUGGGGUUGACAAAAGCCACAUUGGACAGAGUGAUCAUGCAUAUAUGAAGACUUUGCCGCUAGAGGCUUUCUCCUACAAGUGUCCUCGUGCGGCCCUGAGUUCUUGCUCAUUUGAAUCCUUCUCUAACUACAAAUGUAAGUAUCAACUAGAAAAAUAGUUUAUUCUUAUGAAUUCAGUCAUUUGAAAAUUUUACAGGGAAACAAGAAAACAAAAACUCAUGCUAAAAAAGAAAAUUUUAGAGGGAAAAAAGGAAACAAAAAGAUUACUAUUUCUUGAGUUUAAGUUUAGGUUUGCUACCUAAUUUCACUUUUUUUUUUAAUUUAAUGCAGGACCUGUAUUUUUCCAGGAAGAAAACCAAUCAUUAAUGUUUUCUAUGCUUUGGAAUUGGAUACCACAAAAAAUCACAGCUUCCACUAGCCAUCCCUACCCAAUUGAAACUACCUGCAAUCCAACAUUCUUAAACUCUUUGAAGUAACAUCCUAGAUCCUACCAGUAUGUGUCAUCGAGACCUGGAUUCUGAUCUGAUCAGGCUGAAUUCAAGGCCAUUACGAAGGUUGUGAAGUUGGAUGCUGAUUCUUGGAAAGUUAAUACUGGAUUGCACUGCUAUCUCUAGGUAGAAGAAAUGCUACUUCAUGGGUUAAAGGCAGCAAUAG